CCCAUUCGAAAACACCAAUGACUUUCAUUCAAAGUAAAUGAGAAAUUACAAUGAAAAUAGAAUCAAAAUACAUAUAUGUAUACCUAAAACAAAUGAUUUUUUUAAUUAAAAAAAAAAUACAGUUGAGGUGAAAUGAAACCAGAGUCAUGAUAUCUCUGGUUCCAACUUUGGGACAACAGCAGACUUGAGUUCUAUAUGAGAAACACGUACAGCACCAAUCAGCCGCUCCAGUAAUUCAUCUGUAGUAUUUGCCUGCAUACAGAAGAGCAAGAUAAAGAAGACAAACACAGAAGCAUUAUAUCAUUCUGAGAACAUUCAAGUAUGCAAAAAUGCAAGUUGCAGUGCAAUAUCUCAAAAUCAUGUCUUUUCCCUUGUGUCCAUUUAGCAGUGGGGGAAAAAAACAAUCAUACAUACCUGUACAAGGAAAGCCAUGUCAACCACCAAUGUCGUAAUUACACCAAUUACAAGGCCCAAAACUCCAUUAGCAACAGUAGAAGAAUCGAUGUCAACAUCAAUCUACAGAAAGAUGAACAAUGUUAAACCAUGUUAAAGGUAUUGGACGCUAUUUGAAAGGGGAACAUCUCAUGUACUAUAGAAAUUCCAAGAGCAUUUACUUCUAAGUACUUGGGACCGCGAAUAUAGUUACAAUCAACUGCCUUCCCCAAUAAACAAGGGGUGCUUCCAACACUCUGGCGCACUAUCCAUGACCCCUGCAUGAUUCAGUGCUUAAAAUCAAGAACAAGUGCAAAACAAAUUCAAGAGGGUAAAAAGGACAUAGUUUGAAUCUGAAUCCAAAUCCAUUAAUCCAGAGUUCAUAGCUUGGAUGAAGACUGAUCAACUUCUGUUGAGUUGGAUGAUGUCGUCGAUACAGCAAAAUCUACUUGCUACUGUGAUUGACUCCACAACUUCAAAACAGCUUUGGGAGACUCUUACUAGUAUGUUUAUUUCUUAAUCACAAGCUAGAAUCCAAACACUUAGAAUGCAGAUUCAAACUAUUAAGAAAAGUGCAAUGCAUAUGUCUGAUUACUUUGCAAAAGUAAAACGUAUAGCUGAUACUUUAGCUCUAGCUGGAAAACCUGUUGAGUUAAGUGACCUUGUGAUGCAUGUAUUAACCGGUCUUGAUUCAUCAGAUUAUGAAUCUUUAGUCACAGCUAUUUUAGCUCGAGGUGAGAAGAUAACAUUAGAUGAACUAUAUCCUUUGCUGUUGAAUCAUGAAAAUAGAGUUGAGCAAAAGAAAGGAAAAAUUGCUGGUGAUGUGAUGCACAAUAUAACAGCAAAUAUUGCUCAGAAGAACUCAUGCUGGAAAGAAUAAUGGCAAUUUUCAAAAAAAUUAUGGAAAUAAUUCUGGAGGUGGAAAUAAUUCUAGGUAUGGAGGUUUUAAUGGAUAUGGAUAGGGUCAGUUUAAUAAUGGUGGUAAUUCCUUUGAAAUUGUUUGUCAAAUCUGCUUAAUACCUGGUCAUGCAGCCAAUAGAUGCAAAAAUAGGUACAAUUCAUCUUUUGUUCCACAAAGAAACUAUGGCAGAGGUAAUAUGAAUGGUGUCAGAGGUUUUAAUCAAGGGCAAUAUGGUAGAGGAAGAGCUUUUAAUGGUAAUGGUGGCAGAGGUUUUGGAGGUUUUGGUUUAAAUGCCGGUUUUGGCUAUGCACCCAGGGGUUUUGGCUAUCAAGGAAAUAUAGUGUAUCCAGAUAGGAAUCCUUCUGCUUAUUACUCAUUCACCCUUGGACCAUCUACUUUUGUUUCUGGUCAAGGAAAUAAUAAUCCUGGACAGUCAAGUGCUUCAUCUUCCUCAGCUAUGCCUUCUUCACUUCCACCAGAACACAUUGAAGAUCCUUCAUGGUAUAUUGAUAGUGGAGCAACAAAUCACAUUACAAAUUAUCUAGGUAAACUUCUGGAUUCACAAGUUUAUACUAGUACUGAAAAAUUGUUUGUUGGAGAUGGAAAUGCAUGAGCUAUUACACAUGCAGGAUCAGUUGUGCUAAAUACUUCAACUUCUAAACCUUUAAGAACCAUCUUCUGCAUGUCCCUUUUAUUACUAAGAAUUUGCUUAGCAUUUCAAAAUUAUUGGCUGACAAUCCAGUUAUUGUUGAAUUUCUUGGUGAUUUGUGUUUUAUAAAGGCUAGGAACACAGGGAAAAUUUUACUUGAAGGUGUUGCUAAAGGUGACUUGUAUAGAGUCUCUUCACAUGUUGCUGCUCAUUCAGUCUUUCUCAUUUCAGUUGGUCAAAAUAAAACUCACUCUCUUUGCUUGUUCUCCUGUUUUCAAUUCUGAUCAGCUCACUGCUGUUAGUUCUUAUGAAUUGAAUAAAAAGUCAUGUCUGUCAGUUGUUACAAAGAGUUCUAUUGAUGUAAAUCUUCUUCAUAGAAGAUUAAGACACCCAGCAUCUUAUACUCUCAAAACUAUACUCAAAACUUGUAACAACUCUACUGCUUAUAAUAAAAUUGAAAGCUUGAAAUUUUGUUCAGCAUGUCAAUAUGGGAAAAAUCAUAUGCUGCAUUUUGAUUCAGUUGAAACAAAAACUUCAGCACCCUUACAAGUGAUAUAUGCAGAUCUUUGGGGUCCUUCUCAUGUCUAUUCUACCCAAGGAUAUAAUUACUACUUAUCAAUCUUAGAUGAUUAUAGUAGAUUUACCUGGAUAUUUCCAUUGUCAGCCAAAUCUGAUGCUCUUGAAGUGUUUACCAAUUUCAAAAUUUUUAUUGAAAAGCAUCUUCAACUUCAAAUCAAAACUGUCCAAACUGACUGGGGAGGAGAGUUCAGAACACUUUCCUCAUUACUCACUGCUUCUGGUAUCCAUUUUAGACACCCUUGCCCACAUAUUCAUCAUCAAAAUGGAAGAAUUGAGAGGAAACAUAGACACAUAGUUGAUGUAGGUCUGACCUUAUUAGCUCAAGCACAUUCACCACUCAAAUUUUGGUGGAAUGCAUUCCACACAGCUGUCUAUUUGAUAAACAGACUUCCAACUCCAGUUCUAAACAACAUUUCUCCUUUCCAAAAGUUAUUUCAUCAUCAACUAGAUUAUUCAACACUUAAAACCUUCGGUUGUGCUUGUUAUCCAACACUCAGACCAUACAAUAGACAUAAGUUUGAUUUCAGAACUGCCAGAUGUAUAUUCAUUGGCUACAAUUCACAACACAAGGGAUAUCAGUGUCUUCACUCUUCUAAGAGGGUUUACAUUUCAAAUCAUGUCACCUUUGAUGAAAAUUCUUUUCCUUGUGAGUCUGGAGCAGAUUUUUCUUCACUCUCUUCAAGUUGUCAGUCAACAAAAAACUAUAAGUCUUCUUUCAAUUCCUCUGUUCCUUCUGUUACUCAGUUACAAGCACCUUUAGCAGCAUCAUCAGAACACCAUCAAAAUGUUCAUCAUUUAGAUGCUCCUACUCCCUCACCAAAUUCUACUCCACUUUAUUUUUCUGAUAAUUCCAACUCAGCUUCUUCUUCUUCACCACCACAUAAUUCACCUCCACAUACAUUGCCACAACCUGCAUCAACUGGUCAUCCAAUGAUAACCAGGUCAAAAGCAGGUAUUUUCAAGCCAAAAAUUUAUUUGUCAGCUUUAUUAGCCCAAAAAUCAGAACCAACUUCUGUUUCCCAAGCACUUUCUGAUCCUAUGUGGUAUAAGGCUAUGCAAGAAGAGUAUCUAGCACUUAAAACUAAUCACACCUGGGAUUUAGUUUUACCUGCUACUCCAGUGAAGAUAGUUGGCAGCAAAUGGGUGUUUCGAAUAAAGUAUAACUCAGAUGGUUCAGUUUCAAGAUAUAAAGUCAGGCUUGUUGCAAAGGGGUUUCAUCAGACACAUGGGAUUGACCAUACAUAAACUUUUAGUCCAGUGGUUAAAGCUUCAACUGUUAGAGUUAUUCUUAGCUUAGCAGUAUUGAAUCAAUGGGUGAUUAGGCAAGUAGAUGUUAAUAAUGCCUUUCUAAAUGGCAUUUUAAUUGAAGAGGUGUACAUGGCUCAACCUGAAGGUUUUGUUGACUCAACUAAACCUAAUCAUAUCUGCAAGCUGAAUAAAGCUUUGUAUGGCUUAAAACAGGCACCCAGAGCCUGGUUUGAUAGAUUCAAGGAUGCAAUGAUCUCUAAACAGCAUUUCCAACAUUCAAGGUCUGAUAACUCUCUGUUUCAUGCCUGGAACAGUGGUCAUCUAACUCUUGUUUUGGUCUAUGUUGAUGAUAUUAUCAUCACUAGUUCCAGUCCAACACUAAUUCAGCAAGUUAUUCAGAGUAUGAAUCAAGCCUUUGCUUUAAAAGACAUGGGGGAACUUAGCUAUUUUCUGGGGAUUGAAGUCAGCAAGUCUUCAUAAGGGGUUUCCUUGACACAAGCAAAGUAUAUUACUGACAUUCUAGAUAAACAUGGCAUGACAGAUUGCAGUCGUGUGCCUACUCCAAUGUCUACUGGUUAUUAUCUCACAAAAGAAUCAGGAGAGCUAAUUGAUAAUGUUUCUCAAUAUAGGAGUGUUAUAGGAGCUCUUCAAUAUGUUACUCUUACCAGACCUGACAUUGCUUUCUCUGUAAACAAGCUAAGUCAAUUCCUUUCAAGUCCUAGAACACAACAUUGGGAAGCAUGCAAAAGGUUAUUGAGGUACUUAAAAGGCACUAUACAUCUUGGGCUGCAAUUUAAUAACAAAGGAGCUUUGCAACUACAUUGUUUUUCAGAUUCUGACUAGGCUUGUGAUCGUGAUGAUAAGAAGUCACUGGUUGGCUUUGCUGUUUACCUAGGCCUUAAUCUAGUCUCAUGGUCAUCAAAGAAACAAGCUGUUGUUUCCAGGUCCAACACAGAGGCUGAGUAUAGAUCUCUUGCUCAUGCUGCUUCAGAGGUUCCCUGGAUACAAUCUUUACUUGGUGAACUUAACAUCAAAUUGAGCUCUACUCCUAUGAUGUGGUGUGAUAAUCAAGAAGCAAUUGCUUUAGCUUACAAUCCAGUCUAUCAUGCUAAAACUAAGCAUGUCGAAUUGGAUAUACAUUUUAUCCGAGAUAAAGUUACUGCUAAAGAGAUUGAAGUAUGUUUUGUGCCCAGUCAAGAUCAAACAGCAGAUGUGUUGACUAAGGCUUACUUUCAAACAGUUUAGUUACUUAAGAAGCAAGCUGAAUGUUCAUCCUAAACAUUUCAGCUUGAGGGGGGAUGUAGUGAAUUGAAUGAAGUUGGAGCAAAGCAUGAUGUUGCUGUGUAGCUGACUGUAGCAGAUCAACUCACUAGGCUGACCUGGCAAAGUUAGUUAGCUGGUUGAGCUGAUGUGUCAAAUUAGUUAUGCAGCAAAUGGUUAUGUGAUGUAAAAAACUUGUGUGUGUGUUGAGCAAAUUGUAGCUUAAUAUAAAUAUCAGUCUGUAUUCAUUUAGUUGUAAUGCUAGAGUAAUAAAGGUUCUACAAACUUCUUUACAGCGCUUUCUUUUAUUUUCUUUCAUUUUCUAGCUUGCCAAACAAUACAAAACUAAGUUUCUUUCGGAAAAGGAAAAAUAAAAAGAAAAGAAUAGUUACUUGUGCAGUACAGCCUUGACGCCUAGCUACAUGGUCCAUUCUCUGUGUCUUUGAACCAAUCAACAGCAACAAGAUCCAUUAAAUGUUUUCCCGCAGGUAUCUGCAGUUACAAAUUGCACAAAGCACAAGAGCCAACCAAACUACAUCAUAACCUGUCGACCUAGCAUAUGCAGGAUAUAUAACUACCAUAACAAACAACCAAAAUAUGGGGGAACCUUUGUUUUGUCAUAACAAAAAUGCUUGCUACGAACUCUAAAGUUAUUUCCACCAGAAAGUUUCCAGCAGUCACGAGCAUUAUCACAGUCAUCGUGUCGCAGAUUGCCUGAAAAAUAAGAAAAAUCAAUUUGAUCAGCCUGCUCUUCCUCUAGGGUAGCAACUAAUUGAAAAUUAUAAACCAAAAAAAAAAAUCAAUACCAUAAAAAUCCACUAAUGAGGACAUUAGCCAAAUAUACAAAAAUGAAUACUUAUCAUCCACCUGUCCUCUUGAAAUCAUUCUCAAUCUUUUUUUCAUUUGAUGGCAGGAAUUAUUGAAAUUGGAGCCAUUUUUUUUGUGGGAAUUGAAAUAUAUUCUUUAAAUUAUUACAUAAAUAGCAAAAUGUACAUACACACACAUAUAUAUAAUUCAUAUAUAAAAAUUCUCUAAUUUGUUCACAAGUACCAUAGAUUAUAAUUCAGUUAUGAAAUAAAAUAACUACAAUAAUUAUAGUUAAAUGAAUACUUCAUUAAUUCUUAAUUUGCUUCCUAACAUUAAAUGAACAACUUGAGUCAGCCACCUGAAUCAACCAGUAACAACGCCUGAGUCAACCAUCUGAAAAAACCAGCAACCCUAGCUGAUUCAAGCACCUGCAAUUAACAUCAACACAACAGGAACAAUCAUAAAUCAGCACCAAGAACAGACCAAACUGCCAUCAAAUGCCACAAAACCAAACAGUCUGCUACUGCCAUCAAAUGCAAGCAAACAUAUGCAACAAAACCAGAUGCAAGUGAAAUUCUGGAGAAUAUCGGAUAAACCAAACCAAAUGCCACACUUCUAGUAAUUAGACUAGAUGCAGUGUUCAAUUAAACUAAAUGUAGUCUCAUAUUACAUUCAAAUUUUCUAAAAAAACCAGUGUUCCAUCAGAGAAGCACCAAAACCAAACCAAUCUAAUCCAGCAUAAUUACCAGCUCAACCCAAAACAAUUACACAUUAUAUUGACAUAUCAAAAUUCGCUAUCAAAACAUAGCCAAAUAAAUGACAAUAAACUGAAAACAGACCCGAACCAACUGAUGUUGCAGCCCUAGUAGUCAUUGUGCGUUCCACUGCCAUAGGAGCGAGGGUAGGCUCCGUUGUUGAUGAGUGAGUAAGAUAAGGCUCCAAAUCAAUAGUUCCACCUCCUUUCUGCAAUUCAAAAAACAGAAAUUCAUAUAUGUAAAACUAUUAAAAAGUGUGAAACAACCUGUAAGUAUUCAACUUCUGUCAACUCAAUAGCACUUACUAAAGUUUUUAUACAGAAGAAAAAGGCAUUUUAAGUCCAAAAAAUUAGAAUUAUUGGUUGAACUCCAACUCCAUCAAUCCAUGCAACCAUCCAACCUUUAACGAAAAAAUGAAGCAUAAUUAACAAGACAUCUGAAUCAGAAAGAUUGUGCUUUGAUUUGGCACGAGGUGUUGGAAACAACUUAACAAAUCUAGACACAAUCUAUAACCAUCAAGUCCAAACAAAAGUCAGGAUCUAAAAUACUUUGAAAAAUCAGAAAAACCGCAAAAUAUCAGUUUCAAUUUCUUUUUCACCCAUUGUAAGCUCAAACUGAAGGUAGCGGCGCUACCUUUAAACAUCAUUUGGGCUUAUACAUGUGACAUUUGCUCAUGAACAACUAAAGUUGAAUAAGAUUUUUAUAUGAAACGGAAUAUAAAAAGUCAAAGUAGAAUAUGACAGGACCAACAAUAUAUUAUUCAGCAUUAGCAUUAUGUAUAAAAUAAAUUUAGAGGCAUCAUAUUCAUUCACAAUCUUGCAGAGGUAAUACCAGAUUAUGGCACGCAACUCUUGAAUAGCAGAUAAAGGAGGAGAUGCAGUGGGAAGGUAGUAACUUGCUUGCAUGAGAACUAAAAAGUAAUAUCCCAAGAUCAAUUAUAGAUCUCAUAAAACAAAAACAGUGAGGCAAACACAAUUAUUGUGAACAAUUAUUCAUAGAACCACAUAGCAGCAACAAGAUCAAAGUCAUCUGUGUAUAAAUCGAUUCCCCACAGCUGACUGCCUCUGACCUAAACAUAAUGAAAUUACAUAACUAAGAAGUAGAGUCAUAAAAUAUGCUGCUGUAACAGCUAUCAAUAAAUUUCCAGACAAAUGGAAUUUGAUAUGUAAGGCUAUAACUAGCAACACUUCAAAAUAAUUUGAAGUAGCAUGAUCUUACUUUAAGGAUCAAUACUACAAUCUUUCAGAAAAAUUAAAGUCUAACCAAAAUUAAAACCUUAAACAUACUAAAAUCUGGUAAAUAGACCUAUAGGAAUUCCAAUGACCUCCAAAAUAUUUGAAAGAAAAAUUAAUUUACAGCAAAAAAUGUUAAAGAUUUGUAAAAUGGAGGCCCAUACUACUAUUCAAAUUACAAAAGAGGAAAGGGAGCUGGCCAUUAAAUGAUAAAGGCAUGCAUAAAGAAAUACGAGCACCACAUUAAAUGAUAAAGGCAUGCAUCGAGAAAUACAAAAAAUAUGCCCAUAAAGACGUCCACUCAAGCCUUAUAAGCGGCUUUAUGCAAAGGAAAGCCAAUUAGUUAACAGUAAAUGAAUUUCAAGGUGCAAUAAUUAAACUCCCUGAUCAGCACAUUUAAGGUUCAUGCAUUUCUACAAAACAUGUAAAUCAUAAGAACUUUUUUGGUCCAAAUGCUAACCAGUAAUUAAGUAGAUUAUCAAAGUAGUCACAGAACAAGCACCACAUUGAUUGCUAUGCAAAAGAUGAAAGUAAAAGUUAAUACUUUAUUUUAUUUUACUUUUCGAGAGUUUUGAUCAUCAUGUGCAAAAUAGUAGUAUAACUUGCUCAGUGUUAUCUCAAAAAGCUUGCUUAAAAUACCUAUUAGCACCAGUCCAAGUUGUCAAAUAAAUCCUUAUCUAUCCAUUCAUCUCUGACCUUGCCAAAAAGAUUUAAACGAGCAUCUAUAUUCUCACUCCAAUCUUUCACAAUCAUAGGCUUUAACUUAGACCAGUUCUUCAAUAUCCCUUCCACUGUGAGCCCCUCGAAAACCUUGUAAAUUGAAUCACAUUUGUCGUCAGUUUCAAAUCCAUCUGUCAAAAGGCUAAGCAAAUGAAUAUACAAUCAACACCAUUCUUCCAAACGAAUAUACAGUCAACACCAUUCUUCUAAACACAAACAAAGUUUGAACGUAUGACAGAUUUUUAGCCAUUUAAUAUUCCAUCAAAUAUAAUUAGAUCACACCUACCAAGGAUUUUUGAAAAGAAUGCAUUCUCAUCUUAAGCAGCAACCUCACUAGUAACACAUUUUCAUACCCUGUUUCCACCUCUGGUCGCACCACCAAAAAAAAUUCAGUACUAAUUAGCUUUAAUAUGUAAAUUUUCGCUUAGUUUAAGCUAGGGUUUUCUUUCGAUUGAAACAGAGGAAAGCUUUUGGGUUAUUAAAGUGAAAGAUAUGGAAUAAUACAAAAAAUUAUUGAAGUGAAAGAGCAGGAAUACAAAAAAUCAGCAGAUGAGAUCGUUGAAAGAUGCGGAGGUUUGUAUAUAAAUAUUAAAUUGAUCGUUGAAAGAUGUAUAAACCUCCAUAAAAUUGAGUUACGACUUGAAGGAUUGUAUAUAAACAUUAAAUUGAUCUAAUUUAACUUGUAUGUAAACACUAAAUUGUAUAUAAAUACACAAAACAGAACCAUAUCAGUGUUGGAAAAAAAAUAAGAAUCCAGAGUUAUAUAAAUUCAAUAAAAAAGUAUUGAAUUUUUUAUUACUAACUUUGAACACUCUAAUUUCAAUAAAAAAAAUAUAUUACUAAAAUAGUCUUAAUUGAAUUUAAUAUUAAAGAUAUUAGAAUAACUCAACACUAAUAUUCUCAAAUAUAUUUCUCUCCAUAGUCUAAUCUAAUCCAUUCUAAGAAUCCUAUAGAAAAUCUAUUAUUUACUUUUUCCUUAUUAAACACAAAAACAUGUCAUUUUGUUGCUAACUAAAAUUUUGGAACUAACAACAGCAGAUUAACUAAAAUUAUCAGGAAAAGAAAUCAAACAGGAUUUUAAUCGUCAUCAUCUUCACUCUUGCCUUUUUCUUUUUCUUCACACAUGUGGCUUGCACACGCAUUCCCCUCUCUCAUCCUUAGGGCCGCCCUUCAACAAUAUCCAAUCAUCGAUUAUAAUUAUUUAGAUUGACCAAAUCAAGCUUUGAUCAUAUAUCGGUUGAGGUUAGAAGUAGGCAGGCAGCAACGACAAUACUAAUUAAUAUCUCAUGAGAAUUUUAAAAAAGAAUCUAACGUUGCCCAAUUCGUUUGAUUUCAAUGAAAUCUUUCUCCUACCUAUACUUUCGCAUAUUCUCUUUUAUUUCCAAAGUUAAGGUUAUGGAUGUUGUAGAGUAAAAAGAUGAACAUUGCUAGGAAAGCAAUAAAAGGAAAUAAAUAAAAAUUAAAAAUAUAAAAAGAGUUAAGUCAUUUUUUUUGUCUAUUAGUGUUUUUGUAUUUAAUAACGAAAGAUAAAAAUGAAGUAAAUAUUAUCUGUUAGAUUAUUAAAAUACAUACUUAAAAUGUUUUAGUGACAAUCUAAUUAUAAAUUAAGGGUCUAUUUGAGAUUGAGAUUGAACAGUUAAAAUGUUAUAGUUGUUGUAGUUUAGAAGUUAAGAUGAUUUGAUUUUACACUUAUAUGAUAAAAAAUUAUUAUAUCUUUAUUAAUUUUAUCAAAAUUAUUAUUAAAAAAACUAAAUUUAUUAUAUACUAUUAAUUUUUAUUUUAUACUUAAAAUUUUUUUUUUCUUACGGCAAAAGUUUUAGCACCUCAAUACCCAACCAAGUCUAAAACUGCACAAUAAUAAUUAUGAGUGUGCAUGUUAAAAUCUACACACAUUCUUUAAUUUCAAUCAACAGUGUUACAAACUUAGUUAAAAUAUUAUAUCUGAAAUUAUUGAGGGGAAAAAAAAAGAAAAAAGAAUGUUGUUUUCAUGAUAGUGACAUGCGUCGUGCACAUUUUGCUGUUGGCUCUUUGGUCUCUAACCUAGCGAAUAGGUUGCUGUGUCCUCGUUGUUAGAUGCCCGAACCCAGCGCAAGAACUUUGUACGAUACCAUAUAUUUUGUAUGAAUUUAAGCUGAAGUUGGUACCUUUUAUUGUUUUAUAUCAUGACAUCAGGGAAAUUUUUAAUAGAUCUUCAUUUUAGGCUAAAGUACCCGAACAAUAGUUCCCAUGCACUUUGUGAUCUUUUUACAAAAUAUUAAACUAAAUAGCUGUGGAAGUAACAAAGAGGGCAACUUUUUACCAUAAUGUGAUGAAAAUAAUUUAUUUGUUGUCAUCACGAACUAACCAAAUCAAAACAAAAAACUAACUCAAAUCUGUGCGUCUAGUAACUUAUAUGAUGAUCAUUAGAUCUUGUUCUUGUUAAUGCGUCUAGUAACUUAUAUGAUGAUCUGAUGAUAUCCGUAACAUUAACAUACCCAUAAUCCAUUAUUUUAUAAUUAUAAAAAUUGAAGAUUCGGUCAUGCAAUUUUGUAUGAUGAACAGUGUUUCAUUUUUCUGUGAAACAUAAGAACAAUUUGUAAAUAAUGUCCAUGCGGACCUUGUAAUAGCGAAGCAUCAUUAUUGAUCUUACUUUGAUGAUCGCACUUUAGUUUCUUUUUAAAGUGCCUUUUGUUUAUUUUAUCGGCAUCCGCUUUUACAAAAGUUUUGGUCCUCGUUCAUUCAUCAAAGCUUCUACUUUUAUCUUUUAUUAGGCAUCUUAUAAAAAGCUUAAUUUAAUUGGAUUCAUGUUCGAUAUGAAGAUUGUUUUACUUACUUCAAUCUUUCAAUCAACCGAAUUUAUUCUUUUCUGAUCUGGAAAUUAUUCAUGAAAAAAUAGGCGCGUCAGUAGGACAACAGGGACCAAGUACAUAAUAUGAAAAUUCAUUUGUAUUGCUUACUCUAAUAAGCUCUUAAACUCACACAUUCCUCUGCAGUUACCAGUGAUCUUUUGCUCACUAAAAUUGUUAAUAUAUAUUCAAGGUGAAUAAAGAAACUCAUCAUCCCAGAUAAUUAAAGAGGUGAACUUGUUCUAAAUCCUUUAAUAAUUUCUAUUAAUAGCAUAUAUAAUCUCUAAUCCUUGAUCUUGAUAGUAGUUCUUUCUUAAUGUCCAAGAAAAAUAUCUCUCAUUUGUCUUAAUCUUGUCAUUUAAUUUUCUUGAAUUCUGAGUUAGUGUUUAUUGUUAAAUUCGGUUUUCGGUUAGUAGCUGUUGGUUAAUAGCUUCGGUUAAUCCUUGAAUUAAACAUAUUAAAAUCUAAUCAUAAACCCGCCUUUCCCUAUUUUACGACACCCUUUGUGUAAUAGUGACUUCAAAAGUGUAACAUAUUUUUGAACAAUUGCAAGGAAAGAACAUAUUUGACACUUCACGAAACGGUAAAUAUAUAAGCUUCAAUUCUUGUACAACAAAUUAAUAUAACCAACAUCAACCGUCAAUUGAUCAAUAAUUCAGUAACAAAAAGGGACAGAUAUCCUAGUCUUUCUUUACUAAUGAAGCAAGCCAUUAAACUUCGAAAGCUAUUUCUAUUUCCACAUUCUUCAUGUACCAAAGCCAAAAAAAAAAAAAAGCAACAAAAAUUUGGAAGUAAUCAUCUUUAUUCAGCAGCAUGCAUAUUAAUUAAAACAUAUUCAAAAAGAGAUAUACAAUAUCAGGUCUGGAGACGAAAUGAGCCCACAGAGACUACCAAUAAUGUAGUGGCUUGAUUAAAAAUAUUAAUCAAGCCACUACAUUAGAAGAACAAGAGUUAAUCAUGCAUAUUAAUUAAAAAUAUUUUUGCUAUCAUCCACCUGUUCUCUCUAAAUAGUUGCCACUUUUUUUUUUCGUUUGUCUGAAAUUCCAAGCAAAAAUAUAAUUAGAAGAACAAGAGUUAAGGGUUAAAAAAAUGGAAAAAUAGGGCUCCUCUGUUUUCAUUCCCCUGUUUUUCUGUUCGGUGAUUACAAAGAUUUAAAUCAAAAUUUAUGAUGCAGGCUACACGGCACCUGGUGGAAGACUGCUAGGGUUUACCUUUUAUUGUUAGUUAGAAAUUUAAUUUAGAAUUUGUAGUGUUUGCCUUAUAUAAGUAGGUUUCCUAAUAGUAAAAUUAAAUAAUCAAGUUUAUGAUGCACUAGGAUAUGGUUGUGAUAAAUGAGCUUUUUAUGUAUCCUGUGAGGCUGAUUAUUAUUUUAUUACAUUGAAGAUUCAGUCAUCUCUUGGUAGUCUUGUGAAUCAAGCGGAUUUAGUUAGUAGUAGGUAAUACUCUGGACUUCACAUAGUAAACGGAAUGGAGCAUUAUUUUAUCCCGCUAAAUCAGUUUUUUUUUUAAUUAAAAAAUAAUUCAUCAAACACUUUAUAGCUCUGGUUUUAAGUUGGUAAACACUUUAAGCCGCAACUUUAAAUUCAGUUUACGAGAACUCCUAACAGUCACUGUGGCUUGGGUAGAAAUGAAUAUACUAGCAUAAGUAAUGCUACCCAGGAAAUGUAGUUGAACCUAACCAAACUAAAACCAGAUGAUGAAAGCUUAUAUACGCCAAGAGAUUUAUUCGUUUCUGAGUUUGUUUCCAGAAACCCGGAACCUCCCCUGUUUCUACAAACACGGCACCUUUGUUUUCAUUCCCCUGUUUUUCCAUUUGGUGAUUGUAAAAAUCUAAAUCUAAAUUCUUGAUGCAGUCUACACGGCACCUGCUAGAUGAUUGUUUGGGUUUAUCUUUUAUUCUUAAUUAUCAAUUUAAUUUAGAUUCGUAGUGUGCACCUUAUGAAAGAUUAAAUAGAAUAAUGUGAAAAAAAAAGAAUGCCUUUGUUAAUUUUGACUUCAUAAUGUUGCAGUAACCGUCCUCUCUUAUCAUUCCCCUGUUCUUUGGUUUAGUGAUUGCAAAUAACAUUCUUUUCAUCUACUCUUUAUUUAUUUAUUUUUAAUUUUUAACUCAUUAAUUCUUGUUCUUCUUAAAGCGUUUAGUAAAUUAUAUGAUCACCUGAUCAAAUCCCUCACAUUAACAUACAACAUAACUAACAAAGUGUUGGCUCCACUGGCAAUGGAGUCUCCUCAAGUGGCUUAACUGGAUUUGCUCUCCAGUUCGACUCGCAAGGAAGUCGCCUUUGUUGGGAAAACUUGUACCAAAAACUCUGAUCUGUUGGCUUUGUAUCAGUAUUGCUUGUUUGUUGUCUUUUAUUUCAUUAUUUGUAUCUAAGUUUAUUUGAAGAUUACAGAUCAGCAGGAAAAGCCCUUUUUCUAAAGCUAACUAUACAGAUUUUAGAAUAGGGCUCAACCACAUGAAAAUAUUUACGUUGUAAUAUCUCAUAUUAAUAAUCUAAAAACAACCAAUCCAACAAGUUCAAAUUCAGUCAAAUCUAAAAAAAAAUUGCUUUUAAGGAGUACAUGAUAGCUAUUAAACUUUGGUUAAAGAUCUUUUGGGCAAACGUGAAAUUCAGUCAAUCAUAAAUCAACCAAUCCAACGAGUUCAAAUUCAUCACUUGCAAAAUUAAGUUUUCUUCCGAAAUUGAGUUUUUUCCAGUAGAAAUUUUCCCGCAGUCACGAGCACUAUCAUCAAAACAAGAUUAUUAACAUAAGAACAAGAGUUGAGGAAAAAAAUAUCUGUUUAUAUGGACACGGGGUGCACGCUUUAAGUCUUGUUCUUUUACAAUUCAAUUGUAUUGCUUACUCCCAUAAACUCCUUACUCACAUUCUUCUGCAGUUAACAGUGAUCUUUUGCUCAUUAAAAUUUUUCUUAUAUAUCGAAGGCCAAGAGUGAAGCUCAUAAACUCUGUGAUCCUAGAUAACCGAAGAGGUGCGUUUGUUCUAAAUACUUUAAUAAUUUCUUUCAAUCGCAUAAUUUCUAAUCUUUGAUCUUGAUAGCAGUUGUUUCUUAAUGUCCAACAAAAACUAUCUCUUGUUUGUCUUAAUCUUGUCAUUUAAUUUUCUUGAGUUUUAAGUUACUGUUUAUUGUUAACUUCUGUGUUCUUAUGCAGUAUUAUUAAUGGUUAAUUUGCAUCCAUCUUCCAAAAAAGUUUUCUUUCUUCAUAAAAUUGUUGGUUUUCCAUUCAGGCCCCUGAAACCUUUUUCUAAAAAGUUUUUUGUUGUCGUUUCUUUCUUUUUCUUCCCCGCUAGUUCAUUUAAUUUAUUUGAAUCCAUUUUUUUUUCAACAGCCAAAAACUAGAUAUUUAUAGUUAAGCAACAGGCAAUGGCUAUAGAAGCGUGUCUGGCUUUUUUAACCAACUGUGUAUCAGAAGGUGCAAAGUCACUGUUCAACCCUAUUACACGGCAGAUAUCUUAUGUGUUCAAGUACCAGAGCUACAUAGAUGAGCUAAAAGAUCAAGUGAAGCAGCUGGGAUAUAAGAGAGAAAUGGUGCAGCAACCAGUUAAUCAUGCUAGGCUACAAGGGGAUGAGCUUUUUGAGGGUGUCACAGACUGGCUACAUAGCGUUGAUGAAUUCAUCAGUGAAGGGGUUGCAAAAUCCAUUAUUGAUGAUGAAGAUAGAGCUAAGAAGUCCUGCUUCAAAGGAUUAUGCCCAAACUUGAUUUCUCGUUACAAGCUUAGUAAACAAGCAGCAAAGGCGGCAGAAGCUGCCGCUAGUCUCGUGGGAAAAGGCAACUUCUCCAAUGUUUCCUACCGUCCUGCUCCAAAGCGGGCAGAACAUAUGCAAGUGAAAGAUUUCGAGGCGUUUGAUUCAAGAAUGAAAGUAUUUCAAGAUGUUGUGGAGGCGGUGAAGGAUGACAAGGUCAACAUAAUUGGGGUCUAUGGGAUGGGCGGCGUGGGCAAAACCACGCUGGUCAAACAAGUUGCAAACCAAGUGAUGGAAGAUAAGUUGUUCGAUAAGUUCGUUAUGGCCGAGAUAACACAGACCCCAGAUCAUCAUAAAAUUCAAGACAAACUUGCUUUUGAUUUAGGCAUGGAAUUUGACUUGAAUGAGAAUGAAUUUCAAAGAGCUUCUCGACUGUGUCAAAGGUUGAAGCAAGAGAAGCGGCUCCUCAUUAUACUGGAUAAUAUUUGGACAAAACUUGAGUUGGAUGCGGUUGGAAUUCCUUCUGGAGAUGUGGAUGAGAAAGAUAGAGAGGACGAUCGGAGAAGACUCACAAUAAUAUUGACGUCUAGAAGUCGAGAUUUAUUGCGCAAUGAUAUGAAAUCUCAGAAGGAUUUCUCAAUUGAAGUUUUAUCAAAGGAAGAAGCAUUGCAAUUGUUUGGAAAGAUAGUGUGUAAUUCUGCAAAAGCAUCUGCUUUUCAACCUUUAGCAGAUGAGAUCGUUGAAAAAUGCGGAGGAUUGCCUGUUGCACUGAUUACCCUUGCAAAAGCUUUGAAAAAUGAGAGGCUUGACACUUGGAAGGAUGUGCUGCGUCAGCUAAGAAGUUCCAAUGCAAAAGAAAUUGAUGGAAUGGAAAGAAAUGUGUACAUCUCCAUAAAAUUGAGUUACGACUUACUGGGAAAUAAGGAAGCAAAAUCUCUGUUCCUUCUUUGUGGUCUAUAUACUGAAGGUGAUGUCAUACACGUUUCUGACUUAUUGAGAUAUGGUAUGGGUAUGGGCUAUUUUAAAAACGUUUACACACUGGAAGAAGCAAGGAGUAGAGUGCAUACGUUGAUCGGUAAACUCAAAUCUUCAUGCUUAUUGUUGGACGGUGAUGCCGAAGAUGAAGUUAAAAUGCAUGACAUCAUUCAUGCUGUUGCUGUAUCAAUUGCAGAAGAGGAGCUCAUGUUUAAUAUUCCAAAUGUUGCCUACGUGGAGAAAAAGAUGGAAGAGACAAUACGGGAAGGUCCAAUAGCUAUUUCUUUACCUUAUAGAGAUAUUCAAGAGCUUCCCGAAAGGUUGGAAUGUCCCCGUCUCGAGUUACUUUUGUUGUUUUCAAAGCGUGAUAGCUCUUUGCAAAUUUCAGACCUCUUUUUUCAAGGGACAGAAGAACUCAAAGUUUUAGAUUUUACUGGAAUAUUUUUCUCUUCAUUACCUUCAUCACUUGGUUGCCUCAUUAACGUUCAAACAUUAUGUUUAGAUGGUUGCCGACUGAACGAUGUAACUAUAAUUGGACAGCUAAGGAAAUUAGAGAUUCUCAGCUUCCGAGAUUCUGAUGUUAACGAGUUGCCACUUGUAAUUGGACAAUUGACGAGAUUACAGUUGCUAGAUUUGAGCAAUUGUAGCAGCCUUGUGGUGAUAGCUCCAAAUGUCAUAUCAAAAUUAUCUCGAUUAGAAGAACUAUAUAUUGGUAACAGCUUUUCACAGUGGGAGAACGUUGAAGGAGGAAGUAACGCCAGUCUUGUUGAGUUGAAGGGGUUGUCAAAGCUAACUACUUUGGAGAUACACGUUCGGGAUGCCGAAAUUCUACCGCAGGAUUUGGUCUCUGUGGAAUUGCAAAGCUAUAGGAUAUGUAUAGGAAAUAAGUGGUGGAGCAGCUGGUCCGUUAAAUCUGGAUUAUCAAGAUUGAUGAAGCUCCAGGGGCUAGAAAAGUUUGGCAUUCUUUUGCAGAAUUACAGGAUGAAACUGUUGUUGAAGAGAACUGAAUAUCUCUAUCUAGGAGAACUGAAGGGUGUUCAGAAUGUUGUUCAUGAAUUAGAUGAUGGGGAAGGUUUUCCACGAUUGAACCAUCUUUCUGUAAAAAGUUGUUCUGAGAUUUUGCAUAUUGUCUGUUCAGUUGGACGGGUUCGUCGCAAAGUCUUCCCCUUGCUGGAGUCAUUGUCUCUUCGUCGUUUGAUCAAUUUGGAGACAAUAUGUGACAGCCAACUCACAGAAGAUCAAUCUUUCAGCAACUUAAGGAUUAUAAAAGUAUCAGACUGUCACGAAUUGAAGCAUCUUUUCUCAUUCUACAUGGCCAAAAACCUACUGUGGCUUCAAAAGGUAGAAGUGUUUUUUUGCGAUGAUCUGGAAAUGAUUGUUGGUAAGUGUUGAAAUUAAGUGUUGGUGGAUUUAUGGACUUCGCCUCAAUUAUUUUGAAAAAAAAAAAAGACAACGACAAAGAUUAAUUAUGUAUAUUGUUUUAGUUUGUUUAUAGGACCCGACAUGGACAAACCAACAACUUCUUUGGGAUUCAACGAAAUCAUUGCUGAUGAUGAUCCUGCUCCAAAGGUGAUAAUUUUCUGUUCAAUAAUUAAUUGAUUAAUUUAUUAUCACGAUUAAUCUUCGAUCAUCAAAAGAAUAUUAUACUAGACGGUUGUACUUGAAGGAACAAAAAUGUACGGGUUUUCUUUGCAGGUUAUUCUUCCGAGCUUAGAGGAAUUGAAUCUCAUGUCAUUAAGAAACAUCAAAAAAUUAUGGGCCGAUCAUAAUCAAGGAAUGUACUGUUGUCAAAAUCUAACAAAGCUGCACGUGGUCGGUUGUCAUCGUAUGAAGUAUCUGUUUUCAUAUUCUAUGGUUAAUAGUCUUGCGAAACUCCAACAUCUUGAGAUAAGCUAUUGUGAGUCAAUGGAAGGGGUAGUCGACACCACGGGAUGGUCAGAAAGAGAUGAAGGAAAGUUGAUUGAAUUAAAGGUUUUUCCUAAGCUACACUCCCUGCAGCUAGAAUGGCUUCCAAGACUAAGUAGCUUUGCCAAUAUGGGACAUAUUCAUUCAGAUUUAGUUGUUGAAUUCCCUUCUUUGCUAAACCUCAUGAUUGGUUGUUGCAGUAAUAUGUUAAGAUUCAUCUCUACGAGCUCACCAGAAGACACCAUUCAUUCUGAAAUGCAACCUCCUCCUCUCUUUGAUGAAAAGGUUUUUUUUUUUUUUUUUAAUUAAAAAAAAUAAUUUUAGUCACAAUACUUGAUUUGUCUUUUCCUUGAGUCUUCAAAUUUAGUUAAUAUCCGCCUCUAAUUUAGUUAUCAAUUGAUUAUGCCAUUAAUUGAUUAACUAGUUAUUUAAUCUUUAACUGCCAGGUACGAGUUCCUAGGUUGGAGGUAUUAUAUAUUGCGUGGAUGGAUAACCUAAGAACAAUAUGGCACCACCAGCUUGCUUCGGAGUCUUUCAGGAAAUUGAAGAAUUUGGAGAUAGAAGAGUGUGAUAACCUAAUGAAUAUUUUUCCUCCAUUGGUAAGGUUGCUGUAUUCAUUUCGAUUUUUUUUUUCAAAUAACAUUCAACAAUUUUUUAAUCUUUUCUGUGUUUACAAAUGAUAUUCAGCCACUAAUUAUUUAUUUCAAAUAUUGUACUUCAAACCACCACUCUAAAAUCUACGUUUUAAGUCUAGUUUUUAGGUUCACCAGCAUUAGAAUCAACAAUAUAAUUUUUUUAAACACGAUUCAAUAGCAUAAUAUAAUUCAAUUUAAUUGUUUUUGCUCAUAUCUUAAUAAGUACGAUUUUCAAAAAUUAAAGGAUAGUCACUCAUCUUAUAAGUUCACAAAUUCAUCUAUAUAUUUCUCUUUUCCUUAGUUCUUCACAUUUCGAUUGGGAAAAAAAAAAAGAAAGUCUUCAAAUUUAAUUAAUAUCUCCAGUUUAGUUAAGAAUUGAUUAUGCCAUUACUUAACCACAAAUUCAUGAUUGUUUACAACUGACCCUUGAUUGUAAAGAAAUUUCCUCGAGUCUGGAAGUACUUAAUAAAGAUCCACUUUAUAGCAAUCCCUUGUUGACAGUACUGGGAAGUCUUUUCCAAAUUUUUUUUUUCCAUUUUUAUACAUACAUAAAAAAAAGGGGACCAAGGAAAAGGGAAAAAGAGGCAUUUUAGUUGAGUUUUUUUUAAAGGAAUAGUUGAAAUGUGCAAAUUUAUGCUUAAAAACUUAUAUCAAGAUGCAAAAUAAGUCUAAAGUAUUUAGAAAUUGCCUUAAAUUCUUUCUACGUCCCUAAUACUAAAUAGUGUAAAUACAUUUUUAUCAUCUUUGUUUAUCUGGCUUUUAUUUAUUUAUCUUGUUACCUUUUUUGUUUAACAAAAAAUUAUCUAGUAGACAUUUCACAGUUUGUUAUGUUCAUAAAACGUAUAAUUGUAUGAUUAAACAUACUUUGAGCCUAGUUGAAUGAUACUCUUACAUUUUUACUUUUUUAAUAUACACACACACACACACUCUCUCUGCUUAUUUUCAGGUUGGAAUUCCUACUAGUCUGGUGAAUCUUUAUGUAUGGAACUGCAAAAAAUUAGAAGAAAUCGUAGGACAUGCUGGAGAAGAAGUGAAGGAGAAUCGUAUUGCUUUCAGUGAAUUAAAACUUUUGGAACUUGAUGAUUUACCAAGGCUUACCAGCUUUUGUUUGGAGAAUUACACUCUUGAAUUCCCAUCAUUGGAACGAGUAUUUGUGACACAUUGUCCGAACAUGAAGACUUUUUCUCUGGGAAUCUUAUCCACACCAAAGCUGCACAAAGUGCAAGUGACUGUAAAGGAAGAUGGUGAAUUGCACCAUCGGGACGACAAUCUUAAUUCCACCAUACAAGAACACUAUACAAGAUCUCAUGGAAAUAAGUAAACCCGUAAUUUUUUUCACAGCAUCAUAAGAAAAAAUCAUUUUUUUUUUAGUAUUUUUGUUGGCUGUUGAGUUUUAACAGUAGUAGCUAUUAAACAAGAACAAUCAGUGUAUAUUAAAAAGUUGGAAACUGGUUGAUACCACUUGGGAAUCGAGCAGCUCACUUGUUUGCGAGUAGAAACCAACUUUACUACUAAUUACACUCAUUCCAAAAAUAGUAACUAAAGAAUCAGGAAAUUUCCUAUUCACUAUUCUUCAUUUUUUAAUGCAAAAUUCCCAUGAAAAUGGGAUCAAAAUACAUGUAUGUAUACCUAAAACAAAUUAUUAUUUUUAAUUAAAAAAAAACACAGUUGAGGUGAAAUGAAACCAGAGUCAUGAUAUCUCUGGUUCCAACUUUGGGACAACAGCAGACUUGAGUUCUAUAUGAGAAACACGUACAGCACCAAUCAGCCGCUCCAAGACACACGAAGCGUUAUGCCAUUCCGAGAACAUUCAAGCGUUAUAUCUCAAAAUCAUGUCUUUUCCCUUGUGUCUGUUAAGGAAGCACACUGAGCACGUGUGAACUAAGAGUAGCUGCACGAUAAGCAUGUGUUAGUUAAAGAAGUAUAUGCCAGCUCAGCCAAUUAGUUAAGCAGGCUUUUGAUUCUGUUAUAGUUGUGUACCUUGCUUUAAUUCUGUUUUUAUGAUGUAAGCAACGAGUAUAAACACUGCUACGUUUGUCAUUUGUAUGUUAUGGAAAGAAAAGAAAUCCAGAAUAUUCUAUUUCACUUUCUCAUGAAUUUUCUGAGCUUCCAAACAAAAUUAUCAGUUCAAUUUUAAGCUUUUCAACAGUGUCCAUUUAGACGUGCAAAAAAAACAAUCAUACAUACCUGUACAAGGAAAGCCAUGUCAACCACCGACCGAUGUUGUAAUUACACCAAUUACGACAAGGCCCAAAACUCCACUAGCAAAAGUAGAAUAACAUCUAUGCCAACAUCAAUCUAUAGAGAGAUGAACAUGUUAAUGGUAUCGGACGAGCUAUUUGAACGGGAAACAUCUCAUGUACUAUAAUAGAAAUUUUAAGAGCAUUUACUUCUAAGUACUGGGGACCGCGGAUAUAGUUACAACCAACUGCAUUUAGAAACAAAAAUUUGCGCUUGCGACAAGAGCUGAUCUCUUCAUUCCCCUGUUUAGUAAUAAAAAAAAAUCAAAAUAGCGGAGAAACAGGGCCCUCUUUUCAUUCCCCUGUUUGAUAACAAUAAAAACAAAACAGAGGAGAAACGUGGGCUCUCUUUUCAUUCCCCUGUUUUUCUUUUCGGUUUGGCGAUUUUAAAAUUUUAUAUCCACAUUCAUUAAAAAAAAAAAAAAAAGUUAUUCCAAAAAGAUUUUCUAUUUUCAUAUAGACGUUUAUUUAUUAACCAAAAUUUAAAAAGUGUAAUUCUAAACUUAUCCUUGUGCUUUGAUCUUGGAGGGGUUUUUCAUUUUUUCUACACUGGCCAUAUCAAUUAAUGAUGAAAGUUCUUAUCCUUAAUUGCUUUUGAAAUGAGUGAGCACGGUAUGACCCUUAAGAGAAUUAAUUAAUUGGACAAGUUAUAUAACGCCUUUGAUAUGGCUCCUAGACAUGUAUGCAAUUUGUAUCUUUCCUCAAGUAUGCAUGAGAAUACUUGAGGAAAGCUUCACAAUAGUUACGGCCGGAUCUGCACUUCACAAGUCCUAAUAGGGAAGUAUAAAUAUAUGCUUCUGGAACAGUGCAACUCUCCAUAAUAAGUACCUAAGAAUAGACAAAUUUUCAUUACAAUAGAAUGAUAAAUUAUAAUAAUAUUGACACAAUGAUGCCAAUAAUAAGAAUCUUAACAAAUCUACUAAUUUUAGAAUAUGGCUUAGAGUGCUACAAUGAACCACAACAAGUUAUCGAUAUUAUAAUAUCUAUAAUUAAUAUUCCAAUAAUAACUGGGGCUCCUUUGUUUUCAUUCCCCUACUUUUCUGUUAAGUGAUUGCCAAAUUUUUAUAUCUAAAAUUCUUCUAAUUUUAAACUAAGGUUUAUUUAGAAAAAAAAAGGGAGAGAGAGAGAGAGACUCGAAGAGCAUUAAAAAAUGUAAUUUUUAAUUUUCACUUAAGCAUUGUGUGACUUUUAUCAUUUUUUAAAGUUGGCCAUUUGUACUGAAUAAAUAAAAUAAUGGAUAGACUUAUGGACCACUUUUUUUCUGUUAUAUUAAAACAUGAGAUGUCUUUUCUUGAUGUUUUCAUCACACAAGAAUCUGUUUAUGUCAUCAUGCAUCAUGGGUUUAAAUGGGGUAAAUAAAUUAAGAUCGAGGGCAAGUUUGUUUAAGUUCUAAAGUUGCUGAAUAUAAAAAGGGCUGAUAUGAAAAUUACCUAAAGUUUCAAAUAUUGUUAUUCAGCAACCACUUUUAGGUUGCAUUAGUUUCUACACAAAUUUUAUAUAAAUAAUUUAUAACUCCCAUUAUUAUUUAAAAAACUGUAGCAAUUGUUGAAAAAAAAUUCUAAUUAAAGAAAUUGACAUUAUAAUUUAAGGGAUAGUUGCUGUUUUAAUCAUUAGAACUUAAGUCAAUUAUCCAGCUUAUCCUUGUAUUCUUAAAAACUAUAUAAAAUACCAUUAUCUCUUCUUUUGUAGCUAUUGAAUUCGACUUUCACAACAUAAAUAUUUAUUAGCAACAACUUAAAAUUCAAACAAAUAUAAUAUGUAAUGUAUGAAAUACAAAUAAUAGUUAAACAAAUUUUGAUUAUUUACUAUUAAAAUACAUUCACAUUAAUAUCUUAAGGAUAGGUGGUACUCAAAUAAUUUUUUAAAAAUCAGACCCAAAUUAUAUGCAUUGUUAAUAUGUAUUAUUGUCUAAUAUUUGGAUUUUGUUAAGUUACAACUGUUGUAACUUACGAUCUCUUCAAAAAAGAAAAUUGAGUCCCACCACCUAUUAAAUUUUUUACAUUAUUUUUUAAAAGACUGUAAGUUACAUCAGUUGUAACUUAACAGCACCCUUAAUAUUUUACUUUACUUUUAUAUCUUUACAAAACAAUACCAACAAGACAAUAAUGUAUGAAAUAAAUAAAAUAAAUAAAUAAAGAACUGAUAGCGAAAUUAAGUCUAUCAUUAGUUUCUUGUGGUGUGAACUCUUGACAAUUCUCCCACCUAAAACUCUCUAGUGGUGUGAACUUUUGACGAUUCUCCAAAAAUUUGUCAUAUUGCAAAAAGCAAUGUCAAUUGUAAUGUCAUUUCCAUUAGUCAUAGUGGCAGAUAGGACUAGAAAUUGUUGAAACCCAUUGACUUAUUUUUCUUUCUAAAAAUAAGAAAAGCACACCCGUCCGGGGAAAUAAUUUUGUAGUACCUCAUGUCGUGAAUAAGGGACAAUACGAUCCUUUUUUUAUUAUAGUAUUUUUAAAUUUAUUAACUAAAAAAUUAAUUCUAAUAUUUUAUAAUAAAUAUAAGUAGGAUAUUAAAAUGAAUAUAAUAAUGUAUACAUAUUAAAAUAAUUUCAAUAUCUAAAAAUAUUUUAAUAUUUUAAAAUCUCGUAGUCUAUUAAACCAAAUAAUAAUAAAUAGAGACAUAAUAUUCAAAUAAAUACAUAAAAAUUUAAAUUGUUUUCAAUAUCACAUAAAAUAAUUUUAAUAUUAUUAAUACAUGAGAAAUAUUAUAUUAAUUGUAAAAUCUAUUUAACCUAAGGAUUCAUUUAAAAUUUUUUGUAAUAAUUACAAGUAUUUUAUAGAUACAAAUAUAUUAAUUCACAUUUUAAAAAUUAAUAUUGAAAUUAAUUAUUUAAAUUUUAUAAAAAAUUUUGAAGUCUUUUUUUUUUUUUUGGCUACCAUCUACUAAGAGUAGUAUUAUGAUCAAAAGGGGUAUUGGUAUCCUAUAUUAAAAAUUUGAGGUCUACGUGACUAUUUUUCUAAAUUUUUAGGGUAUCAUUUUGUUUUUGACAAAAGUAAAAUUUCAUUUUUGACAAAAAUAAAAUUUCAUUUAAAUGGCUAAAAUGGUGAAUAAAAUAAUACUACAGUGGGCGUAAAUGGAAGGUAAGAAACAAUGAAAAUGAAUAGUCUAAUGUCACCACAGGCACAUAAGGCCAAAGUUUGUUACAUCUGAUCAAGGACAAUUUAGUAUGUGGAGUGGGUCCUGCGUGUCAUUUUUUGGGCAUCUACCUUCUUCAGCAUUGAAGAUUUGAUGUUGACGACAUUUUAAAAAUUUGGAAGACCCAUCAUACAUUUGGAUGGUUGUCAUUAUUUGAUAUUAUCAUUAUCUCGUGGUGAUCCUAUUAUUUAUGUGGCAAAAGAGGUAAUUAAAUAAAAUUUAAUUGGAUGUAACACUUGUUUCGCGUUGUGAACUUUUGACAAUUCCCCUAUAUCCCUCCAAAAACUUUCGUCAUUUUGCCAAGAUACCUAACGAUUGUAAUGUAAUUUUCAUUAUUCAUAGUGCCAGAUAAUGGAGGUCCAGGAACGGACCAGAAAUUAUUGCUACCCGUGGACUUUUCCAAUUUAUUUUUUUUCUUUUGGAUGGUUGACGUUAUUUGAUAGGAGGACGAGAUAGAGAUAGAGUUCUUAAUCGAACACCCGUUUUAUUUAAUGGGGAAAUUAUCAUUUCACCACUACUCUUUUGCCUUAUGCUCAUUCAAUUACUACAAAAUUUUAACAUGUUCUCUGCACUACUUUUCUUUUUUAAAUUUGUAUCAAUUACUCACUUUUAUACUAACACCAUUAAAUAAUUUAAACAAAAUAAUAAAUUUACCCCUAAAUAAAUUAAAAGACCAUUUUAUUUUAUAAAAACUUAAAAAAUAAAAAAUAAAAAUUAUAAUUAUAAUUAUAAAAAUACCCCUAAAUUUAAUAAAGAAAUAAAUCCCCAAAUUAGAAUUUUUAUUUUAAUAAAAAUUAUAAUUAUAAAAUAAUUGCAAAAUUUUGGGAUUUAAUAAACAUCCCCUAAAAUAUUAAAUUUUGGGAUUUAUUUUUAAUAAAUAAAUUUAGUUAUUUUAAUAAAAUUUUACAAAAUUAUAAAUUUGUAAUAAAAAUAAGCUGAGCGCCUCUAUUUUGGAUUAUUUUUUAUUAAAUUUAGGGGUAUUUUUGUAAUUCUAAUAUUUUUUUUCAAAGCUUUUAUAAGAUAAAAUGGCAUUUUAAUUUAUUUAGGAGUAAAAUUAUCAUUUCGUUUAAAUUAUUUAACAGUAUUAGUGUAAAAGUGGCUAAUCGAUUCAAAUUUAAAAAGAAAGAUAGUGCAGAAAACAUGUUGAAAUUUUGUGGUGGUUAAAUGAACAUAAGUCAAAAGAAAGAUGGUAGAAUGAUAAUUUCCCUAUUUAAUAUGGAAGAAGAUCUUUAAACUCUCAGUGAGGCUAUGGCUUCAACAGAUGCAGCCUUGUGGAAAGAGGCAACAAGUAAUGAGAUAGACUCAUUAUUAUCUAAUCAACUAGAUGCAUCAACAAGAUCUUAACUUAGAUUGGAACUUGAAGCAUUGUUGUUUGAAACAUUGGCUCAAGCCUUUAGAGCGAGGUUGGAUGCAAAAUGAUUUACAACAAAGAAAGGAAAAAAUAAAUUUACUAAUUUACAAAAUAAAUUUAGUAAAUUAAUAAAGUCAUUAUAUGAUCUUAAAUAAGCACUAAAGCAACAGCAUGAAAAUUUUGAUUCUAUGAUCAUGUUGCAUGGAUUUUAACAUAAUAACGAUGAUAAAUGCAUUUAUUCUAAAUUAAUGGAUAAAUAUGGUAUGAUAAUUUUCCUCAUUUGAGAAAGAAUUCUUAAAUAAUGUCCCAUAUUAAUUAGUAAAAGAGAGUCACUUGGGCUUAUAAGUAGUAGAGAUGGGCAAAAUUGGAUGCAGAUGAUAUUCGGGUUAAUAUGAUCAGAUUUUGGAUUGUUCGGAUUGAUAAAAAGUCAUAUGAAUGCAAUAUGAACUUGCAUCCAAUCCGAUUAUGUACGGAUCAUAUUCAAAUUGGAUGAAUAGUGCAGAUUAAUUUGGAUUCGGAUCAGAUCGAUAAUAUCAAACUGAAAUCGGAAUCAGAUGUGUUCGAAUAAAUCAGAUGAAUUUCAAUCACUUGCAAGUUGAAAUACAAAAUUGAAAAAUCAUAGAAAUUAAGAAAAAAAUGCAGCAAGCUAGCAAAUGGAAGAACAAAGGCAAAAAAUUAUAUUAUAAAUUAAUCGUAAAAAGGUGCUAUUAGCAAUUGUUGCACAAUGCGAAAAUGUCCUGGAACUCGCUGUGUAGACAUGCAAAAGUUCCGUAAGUGCAUUAACAAUUAUUUUCCAAAAAAAGGUUGUUGCGUCAAUAUUAAAGGAAUUGACAUCCAGGGACCCAGUUUAGUUGCUUAAUGAUUAAUUAAUUAAUCAAUUUAUAAUAUAUUAAUCUUUUAAGUUGAAUACUUAAAAUCUUAGACCCCAAACAAUAAAUCAUCUGAGUAAUAUAAAAGAGAAAUUAUCAUCCUAUUUUUUAUUUGACUUCUUGUAGCUUAUAAAAGAGAAAUUAUCAGUCAUUUACUCAAAGUUUAUUCAGUUAUUAAAAUUAAUAUAAAAUUUAAAUUUAUUUAAUUUUACACUCAAUGUAUGCAAUUUGUAUUAAACAUCCGUUAAAAACAUAAAGUUAUUCCAUCAAAGUGACAAAAUAGAAGCGAACACAAAAUUGUAUUGGUGAUUAUGUUUUAAGAGUAAUUUUAUCUUUUUAGUAAACAGUUAUCCACAUUGUAACAAUGGGUAUAAAAUUAAGUAUAUUUAAAUUUUUAUAACUUUUAGGAUAAUAAGAUAAUUUUUAGGUGGAUGACUGAAAAUUUUUCUUUUCAAAAUAUUUUGAAAACAAUACCAAAUGUACCAAAACAUUGUUUACUUACACUCUAUAUAUAUAUAUAUAUAUAUAUAUAUAUAUAUAUAUAUUUAAUUUCUUAACUCAUUCUUAUCCUUAUUCUUGCUAACAUAUCCACAAUCUGUCAAUGAAAUUUACUUUUAUAAAUUUGAAGAUUCUUUCAUGCAAUUUUGUACGAUAAUGAGUUCUCAUGUCUCUGUUAAAAAAGAAUUCGUAAAUAAUACAAAUGAAAAAAAAACAAAAAGUAGCAGGGCUGGCAAUACAAACCAUAACUUUUUUUCUUUGAAAUAUGCAUAAAUAAAGUUAAUAGUGAUGUGUCAGCACGAUCUUGAGAGCACGGCUUGGAGUCUCAAUAAUUAUUGACACUCAUAUUUGAAAACUUUUGAAAAGAUAAAAUCCAAUAUGAAAGGUGAAAUGUUAUAAUCAUAGUAACUAGAAAAUUGAUUGAUUUACAAAUAUCAAUUUAAACAAUUUUCAUGUUGAUCGACAAUUUAAGUAGAUUGACAAAGAUUGAAGUAAUUACUGUUGGUGAUUGAUUGACUUUGUCCUUAUCCUUGCCUUCUUCUUAUCAAAAAUCGAGUGUCAAUUAAAUUGGGCCAGGGCUUCUGAUUGCAACUAAUAGACUUCAUAUACGCAUAAUGCUCCCUACGGACAUACGUACCAGUAUUUGAUUGAAAAAGGGAUGCGUGCUUAAUGCUCAAGUCGUCUUCUUCUGGAAAUUCAUUGUUAUUACUCUCAUCAACUCGUUACUCACAUUCCUCUUUAGUCAACAGAGAUCUUUUGCUCAAUAAAAUUUUUCUUCUAUAUUCAAGGUGAAUACAGCAGCUCAUCAACUCUGAUCCCAGACAGGUAAAGAGGCGCACUUGUUCUAAAACCUUUAAUAUUCUUUUAGUAACAGAAUCUCUGAUACUUGUUCUUCAUAGCGGUUCUUUCUUAAUUUCCAUCACCUUUCCUAGGAAAAAAUUCUUUGGUUUUUCUUAAUCAUAUCAUUUAUUUUUCUGAAGUCAUAUAAUUUAGUUUUAGUAGCAGAAUACUUGAUAUUGAUAGCGGUUCUUUCUUAAUUUCCAUCAACUUUCCUUGAAGGAUACCUUUCUGUUAAUAGCAAAACAUCUGAUCCUUAAGAUAGAAAAAGAAAUUCUCUAUUUAGGUAUCAGUUGGUUCAAGAUCAAUAUCGCGAUGUUGUUUGCGGUCUUUUCUUUCUCCGUCUUUCCCUUUAGUUCAGUUUAAUUUAUUUGUUUUCCUUUCUUUGAUAUAUUAUUAGAUUUGUUAAGUAGCAGACAAUGGCAGAAGUUGGUCUGGCUGCUUUUUCCAGCAUUGUAUCAGAAGGUGCAAAGUCACUGUUCAAACCGAUUAUACGGCAGAUAUCUUAUGUGUUCAAGUACCAGAGCUACAUAGAUGAGCUAAAAGAUAAAGUGAAGCGGCUGGAACAUAAAAGAGAAAGGGUGGAAAUACCCGUUCAUCAGGCAACUCAACAAGGAGAUGAGAUUUAUAAGGAUGUUGCAGACUGGCUUAAUAGCGUCAAGGAAUUCACUCAGGGAGCUGCAAAAUCCAUCACUGAUGAUGAAGAUAGAGCUAAGAAGUUCUGUUUCAAAGGAUUGUGCCCAAACUUGAUCUCUCGUUACAAGCUCAGUAAACAAGCAGCAAAGGCUGCAGAAGCUGCCGCUAGUCUCGUGGGAAAAGGCAACUUCUCCAAUGUUUCCCACCGUCCUACUCCAAAGCUGGUAGAACAUAUGCAAGUGAAAGAUUUCGAGGCCUUUGACUCAAGAAUGAAAGUAUUUCAAGAUGUUUUGGAGGCGUUGAAGGAUGAUAAGCUCAAGAUAAUUGGGGUCUACGGGAUGGGCGGCGUGGGUAAAACCACGCUUGUCAAGCAAGUUGCGAAGCAAGUGAUGGAAGAUAAGUUGUUCGAUAAGGUCGCUAUGGCUGAGGUAACAGAGAACCCAGAUCAUCAGAAAAUUCAAGACAAACUAGCUUCUGAUUUAGGCAUAAAGUUUGAGUUGAAUGAGAGUAUAUUCGACAGAGCAAAUCGACUAUGUGGAGUAUUGAAGAACAAGGAGCGGCAUCUCAUUAUAUUGGAUAAUAUUUGGAGAGAACUGGAGUUCGAUAAAGUUGGAAUUCCUUCCAGGGAUGUCGAGAAAGAAAGAAUGGAUGAUCAGAGACGAUGCACAAUAAUACUGACGUCUAGACGUCAAGAUUUAUUGCGCAAUAUUAUGAAUUCUCAGAAAGAAAUCCAGAUCGAUGCUUUAUCAAAAGAAGAAGCAUUGCAUUUAUUUAAGAAGAUAGUGGGUGAUUCAAUGAAAACAUUUGCUUUUCAAUCUAUAGCAGAUGAGAUCGUUGAAAGAUGCGGAGGACUGCCUGUUGCACUGAUUACACUUGCAAAAGCUUUGAAAAAUGAGAGGCUUGACACUUGGAAAGAUGUGUUGAAUCAGCUAAGAAGUUCCAAUGCAAAAGAAAUUGAUGGAAUGGAAAUAAAUGUGUACAUCUCCAUAAAAUUGAGUUACGACUUAUUGGGAAGUAAGGAAGCAAAAUCUCUGUUCCUUCUUUGUGGUCUAUUUAGUGAAGGUCAUGCUAUACCAGUUUCUUCCUUAUUGAGAUAUGGUAUGGGUAUGGGCUAUUUUAAAAACGUUUACACACCGGAAGAAGCAAGAAGUAGAGUGCAUACGUUGAUCGGCAAACUCAAAUCUUCAUGCUUAUUGUUGGACGGUGAUACUGAAGCUAAAGUUAAAAUGCAUGACGUCAUUCAUGCUGUUGCUGUAUCAAUUGCAGAAGAGGAGCUCAUGUUUAAUAUUCCAAAUGUUGCCGACUUGGAGAAAAAGAUGGAAGAGACAGUACAGGAAGGUCCAAUUGCUAUUUCUUUACCUUAUAGAGGUAUUCAAGUGCUUCCUGAAAGGUUGCAAUGUCCCUGUCUUGAGCUAUUGCAUACGGAGGGUGAUGGCUCUAUGCAAGUUUCAGACCACCUUUUUAAAGGGACGGAAGGACUCAAAGUUUUGAAUUUUAAUCGAAUUCACUUCUCUUCAUUACCUUCAUCACUUGGUUGCCUCAUUAACCUUCAAACAUUGUGCUUAGACUAUUGCCGACUAAAAGAUAUAGCAAUAGUUGGACAGCUAAAGAAAUUAGAGAUUCUCAGCCUUGUAUAUUCCGAUAUCAAGCAGUUACCACUUGAAAUUGGACGAUUGACGCGGUUACAGUUGCUAGAUUUGAGCAAUUGUUGGAGCCUUGAGUUGAUACCACCAAAUGUCAUAUCAAAAUUAUCUCGAUUAGAAGAAUUGUUUAUGCAUAACAGCUUUUCACAGUGGGAUAAGGUAGAAGGAGGAAGUAAUGCCAGUCUUGUCGAGUUGAAGGGGUUGUCAAAGCUAACUACUUUGGAGAUACAUGUUUCGGAUUCCGAAAUUCUGCCGCUGGAUUUUGUCUCUGUGGAAUUGGAAAGAUAUAAGAUAUUUAUAGGACAAAUGUCUGUCCGGUGGCUCGUCGAAUCUAAAACAUCAACAUUGAUGGUGCUCAAGGGGCCAGAACAAGUUAGCCUUCUUUUGGGGAAUGAUGGGACGAAAAUGUUGCUGAAGAGAACUGAAGAUCUCCGUCUAUGCUCACAGAAGGGUGUUCAGAAUAUUGUUCAUGAAUUAGACGAUGGGGAAGGUUUUCCACGAUUGAAGCAUCUUCAUGUAAAAAGUUGUUCUGAGAUUUUACAUAUUGUCGGUUCAGUUGGACGGGUUCGUUGCGAAGUCUUUCCCUUGCUGGAGUCAUUGGAUCUUAUUAAUUUAACUAAUUUGGAGACGAUAUGCUACAGCCAACUCAGAGAAGAUCAAUCUUUCAGCAACUUAAGGAAAAUAAACGUAGAUUUCUGUCCAAAAUUGAAGUAUCUCUUCUCAUUCUCUAUGGCCAAAAACCUAUUGCGGCUUCAAAAAGUAAAAGUGGAAAACUGCGAUGAUUUGAAAAUGAUUAUUGGUAAGUGUUGAAAUUAAUUAUUGGUAGGAUUAUUGACAUUGACUCAUUCUUUUUUUCUUUUCUUUUUUUUUUUUUGGUGAAAAAAACAACGGAUGUUUAUUAUAUAUUGUUUUUGUUCAUUUAUAGGGCCCGACAUGGAGAAACCAACAACAACUCAGGGAUUCACAGAAAUCAUUGCAGAGGAUGAUCCUGUUCACCAAGUAAUAAUUUUCUGUUUAAUAAUUAAUUAAUUAAUAUAUUAUCACGAUUGAUCUUCAAUCAUCGAAAGAAUAUUAUAUUAGAAGUUGUAGUUGAAGGAACAAAAAUGUAUGGUUUUUCUUUGCAGGUUACUUUUCCACGCUUGGAGGAACUGAAACUUGUCAGUUUAACAAACAUCAAAAAAUUAUGGCCCGAUCAAUUUCAUGGAAUGUAUUGUUGUCAAAAUUUAACAGAAGUGACCGUGUUCGGUUGUGAUCGUCUGAAGUAUCUGUUUUCAUAUUCUAUGGUUAAUAGUCUUGGGCAACUCCAACAUCUUGAGAUACGAAAUUGCUGGUCAAUUGAAGGGGUAGUCAACACCACGGGGUUAGGAGGAAGAGAUGAAUUGAAGGUUUUUCCCAAACUACACUACCUGUCGCUCCAUUGGCUUCCAAAACUAAGUAGCUUUGCCUCACCAGAAGACGUCAUUCACACUGAAAUGCAACCUCAAUCCCUCUUUGAUGAAAAGGUUUUUUUUCAUUGAAUUUUUAAAUUCUCUUUUCGUUGAGUCUUCAAAUUUAAUUAAUAUCCAUCUCUAACUGCAUUGAAUUUUCAACUUCAGGUACGACUCCCAAGUCUGGAGGUAUUACAUAUUAAGAGGCUGGAUAAGUUGAGAAAAAUAUGGCACCACCAGCUUGCUUCGAAGUCAUUUAACAAAUUGAAAAAAUUUGAGAUAUCAGGGUGUCAUAAUCUACUGAAUAUUUUUCCUCCAUUGGUAAGAUUGCUAUAUUCAUUUUGAAUUUUUAUUUCAAAUAACAUUCAACAAUUAUUUUAAUCAUUUUUGUGUUUACAAAUAAUUUUCAUUCACAAAUUAUUUAUUGCAAGUAUUGUACUUCAAACUUCUGGAGGGAAAAAAAGUAGUGUACUUCAAAUCACCAUUCUGAACUCUGCAUUUUCAAUCUAAUUUAUAGGUUCACCUGCAUUAAAGUCAACAAUAUAAUUGUUUUAAACACGAUUCAACAGCAUAAUAUGAUUCAAUUUAAUUGUUUUUUUUCUUAAAUCCUAAUAAAUAAGAUUUCCAGAAAUUAAAAGAUACUUAGUUACUCAGCUUUUAAGUUCACAAAUUCAUAUAUAUUUCUCUUUUCCUUGGGUCUUUAGAUUUCGAUUUUAAAAAUAAAAUAAAGAAAAGUGUUCAAAUGUAGUUAAUAUCUCUAGUUUAGUUAUGAAUUGAUUACGCCAUUGAUUAAGCACAAAUUCAUGAUGGUCAUUUUGAAUCGACCGUUGAUUAAAAAAUUUCCUCAAAUAUUCACUCUAUAACAGUCCCAUGUUGAUGGCGUUGGGAAGUGUUUUCCAGAAAUGUUUUCCAUUUUUAAAAGCAUGAAUAUCGGGAAAAAAAAAAAUGGGAAAUACAGCGUUUUAGUUUAGUUAUUUUAAAAAUAGGCAUGUUUGAAAAUUAAAAAUUUUUAAAAACUAGCAUCAAGAUGAAAAAUGAAUUUAGAAUAUUUAAAAAUUACCUGAAAUUCUUUCUCUGUUCCUAAUACUAAAUAGUGUAAAUGCAUUUUCAUUAUCUUUGUUUUUCUGGUCUUCUAUUUAUUUAUUUUUGUUUUAAUUUUUUCCUUUUUUUCUUUAACAAAAAAUAUCUAGUAGACAUUCAUGGUUUGUUAUUUUUCAUAAAACAAUUGUAUGAUUUUGACAUACUUUGAAUCUAGUUGAAUGCUACUCUUUAUUUUCAGGUUGGAAUUCCCAAUAGUCUAGUGAAUCUUAAUGUAUCAUACUGUGAAAAAAUAGAAGAAAUCAUAGGACAUGUUGGAGAAGAAGCGAAGGAGAAUCGUAUUGCUUUCAACGAAUUAAAACAUUUGGAACUUGAUCAUUUACUAAGGCUUACCAGCUUUUGUUUGGAGAAUUACACUCUUGAAUUCCCAUCAUUGGAACGAGUAUCUGUGACACAUUGUCCGAACAUGAAGACUUUUUCUCAGGGAAUCGUAUCCACACCAAAGUUGCACGAAGUGCAGGUGAGUAAAAAGGAAGUAUUAAGUUUUAUAUGAAACUGUGAUGUUGUUUGGUUACUAAGAAAAUAGGAAGAAAGAAAACUUCUGUAAGCUGAGAAUUCUGUUAUUAUUGACCUAAUGAAUCUGGAAAUUACAAGCCUUUUUAUAUGUGCAUAGAAGAUUCUACACACAUUGCACACACGCACAGUUUAAUACUAACAACCUCUAUAACAACCUUUAGCUGACUCAGCUGCCAUGUCAGCAUACUCAUUAACUAACUAAUUCUAUUCUUAACAGGAAGAGGGUGAAUUGCGCCGUUGGGAAGGCAACCUUAAUUCCACUAUACAAAAGUGUUACGAAGAAAUGGUAUGUGUUAAAUCGAUUCGUCGAAAUUACUUAUGCAUCUCCCUUGCACUUGCACAUUUAAGUAUAUACACCUGCCUUGUAUAUAUAGUUUUAGAAGUUAAAACACAAAACAUGUAAGUUUAAUGUAUAUAUAUCUAAUGCCUUUCAAAAAGAAAAAAAAUUGUAUAUAUCCAGUGCAAUUGUUUUGGUUUGUGCAGAUUGGAUUUCGUGACAUAAUGCGUUUGCAACUUUCGCAUUUUCCACGUUUGCAAGAAAUAUGGCAUGGCCAAGCACUGCCUGUCAGCUUCUUCAACAAUUUAAGAGAGCUGGUGGUGGAUGACUGCACGAAUAUGUCGAGUGCUAUUCCUGCCAAUCUGCUACGGUGCUUGAACAAUUUGGAAUACCUGGCAGUGAGGAAUUGUGAUUCACUAGAAGAGGUGCUUCAUUUGGAAGAACUAAUUAAUGCUGAGGAAGAACAUUUUGGCCAACUGUUCCCUAAUCUUUACGAGCUAAAGCUCAUUGAUCUUCCAAAACUCAAAAGAUUCUGCAACUUCACUGGGAAUAUAAUUGAACUGCCUAAGUUGGACAAUCUAACUAUUGAGAAUUGCCCUAGUAUGGAAACACUGCCUGUCAGCUUCUUCAACAAUUUAAGAGACCUGGUGGUGGAUGACUGCACGAAUAUGUCGAGUGCUAUUCCUGCCAAUCUGCUACGGUGCUUGAACAAUUUGGCAUGGCUGAAAGUGAGGAAUUGUGAUUCACUAGAAGAGGUGCUUCAUUUGGAAGAGCUAAGUGCUAAGGAAGAACAUAUAGGCCCCAUGUUUCCUGAGCUUUCCCUGCUAGGGCUCAUUGAUCUUCCAAAACUCAAAAGAUUCUGCAACUUCACUGGGAAUAUAAUUGAAAUGCCUAAGUUGGAAUAUCUCAUUAUUGAGAAUUGCCCUGAUAUGGAAACAUUCAUAUCCAACUCUGUAGUGCACGUGACAACAGAUAACAAGGAACCUCAAAAAUUAACAUCAGAAGAGAACUUCUUGCUGGCUCAUCAAGUACAACCUCUCUUUGAUGAAAAGGUGAUUAUUAUUAUUAUUAUUAUUUUUCCCUUCACUUUCGUUUCAUAGAUGUAAUUUCAUUAGAAUCAAAUCAAAUUUAAUGACUCAUCUUUUUGCACGUCGUCUUAAUUUUUAUAUGAUUUAACAAUAUAACUGCAGUUAUUAACUAUCUUUAUAGUAUGAAUUAUAAAAAUGUCUGAAAUUAAUUGGAUGCCUGAUAACACGAGGUGAUCUAUUAAUUAUGUGUAUUACAUCUCUGUUUUCCUAGCUAAUUCAUAUUGGAUUUAGCAUCAGAUUUCAUUUAUGUGUUUCAAAGGGUAAUCGAUUUGAUACUUAUAUUUGGGAUCCUACUGCAAAGCAUACUAAUUUGGAAAUAAAAUAUAAAAUGCCGUGAUUAAUCUUGUCCAUAAAAUAUGCAGGGGAAGACUGCAGAGAUUGGAUACAUAUUUUCAUUUACAACUUAAUUUUGUUGAUUUUUAGGUUGCAUUCCCUCAAUUGAGUUGGUUAACGCUAUCUGGAUUACACAAAGUGCAGCAUCUCUGGAAGGAAAAUGACGAAUCCAACAAAGCGUUUGCAAACUUGGCAAGUCUAGAAAUAUCGGAAUGUAUUCAGUUGCAAAAAUUAGUACCACCUUCGUGGCAUUUGGAAAAUAUGUGGGGACUGGAAGUAUCGAAGUGUCACGGGUUGAUAAAUGUGUUGACGCUCUCAGCAUCUAAAAAUCUAGUGAACCUUGAAAGAAUGAAGAUAGCUGAUUGCAAAAGGAUAGAAGAAAUCAUACAGUCGCCGGUUGCAGAAGAAGCGAAAGAUUGCACUGUUUUCAAGAAAUUGAAGUACUUGACACUUGAUUGUUUGCCAAGCCUAACAAGCUUUUGUUUAGGUAAUUACGCUCUUGAAUUCCCGUCCUUGAAACAAGUAGUUGUGAGACAGUGUCCAAAAAUGAAGAUCUUCUCUCAAGGAGUCUUAGACACACCAAUGCUAAACAAAGUGAACGUCACCGAAGAAGAAAAAGAUGAUGAUGAUGAAGGAUGUUGGGAAGGCAACCUCAAUGACACCAUAAAAAAAUUGUUCAAUGAAAUGGUGAGUAUCAAUUAAGUUUUGAUGCUAUUUAGCAAAUUAUUUUAUAGAAACUAAUGUGAUAUAAUAUGAUUGGUUGACUGAAAAUAUAUAAUAAUAAUAAUAAUAAUAAAUAAAUAAAUAAAUAAAUUAUGAGGACCAUGUAAUGUUUUUGUUUAAUCAAUCAUAUUAUGUCGCAUUAGUUUAUACAAUAUUAUUUGUGCACAAGAGGUGGUGGUCAUAUCAUUACUCUAGCUUUAUUAUUCUUAUGGUGGCAAUGUAUGCUUGCUUACACGAGUAAUUACAAAAUCUGCAGAAUUCUAAAGAAGAGAUUGAGCCAACCCUUCAGGUACAGUGAAGAAGCUAUCCCGAACCAGGCCAAUCUCUUAUACAUGAUUCAGCUUGCUCGUUCUUCUGUACUUGAAUAAUUUGGUUCUAUAUAUUUACAAUUUUUCGCUCAUGCUACAGACUUGCAAGACACUUUGGAUUUUGUUUGAUGCAUUCUCCGUUUAAGAAAGGACUUGAAUUGAUGUUUCAUGUUUCAUGCAAUAUUCAAUUAGAUUCUGCCUAAAUUUCUGUAUUAUUCGUUCAAUUGGUCUUUUAAGCAUUUGAUUUCUAACCUCUCCUAAUGGAAGAUCAUUAUCUGAAGAAAACAGCAUAACAUUUGUGGCAUUAUCAGAAUAAGAAUAUUUUUGAGUAUAGUAAAAUUAUCUCCACCACUGUUAAAAAGAAUUAAUCAGUCAAACUGACCUCACACCAGCACGCUUUAAAUUAAAAGAAUUUCGUGAAGUCGAGACCAUGUUAUAGAUCUCAUGGAAAGAAGUAAACCCGUAAUUUUUUUCACAGCAUCAUAAGAAAAAUCAUUUUUUUUAAGUAUUUUUGCUAGCUGUUGAGUUUUAAUAGUAGUAGCUAUUAAACAAUAACAAUUAGUGUAUAUUAAAAAGUUGGAAACUGGUUGAUACCACUCGGGAAUCGAGCAGUUCACUUGUUUGCGAGUAGAAACCUACUUUACUACUAAUUACACUCAUACCAAAAAUAGUAACUAAAGAAUCAGGAAAUUUCCUAUUCACUAUUCUUCAUUUUUUAAUGCAAAAUUCCCAUUCGAAAACACCAAUGACUUUCAUUCAAAGUAAAUGAGAAAUUACAAUGAAAAUAGAAUCAAAAUACAUGUAUGUAUACCUAAAACAAAUGAUUUUUUUAAUUAAAAAAAAAACACAGUUGAGGUGAAAUGAAACCAGAGUCAUGAUAUCUCUGGUUCCAGCUUUGGGACAACAGCAGACUUGAGUUCUCUAUGAGAAACACGUACAACACCAAUCAGCCGCUCCGGUAAUUCAUCUGUAGUAUUUGCCUGCAUACAGAAGAGCAAGAUAAAGAAGACACACACAGAAGCAUUAUAUCAUUCUGAGAACAUUCAAGUAUGCAAAAAUGCAAGUUGCAGUGCAAUAUCUCAAAAUCAUGUCUUUUCCCUUGUGUCCAUUUAGCAGUGGGGGAAAAAAACAAUCAUACAUACCUGUACAAGGAAAGCCAUGUCAACCACCAAUGUCGUAAUUACACCAAUUACAAGGCCCAAAACUCCAUUAGCAACAGUAGAAGAAUCGAUGUCAACAUCAAUCUACAGAAAGAUGAACAAUGUUAAACCAUGUUAAAGGUAUUGGACGCUAUUUGAAAGGGGAACAUCUCAUGUACUAUAGAAAUUCCAAGAGCAUUUACUUCUAAGUACUUGGGACCGCGAAUAUAGUUACAAUCAACUGCCUUCCCCAAUAAACAAGGGGUGCUUCCAACACUCUGGCGCACUAUCCAUGACCCCUGCAUGAUUCAGUGCUGAAAAUCAAGAACAAGUGCAAAACAAAUUCAAGAGGGUAAAAAGGAGAUAAAGUUUGAAGGUACAACCCAUCAAUACAUUCACACCUAAAUGCAUGCCUUCUUUGUACAAAUUGAAGUGUACCAUGCAGUAAAGGGUAAGUAUACGUUAAUAUAGUCCUACUACAUGAAGGCCAAGAUGGAUACCUUAGGAACAGAUGGAAUAAGUUUCAACCUACUAUUGCGAAAUUCAUCAUCGCCAUCAACAAACCGUUGCAAAAGUGAUCCCGUAACCAAUUGCCUUGUGACAAAAUAAAAUACCAUACUAUAAUGUGUUGAACCAGGAACCUGCAGAUGCUUAGGUUACAACUAUACAACCUCCCAAUACAAUAAGUUUGAAACUUAUACCUUCUGAAAUGAAACAAACUUUCUUGAAGAUUAAAGAUCAGUGAGAAAAGCCCUUUUUCAGAAGCAACCUACAUAUUUUAGAAUAGGGCUCAGUGCGUUAUAGAUUCAAUGAACCAUGAGAAGUUAUUUACAUUGUUGUAUCUCACAGGCAGUCUUUUCUCCUAAUGUAUCAAGGGAAAAUGCUAGUGAAUUGAAUGAAGCUAGAGCAGAGCAUGAUGUUGCUGUGUAGCUGACUUUAGCAGAUCAACUCACUAAGCUAACCUGGCAAAGUUAUUUAGCUGGUUGAGCUGAUGUGUCAAAUUAGUUAUGCAGCAAAUGGUUAUGUGAUGUAACAAACUCGUGUGUGUGUUGAGCAAAUUGUAGCUUAAUAUAAAUAUCAGUCUGUAUUCAUUCAGUUGUAAUGCUAAAGUAAUAAAGGUUCUACAAACUUCUUUACAGAGCUUUCUUUUAUUUUCUUCAUUUUCUAGCUUGCCAAACAAUGCAAAACUAAGUUUCUUUCAUGGUAUUAGAGCCAUAAAUGGCGAAUACAGUUCAAAAUAACAACUCUUUUAGUUUUGUUACGCCUGUAAAGCUAGACCAAAACAACUUCAUUUUAUGGCGGGCACAAAUUUUAGCAUCGAUCAAAGGAAACGGUCUGGAAGGGUUUAUCAAUGGUGAUCAAGAAUGUCCUGAGCAGUUUCUUUCUUCUGGAAACAACAAUGGAGCUGAAAUUUUUACUGAAUCUGAAUCCAAAUCUAUUAAUCCAGAGUUCAUAGCUUGGAUGAAGACUGAUCAACUUCUGUUGAGUUAGAUGAUGUCGUCGAUACAGCAAAAUCUACUUGCUACUGUGAUUGACUCCACAACUUCAAAACAGCUUUGGAAGACUCUUACUAGUAUGUUUAUUUCUUAAUCACAAGCUAGAAUUCAAACACUUAGAAUGCAGAUUCAAACUAUUAAGAAAGGUGCAAUGCAUAUGUCUGAUUACUUUGCAAAAGUAAAACGUAUAGCUGAUACUUUAGCUCUAGCUGGAAAACCUGUUGAGUUAAGUGAUCUUGUGAUGCAUGUAUUAACUGGUCUUGAUUCAUCAGAUUAUGAAUCUUUAGUCACAGGUGUUUUAGCUCGAGGUGAGAAGAUAACAUUAGAUGAACUAUAUCCUUUGCUAUUGAAUCAUGAAAAUAGAGUUGAACAAAAGAAAGGAAAAAUUGCUGGUGAUGUGAUGCACAAUAUGACAGCAAAUAUUGCUCAAAAGAACUCAUAUGCUGGAAAGAAUAAUGGCAAUUUUCAAAAAAAUUAUGGAAAUAAUUCUAGGUAUGGAGGUUUUAAUGGAUAUGGAUAGGGUCAGUUUAAUAAUGGUGGUAAUUCCUCUGAAAUUGUUUGUCAAAUCUGCUUCAUACCUGGUCAUGCAGCCAAUAGAUGCAAAAAUAGGUACAAUUCAUCUUUUGUUCCACAGAGAAACUAUGGCAGAGGUAAUAUGAAUGGUGGCAGAGGUUUUAAUCAAGGGCAAUAUGGUAGAGGAAGAGCUUUUAAUAGUAAUGGUGGCAGAGGUUUUGGAGGUUUUGGUUUAAAUGCUGGUUUUGGCUAUGCACCCAGGGGUUUUGGCUAUCAAGGAAAUAUGGUGUAUCCAGAUAGUAAUCCUUCUGCUUAUUACUCAUUCACCCCUGGACCAUCUACUUUUGUUUCUGGUCAAGGAAAUAAUAAUCCUGGACAGUCAAGUGCUUCAUCUUCCUCAGCUAUGCCUUCUUCACUUCCACCAGAACACAUUGAAGAUCCUUCAUGGUAUAUUGAUAGUGGAGCAACAAAUCACAUUACAAAUGAUCUAGGUAAACUUCUGGAUUCACAAAUUUAUACUAGUACUGAAAAAUUAUUUGUUGGAGAUGGAAAUGCAUUAGCUAUUACACAUGUAGGAUCAGUUGUGCUAAAUACUUCAACUUCUAAACCUUUAAAAACCAUGUUCUUCAUGUCCCUUUUAUUACUAAGAAUUUGCUUAGCAUUUCAAAAUUAUUGGCUGACAAUCCAGUUACUGUUGGAAUUUCUUGGUGAUUUGUUUUUUAUAAAGGCUAGGAACACAAGGAAAAUUUUACUUGAAGGUGUUGCUAAAGGUGACUUGUAUAGAGUCUCUUCACAUGUUGCUGCUCAUUCAGUCUUUCUCAAUUCAGUUGGUCAAAAUAAAAUUCACUCUCUUUGCUUGUUCUCCUGUUUUCAAUUCUGAUCAGCUCACUGCUGUUAGUUCUUAUGAAUUGAAUAAAAAGCCAUGUCUGUCAGUUGUUACAAAGAGUUCUAUUGAUGUAAAUCUUCUUCAUAGAAGAUUAGGACACCCAGCAUCUUAUACUCUCAAAACUAUACUCAAAACUUGUAACAACUCUACUGCUUAUAAUAAAAUUGAAAGCUUGAAAUUUUGUUCAGCAUGUCAAUAUGGGAAAAAUCAUAUGCUGCAUUUUGAUUCAGUUGAAACAAAAACUUCAGCACCCUUACAAGUGAUAUAUGCAGAUCUUUGGGGUCCUUCUCAUGUCUGUUCUACCCAAGGAUAUAAUUACUACUUAUCAAUCUUAGAUGAUUAUAGUAGAUUUACCUGGAUAUUUCCAUUGUCAGCCAAAUCUGAUGCUCUUGAAGUGUUUACCAAUUUCAAAAUUUUUAUUGAAAAGCAUCUUCAACUUCAAAUCAAAACUGUCCAAACUGAUUGGGGAGAAGAGUUCAGAACAUUUUCCUCAUUACUCACUGCUUCUGGUAUCCAUUUUAGACACCCUUGCCCACAUAUUCAUCAUCAAAAUGGAAGAAUUGAGAGGAAACAUAGACACAUAGUUGAUGUAGGUCUGACCUUAUUAGCUCAAGCACAUUUACCACUCAAAUUUUGGUGGAAUGCAUUCCACACAGCUGUCUAUUUGAUAAACAGACUUCCAACUCCAAUUCUAAACAACAUUUCUCCUUUCCAAAAGUUAUUUCAUCAUCAACCAGAUUAUUCAACACUUAAAACCUUCGGUUGUGCUUGUUAUCCAACACUCAGACCAUACAAUAGACAUAAGUUUGAUUUCAGAACUGCCAGAUGUAUAUUCAUUGGCUACAAUUCACAACACAAGGGAUAUCAGUGUCUUCACUCUUCUAAGAGGGUUUACAUUUCAAAUCAUGUCACCUUUGAUGAAAAUUCUUUUCCUUAUGAGUCUGGAGCAGAUUUUUCUUCACUCUCUUCAAGUUGUCAGUCAACAAAAAAUUAUAAGUCUUCUUUCAAUUCCUCUGUUCCUUCUAUUACUCAGUUACAAGCACCUUUAGCAGCAUCAUCAGAACACCAUCAAAAUGUUCAUCAUUCAGAUGCUCCUACUCCCUCACCAAAUUCUACUCCACUUUAUUUUUCUGAUAAUUCCAACUCAGCUUCUUCUUCUUCACCACCACAUAAUUCACCUCCACAUACAUUGCCACAACCUGCAUCAACUGGUCAUCCAAUGAUAACCAGGUCAAAAGCAGGUAUUUUCAACCCAAAAAUUUAUUUGUCAGCUUUAUUAGCCCAGAAAUCAGAACCAACUUCUGUUUCCCAAGCACUUUCUGAUCCUAUGUGGUAUAAGGCUAUGCAAGAAGAGUAUCUAGCACUUAAAACUAAUCACACCUAGGAUUUAGUUUUACAUGCUACUCCAGUGAAGAUAGUUGGCAGCAAAUGGGUGUUUUGAAUAAAGUAUAACUCAGAUGGUUCAGUUUCAAGAUAUAAAGUCAGGCUUGUUGCAAAGGGGUUUCAUCAGACACAUGGGAUUGACCAUACAGAAACUUUUAGUCCAGUGGUUAAAGCUUCAACUGUUAGAGUUAUUCUUAGCUUAGCAGUAUUGAAUCAAUGGGUGAUUAGGCAAGUAGAUGUUAAUAAUGCCUUUCUAAAUGGCAUUUUAAUUGAAGAGGUGUACAUGGCUCAACCUGAAGGUUUUGUUGACUCAACUAAACCUAAUCAUAUCUGCAAGCUGAAUAAAGCUUUGUAUGGCUUAAAACAGGCACCUAGAGCCUGGUUUGAUAGAUUCAAGGAUGCAAUGAUCUCUAAACGGCAUUUCCAGCAUUCAAGGUCUGAUAACUCUCUGUUUCAUGCCUGGAACAGUGGUCAUCUAACUCUUGUUUCGGUCUAUGUUGAUGAUAUUAUCAUCACUAGUUCCAGUCCAACACUAAUUCAGCAAGUUAUUAAGAUUAUGAAUUUGCUUUAAAAGACAUGGGGGAACUUAGCUAUUUUCUGGGGAUUGAAGUCAGCAAGUCUUCACAAGGGGUUUCCUUGACACAAGCAAAGUAUAUUACUGACAUUCUGGAUAAACAUGGCAUGACAGAUUGCAGUCCUGUGCCUACUCCAAUGUCUACUGGUUAUUAUCUCACAAAAGAAUCAGGAGAGCUAAUUGAUAAUGUUUCUCAAUAUAGGAGUGUUAUAGGAGCUCUUCAAUAUGUUACUCUUACCAGACCUGACAUUGCUUUCUCUGUAAACAACCUAAGUCAAUUCCUUUCAAGUCCUAGAACACAACAUUGGGAAACAUGCAAAAGGUUAUUGAGGUACUUAAAAGGCACUAUACAUCUUGGGCUGCAAUUUAAUAACAAAGGAGCUUUGCAACUACAUUGUUUUUCAAAUUCUGACUGGGCUUGUGAUCGUGAUGAUAAGAAGUCAGUGGCUGGCUUUGCUGUUUACCUAGGCCCUAAUCUAGUCUCAUGGUCAUCAAAGAAACAAGCUGUUGUUUCCAGGUCCAGCACAGAGGCUGAGUAUAGAUCUCUUGCUCAUGCUGAUUCAGAGGUUCCCUGGUUACAAUCUUUACUUGGUGAACUUAACAUCAAAUUGAGCUCUACUCCUAUGAUGUGGUGUGAUAAUCAAGAAGCAAUUGCUUUAGCUUACAAUCCAGUCUAUCAUGCUAAAACUAAGCAUGUCGAAUUGGAUAUACAUUUUAUCCGAGAUAAAGUUACUGCUAAAGAGAUUGAAGUAUGUUUUGUGCCCAGUCAAGAUCAAACAGCAGAUGUGUUGACUAAGGCUUACUUUCAAACAGUUUAGUUACUUAAGAAGCAAGCUGAAUGUUCAUCCUAAACAUUUCAGCUUGAGGGGGGAUGUUAGUGAAUUGAAUGAAGUUGGAGCAGAGCAUGAUGUUGCUGUGUAGCUGACUGUAGCAGAUCAACUCACUAGGCUGACCUGGCAAAGUUAGUUAGCUGGUUGAGCUGAUGUGUCAAAUUAGUUAUGCAGCAAAUGGUUAUGUGAUGUAACAAACUUGUGUGUGUGUUGAGCAAAUUGUAGCUUAAUAGAAAUAUCAGUCUGUAUUCAUUCAGUUGUAAUGCUAGAGUAAUAAAGGUUCUACAAACUUCUUUACAGCGCUUUCUUUUAUUUUCUUUCAUUUUCUAGCUUGCCAAACAAUACAAAACUAAGUUUCUUUCAGAAAAGGAAAAAUAAAAAGAAAAGAAUAGUUACUGUUGAAAAUAAAGAUUCAAAGUUAUGAUUUCUUUGUAAUCUAGGCUAUUUUAGGAAUAAGUUAAAUUAUAAUGGGAAGAUUCAUUAGGAUUUUUUCCAGAUUUUGUUUCCUAUUAUUUAGGAAAGGAUAGAUGUAGUCUCCUAUUUUCUCUCCUAUUUUGCUGUAUAUAUUCCCUGUACAUACUGUUCUGGAAAGUAAGAAAAAGAGGAACCAAUUCACAUUUUUCUUCAUGGUAUCAGAGCCUGGCUCUAAACCCUAGUUCUCCUAUCAGCCGCCAUUUCCUUCUUCUCUCAUAAAUUGAACAAUCUACCUUCCUUCCUCUCCCAUCAAUUGUAUUCUCUGUGGCAAAAUACGGGAUGGCUUCCUCAUCAACCUCUGUUACAGUAUCACAGUCUAAAGGAAACGUGGAGACUGCAACUCAUGGUGGAAUUGAUUCUUCACCGAUCUUAAUUACCAGUCAUAAAUUGAACGGCCACAAUUAUCUCCAGUGGUCACAAUCUGUCAUGAUGUUCAUCUGUGGCAAGGGUAAGGAUGAUUAUCUCACGGGUGAGGCGGCCAUGCCAAAGGUAUCAGACCCUAGUUUCAAAAGGUGGAAGUCAGAGAACAACAUGAUCAUGUCAUGGCUUAUCAAUUCCAUGAACAAUGAUAUUGGUGAGAAUUUUCUUCUGUUUGGGACUGCAAAGGACAUAUGGGAUGCUGCAAAGGAAACCUAUUCUAGCUCUGAGAACACAUCAGAGUUAUUCCAGAUUGAAACCAUCCUCCAUGACUUCCGCCAAGGAGAACAAUCUGUCACUCAGUACUUUAAUACUCUGACUAGGCAUUGGCAACACCUUGAUCUAUUUGAAACAUACCCUUGGAAGUGCACCGACGAUACAACCUUGUACAAGAAGAUUGUGGAACAGAAGAGAACGUUUAAAUUUCUCCUCGGACUCAAUAAAGAUCUUGAUCAGGUUAGGAGCCGUGUACUCGGGACAAAGCCUCUACCACGCCCUCGUGAAGCCUUUUCUGAAGUUAGGCAUGAAGAAAGUAGGAAAAAGGUGAUGAUGGGGUCAUCAGAACCAACACUGGACGCCUCUGCACUUGCUGCCCGUGCAUCCAACUCUGUAGGGGUUAGUGAAAAUCGUACAAAGAAAGAAAGACCAUGGUGCGAUCACUGUCGUAAGGCAGGCCACUAUAAGGAGAGUUGCUGGAAAAUUUAUGGCAAGCCUGCUGAUUGGAAACCUCGUUCCAAAGGUGACCGUGAAUCUCGUGCUCAUGCAGCAUCCACCACGGACAAUCAGGCCCUACCCGAGCCAAAUCCAUUCAGCAAGGAGCAAAUGGAGAUUCUUCAAAAGCUUUUCGAUCAAGCCACUUUGAACUCCAAUGCAGGGACAAGUCUAGUGGCUCAGAAAGAGACUCAUUCAGCAUUUGCAGCCACUAAUGGAGCAAGCAAACCUUGGAUAAUUGACACUGGUGCUUCUGAUCACAUGACUGGAGAUGCCUCAAUGUUGCAGGAUUAUAAAGCUAGCAUCAACAGCACUUCAGUCUGGAUCGCAGAUGGCUCUCACACAAAAAUAGCAGGGACAGGUUCCAUCAGACUCACUAAGGAGUUACACCUUAAUUCUGUACUUUAUGUGCCUAAUUUGGCUUGCAAUUUACUUUCAAUCAGUAAAUUCACUCGUGAUCAGAAUUGUGUAACUAAAUUCUAUCCAAAUAUGUGCGUUUUUCAGGACUUGGAUUCGCGAAGACGAUUGGCAGUGCUGAGCUAUGUUCUGGACUCUAUCUACUCAAAAGCGAUCAAUCCUCCUUCAUACAAGAUUCGAGAGCAAACUGUGCCAAGUCCAAUAGUCUGUCAACUAGUUAUCCUCAUUCUAUUGUUAGUCCAAAUGUCAAUAACGAUAGUGAAAUUGUUCUGUUACACUAUCGAUUAGGUCAUUCUAGUUUCAUGUAUCUCGCAAAAAUUUUUCCCAAUCUAUUCAUCAAUAAAAACCCUUUAUCAUUUCAUUGUGAAAUUUGUCAAUUUGCAAAACAUACUCGAAAUGUUUAUUCAAGUGUUAAGUAUAAGCCUUCUCGUCCAUUUGCUUUAAUUCACAGUGAUGUGUGGGGUCCCUCAAGAAUUAAAAAUGUUUCUGGGGCUCGCUGGUUUUUGUCAUUUGUGGAUGAUCAUACUCGUCUCACUUGGGUGUUUCUCAUGAAAAACAAAUCCGAAGUUAGUCAAAUCUUCCAAAACUUUAACGCCAUGAUUCAAACCCAAUUCAAUACCAAAAUCCAAGUCCUUAAAACCGACAAUGCCAAGGAAUAUUUCAAAGACUCCCUCAGCUCAUAUCUUCUCCAUCAAGGCAUUCUUCACAUCAGUUCUUGUGUUGACACCCCGCAACAAAAUGGGGUCGCUGAACGCAAAAACAGACACCUUCUUGAAGUGGCUCGCUGUCUUUUGUUCUCAUCUCAUGUUCCUAAUUUUUUCUGGGGUGAAGCUGUUCUCACUGCAGCCUACUUAAUCAACCGAAUGCCUUCUAGAGUCUUGGGGUUUCAUUGCCCAAGAAAAGUUCUUCUCAAUUUCUUUCCACACACUAGGAUUGUUUCAGCAGAUUUACCACAAAAAAUAUUCGGUUGCACAGCAUAUGUCCAUGUUCACUCUCAACACAGGACUAAACUUGAUCCCCGAUCUCUCAAGUGUAUAUUUUUAGGCUAUUCUCCACAUAAAAAAGGAUACAAAUGCUAUUCUCCUCAUACCAGAAAAAUAUACAUUUCCAGAGAUGUAACAUUUGUUGAAAACCUGCCUUUAUAUUCCAAAACUGUUGUUCAGGGAGAGAGUAUGAGCGAACAUCAGCCUUGGGAAUCUUCUUGGCAAUCUUGGCUGGAAACCCCUCAUGAAAACCCUCAUAACUCAACCACCACACAUGAUCAAUCUAUCCAACAGCCACAAUCAGCAAUCCUCCCAACAUCUUCACAACCUUUUGAGUCAUCUGAGUCCUCCCAACCACAAUCAGCCGAGUCACCCCGUCAUCCAUCAGCCCAUCAACUACAGCCUCUAAUCUCACCUCUUCCACAGCUUGCUGUUGAUAAUCUUAAUGUUUAUAGGAGGAGAAGAACUGGAGAGCAGAUAGAGCACAGAACUCAGCCACAUGUCCAAGAAACUGAACCAAAUCCAAGCUCUUAUGAAGACAACACAGGUAUGGAUAGUCUUGCCUCGGUUGAGUUCAUGGUUCCAAGUGUGGAUGAUUCUAAUAAAUCAAUUGCAGAAAGAAAGGGGGUUCAAAGUUGUACCACUCAUCCAAUUGCCAAAUAUGUCUCAUAUGAUGGUUUGUCCCCAUCAUACCGAGCCUUUGUUUCUUCUUUAGAUAAUCUACAUGUUCCCAACAAUAUACAAGAGGCUCUCGGUCAUCCUGAGUGGAAGAGAGCUGUUCAUGAAGAAAUAAAUGCUCUUGAGAAAAAUGAUACAUGGGUUAUAACAGAUCUUCCUGCAGGGAAACGACCAGUUGGAUGUAAGUGGAUUUUUACUGUUAAAUACAAGGCAGAUGGAAGUGUUGAGAGCCUCAAAGCUCGUCUUGUAGCUAAAGGGUUCACACAGUCAUAUGGGAUUGAUUAUCUUGAAACCUUUGCUCCGGUUGCGAAGCUCAACACCAUUAGAAUCUUGCUCUCCUUAGCAGUAAAUCUAGAUUGGUACUUAUACCAACUAGAUAUAAAAAAUGCGUUUCUCAAUGGCGAUCUUGAAGAAGAAGUGUUUAUGGAAGUUCCCCAGGGUCUUGAUCUGAAUCUUACUAGAAAUAAAGUGUGCAAGCUCAAGAAAUCUUUGUAUGGGCUUAAACAAUCCCCUCGAGCAUGGUUUGAUAGAUUUGCGAAGGCAGUUGUGAGACUUGGUUACACUCAGUGUCAGGCAGAUCACACUUUAUUCCUCCGAACAUCACAAGCAAAGAAGAUCUCUCUCCUAAUCGUAUAUGUUGAUGACAUCAUUCUCUCAGGAAAUGAUGAGGAAGAACUGCAGAAGUUGAAGAAACAGCUAGCUCAGGAAUUCGAAGUUAAAGAUCUAGGGAAUCUGAAAUAUUUUCUUGGGAUGGAGGUGGCAAGAUCUAGGAAGGGAAUUGUUGUCUCCCAAAGGAAAUACACCCUGGACUUACUAAAGGAGACUGGUAUGAUUGGGUGCAAACCAGUAGAUACUCCUAUGGAUCCCUACAAGAAACUAGGCUCAGUUGAGAAUAGUGUUCCAGUCAAUAGAGGGAGAUAUCAAAGACUGGUUGGUCGUUUAAUUUAUCUCUCACAUACCCGUCCGGACAUAGGCUUUGUUGUUAGUGUUGUGAGCCAAUUCAUGCACAAUCCUACAGAGGAACACAUGGAUGCAGUCUUUAGAAUUUUGAAGUAUCUAAAGAUGACACCUGGAAAAGGAUUGUUUUUCAAGAAAUCAGAAUAUAGGAAUAUUGAGAUCUACUCUGAUGCAGACUGGGCUGGAGACAUCACAAAUAGAAGAUCAACAUCUGCUUACUGUUCCUAUGUCUGGGGAAAUCUAGUAACCUGGAGGAGUAAGAAACAAUCAGUUGUAGCUAGGAGUAGUGCAGAAGCAGAGUUCAGAGCUUUGGCAAAUGGAAUCUGUGAAGGAAUUUGGAUAAAGCGUGUACUCAAGGAACUCGGUGUGUGCAGCCCUUCAUCCAUUCUAAUGAGGUGUGACAAUCAAGCAGCAAUCAGCAUCGCAAAAAACCCAGUGCAUCAUGAUCGAACCAAACAUGUCGAGAUUGAUAGGCACUUCAUCUCAGAGAAGGUCACUAGUGGAAGUGUGGAACUAAAGUACAUUCCAACUAGACAACAAAUUGCAGACAUCCUUACUAAAGCACUGCCAAGACCUAACUUUGAAGACUUAAGUAACAAGCUGGGUUUGUAUGAUAUACACACACCAGCUUGAGGGGGAGUGUUGAAAAUAAAGAUUCAAAGUUAUGAUUUAUUUGUAAUCUAGGCUAUUUUAGGAAUAAGUUAAAUUAUAAUGGGAAGAUUCAUUAGGAUUCUUUCUAGAUUUUGUUUCCUAUUAUUUAGGAAAGGAUAGAUGUAGUCUCCUAUUUUCUCUCCUAUUUUGCUGUAUAUAUUCCCUGUACAUACUGUUCUGGAAAGUAAGAAAAAGAGGAACCAAUUCACAUUUUUCUUCAGUUACUUGUGCAGUACAGCCUUGACGCCUAGCUACAUGGUCCAUUCUCUUUGUGUCUUUGAACCAAUCAACAGCAACAAGAUCCAUUAAAUGUUUUCCCGCAGGUGUCUGCAGUUACAAAUUGCACAAAGCACAAGAGCCAACCAAACUACAUCAUAACAUGUCGACCUAGCAUAUGCAGGAUAUAUAAAUACCAUAACAAACAACCAAAAUAUGGGGGAACCUUUGUUUUGUCAUAACAAAAAUGCUUGCUACGAACUCUAAAGUUAUUUCCACCAGAAAGUUUCCAGCAGUCACGAGCAUUAUCACAGUCAUCGUGUCGCAGAUUGCCGGAAAAAUAAGACAAAUCAAUUUGAUCAGCCUGCUCUUCCUCUAGGGUAACAACUAAUUGAAAAUUAUAAACCAAAAAAAAAAAAUCAAUACCAUAAAAAUCCACUAAUGAGGACAUUAGCCAAAUAUACAAAAAUGAAUACUUAUCAUCCACCUGUCCUCUUGAAAUCAUUCUCAAUCUUUUUUUCAUUUGCCUGAAAUCCCAAGGAAAAAUAUGGAACUAAUACUUCCCAUUCAUGACUAUUGUCUGUCAUAUAAACAUGACAUUUAAUUGAAAUAGUAAAAUUAUUUAAUUAUUUUAAUUAAAUGUUAAUCCUAUAAAUUAUUUUUGUUAAAUCUAGCAAGAAUAACUAACAUUUCUUUAAGAUAUAUUUUGGCGGUAAAUUAAAAAAAAUUAAUUAUUUGGCGGGAAUUAUUGAAAUUGGAGCCAUUUUUUUGUGGGAAUUGAAAUAUAUUCUUUAAAUUAUUAUAUAAAAAGAAAAAUGUACAUACACACACAUAUAUAUAAUUUAUAUAUAAAAAUUCUCUAAUUUGUUCACAAGUAUCAUAGAUUAUAAUUCAGUUAUGAAAUAAAAUAACUACAAGGAAAAAUAUGUAACUAAUACUUCCCAUUCAUGACUAUUGUCUGUCAUAUAAACAUGACAUUUAAUUGAAAUAGUAAAAUUAUUUAAUUAUUUUAAUUAAAUGUUAAUCCUAUAAAUUAUUUUUGUUAAAUCUAGCAAGAAUAACUAACAUUUCUUUAAGAUAUAUUUUGGCGGUAAAUUAAAAAAAAUUAAUUAUUUGGCAGGAAUUAUUGAAAUUGGAGCCAUUUUUUUGUGGGAAUUGAAAUAUAUUCUUUAAAUUAUUAUAUAAAAAGCAAAAUGUACAUACACACACAUAUAUAUAAUUUAUAUAUAAAAAUUCUCUAAUUUGUUCACAAGUAUCAUAGAUUAUAAUUCAGUUAUGAAAUAAAAUAACUACAAUAAUUAUAGUUAAAUGAAUACUUCAUUAAUUCUUAAUUUGCUUCCUAACAUUAAAUGAACAACUUGAGCCAACCACCUGAAUCAACCAGUAACAACGCCUGAGUCAACCAUCUGAAAAAACCAGCAACCCUAGCUGAUUCAAGCACCUGCAAUUAACAUCAACACAUCAGGAACAAUCGUAAAUCAGCACCAAGAACAGACCAAACUGCCAUCAAAUGCCACAAAACCAAACAGUCUGCUACUGCCAUCAAAUGCAAGCAAACAUAUGCAACAAAACCAGAUGCAAGUGAAAAUCUGGAGAAUAUCGGAUAAACCAAACCAAAUGCCACACUUCUAGUAAUUAGACUAGAUGCAGUGUUCAAUUAAACUAAAUGUAGUCUCAUAUUACAUUCAAAGGUGAAAACACUGUAAAAAAAAAUACAGCCAAAACAAUUGUUUACUUUUAAGUUCUAACAAAGCGUAACAGUCCAAAACCAAAACAUCUUAACUACCAAGCAAACAUCUAACAUAAUUAUUAAAAUUAAAAAGGAAAAAACAUAGGAAUCUCAGUUCUUAUACAUUUUGUAUGCAUUUAGUAAGCACACGCACAUAGACCAUCUAUGCAUAACCUUCUUCUAGCCCACCUGCAGAUGUCACAGAGAAGAGACAUUUUUUGCAGCUUGAAGUGCUCCAAUUGCUUUGUGAAGGUCCAAUUGUAAGCCUAAAUAUUGAAUCCAUGAGUCCAUAUAAUUGAAGGCUGGUGGCGACUUUUGAGUACAAAUCAAGAGAGAGUGAAGUGUGAAUUUCUGCAUGGCCCAUAACUUCAUCCACGUAGCUAUUCACUUCUUUGCAGUGAAAAGUUCCUUAAUCCUGGCACUAAUGUUGGGCAUCAUUUUGAUUUUUCAAGCCCUUUUAGAACACUUAUUGAUUUAGGAAAUUAAGGGAGCCAUUGAAAGGUGACUAAAACGGAGUGAGUUAGGGGUCCUACCUCUCUGUAGGGCUCUCGAAUCGCGGGAAAUGAGCUCCAUUGUGACCUUCAUUUCCUCCUUUUCGGAAAAAUUAGUUCAUGGCGCUUACGAUGUGAGCAAUUACUCUUUCUGGUGUCCUGAUGGUUGAUAACAGAGACUUUCAGCCUCGCUGCCUCAGGUAAGCUUGAUGGGAGGACCAGAUGUCAUACAAAAAAUAAAAGCUUUCUUUUCUCGGUAAAAGCAUGCGCAUUUUUCUGUAAGUGGGGAAGAGGCCGCGCCGUCAACACUGCAUCGGUGAAGAUGGGUGGUGGUUGUUGGUGGAGAAACGGAGGGAGGUGGCGAUUCUGAGACUUGUUGCGAUUUAGGGUUGGCCGGUUGGGUUUGGGGGAAAUUGGGUAAAGCAAAAUGCAUUUUUGUUGUUAUAUAUAUAUAUAUAUAGAUAUAUAUAUAGUAGUUGGAUUAGCUAAAAGACAAAAAAAUUUAAAUUUUACUACACUACAUGAUAAAAUACAGUGCAUUGGAGUAUGUGUUUAUUUUGUCUUUUAACUAAUCCCUGAUUGGAAAACUACUAUAUAUAUAUAUAUAUAUAUUUUUUUUUUACUUAAUAAAAAAGUGGGCACGGGUCCGGGUUCCGGAUUCUUGGUGCUGUGACCGGACCCGUGCCCGGAUCCGCUUUUUCCAUGCAUCCGAUCCGGGUUUUACCCGGACCGUAUGCACCAGGUCCAGUCCGGAUCCGGUCUGAGCGGGCUUUUCUGCCAUCUCUACAGUGGAGAGAGGGAUUAAUUCAACGCUUAGCCAAAAUUUGGCUGCGAGUGUUAAUGGGUUUUAAGUUAUACAAAACGGUGUCGUUAAUUUAAACGGCAUUGUUUUACAAUCUUAUAAGUUCACAAAACUUAAGCAUGACUUAUAUGUAUAAUUUAUUUACGAUGGUUAAGUUAUAAGUCAUGAAUAUGUCAUAUACUCUGGACAUGAAUAUAUAUCACGAAUCUAUCAUAUUUUCAUGACACAUUCGUGACAUAACGAUAUAUGUUAUAAAAUUUCUGUCAUUAUUUAGUAUUUUUCUAGUAAUGUCAGGUCUUUAAAACCUUUCUAUUAAUAACAAAAACUCUAAUCCUUUAGCAAAAGACUAAAAAUUUUAAAAAAAUCUGUUUAAAUAUCAGUUGGCUCAUAAUCAACACUUCAAUAUUGUUUGUUGUAUUUUCUUUCUUUCUUUUUUUGUCAUUUUAUUAGAUUUGCUUUGUAUCAUGGUUUGUUUUGCUUAAGUAAUUGUUCAUUAUUUACGUCUGUGUUCUUACUAGCUUUUGAUAAUUUAUGGUUGGUUUUUUAUUCAGACCCUCGAAGUACCUUUUUGUUAAUAGCAAAACCUCUGAUCCUCAAGAAAGAAAAAGAAAUUCUCUAUUUAAUUAUUAGUUAGUUCAAGAUCAAUAUCGCAAUAUUGUUUGCAGUCUUUUCAUUCUCUGUCUUUCCCACUAGUUCAUUUUAAUUUAUCUGUAUUCCUUUCUUUGACACUUGUAUUUAUUUAUAUAGAUUGUUAAGCAACAGGCAAUGGCUGCAGAAGGGUGUCUCCCUACUUUUUCUAGCAUUGUAUCACAAGGUUCAAAAGCAUUAUUCAAACCGAUUAUGUGGCACAUAUCUUAUGUGUUCCGAGUACCAGAGCUACAUAGAUGGGCUAAAAGAUUGAGUGAAGGAGCUGGAAUAUAUAAGAGAAAGGGUGCAAAUGCUGGUUAGAGAGGCUACUCUACAAGGAGAUGAGAUUUAUAAGGGUGUCAGAGACUGGCUAAAUAGAGUUGCUGAAUUCAGUGAAGGGGUUGCAAAAUCAAUCAUUGAUGAUAAAGAUAGAGCUAAGAUGUUCUGCUUCAAAAGGUUGUGCCCAAAUUUGAUUUCUUGUUACAAGCUUGGUAAACAAGCAGCAGAGGCCGCAAACGAAGCUGAUAAACUUGUGAAGAAAGGCGAAUUUAACAUUUGUAAUCAUGUUUCCUACCGUCCUGCUCCAGAGAGUACAGAAUAUGUGCAAGUGAAAGAUUACGUAGCCUUUUAUUAUAAUAUCUUUUCACUCUAUUAACUUAAAAAAGAUUGACUUCAAUAUUAAAAAUGUAACAGUAUAUACAUUUUAUAAUAAUUUCAAUAUUUAAAAAAUAUUUGAAUACUUUACAAUCUUAUAUUAUAUUAAACUACAUUUUAUAAUAAAUAGAAACAUAAUAUUAAAAUAAAUAUAUAAAAUUUUAAGUUAGGCUUAAUAUUAUUUAAAAUAAUUUAAAUAUCAUUAAUACAUGAGAUAUAUUAUAUUAAUUAUAAAUUCUAUUUAAUCUAAAUAUAUAUUUAAAGUUUUAUACUAAAAAUAGAUAUAUUAUUAAAAUAAAUAUAACAACUAACAUUUUAAAGAUUAAUACUGAAAUUAAAAUUAUAAAUUAUAUUAAUCUACUAAAAAGAUUCAUCUAUUUGACACUAGCAGCGGACAAUGAGGUCACGGCAUAGGACAAGCAGUUAUCGUGACCCAUGGACUUUUCUACUUCUUUUGAAAAAAAAAAAAAUAUCAAAGUCAUUGAAGUGCGUUUGAUGAUAUGCUGUGUAGCUUCUCUCUCAAAUGCUUUUCGAGUGCCUCCAGUAUCUGCUUUUAUAUAAGCUUUUGUCUUUAAUCAUUCAUUCAAGCUUUCGCUAAGAGUGAUGCAGCACAGCACGUAAAUAUAGAAGCAUUGACAGCCGUAGUCAGGAGCUCUUCGGUAUUUGAAGCAAGAAUGGUUGUUUGGCUUUGUGCAUUGAAAGAGAAAAGAAAAAAGAAAGACUAAUUUCAAUAAUACAAUUUAAUUAAUUAAUUUAAAAUAAUAAGCAAAUAAUAAUGAUGAAAUUAAUUAAUAAAAAGAAGAAAAUGAAAAUUGCACGUGCUACUAGCAUAAACCAAUUGCCGGAAUGAGGUCACUUUGUAGACAAAUGAUUCUGGAAUCAGAACUUGGGCCAGCUUUGGGUUAUGGAUCCAAAAUAAAAAUAAGGUGGGCCACAUGGUCUCUUAUGAUCAAUAAAAAUCGAUUGAAAAGGAUGGUAUAGUGAGUGGAAGAGAAAUGCCGAUGGCAGAUCAAGGGAUGAAGAUACGAGCUCACUUGCAACGUGGUAUAGUUCAUCAUGGCUGGCUUUCCUAUAAGUUCAGGUCCUUUGAAUACUUUCAAUGACCUUAUUAGUCAGGAAUUUAACAAUAAUUUUUAUUUUUUACAUCCAGGAACGGUUUUAAGCAUAGGCAAAUUAGGCCUAUAAUAGCAAAUCCUCUUUUUUAACAAUUAAACAAUUAGGAAGUCUCCCUUUUUUAUUUUUGGUAUUACUUAUAAUAGCAAAUCUUCUUUUUUAGGCCUCUUUUUAGUUAGUAAUUAUCUUAUAAUUAAGAAUUUUUAUACACAUUCUAUCUUUGAUAACCUUAAUAUUAAAGAUCUCUAAUUAAUAGUAUUAUCUAAUUGUUAAUUUAUUAUUAGUUUUUCCAAGAAAAAAAUUAAAAUCUUUAUCUAUUUAAUACUUCAGUUUUUUUUUCGUCAGUGGCAGAUAAAAGAGUCGGUUUUUCCGUUACUAAGCUUUUUAUGGAUGAAUUUUUUUUUAUAAUUUCUUUGUUUUAUAGGUUCUCUGUGAAUGCCAUUAGAAAUGAGAUUGACUAAUUCAAACUUCCUUUUUCCCCUUAGCAUCCAAACGUGUGAGGCAAGGGCAACUAAUGAGUCCAUUGUGAUGAGAACCUUUGUCUAAGCAAAAGCAGAGGUCAAUUGCUAAUACCGUACUGUUAUUAGUUUCAGUGCUUAAAUUGCUCCAUAAGUUUGCAUUUUAAAGUCUCUGUCUUAAUUUCUGAGGUAUACUGCUAAUGAGACCUCCUGCCAAGUUCAAGUUUGUUGUGAUGGCUACUUUGUCAUAUAACUGACUGUGAGAGGCCAUCAAUCAGCUCUGUUUUGUAAUUUUGUACCUUUUUUUUUCAUAUAAUGAUCAAUCAAAUGUUAGCCCUUAGAUUGCAACCAAUAUUUACUGAUUGUCUUAUAUAGGAUAUAAACUAAAUUCAUAAGACAUUCCCUUAUUGAUAUUCAUUCCGACACGUCCUAGUCUUUUGCCUUGUAGAAAUGCUUGUGGUUGAAGAGCUUUACAGAGAAGCUGUCGUCAGUACUGCGCGGAAAUUGAUUAUAUUGAAUCAGAAAACUUGACCAGAUAAGGUCUGUGUGCAUGAGAAUACUUGAGGAAAGCUUCACAAUACUGAGGGCCGGAUCUGCACUCUUUCCUCUAUAUGUGUCUUCAAUAUCAAUGGCUCAAAUACAUGUGUUAUGGUCUUUUAAUAUAUAUAAAAUACCAUUAUCUCAUGCGUUAUGGUCUUAUCCUUGUAUUCUUAAAAACUACAUAAAAUACCGUUAUCUCUGCUUUUGUAGCUAUUGAAUUCGACUUUCACAACAUAAAUAUUUAUUAGCAACAACUUAAAAUCCAAACAAAUCUAACAUGCAAUGUAUCAAUUACAUAUUAUGAUUAAACAGAUUUUGAUUAUUUAUUAUUAAAAUAUAUUCUCAUUAAUAUCUUAAGGAUAGGUAAUACUCACAUAAUUUUUUUAAAAAUCAAACCCAAAUUAUAUGCAUUGUUAAUGUGUAUUAUUGUCUAAUAUUUGGAUUUUACUAAUUUACAACUGCUAUAAUGUACGGCCUCUUCAAACAUAAUGUGGGUCCCACCACGUGUUAAAUUUUUUACAUUAUUUUUGAAGGAAUUGUAAGUUACAGCAGCUGUAAAUUAGCAGCACCUCCAAUAUUUUACUUUACUUCCCCUAAUAUUUUACUUGUACUUUUAUAUCUUUACAAAACAAUACCAACAAGACAAUAAUGUAUGAAAUAAAUAAAAUAAAUAAAUAAAGAACUGACAACGAAAUUAGGCCUAUCAUUAAUUUCUCUUGGUGUGAACUCUUGACAAUUCUCCCAUAUCCCACCUAAAGCUCUCGCAUGGUGUGAACGCUUGACGAUUCUCCCAUAUCCCUCCAAAAAUUUGUCAUAUUGCGAAAAACAAUGUCAAUUCAAUAUCGUCUCCAUUAGUCAUAGUGGCAGAUAGGACUAGAAUUUGUUGAAACCCUUGGACUUAUUUUUCCUUUUGAAAAUAAUUUUGUAGAAUCUCAUAUCGUGAAUAACGGACAAUGAGACUCUUUUUUUUAACUAUAAUAUUUUUUUAAAAUUAUUAACUAAAAAAAUUAAUUUUAAUAUUUUAUAAUAAAUAUAAGUAGGAUAUUAAAAUAAAUAUAAUAAUAUAUACAUAUUAAAAUAAUUUCAAUACCAAAAAAUAUUUUAAUAGUUUACAAUCUCGUAUUCUAUUAAACCAAAUUAUAAUAAAUAGAGACAUAAUAUUAAAAUAAAUAUAUAAAAUUUUAAAUUAUUUUCAAUAUCAUAUAAAAUAACUUUAAUAUUAUUAAAACGUGAGAAAUAUUAUAUUAAUUAUAAAAACUAUUUAACCCAAGGAUUUGUUUAAAAUUUUUAUAAUAAAUAUAUUAAAUUACAUUUUAAAAAUUAAGUAUUUAAAUUAUACAUACUAGUCUACUAGAAAAUUUAAACUAUUUAAAUCAUAUUUACAUUUAGUAAAAAAUUUUGAAGUCAUUUUUUUUUUUGUGAAUACCAUAAGAGUGCUAUAGUCAAAAAGGGUAUUGGUGUUCUUUAUUAAAAGUUUGGGGUCUACAUGACUAUUUUCUAAAAUUUUAAGGGUGUCAUUUUAUUUUUGAAAAAAAUAAAAAUUUCAUUUAAACAGCUAAAAUGGUGAAUAGUACAAUGCUACAGUGGGCGUAAAUGGAAGGUAAAAAGCAAUCAGAUUUUGAUUAAACAUGCAAUGUAUGAAAUAUAUAUUAUAAUUAUACAGAUUUUGAUUAUUUAAUAUUAAAUUAUAUUCACAUUAAUAUCUUAAGGAUAGUUAAUACUCAAAUAAUUUUUCAAAAAAUCAAACCCAAAUUAUAUGCAUUGUUAAUGUGCGUUAUUGUCUAAUAUUUGGAUUUUGCUAUGUCACAACUACUGUAACUUAAAGCCUCUUCAAACAUAUGUCGAUCCCACCACGUGUUAAAUUUUUUACAUUAUUUUUUAAGGGAUUGUAAGUUACAACAGCUUAACUUAGCAGCACCCUAAUAGUUUAUUUUACUUUUAUAUCUUUACAAAACAAUGCCAACAAGACAACAAUGUAUGAAAUAAAUAAAAUAAAUAAACAAAGAUCUGACAGCAAAAUUAUGGCUAUCAUUGGUUUCUUGUGGUGUGAACUCUUGACAAUCCUCCCCAAUCCCAUCCAAAACUCCCGCGUAGUGUGAACAUUUGACGAUUCUCCCAUAUCCCUCCAAAAAUUUGUCAUAUUGCGAAAAGUAAUGUCAAUUGCAAUGUCGUUUUCAUUAGUCAUAGUGGCAAAUAGGACUAGAAUUUAUUGAAACCCCUCGACUUAUUUUUCCUUUUGAAAAUAAUUUUGUAGAACCUCAUAUCGUGAAUAAAAGACAAUAAGACUCUUUUUUUUAAUUAUAAUAUUUUUUAAAUUUAUUAACUAAAAAAAUUAAUUUUAAUAUUUUAUAAUAAAUAUAAGUAGGAUAUUAAAAUAAAUAUAAUAAUAUGUACAUAUUAAAAUAAUUUCAAUACCUAAAAAUAUUUUAAUAUUUUACAAUCUCGUAUUCUAUUAAACCAAAUUAUAAUAAAUAGAGACAUAAUAUUCAAAUAAAUAUAUAAAAUUUUUAAUUAUUUUCAAUAUCAUAUAAAAUAAUUUUAAUAUUAUUAAAACAUGAGAAAUAUUAUAUUAAUUAUAAAAUCCAUUUAACCCAAGGAUUUGUUUAAAAUUUUUAUAAUAAAUAUAUUAUUAAAAUAAAUAUAUUAAAUUACAUUUUAAAAAUUAAUUAUUUAAAUUAUACAUACUAGUCUACUAGAAAAUUUAAACUAUUUAAAUCAUAUAUACAUUUAGUAAAAAAUUUUGAAGUCAUUUUUUUUUUGUGGCUACCAUAAGAGUACUAUAGUCAAAAAGGGUAUUGGUGUUCUUUAUUAAAAUUUUGGGGUCUACAUGAUUAUUUUCUAAAAUUUUAAGGGUGUCAUUUUAUUUUUGGAAAAAAAAAUUCAUUUAAACAGCUAAAAUGGUAAAUAGUACAAUGCUACAAUGGCGUAAAUGGAAUGUAAAAAGCAAUCAAAAUGACCAACAGUCUAACGCCUCAUCAGGGACAUAAAGUCAAAGUUUGUUGCAUGUGGUCAGGGCCAUUUAGUCUGUGAGUGGGUCCUGCAUGUCAUUUUUGGGCAUUUCAUCUUCUUUAGCAUUGAAGAUUAAAUGUUGACGACAUUUUCAAAAUUUUGGAAGACCCAUUAUACUUUUGGAUGGCUGUCAUUACUUGAUAUUAUCAUUAUAUGAUGAAAUAAAAUUGGAUGUAACACUUGUUUCGCGUUGUGGGAACUUUUGACAAUUCCCCAUAUCUCCUAAAAAUCUUUCGCCAUUUUGGGAAGAUGCCAUUUAUUUUCAUUUUCAUCAUUGAUAUUGGCAGAUAAUGGGGUCCGAGGACAGACCAUAAAUUAUUGCGACCCAUGGACUUUUCUAAUUUUUUUUUUUCCUUUGGAUAGUUUUCGUUAUUUGAUAGAAGGAGAUAGAGAUAAAGUUUUUUAAUCAAAUGCCCAUUUUAUUUAACAUGGAAGAAGAUCUUUAAACUCUAAGCGAGGCUAUCACUUCAACAGAUGCAGCUUCAAAAAAGAGGUAACAAGUGAUGAGAUAGACUCAUUAUUGUCUAAUCAAACAAGGACAUCGGUAGAUGUAUCAGGAUCUUAAGUUAGAUUGGAAUUUGAUACAUUGUUGUUCGUAACGUUGGUUCAAACCUUUAAAGCAAGGUUGGAUGCAAAAUGGUUUACACCAAAGACGUGAUUUAGGAAGUUAAUUAACGUUAUUUUAGAUAAUUUAUAAUUCUAAAAUAUUUAUUAUUUUAUGGUUUUCUAUUUUUGUUUGAGUCAAUUAUGGUAUGUAUCUUAAUCUUUUAUUUCCAUUAUAAUUAUAAUUUAAAUUUUCUUUUUAGGUUAACUUAGGAAAGUGGAUUUCUUUUAUUAUAAAUAAAGAUGUCUGUAAUAAAAAAAAUAAAGAUGUCUUGUCAUUGUUUUCAGGACUUCAAAUUCAAUUAUUAAAUAAAACUCUUUUUUUUAUAAUUUCCUCUAGUAUUAUUUAUCAAAAUCUCUCUUAUAGAGUUAUUUAAAUUAGAGUGUCAUCUAAUCUCGUAUUACGCGUUAUUAAAAAUCUCAUUGAAUCAUUUAGAUUAAAACAAUAUCUAAUCACGCUUUGAUUAAAGCGUAAGUUAAUUGUGUUGGCUUGAUCCAGUACUAGAAUGAUAUUUAGUAUUUCUUACCUUAUCAAUUCCACUUCCGCUACGCUCGCUCCAUCAAUUGGUAUCAAAGCAAUUCUGUGCGAAUCACACAUCUUUCCUAGAUACACCAUACCCAUCCAAACCAAAUCCAUCAAAAAAAAAAAUUACAAAUUUGAAAACCCUACCCGUCAGACCAACCCCCACCGCCGCCCACCACCGCCAAUCAGCCAGCCAACACCACCACAAACCUCACUAGCCACCGUCGACCAAGCCUCAGUCAUCGCUGCCUCAACCGCCGCUUGAACAGCCGCAAAUCACCAACCCAAACCUGCGGCUCCACCAAGCAACCCACCACCAUUCAGCCACUUUCUCCACCAGCCACCUCCACCAACAAACUCGCCGGCCUUCGUUGACCAAAAACUGACCGACUUCGGCCCUUGAUCGCCGCCCUCUGUCACCACACGAAACGACAACCCACGAGUGCUUCCUACACGCGCCGCCACCAAAACACCUUCUUUUUCCGUCAAUUUACACCACCACCAUAAUCCCUAGCAGUCGGCAACCGUAAAUCCAGUCUUCCGCCACUGUAAAGCCGCCAUAAACCAAAAGCCACAUCACCAAAAUCAACCGCCAAUUCAAGUCGGAUUUUCCCCAAUUCAGGUUGCUGAAUAUAAAAAGGACUCAUGAAAAUUACCUAAAGUUUCAAAUAUUGUUAUUCAGCAACCACUUUUAUGGUACAUUAGUUUCAACCCAAAUUUUAUAUAAAUAAUUUAUAACUCCCAUUAUUAUUAUAAAAAAAAAUUGUAGCAAUUGUGGUUAUAUCACAUGAAAAAAAAAAUCUAAUUAAAGAAAUUAACAUUAUAAUUUAAGGGAUAGUUGCUCUUUUAAUCAUUAGAAUUUAUGUCAAUUAUCCAGCUUAUCCUUGCAUUCUUAAAAACUAUAUACAAUACCAUUAUCUCUGCUUUUGUAGCUAUUGAAUUUGACUUUGACAACAUAAAUAUUUAUUAGCAACAACUUAAAAUUCAAACAAAUCUAAUAUGUAAUGUAUGAAAUACAAAUAAUAAUUAAACAAAUUUUGAUUAUUUAAUAUUAAGAUAUAAUCACAUUAAUAUCAUAAGGAUAGGUGGUACUCAAAUAAUCUUUUAAAAAUCAAACCCAAAUUAUAUGCAUUAUUAAUAUGCAUUAUUGUAUAAUAUUUAGAUUUUGUUAAGUUACAACUACUAUAACUUAAGUCUCUUAAAAAAUAUGUGAGUCCCACCACCUAUUAAAUUUUUUACAUUAUUUUUGAAAAAAUUACAAGUUACAUCAGUUGUAACUUAACAGCACCCCUAGUAUUUUACUUUACUUUUAUACCUUUACAAGAACAAUAAUGUAUGAAAUAAAAAAAAUAAAUAAAUAAAGAACUGACAACGAAAUUAGACCUAUCAUUAGUUUCUUGUGGUGUGAACUCUUGACAAUCCUCCCCUAUCCCACCUAAAGCUCUCGCGUGGUGUGAAUGUUUGACAAUUCUCCCAUAUCCCUCCAUAAUAUGUCAUAUUGCGAAAAGCAAUGUCAAUUGCAAUGCCGUUUCCCAUUAGUCAUAGUGAUAGAUAGGACCAGAAUUUUUUGAAACCCCCGAGGCCCUAAACUUGUUUUUCCUUUUGAAAAUAAGAAAAUGGCACCUGUCUAGAGAAAUAAUUUAUUAGAACCUUAUAUCAUGAAUAACGGCCAAUAAGACUUUUUUUAAAUUAUAAUAUUUUUAAAUUUAUUAACUAAAAAAAUUAACUCUAAUAAUUUAUGAUAAAUAUAAAUAGGAUAUUAAAAUAAAUAUAAUAAUAUAUAGAUAUUAAAAUAAUUUCAAUAUCUAAAAUAUUAAUAUUUUACAAUCUCGUAUUCUAUUAAACCAAAUUAUAAUAAAUAGAGACAUAAUAUUCAAAUAAAUAUAUAAAAAUUUAGGUUAUUUUCAAUGUCAUAUAAAAUAGUUUUAAUAUUAUUAAUACCUGAGAAAUAUUAUAUUAAUUGUAAAAUCUAUUUAACCUAAGGAUUUAGUUAAAAUUUUAAAAUAAUUACAAAUAUUUUAUAAGUACAAAUAAAUUAAUUUACAUUUUAAAAAUUAAUAUUGAAAUUAAUUAUUUAAAUUAUAUAUAUUAGUCUUCUGGAAAAUUUAAAUUAUUUAAAUCAUAUUUACAUUUCGUAAAAAAUUUUAAGUCAAUUUGUUUGAUUACCACCUGCUAAGGGUAUUGUAGUCAAGGGGAAUAUUGGUAUUCUUUAUUAAAAAUUUGGGAUCUACAUGAUUAUUUUUCUAAAUUUUAAUGGUGUCAUUUUAUUUUUGACAAAAAUAAAAUUUCAUUUAAACAACUAAAAUGAUGAAUAAUACAGUGCUACAGUGGCGCAAGUGGAAGGUAGGAAACAAUCAAAAUGAACAGUCUAACGUCACAGCAGGCAUAUAAGGCCAAAGUUUGUUACAUCCCAAUACAAAAAGUUUGAAACUUUGCACCUUCUGAAAUGAAACAAACUUACUUGGAUAUUGGUGAUCAGUGAGAAAAGCCCUUUUUCAAAAGCAACCUUAGGGUACCGAGUGUUACAGAUUCAAUGAACCACAAAUACUUAUUUACAUUGUAGUAUCUCAAAGGCACCGAUUUCUUCUGAUCCGUUAAGGAAAACAAGAAAAAUAAAAAGAAAAGAAAAAGGGUACUUGUGCCACACAACCUUGACGCCUAGCUACAUGGUACAUUCUCUUUGUGUGUUUGAACCAAUUAACAAUAAUGGUGCCUUUACUUCUUGGACUGGAGAAUCGAAAUCCGAAAUCGAAAUCAUUAAUGAUGUUUACUUCAUAAAAUGGAGGCUGGGAUCCGAAUCAGAACUAUGGGGACCACCCAAAUUAGGAGUGAGGAAUGGAAGAUUGAUUCCUAAGGAAGGUGGUGGGAAUCAAUCCCCCAUUCCCAAGAUUGAUCAUUUUGCCCCCUCUCACAAACUAUAAAAUAUCUAUUUUGUCCUCAAUUAAAAAAUUAUUAUGAUUAAUUAAUAUAUGUUUAUAAUUUAUUAAUAUAACUAUUCUAAUCAAUUUAUAUAUAUUUUAAAUAUAUUAUUAUUAAAUAAUUAAUAUAUUAUUAUAAUUAAUUAAUAUAUUUUGAAUUUUUAUUAUUAUCGUCAUCAUCAUCAUUAUUAUUGUUAUGAAUGAUAAAUUUUUUUACAAUUAAUUAGUAUAUUAAUAUAUUAUUGACAAUAAUUAAUAAUAAUAAUAAUUUUUGAAUAAAUAAAUAAAUAAAAUUAAUUACUGAAUUUGAACAUUUUACAAUUAUUCUAUUAUUUGGACUUAUCGAGAACUUACAUGCAGCGUAGCUAGUUUGCUAGCAUAUGUAAGGUUUAAUUUGAAUGCAUGCAGCAUUGAGAAGAGACAACGCAGAAACAAAAUUUCCGCUUGCAAUCUUUUCAUUUCCCUUUUUAAUAACAAGCAAAAUAGAGGAUAAACAGGGACUUUGUUUUAAUUCUCCUGUUUUUCUGUUUGGUGAUUUUAAAAUUUUAUGUCUAUAUUUAUCAAAAAAAGUUAUCCAAAAUUAUUAUCUAUUUUUGAUACACGUUGAUUUAUUAAAAAAAAAUUAAAAACUUCAUUUCUAAAUUUAUCGUUGUGCUUUGACCUUGGGGUGGUUUUUUUCUGUUUUUUUACGUAGGCCAGAACCUUAAUGAAGAAAGUUUUCAUCGUUAAUUGCUUUUGACCUAGGAGAAUUUAUUCUUGGACAAAUUAACACCUUUGUCUUUUGAUGCGGCUCCUAGAUAUCUAUGCAAUUUGUGUCAUUUACUUUUGCUUUGUAUUCUUUUUUAAAUGAGUCCCGAUUGGUUCAUUUGCAGAUAAAUGAGUCAGUUUUUCUGUUUUUAUUUUUUGAAAGACGGUUUUUCUGUUACGAAGCUUUUCAUGGAUGAAUAUUUUUUUUUUAAUUUUAUAGAUUCUCUGCGAGUUUUGUUAGGUAGAAGGGUAUUUAAGUAUUUUCAUUUCAUAUUUUGACAUUUCCUUGACCUUUGAAGUAUUGAAUCAUUGUGCAGGUAUUUAAGUAAAUCUGCCCACAAUGAAGAAUAGUUCAGAACAGUUGCGGAAGAUAAAUGGCUCAAAUAUAUGCGUUAUGAUCUUUUAAUAUUUCGCCUCUGAUAUUGUCCACAUUGCUUACUGCAAUAGAUAAAGCACUUCGUUUACCCCAAAUCCUGAUAGGGAAGUAUAAAUAUGUGCUUCCGAAAUAGUGCAACUCUCCAUAAUUAUUUAAUAUGCCUCUCAAUGAAGCAAUCACCUUCAUUUACAAUUCUUCGAUUAUUAAUCCUACAUACACGUGUUUCUUUUGUCUCUAAAAGUAUCCUCAAUUAAUUUACAUAAUUUAAUAUAAUAAGUACCUAAGACUAGACAAAUUAUCAUUAUAAUAGUAUUGACACAAUAAUGUCAAUAAUAAAUGCCUUAACAAACCUAUAAAUUUUAGAAUAUGGCUCAGAGUGCUACAAUGAACCACAACAAGUUAUUAUAUUGUCUAUAAUCAAUAUUCCAAUGGUAAUAGAGUUUUUUUAUUUUCAAUCCGCUGCUUUUCUGUUUAGCGAUUGCCAAAUUUUAUAUCUAAAAUUCUUCUAAUUUUAUAUCUAAAAUUCUUCUAAUUUUACACUAAGGUUUAUUUUUUCAAAAAAGGGGGGGGGGGGGGGGGGGGGGGGGGGCAGGAGAGAGAGACUUAGAGAGUAUUAAAAAAUGUAAUUCUAAAUUUUUACUUGAGUGUUGUGUGAUUUUGAUCAUUUUUUUAAAGUUGGCCAUUUAUAUUGAAUAAAUAAAAUAACGAAUAGACGUUUGGACCACUUCUUUUCUGUUAUAAUAAAACAUGAGAUGUCUUCUCUUGAUGUUUUCGUCACAAAAGAAUAUGUUUAAUUAUGUCAUCAUAGGCUUAAAUGGGAUGCCUUUUCUGUUAUAAGAUCGAGAACAAGUUUGUUUAAGCACUAGAGCCGCUAAAUAAAAGAAAGGCUCAUAUAAAAAUUACCUAAAGCACCAAAUAUUGUUAUUCAGCUACUUCUUUUAUGUUACAUUAGUUUCUACGCAAAUUUAUAUAAAUAAUUUAUAACUCCCAUCAUUAUUUAAAAAAUAAAAACCAUAGCAAUUGUGGUUAUAUCAUGUGGUGUGAUCUUUUGACAAUCCUCCCACAUCCCACCAAAAACUCUCACAUGGCGUGAACUUUUGACAAUUCUUCCAUAUCCCACCAAAAAUUUGUCAUGUUGCGAAAGGCAAUGUCAAUUGUAUUGUCAUUUCCAUUAGUUAUAGUGGCAGACAAUGUAGUCCCGGGAUAAGACUAGAAGUUUUUGAAACCCAUGGACUUAUUCUUACUUUAUUUUUUCUUUUGAAAAUGAGAAAAGGACACCCGUUUCGGGAAAUAAUUUUGUAGAAUCUCAUAUCGUGAAUAAGAGAUAAUAAGACUUUUCUUUUUUACUUUACUGCAAUACUCUUUAAUUUUAUUAAUUUUAUAUUUUAUAAUAAAUAUAAAUAUGAUACUAAAAUAAAUGUAAUGAUAUAUACAUAUUAAAAUAAUUGGAUAUUGAAAAAUAUUUUAAUAUUUUACAAUCCCGUAUAAUAUUAAACCAUAUUAUAAUAAAUAGACAUAAUAUUAAUAUAUAUAUAAGUUUAAAUUAUUUUGAAUAUCAUAUAAAAUAAUUUUAAUAUUAUUAAUAAAUCAGAAGUAUUACAUUAAUUGUAAAAUCUAUUUAAUCCAAGGAUUUAUUUAAAAUUUUUAUAAUAAAUUAAAAAUAUAUUGGUUAACAUUUUAACAAUUAAUAAUGAAAUUAAUUAUUUAAGUUAUAUAUAUUAGUCUACUAGAAAAAUUUAAACUACUUCAAUCAGAUUUACAUUUAAUGAAAAAAUUUGAAGUUAAUUUUCUUUUUAUCAUCUACUACGAAUCUUGUAGUUAAAAGAGGUAUUGACAUUCUUUAUUAAAAAUUUGAGGUCUACAUAACUAUUUUUUUUUUUAUUUUAAGGGUGUCAUUUUAUUUUUGACAAAAAUAAAAUUUCAUUUAAAUGGCUAAAAUGGUGAAUAAUACAAUGUUACAGCUGGCGUAAAUGGAAGGUAGGAAACAAUCAAAAUGACCAACAGUCUAAUGCCACAGCAAGGACAUGAGGUCAAAAAAUUCCCUUAUUAAUUAGUAAAAGAGAGUCACUUGGGCUUAUGGCGGGCAAAAUCGGAUAUAGAUCAGAUUCAAAUUAAUCCGAUAAAUUUGAUAUUGUUUGCAUUGAUAAAAAAAGUCACCCAAAUGCAAUCUAAACAUGUGUGUGUGUGUAUACAUAUUUGUUAUAAAUUAAAGUUACAAAAGUCUUUAACCAAGGCCAUUCAUAGUAAGUUUCAAAUUUUUAGGUUAAUAUCUGUAACUUCAUCAUGCUGGCCAUAAAUAAAGCUUGCAGGUCUAGGCGGGAUUGACUCGAGUUUUUUUGCCAAUCCUACGCAUGACGGGCGGUGUUAGGAAUAAUAUCCUGCAUCAAUUGAGUAUUGAACUUGGGUUCAGCAUAUAAGAUUUGGACAACUCUUAACUCUUGAGCUAACUUACUAAGUUUUGGAUUGAGUUAAGCAUGUAUGCUUCAAUAUCACAAAUUAGUCUUUCGUUACCAUUACUUAUUUUUUCUAUUGUUUAAUCCUAACACAAUAAAUGACCUUUCAUCCCAAAAGAACUAAAGUAAUCAUUUUAGACGAAUUAAGACACCAUAAAGUAAAUCUGCACACUAUGAAAAAUACUUUGGAACAGUUAAGGAAGCGUGAGAAUACUUGGGGAAAGCUUCAUAAUUGUUACGGCCGGAUCUACACUCUUUCCUCUAUAUGCAAUAAAUAUAUGCGUUAAUGAUCUCUCAAUAUUUUGCAUCCGAUAUUGCCCACAUCGCUUACCACAAUAUAUUCACUUUAUAAACAAAGUUUACAACCCAAAUACUAAUAGAGAAUAUAAAUAUGUACUUGUCAAUGAAGCAAUCACCUUUAUUUAGAAAUUUUUUAUUAUUAAUCCUACGUACACACACCUCUUUUGUCUCCAAAAAUAUUCUUAAUUAAUCCACACAAUUUAAUACAAUAAAUACCUAAGAUUACACAAAUUUUCAUUACAAUAGAAUAUAUAAUUUAUAAUAUUAUUGAUACAAUGAUGCCAAUAAUAAAAAUCCUAUAAACCUUACAAAUUUUAGAAAAUGGCUUAGAGUGUGACAGGUUGAAUGAACCACAACAAAUCAUUUACAUUAUAGUAUCUAUGAUCAAUAUUCUAAUGAUAAUAGGGCUCCUCCAUUUUCAUUUCCCUACAUUUUCUGUUUGGUGAUUGUCAAAUUUUAUGUCUAAAAUUUUUCUAAUUUUACAGUGAGGUUUAUUUUUUAAAGAGAGAGAGAGAGAGACUCAAAGAGAAUUAAAAAAAAUGUAAUUCUAAAAUUUUACUUGUGCAUUUUGUGAUUUUUACCAUUUUUUAAGUUGGCAAUUUGUAUUGAAUAAAUAAAAUAAUAAAUAGACUUAUGGACCACUUUUUUCUGUUAUAAUAAAAAUCAGAGGUCCUUUCUUGAUGUUUUCUUUCCAUAUGAAUAAAUUAGAAUUUUAUUGGUACAGUAAUGUCAAUAAUAAAAUUCCUAACAAACAUACAAAUUUUAGAAUAUGGAUUAAAGUGUUACAAGUUGAGUGGAUCACAACAAGUUAUUUAUAUUGUAGUGUCUAUGAUCAGUAUUUCAAUGAUAUCAAGGGUCCUCUAUUUUCUUUCCCUUGCAAUUUUUGUUUGGUCAUCGCCAAAGUUUAUAUCUAAAAUUUUUCUAAUUUUACACUGACAUUUAUUUUUUUUUUAAAAAAAAGAGAAAGAGAGACACGGAGAGAACUAAAAAAUGUAAAUCUAAAUUUUUGCUUGUGCGUUAUGUGAUUUUUAUCAUUUUUUAAGUUGGCCAUUUGUAUUGAAUAAAAAAAGUAAUAAAUAGACUUAUGGACCACUUGUUUUUUUAUUAUAAUAAAACAUUUUCUUCUCCUGAUGUUUUUCAUCUCACAGGAAUAUAUUUAUCUCAUCGUGGGCCCAAAUGGGGUAAAUAAAUUGGGAUCAAGGACAAGUCUGUUUAAGUGUUGAAAUUGCAAGAAGACCUCAUAAAAAAAAUUGCCUAAAGCCCCAUUAUUGUUAUUCAACUAUUACUUUCAUGACACUUACACAAAUAAUUUAUAACUCCAUCUUUAUUUAGGGAAAAAACUGUAGCAAUUGUUGUUAUAUCACAGGAACAAAUUCCAAUUAAAAAUAUAAUAAGAAUUAAUUGCAAAUUUUGUAAUAAAUAUCAAUAUAAUUUAAUAGUUUAAUUUUUUUUGGUAGAGUAAUAUAAUUUAAAAAAUUAAUAUUUAAAAAAAUAAUAUCAGUAUUACUUUUUAAAAUGCAAAUUAUUAAAAUUAUAUUAAUAAUGUAUUUUUAUUUAUUAUAAAAUUUAUUUUAAUAAAAUCUUAAAUUUUUUUAAAUAUUUGUAUAUAUUGUUAUAUGUUAUUAUAAUAUUAUAUUUAUAUUUAUUAAAAUAUAAGAGUUAAUAUUUUUAAAUUAAUAAAGACAAAAAGUAUUAUAAUAAAAAAGAAUUCUUUUAUUAAAAAUAUAAUCAUUCUCCCAAACUUAUCCUUGUCCCUUUUUGAAAGGAAAAAAUAAAUUAGAAAAGUCUAUGGUCAUGAUAACUUCUAGCCUUGUCCCGUGGGACAUGGCUACGGUGCAGAAGCUGAAAGUAACAGCUUCGAACUUUCCCAUUUCCAUCACCUUGUUGAUGGUUGUUGAAGCCAAUAAAAAUAAAUUCCUACUCUAAAUAAAUUGUGUAUAGUGAUUGAGCAGGGUCGUGUCCACAGAGAUCGGUAAUUAUUUAAAUUCUUUUGAAACGUAAAACGUAAAAUGGGAGAAUUGUUGACAAUAAUAAAAAAUCAAAUUAAAAUAACAAAAAUGCAAAUUAAAGUUGUAAUUCAAAUUGGAGAAAGCUUUGGUUGAAGGAAUUAACUCAGUUUGAUUCGACUACUGAUCAUUGAUUCAAAAAUAGAUUAUUAUUACUUAUGAAUAAACUGGUUAUAGCUAUUGAGACCCUCUAAUAGCCAAUCUCUCCUUAACUAGUCGAUAACCAAGGUACGACUAUUGGAUAUUUCCCUAAUCAAUAGACAACCCUAGAUACGAUCAUAGGAUUUAAUCAAUUGACAGCCUGAAAAACCAGAGCGACCCAAAUCCUAAUCAACACAUAUGAUGAUUCAUUUAAAUUAGAUUGUUUAUUCCCAUAACACAACUCACUGCUAUGUUAUUUGUCACAAACAUUAAACUCGUCAUACGAUGAAUUCUUUAAUUGACAAUAGAUUAAGUUGAUAAUUAAAUAGUGGCCAAUUACCUAAUUAACAAACAUAAUCAUGAAACUAAUUCAGAGAAUAAACAAAUACCCAAAAAGUAAUAAAACAAUUAAAGCAUAAGAAAGAUCUCACAGUAGUGAUGAAUCAAAAAUUCAUUAACCUUCAACUAGAAAAAAUAAGUUUAGUUUUUCAUAGAGAGAAGAGAAAAAUUAGAUCUAGGGUUUCUUUCUUUUUCUCCAAUUAAAAUCCCCCCUUUUUCACAAUAGAUUCCUCCCUUAAAUACUCUCUCUCUCUUCUCUUUUAAAGUUCUAUUUAAAAUAAAAUAAUAAUAUUUGAAAUAUUAAAUUCGUAAUUACAAAAAUAGCCAAAAAUACAAAACACAUUAAACUAAAAACUGCAGGUCCGCAGUUGACAGCACGCGCCCACGCCUUAUCUAUAAAGUUCUUCUGACGCUCUAAAUUUCUCCAAGAGAACAAUCAUCUUUAAACAUCAUCUUAUACCUCAAUUCUAUCACAAAUCAAUAGAAUUGCACUUACAAAAGUAAAACACAAGUAAAUCAUUAUUAUUAAAUGCAAAACAUCGAUAUUAAGGGAAGUAAACAAUGCAAAACUAGUGUAUAAAUUGUACUCUAACACUUGUAUUGGGACCUCUUUCUCUCUCCUAUAGCCCCCAUGGAAGUUCCCCAUUGGCUGCUGUUACUUACAGAAGCCGUAACAUAGACUUCUAGCCAUGUCCCGUGAUGUCCAUUGUCUGCCACUAUGAAUAAUGGCAAUGACAUUGCAAUUGAAACAUUGAAAAGGUAUUUUCGCAAUAUGACAAAGCUUUUGUUAGGAUAUGGGAGGAUUGUCAAAAGUUCACACCACUUGAAACUAGAAUUAGAUCUAAUUUCAUUUAUUUCAUAAAUUAGAAAAGUCUAUGGUCGUGAUAACUUCUAGCCGUGUCCCGUGAUGUCCAUUGUCUGCCACUAUGAAUAAUGGAAAUGACAUUACUAUAAUAAAAUGACAUUGCAAUUCCAAUAUGCAAUUGAAAAGUCUAUGGUCGUGAUAACUUUUGUAAUAUGACAAAGUUUUUGUUGGGGUAUGAGAGGAUUGUCAAAAGUUCACACACCACAUGAAACUAGUGUUAGAUCUAAUUUUAUUUCGUCCGUUCCUUAUAUAUUUAUUUCAUACAUAUAUGUCUUAGGGUGAUAUUGUUUUGUAAAGAUAUAAUAGUAAGGUACUAUAAAAAGAAAAGAACUGUGUGUAUACUUCCCAGUGUAAUAAUUAUAUGUAGAAGAAAACUAACAAGAGGAAAAAUGACAAAGAGCAAGGCGCUGGUUGUUGGGAGAAGAGGACAUGUCGGCAGAGGAUAGAGAAGCCAAUCUUAGCCUUGUUGAUUGAGGGCUCAUCUUCUGAUCAUCGUAGCCUUGUUGGAGCUGUCAAACAAGUCGAUGUUGUCAUUUAAGGAGCCACAACAUUUUGAUGCUGCUUAAACUUGUUGGGGCCAUCAAAUAAGCUGUAAAUAUUAAGGUACGUAAGCCUUAAUUUUUAUGUAAUUUUAAUUUCAGAUCCAAAAUUGCAUGCAAGCCAUUAAUUUCUUUCCUUUUUUAUUUUUGAUUUGAUGAGGUGCUUGAUUUGGUCGGGUGUGUAUUUUUUCUUUGUUCUUUUUUUUUUUAAAACAUAAAUCUCCAAAUCGGGUUGGAGCGGGGAUUCUAACCCUACGAUGGCCAUAUUAAAAUUUAAAAUUUUUUAAUUUAUUUUUCUACAUCUCAAUAUUUGAAAAAAUGAUUAUAUAGAUCUAUAUAUUUUCAAUAAGAGAUACUAAGAUACUCUUUUUUACUAUAACACCUACUAGCUCUAUUAACUCAAAAAAUUAGCUUCAAUGUUAAUAUAUAUAUUUUAAAAUAAUUUUAAUAUUUUAAAAAAAAUGAAAAAAAUAUUUUAAUACUUUACAAGCUUAUACUAUAUUAAACUAAAUUUUGUAAUAAAUAGAAACUUAAUAUAAAAUAAAUGUCUAAAAAUUUAAAUUAUUUUCAAUAGCAUAUAGAAUAAUUAUAAUAUUAUUAAUACCUAAGAUAUAUUAAAUUAAUUAUAAAUUCUAUUUAACACAAAUAUUUAACUAAAUUUUUUAUAAUAAAUAUAAAUAUAUUAUUAAAAUAAAUCUAAUAAUUAACAUUUUAAAAAAUAAUACUGAAAUUAAUUUUUUAAAUUAUACUAACACUAGUUUCACGCUGUGCGAACUUUUGACAAAAACUGUUAAUUGCAAUUUCUUUUGAAAACAAUAGAUCAAAUCAUUAAAGUGCAUGUGAUGAUUUGCUGUUUAAUUAUUUCUUUAGAAUAUAUCCAAACGUAAGGUUGUGAACUAGUGCUUUCUUCAACUUAAUUGGGUCCAACAAUACACUGCAGCUUCCUCUUUUGGUCAUUCCAAGUUUAAUUCUUCAUGAAAAUCUUAGACACUAAUACAAGGAUAUCGAAUCCAAAAUUAUAAUAAUACAUGUAAUUAUUCUAUACAUGCGUCAACAAGGCAACAGUAACCAAAUACAUGAUAUGCAAAGGGGGUGCAUGAUUAAGUCCUUUUUUUAUUCAAUUCAUUGUUAUUAUUCUCAUCAACUCUUUUCUCACUUAUUUUUCAGCAGUUACCAGUGAUCUUUUUGCUCUUUAAAAUUAUUCUUAAAUAUUCAAGGCUAAAUAGAGAAGCUCAUCAACUAUCUGAUCCCGGAUAAUUAAAGAGGUGAACUUGUUCUAAAUCCUUUGAUAAUUUCUAUUAAUAGCAUAAUCUCCUUGAUCUUGACCGCAGUUAUUUCUUAAUGUCCAAGAAAAAAAUAUCUCCUGUUUGUCUUAAUCUUGUCAUUUAAUUUUCUUGAUUUAAGUUACUGUUCAUUGUUAACUUCUGUGUUCUUGUUAUUAGCAUUUGUUAAUUUGCAUCUCUCCUCUAAAAUAGUUUCUAAAAAAGAAUGUUGCUUUUCAUUCAUACCCUUGAAACCUUUCAGUUAAUAGUCAAAACUCUAAUCUUUCAGUUAAUUUAUUUGAAUCCAAUUUUUUCAACAGCAAAUACACACACACAUUGUUAAGCAACAGCCAAAAAAGUGCAGAAAAACCAGUCAAAUUUAUACAUGCGUCAACAGGGAAACAGUAACCAAAUAGGUGAUACAAAAAGGGGUGAAUGAUUCUGUCUUUUCCUUUUGCAAGUCGCUGUUAUUACUCUCAUCAACUUCUUUCUCGCACAUUUCUCAGCAGUUACCAGUAAUAUUUAAAAUCGCUGUGUAGAUAUGCAAAAGUUCCGUAAGUGCAUUAAUAAUUAUUUGCCAGAAAAAAAUAGUUGCGUCAAUAUUAAAGGAAUUGACAUCCAGGGGACCCAAUUUAGUUGCUUAAUGAUUAUUUAAUUAAUUAAUUUAUAAUAUAUUAAUCUUUUAAGUUGAAUAAUUAAAAUCUUAGACCCGAAACAAUAAAUCAUCUGAGGCAUAUAAAAGAGAAAUUAUCAUCCUAUUUUUUCUUUUUUCUUUUUAACUUCUUGUAGCUUAUAAAAGAGAAAUUAUCAGUCAUUUACUCAAAGUUUAUUCAAUUAUUAAAAUUAUUAUAAAAAUUUAAAUUUAUUUAAUUUUACAUCCAAUGUAUGCAAUUUGUAUGAAACAUCUGUUAAAAAUAUAAAGUUAUUCGUUCAAAGUGACAAAAUAGAACCGAACACAAAAUUGUAGUGGUGAUUAUGUUUUAGGAGUAACUUUAUUUUUUUAGUAAACAGUUGAUACACAUUGUAAUAAUGGGUAUAAAAUUAAAUAUUUUUAAAUUUUUAUAACUUUUUGGAUAAUAAGAUAAUUCUUAGAUGGAUAAUUGAAAAUUUUUCUUUUCAAAAUAUUUUGAAAACAAUACCAAAUGUACCAAAACAUUGUUUACUUUCACUCUCUCUCUCUCUCUCUCUCUCUCUCUAUCUAUCUAUCUAUAUAUAUAUAUAUAUAUAUAUAUAUAUAUAUAUAUUAUUUCUUAACUCAUUCUUAUCCUUAUUCUUUCUAACAUAUCCACAAUCUGUCAAUGAAAUUUACUUUUAUAAAUUUGAAGAUUUUUUCAUGCAAUUUUAUACGAUGAUGAGUUCUCAUGUUUCUGUUAAAAAAUAAUUCGUAAAUAAUACAAAUGAAAAAAACAAAAAGUAGCAGGGCUGGCAAUACAAAACCAUAACUUUUUUUCUUUGAAUUUUGCAUAAACAAAGUCAAUAGUGAUUUGUCAGCACGAUCUUGAGAGCACGGCUUGGAGUCUCAAUAAUUAUUGACACUCAUAUUUGAAAACUUUCGAAAAGAUAAAAUCCAAUAUGAAAGGUGAAACGUUAUAAUCAUAGUAACUAGAAAAUGGAUUGAUUUACAAAUAUCAAUUUAAACAAUUUUCAUGUUGAUCGACAAUUUAAGUAGAUUGACAAAGAUUGAAGUAAUUACUGUUGGUGAUUGAUUGACUUUGUCCUUAUCCUUGCCUUCUUCUUAUCAAAAAUCGAGUGUCAAUUAAAUUGGGCCAGGGUUUCUGAUUGCAACUAAUGGACUUCAUAUACGCAUAAUGGUCCCUACGUACAUACGUACCAAUAUUUGAUUGAUAAAGGGGGUGCAUGCUUAAUGCUCAAGUCGUCUUCUUUUGGAAAUUCAUUGUUAUUACUCUCAUCAACUCGUUCCUCACAUUCCUCUUUAGUCAAAACCUGUAAUAUUUCUUCUAUAUUCAAGGUGAAUACAGCAGCUCAUCGACUCUGAUCCCAGACAGGUAAAGAGGUGCACUUGUUCUAAAACCUGUAAUAUUCUUUUAGUAGCAGAAUCUCUGAUACUUGAUCUUCAUAGCGGUUCUUUCUUAAUUUCCAUCAACUUUCCUAGGAAAAAAUUCUCUGGUUUUUCUUAAUCAUAUCAUUUACUUUUCUUAAGUCAUAUCAUUUAUUUUUAGUAGCAGAAUACUUGAUCUUGAUAGCCAUUCUUUCUUAAUUUCCAUCAACUUUCCUUAAAGGAUACCUUUCUGUUAAUAGCGAAACCUCUGAUCCUUAAGAUAGAAAAAGAAAUUCUCUACUUAUGUAUCAGUUGGUUCAAAAUCAAUAUCGCGAUGUUGUUUGCGGUCUUUUCUUUCUCUGUCUUUCCCUCUAGUUCAUUUUAAUUUAUUUGUAUUCCUUUCUUUGACAUUUUUAUUCAUUUUAUUCAUAUAUAUACAUAUAUUGUUAAGCAACAGGCAAUGGUUGCAGAAGUGGGUCUGGCUGCUUUUUCCAGCAUCGUAUCAGAAGAUGCAAAGUCACUGUUCAAACCGAUUAUACGGCAGAUCUCUUAUGUGUUCAAGUACCAGAGCUACAUAGAUGGCCUAAAAGAUCAAGUGAAACAGUUGGGAUAUAAAAGAGAAAGGGUGGAAAUACCCGUUCAUCAGGCUACUCAACAAGGAGAUGAGAUUUAUAAGGAUGUUGCAGACUGGCUUAAUAGCGUCAAGGAAUUCACUCAGGGAGCUGCGAAAUCCAUCACUGAUGAUGAAGAUAGAGCUAAGAAGUUCUGUUUCAAAGGAUUGUGCCCAAACUUGAUUUCUCGUUACAAGCUCAGUAGACAAGCAGCAAAGGCCGCAGAAGCUGCUGCUAGUCUCAUGGGAAAAUGUAACUUCUCUAAUGUUUCCUACCGUCCUGCUCCAAAGCGGGCAGAACAUAUGCAAGUGAAAGAUUUCGAGGCCUUUGAUUCAAGAAUGAAAGUAUUUGAAGAUGUUGUGGAGGCGUUGAAGGAUGAUAAGCUCAAGAUAAUUGGGGUCUACGGGAUGGGCGGCGUGGGUAAAACCACGCUAGUCAAGCAAGUUGCAAGGCAAGUUAUGGAAGAUAAGGUGUUCGACAAGGUCGUUAUGGCUGAGGUAACACAGACCCCAGAUCAUCAGGAAAUUCAAAAGAAACUUGCUUUUGACUUAGGCAUGAAAUUUGGCUCGGAUGAGAAUAAAUUCGAAAGAGCAGAUCGAUUACGUGAAAGAUUGAAGAACGAGAAGCAGGUCCUCGUUAUAUUGGAUAAUAUUUGGAAAAAACUCGAGUUCGAAAAAGUUGGAAUUCCUUGUGGGGAUGUUGAUGAGAAAGAUACAAAGGAUGAUCAGAGACGAUGCACAAUAAUAUUGACGUCUAGAAGUCGAGAUUUAUUGCGCAUUGAUAUGAAUUCUCAGAAAAAUUUCCCGAUCGAUGCUUUGCCACCAAAAGAAGCAUUGCAGUUAUUUGAAAAGAUAGUGGGUGAUUCAACUAAAAUAUCUGCUUUUCAAAGUAUAGCAAAUGAGAUCGUUGAAAGAUGCGGAGGUUUGCCUGUUGCACUGAGUACAGUUGCAAAUGCUCUGAAAACUAAGGAUAGUUACUUUUGGAAAGAUGCAUUGAAUCAGCUAAGAAGAUCGGAUGCUAGAGAAAUUCAUGGCAUGCAAGCAAAUGUGUACACCUCCAUAAAAUUGAGUUAUGACUUCUUGGAAAGUGAGGAGGCAAAAUCUCUGUUCCGUCUUUGUAGUCUAUACAGUGAAGGUAAUGUCAUACAAGUUUCUGACUUAUUGAGAUGUGGUGUGGGUUGGGGUUUGUUUGAAAAUGUUUACACAUUGGAAGAAGCAAGGAGUAGAGUGCAUCGGUUGAUCGACAACCUCAAAUCUUCAUGCUUAUUGUUGGACGGUGAUGCUGAAGAUGAAGUUAAAAUGCAUGACGUCAUUCAUGUUGUUGCCGUAUCAAUUGCCAGAGAGGAGCGCAUGUUUAAUGUUCCAAAUGUUGCUGACUUGGAGAAAAAGAUGGAAGAGACAAUACAGAAAGAUCCAAUUGCUAUUUCAUUACCUCAUAGAGAUAUUCAAGAGCUCCCUGAAAGGUUGCAAUGUCCCAAUCUCCAGUUAUUUUUGUUGUAUACGGAGGGUAAUGGCCCUAUGCAAGUUUCAGACCACUUUUUUGAAGGGAUGGAAGGACUCAAAGUUUUACAGUUUCCUGGAAUUGGCUCUUCUUCAUUACCUUCAUCACUUGGUCGCCUCAUUAACCUUCAAACAUUGUGUUUAGACUGGUGCGAACUAGCAGAUAUAGCGGCAAUUGGACAACUAAAGAAAUUAGAGAUUCUCAGCCUCGCAUAUUCCAAUAUCAACCAGCUACCAGUUGAAAUUGGACAAUUGACGCGGUUACAAUUGCUAGAUUUGAGCAAUUGUUGGUGGCUUGAGGUGAUAGCACCGAAUGUCAUAUCAAAAUUAUCUCAAUUAGAAGAAUUGUAUAUGGGUAACGGUUUUUCAGGGUGGGAGAAGGUUGAAGGAGGAAGUAAUGCCAGUCUUGUCGAAUUGGAGAGGUUGACAGAGCUAACUACUUUGGAGAUAGAAGUUCCGGAUGCCGAAAUUCUGCCGCCGGAUUUUGUCUCUGUGGAAUUGCAAAGAUAUAAGAUACGUAUAGGAGAUGGGCCCGAAGAUGAGUUUGACCCAUUGCUCGUCAAAUCUGAAGCAUCAAGAUUGAUGAUGCUCAAGGGGAUAAAAAAAGUUAGCAUUCUUCAGGAGAAUGAUGGGACAAAAAUGUUGCUGCAGAGAACUGAAGAUCUCUGGCUAGAAACAUUGGAGGGUGUUCAAAGUGUUGUUCAUGAAUUAGACGAUGGGGAAGGUUUUCCACGAUUGAAGCGUCUUCUCGUAACAGACUGUUCUGAGAUUUUACAUAUUGUCGGUUCAGUUAGGGUUCGUUGCGAAGUCUUUCCCUUGCUGGAGGCAUUGUCUCUUAUGUUUUUAACUAAUUUGGAGACGAUAUGCUACAGCCAACUCAGAGAAGAUCAAUCCUUCAGCAACUUAAGGAUUAUAAACGUAGAUUCCUGUCGAAAAUUGAAGUAUCUCUUCUCAUUCUCUAUGGCCAAAAACCUAUUGCGGCUUCAAAAAGUAAAAGUGGAAGACUGCGAUGAUUUGAAAAUGAUUAUUGGUAAGUGUUGAAAUUAAUUAUUGGUAGGAUUAUUGACAUUGACUCUUUCUUUUUUUCUUUUUCUUUUUUUGGGGAAAAAAACAACGGAUGUUUAUUAUAUAUUGUUUUGGUUCAUUUAUAGGGCCCGACAUGGAGAAACCAACAACAACUCAGGGAUUCAUAGAAAUCAAUGCAGAGGAUGAUCCUGUUCACCAGGUAAUAAUUUUCUGUUUAAUAAUUAAUUAAUUAAUAUAUUAUCACGAUUGAGCUUCAAUCAUCGAAAGAAUAUUAUAUUAGAAGUUGUAGUUGAAGGAACAAAAAUGUAUGGUUUUUCUUUGCAGGUUACUUUUCCACGCUUGGAGGAACUGGAACUUGUCAGUUUAACAAAUAUCAAAAAAUUAUGGUCCGAUCAAUUUCAGGGAAUAUAUUGUUGUCAAAAUUUAACAAAAGUGACCGUGUGGAGUUGUCAUCGUCUGAAGUAUUUGUUUUCAUAUUCUAUGGUUAAUAGUCUUGGGCAACUCCAACAUCUUGAGAUUCGUAAUUGCCGGUCAAUUGAAGGGGUAGUCAACACCACGACGUUAGGAGGAAGAGAUGAAUUUAAGGUUUUUCCCAAACUACACUACCUGUCGCUCCAUUGGCUUCCAAAACUAAGUAGCUUUGCCUCACCAGAAGACGUCAUUCACACUGAAAUGCAACCUCAAUCCCUCUUUGAUGAAAAGGUUUUUUUUCAUUGAAUUUUUAAAUUCUCUUUUCGUUGAGUCUUCAAAUUUAAUUAAUAUACAUCUCUAAUUGCAUUGAAUUUUUAACUUCAGGUACGACUCCCAAGUCUGGAGGUAUUAAAUAUUAGUGAGGCGGAUAAGUUGAGAAAAAUAUGGCACCACCAGCUUGCUUCGAAGUCUUUUAGCAAAUUGAAAAAAUUGAAGAUAUCUGGGUGUAAUAAUCUACUGAAUAUUUUUCCUCCAUUGGUAAGAUUGCUAUAUUCAUUUUGAAUUUUUAUUUCAAGUAACAUUCAACAAUUAUUUUAAUCAUUUUUGUGUUUACAAAUAAUUUUCAUUCACAAAUUAUUUAUUGCAAGUAUUUUACUUCAAACUUCAGGAGGGCAAAAAAGUAGUGUACUUCAAAUCACCAUUCUGAACUCUGCAUUGUCAAUCUAAUUUAUAGGUUCACCCGCAUUAAAGUCAACGAUAUAAUUGUUUUAAACACGAUUUAACAGCAUAAUAUAAUUCAAUUUAAUUGUUUUUUUCCUUAAAUCCUAAUAAAUAAGAUUUUUAGAAAUUAAAAGAUACUUAGUUACUCAGCUUUUAAGCUCACAAAUUCAUAUAUAUUUCUCUUUUCCUUGGGUCUUCAAAUUUCGAUUUAAAAAAAAAUAAAAGAAAAGUGUUCAAAUGUAGUUAAUAUCUCUAGUUUAGUUAUGAAUUGAUUACGCCAUUGAUUAAGCACAAAUUCAUGAUGGUCAUUUUGAAUCGACCGUUGAUUAAAAAAAUUCCUCAAAUAUUCACUCUAUAACAGUCCCAUGUUGAUGGCGUUGGGAAGUGUUUUCCAGAAAUGUUUUUCCAUUUUUAAAAGCAUGAAUAUCGGGAAAAAAAAAAGGGAAAUACAGCGUUUUAGUUUAGUUAUUUUAAAAAUAGGCAUGUUUGAAAAUUAAAAAUUUUAAAAAACUAGCAUCAAGAUGAAAAAUGAAUUUAGAAUAUUUAAAAAUUACCUGAAAUUCUUUCUCCGUUCCUAAUACUAAAUAGUGUAAAUGCAUUUUCAUUAUCUUUGUUUUUCUGGACUUCUAUUUAUUUAUUUUUAUUUUUUCUUUUUUUUCUUUAACAAAAAAUAUCUAGUAGACAUUCAUGGUUUGUUAUUUUUCAUAAAACAAUUGUAUGAUUUUGACAUACUUUGAAUCUAGUUGAAUGCUACUCUUUAUUUUCAGGUUGGAAUUCCCAAUAGUCUAGUGAAUCUUGAUGUAUCAGACUGUGCAAAAAUAGAAGAAAUCAUAGGACAUGUUGGAGAAGAAGCGAAGGAGAAUCGUAUUGCUUUCAACGAAUUAAAACUUUUGGAACUUGAUGAUUUACCAAGGCUUACCAGCUUUUGUUUGGAGAAUUACACUCUUGAAUUCCCAUCAUUGGAACAAGUUUCUAUGACACAUUGUCCGAACAUGAAGACUUUUUCUCGGGGAAUCUCAUCCACACCAAAGCUAUACGUAGUGCAAGUGACUGAAAGGGAAGAGGGUGAACACCAUUGGGAAGGCAAUAAGCUUAAUUCCACUAUACAAAAGUGUUACGAAGUAAUGGUAUGUGUUAAUCGAUUCACUUUACGAAGUAAUGGUGUUACGAACACCAUUACGAAGUAAUGGCAAUAAGCUUAAUUCCACUAUACCACAUUUAAACAUAUACACCUGCGUUGUAAAUAUAUUUUUAGAAGUUAAAGCACAAAACAUGUAAGUUUAAUGUAUAUAUAUAUCUAAUGCCUUUCAAAAAAAGAAAUUUAUAUAUAUCCAGUGCAAUUGUUUUGGUUUAUGCAGAUUGGAUUCCGUGACAUAGAGCAUUUGCAACUCUCACAUUUUCCACGCUUGAGAGAAAUAUGGCACGGCCAAGCAGUGCCUGUCAGCUUCUUCAACAAUUUACGACAACUGGCUGUGGAUGACUGCACGAAUAUGUCGAGUGCUAUUCCUACCAAUCUGCUACGUUGCUUGAACAAUUUGAGAUGCCUGGAAGUGAGGAAUUGUGAUUUAAUAGAAGAGGUGCUUCAUUUAGAAGAGCUAAAUGCUAAGGAAGAACAUAUAGGCCCCCGGUUUCCUAGGCUUAACAGACUAAGGCUCAUUGAUCUUCCAAAACUCAAAAGAUUCUGCAACUUCACUGGGAAUAUAAUUGAACUGUCUGAGUUGGAGAAUCUAACUAUUGAGAAUUGCCCUGAUAUGGAAACAUUCAUAUCCAACUCUGUAGUGCAUGUGACAACAAAUAACAAGGAACCUCAAAAAUUAACAUCAGAAGAGAACUUUUUGCUGGCUCAUCAAGUACAACCCCUCUUCGAUGAAAAGGUGAUUAUUAUUAUUAUUAUUAUUAUUAUUAUUAUUUUCCCCUUCACUUUUGUUCGCACAGAUGUAAUUUCAUUAGAAUCAAAUCAAAUUUUAUGACUCAUCUUUUUGCAUGUCAUCUUGAUUCAUAUAUGAAUUAACAAUACAACUACAGUUAUGAACUAACUUUAUAGUAUGAAUUAAAAAAAUGUCUUAAAUUAUUUCGAUGACUGGUAACAUGAGGUGAUGAACUAUAUCAAUUAUGCUUGUCGCAUCUCUGUUUUCCUAGCUAAUUCAUAUUGGAUUUAGUAUCAGAUUUCAUUUAUGUGUUUCAAAGGGUAAUCGAUUUGAUACUUAUAUUUGGGAUCCUACUGCAAAGCAUACUAAUUUGGAAAUAAAAUAUAAAAUGCCGUGAUUAAUCUUGUCCAUAAAAUAUGCAGGGGAAGACUGCAGAGAUUGGAUACAUACUUUCAUUUACAACUUAAUUUUGUUGAUUUUCAGCUUACAUUCCCUCAAUUGAAGGAGUUAAAGCUAUCUAGAUUACACAAAGUGCAGCAUCUCUGGAAGGAAAAUGACGAAUCCAACAAAGCGUUUGCAAACUUGAAAAGUCUAGAAAUAUUUGAAUGUAGUAAGUUACAGAAAUUAGUACCAGCUUCGUGGCAUUUGGAAAAUCUUGAGGCUUUGAAAGUAUCGAAGUGUCACAGGUUGAUAAAUUUGUUGACGCUCUCAACAUCUAGAAGUCUGAUAAUUCUUCAAAGUAUGACGAUAGCUGAUUGCAAAAGGAUAGAAGAAAUCAUACAGUCGCCGGUUGCAGAAGAAGCGAAAGAUUGCAUUGUUUUCAAGGAAUUAAAGUACUUGGGACUUGAUUGUUUGCCAAGCCUAACAAGCUUUUGUUUAGGUAAUUACGCUCUUGAAUUCCCGUCCUUGAAACAAGUAGUUGUGAGAGAGUGUCCAAAAAUGAUGAUCUUCUCUCAAGGAGUCUUAGACACACCAAUGCUAAACAAAGUGAACGUCACCGAAGAAGAAAAAGAUGAUGAUGAUGAAGGAUGUUGGGAAGGCAACCUCAAUGACACCAUAAAAAAAUUGUUCAAUGAAAUGGUGAGUAUCAAUUAAGUUUUGGUGCUAUUUAGAAAAUUAUUUUAUAGAAACUAAUGUAAUAUAAUAUGAUUGGUUGACUGAAAAUAUAUAAUAAUAAAUAAAUAAAUAAAUUAUGAGGGCUAUGUAAUGUUUUUGUUUAACCAAUCAUAUUAUGUCGCAUUAGUUUAUACAAUAUUGUUUGUGUACAAGAGUUGUAAUGUAUGCUUGCUUACACGAGUAAUUACAAAAUGUGCAUAAUUCUAAAGAAAAGAUUGAGCCAACCCUUCAGGUACAGUGAAGAAGCUAUCUCGAACCAGGCCAAUCUCGUGUACAUGAUUCAACUUGCUCGUUCUCCUGUACUUGAAUAAUUUGGUUCUAAACGCAUUUACAACUUUUUUGUCAUGCUAUAGACAUGCAAGACACUUUGGAUUUGUUUGAUGCAUUCUUUGUUUAAGGAAGGACUUGAAUUGAUGUUUCAUGUUUCAUGCAAUUUUCAAUUAGAUACUGUUUAAACUUCUGCAUUAUUCAUUCAAUCGGUGUUUUAAGCAUUUGAUUUCUAACUAGUCCUGAUAGAAGAUCAUUAGCUGAAGAAAACAUCAUAACAUUUGUGGCAUUAUCAGAAUAAGAAUAGUUUUAUGAGUAUAGUAAAAUUAACUAGACCAUUAUUAAAAGGAAUUAAUCCGUCAACUUUAAGUAAACUUUAGAUGAUGGUUCUGACCUAAACCAUUUUAAUGCUUGGCAAAAUCACAUCCUGAGCAUAGAGUAAAGAAAGUGGCAUACAUGGUAAUCAACUUCAAGAAGCUCUUCGAAAUGCAUAAUACUGUUGGGGAGAAAAGAAAAAGAAAGAAUACAAAUAAAAAGAAGUCACACAUCAUCAGCAGUUUUUCGGGAACACAAAAAUGUUAUAAUAACUUUUCUUGAUUGCCACCCACAUGCUAAACUGAUCAAAUACAAAACAGGAUACAGAAAAUCUCUAACCUUUUUGGCACUGAAGAAGACGCCAGUGCUUUCAAAAGAAAAUGCUUGAUUGUUGGCAUUCUGGUUUGAAAAAUAUGAGUCCAAUUCCUGUGUCCAGUCAUGUACCAAAUCAGGACGACGUGCAAGUCAUACAAAGAUGACAAAAAUACAGUAUAAAUUGCGUCAAACCAAUUCAAGUCAAUUGGAGAAGUAAAUCAAGGACCAUUUGCAAUAGUUGUUCUCCACAUCAAAUUUGGGUGUCCAUCGUCUUCAUCCUCUUGUGCACUGAACCUGAGAGUCCACGAGAAAUACAUAUAAAAAUUAGGCAUGAUUGAAAUUGAUAGUAGUACAAAAUGGAUAUAAACAUCACGAUGAACAAAUUAAAUUGUUCCCUGUCAGACAAAUCCAACCUGCAAGCUUAAGCUCUUAAGCUAGACCAAAUCACACUGCAAAUAACAAGACAUAAGGCCAAAAAAAGAUAAUAUGUAUCAUUCAUAUGCUUCGCCCUAUAGAAAUGAUUUGGGCCAUAGGUCAAUUAUGUUAAAAGCAGCGAUACUAAACCCAAAAGAAGAGAGGUGAGGCGAGGGAGUGGUGGGUUUUUUUUUUUUUUUUUUCAUUUAUAUAUUUUUACCUUAAACCAAAUGACCGGUUUUACAGGUUUCUGGUUGUUUCAAAUUUUUUUAUUGCUUAAUAAUGAAACAAAUCUCAGCCAUUAGAUCACUCCAUUUAAUCCAAUGGUCAGUUUUUGUGCAUGUAUCAGAUGCACGCAUGUAUUGUAGCCGCCCCAUUUUCCUUUUUAGUUGCAAAACCUCGUUCGAAAGCAACAAUGACUUUCACUCAAAGUAAAUGAGAAAUUACAAUGAAAAUGGGAUCAGAAAAAGGUUGAGGUGAAAUAAAACCAAAGGGAUGAUGUUUCUGCUUUCCAGCUUUGGGAAACGGCGUGGAUGGAGCACGUUCAAUACGAAAAACUUCAUUAGCUCACGCGCUGCUCAGCUGAUUCUUAACAGAAAAUGAUUUAGUGGAAACGGCGUGGAUGGAGCACGUUUAACAUAUCAGUUUAAGUAACCACGUGAGAAAGCAUGUGAUGAAGGUUGUUCCGAGUUCGUUGAAGGUUGUUAACCACGUGUCAAAACAAAGUGUUCAUACUGGAAAGAAACAAAAUAUUAAUAAAUAAACCAUUAAAAAGAUUAUCUGAAAAUUAUGUUUAACUAGGCCAAUUCAAUUAUCGAGCAGUUUGAUAUAUUAAAUGAGCUAGAACAGUAGCCUUUUAAUUAUUUCACUUACUAUUAUCGAACAGUUUUAUAUCAUUCCCUAUCUUAUAGUAAAGGUAAAAGAACAGAAAAGGUAUAUUGCAUUAGAGUUCGUGUACUUCUACCUUUUAGUUUAUUCUUCAUUUUAUUAAAAUGACAGAUUCCUCAUUAAAAAAGGUCACUCUACAUAGUAUGUGGGUGUAUGUUCUUUUAAAAAGGACUGAGAGAAAAAUAAAUGUGAAAAACAAGUAACAUCUGAAGAAGAAAGUGAUGCUGACACAUUAACGACCACUUGAUUUUGUAGGGACUGCACAUAAUUGAUAAUUUCAUCCAACAUGAGACCUUUCCAAUUACCUAAUUUUAUACCAAACAACAUGAAGUUUAUAAGAAAUAUUAAAAACACAAAAACUCGUUAUUUGUUUUAAGACAGGAAAAAGUGAAUAAAAAACAAUAACAAAAAAAAGAACUCAAAUUACUUAAUUACCAUAGCUAUGAACAAGUUUUUGCAAAAUUUUCAUCCUCUCACUAACUUUCUCUCUUCUUACCUAAAACCAAAUAAUGACAAGACAACUGCCCAUUAGACUAUGACAAAAGUUGGAAAUUAAAAUAAUAUAGUAGGUUAUUUUGGAUAAAAUUAGAAAAAGAAAGUUUGAAUUUGUAUUAAUAUACUCACCCUUUCUGUUAACCCCUAUUUGAAGGGCCGAAAGAGUAGUAACAGUAGCAAAAAAUUCAAAUAAUAGAAAUCAGAGUGCCCACUACAUAUAAAUGGAUCUAAAGAAUAGAUUAUAUAAUAGCUUGUUUCUUAUGAAUGAUACAUGUGAUUCCACAGAUAAAAAGAAAAUAAAAAUCAAGUAUGUGAAUUAAAAAAAACACCUAACCAAUAGGGGUUAGUGAGAUAUUUUAGCUAAAUAUCAGUUGACAGAAUCUGACCCACAAUAAAAAUUGCUAUCUUUUCACAAUGGGAAUCUGAAUUAUAAAAUUACUGAACAAAACUUUUAACACCUACAAGUCCAAAUAACAUCAAAUAAAAUGCCUAACCAGCUGUUAAAUAUAAAAUGUCCAUGUAGGACUAAAGCCCUGUGGCUAAUCCUUCAAAGUUCCAAGCAACAAUAUGAUAAAAACAUAAUGCAUAAUAUAUAAGGAGCUUAUCUGUAAAACUUCCAUACAAUACUUAUCAUAUUAAACAAUGUACAUAAUGAAAUAUUGGCUUAUUUCUACAGAAUAUUACGAUCUAAGUACACCAAUUUCUCAAGCAAUGCCAUAUAGAAAGAUACCGAAGAAAAAAGGAAAAUAAAAAAUCGAAGUAUGUUAGUUAUGAUUUCAACUUUUGAACUAAAAGUCUGUGACAAAUUUUGCUUCGGGAAAUACUAACAAACACUUGAGAAAAACUAAAGUGUAUCACACUUGAACCGUAUAUAAAGCACAAGAAUAAAAACAACAAGGGGCAAAAAGAGGCUAGAUGUAUCAUCUUCAUUAGUUAAACAACAUAAAUAGAAUCAAAAUAUUAAUGCAUACACCAAAACCUUCAAAAUUCUCUAAACAUUCAAUUUUUUUCAGAGUAAGAAAAUAAAUUUAUAAGAAAUCGAGAAUGCGUAUUUGUUGCGGUAUUUUAUCAAGCAAUUAGCAUGCAGCAAUGUAAAUGACAAUUAAAACAUGUAAAUCUCUGUACUUUGAAAGCUCACCUUCGUUAUUCAUCCAAAGAGAAUAUAUAGGGCAUGUAAGCUCCUUCUUUGAUAUUUAUCCCUAUCGUUCAAUUAUUUUGUUUUCAUCAAAUUCCGUUAGCUCAAGUGGAGACAAAGCAAUACAAAUGGUGCAUUUAGAAGGUACAACUUUAGAAACCGAAUUUGUGCUUGCAACAUAGGAGAAACAGGGGCUCUCCUUCCAUUUUCCUGGUUUUGUGUUUGGUGAUUUUAAAAUUUUAUAUCUAUAUUUACGAAAAAAGAAAAGAAGUUUUCAAAACUAUUUUUUUUAUACAAGUUCUGUGUCAACUCAAAAAUUGCUCAUGACCAAAAAACAUCUAUGGUUCUUCAGUUACUCAAAAAUUCCUCGUUUUUGAGUUACUUUUUUUUUUUUUUUUAAUUUUUAUUCUCAAGUAAUUUUAUCAUGGAAUUGUUAAUUUUUAUUGAAUGUUGAACAAGCCUUUAUUUCUUUUCUUUCCCUUUUAAUGAAAUUAAAUAAAUGGUGGGGAUAUACCCUACAAAUUAUUGUCUCCACCCCAUAUUUAGUAUUGCUUUUACCACAUGAAAAAUUAAUUUUAUACGAUAAAUUUAUUUACUUGAAUAUUAAACCAUAUCAUGAACCAAUUGACAGGUUGAAGAAUUAACUUUCAAGUUUCAACAUUAUAAGAUUAAUAAAUAGCAUAAACAAAUUUUUAUUUUCAUUUAAAUUAAUCUAAUCCUACCAACUUCAUUUGGAUUUCAUAGUUGUUGGUUUCAUGUAUCACACGAAUUGUUAGGCACCAACUAACACAAGUAUAUGUUACUCAAGCAUCUCACUUGAAUAAUAGUCUAAGGAACUUUGAUUCGGAUGGUAGAUAUUUAACUAACUAAAACUAACAUUCUUAACUCAAAGCUCAUUUACUAGUAAAAGUAGAACCUUCUCCGUCAGCUUAUCUUGUUCAUUAUAUAACAAAAGAUAUUUAGUGAAAAAAAAAAAUUGGAGGGGGGGGGGGGAGGGGGAGACUAUGAUAAUAAUUAUGUUCAAGAUCUAGCCGCUAGGGAUAGAUUUGGCUAUGACUAUUUGUUGAUCCAGUAAUUAAUUUGAACAAUAUUGUUAAUUUUAGUUGAAACUGGAAUGAAUUUUGUGAAAGAUGCUUUCUCAUAACUAACCAACUAAAACUAACAAUCAAAUUAUCAAAAUCAGAGCUCAACUACUAGUAAAACUAUAAAAGUAAAACACUUGCUUCUCCAUCAAGUCAUCUCUUUAUAUAUAACAAAGAAUGUUUUAUGAAAGAUGGCAAAAGCAGUCAAUAACAAUUAAGUCUCAAAUAAUUCAUAAAAGAUGUCAAGCUCUGUUGCGAAUGCUGCUGAGGCUGAGAUUUGGAUUGUCCCAUUCUUCGGUAAGGGACAUAUGUUUCCAUGCAUUGAAUUAUGCAAGCAAAUCACUUCUCGUAAUUACAAAUCUACCCUCAUUAUUCCCUCUCACGUUUCCGCCACCAGCAUCACCCCUUCUUUUGUUCACCAAUACCCUCUAUUUGAAAUUACUGAAAUACCCUCCUCAUCUCCACUACUACCAUCGCCUCCUUCUUACCUCCAUGUUGUCAUGCACAACCAAAUGCUUCAGGGUCUUCGAAACCUCCUUUCAACCCGGAACCCGAAAGCCGACCUGUUUGCGUAGUCAUCGGCGUUAUGAUGGGCUGGACGGCUGAUGUUUUCAAGAAUUUUGAAGUUCCCAUUGUUGGGUUCUUCACUUCUGAUGCUUGCUCAGCAGCUGUGGAGUGUGCCAUGUGGCAGGCUCGCAUCCAGGAUGUCAAACCGGGAGAGGCCCAUUUACUUCUUGGGUUACCCAAGGAUGUUGCUUUAUUCCAAUCAGAUCUUAAACGCAGGCCUCACGGGUCCCUUCCUGGUGGCCCACAACCUUUGUGAGGUGCACCCGGUUCAGAGAAAAUAGGUCCAUCAGAACCGAGUGAUCAACCACACUGGAUGAAGCAAGUGGAGGGAUCGAUGGUGUUGAUGCUAGUGUGGGGAGUGGGCCCAUUGUUACCUGAACAAUUUUACAAAUCGACCGGUUCAGUGCUUCGUGAUUGUGAGAUGAGAACCAACCGGCGGAGUUCUAACAUGACCAAAGAUGAGAUCAUUCAAUGGUUAGAUUUGAAAUCAUGUGGAUCAGUGUUAUACAUGUCAUUUGGUACCGAAAUGGGUCCCACCUUAAAUGAUUAUUCAACAUUAGCCAAUGAUUUAGAAGCAUCAAAUCCACCGAUUAUUUAGGUAAUUCAAACUGAUGUAAAUAGAUUGGAUCCUCCACGUCAUUUAACCAGCUUAUUUUCAUAGUGGUUUAGAUAGUAAAGCCGGUAAAAAGGGUUUGAUAAUAGAUGGAAUGGCACCACAAUUAUUGAUGCCGAGUUAUCAAUUAAUAGGUGGAUUUUUAUCUCACUGUGGAUAAAAUUCAACUGUAGAAGCAAUUGGCUGUGGGGUCUCAAUUUUAGCAUGGGCAAUUAGAGGUGAUCAACGUUACAAUGCCAAAUUGGUGAUCAAUCAUCUCAAGGUGGGGUGCAUGAUCUCUGAUGAUCAGUCGAAAUUGACUUAAAAGGAUGAUAUAGUGAGUGGUAUAGAAAAGCUUAUGAGUAGGGUUGGGCAAAAUAUCCGACCCGAUCCGAUCCGAUCUGACCCAAAAAAUAUCGGGUUCAGAUCGGAUCGGAUUGUUAACAAAAUCCAAUCGGAUGUAACUUUGCCAACCCGAUCGGAUCAUGAUCGGAUCGGAUGAAACCCGAUCCGAUCCGAAAACCCGAUCGGGUUGGCUUAAAAAAAAAACUGUGUAACAAACUAACAAAGUGGCAAACACAACAAAAUCGGAUUCACACCACACAAAAAGCAAAUCUUAGAUCUAAAUUAAAAUAAUCUGUAAGUGCACACACACACACUCACAUCACACACGGUCACACACAAAUAGAGGUUUGGCCUCGGAGAUCGGAAAUGUUGAGAUGCCAAACAACGAAGCAGCAGCCAACAGAUUGGAGAUACAACCGCAAGAAGCAGCAACCAGCAGACCGGAGAUGCGGCCGCGCGAAGCCGCGAACCAGCAGCCAGCAAUCACCGACGUGAUCGUGCGAAGCCAAACCAUCGGAGAUCGGAGAUGUCAGCGAAGCAGCGGUGAGCAGAUCGGAGAUGCAACCGCAAGAAGCAGCAGCCAGCAAAUCGGAGAUGCAACUGCGUGAACCAGCAGCCAUCAGUCACCGACGCGAUCGUUCAAAGCUAAGCCAUCGCUGCAACCGCAACGUGCCGAUGGAAUCUACUACACCUCGACUGCUACCGCUUGCUGCCACUAGCUUCACCGGUUACCACAACUGCUACAACUAAAUUCACCUCCACAUUCACUGUCACCAAGUUUUUGGUGGUAUUGACUAUAUUGUUUUAAAUAAUUUAAUUUAAAAAGCUUAAAACAAAACUAUAUCUUGAGAAAAGGUUGAUUGUUUUACUUGAUUGCUUCUGAAAUUAACCCAGAAAUAUAGAAUGGAUAUAUAACCCGAAUGCUUUUAAAUCUGAAUCUAAUCCGAAUUAAUCCGAAUUUUCGAUCCAAUCCGAUCCGAAUUAUAUUCGGAUCGGAUUGGAUCGGGUUAAUAAUUCGGAUUGAGUUCGGAUGAUUUUUUCCCCAACCCGAUUGAUCCGAAAUUGAUCAAAUCAACCCGAACCCAAUCCGAAUCCGAUUUUGCCCACCCCUACUUAUGAGUGAUCAAAGAAAUUGAAAAACGAGCUCACAUGCUUCGCCGUGUAUUUAAUCAUGGCUUUCUUAUAAGUCAAUGACUUCUUUAAUAUAGUGUUUACUUUUUGGAGUGAGAGUGAGGAGUGUGGAUUCCUCUUACUCCAGUGUUUACUUACAAUUUUCAAAGGGGAAGUGAGAAUUCCACUCCGUGGAUCCCACCUAAUUUUGGAGUGGGGGAGUGAGAUUCCCACUCCCAUGGAGGAAGGUGGGAGUGGAAAUUCACUCGCCUCUCUUCCUUUUUCACCCUUAUAUUUAAUAAAAUAAAAUAAAUAAUAUCAUAUUUAUUUAACUUAUAUUAUUAUUUUAUUUUAUAAAUUACAUUUAUUAAAAAUAAUAAUAUUAAACAUAUUUAUUUUAUUAAAUUUAAUAAAAUAAGUAAAAUCAUAUUUAUUUAAAUAAUAAUAUUUUAUUAUUUUAUAAAUUAAAUUUAUUAAAAAUAAUAAUAUUAAACAUAUUUAAAAUAAUAUUAAUUUUUUGGUUAAAAAUAAUAAUUUACAUUGAUUCUAAGUUAAAAUUACUUAAAAAUAAUAUCAUUAUAUUCAUAAAGAAUUAAUAAUAUUACUAUAUUCUAUUUUUAUUUGAAAAUAUAAUAUUAUUAUACUUAUUUAAAAAUAAUACUAUUAUAUUUAUUUAAUAUUAGUAAUUAAUAAUAAUAAAUAUUUUAUUCUAAAAAAAUUAAUUUUGUACUAUAUUAUCAAUAAUAAUGUUUCAUUUGUAUUGUUGUUAUUAAUAAUUUUUUAUUUAUAUAAUUAAAAUUAAAAUUAAUAAAAUAAUUGUGAUUUACAUAGUUAAGAAUAUUAAUAAUUAUUAUUAAUUUAAAAAUAUAAUUUUUAUUAAUUUUGUAAUUAAUAACUAUAAUUCUUUAAGAGUAAAGCUGUAAUUUAAAAUCAUUACUCACAAUCUAAGACAAUGUAAACAAAUAAAUUGGAUUCUGAUUUCAAUUCCAUACUUCCAUUUCAGUGUAAGUAAACAACAUACUUCGACUCCCACUCCACACUCCUAAUCCCAGGAUUCUCACUUCUCACGAUUCUCACUCCAACGCAAAAUGUAAACGCUACCUAAAUGCUUUCAAAUAUCUUGUUAACCAGAAAUCAAUUUAACAAAAACAAUUACCGUGUAUAUUAUUAACGAAAAGGCUUUGAUUCCGUUGGCUUGGGUGUAAAUAAAUCGACUUUAUCAAGAACAGACAUCUCAGCAACUACAUAAUAAUAUAUGUAAGCUUUUGUUAAUUGACUGCAUUAAAUCAUUAAAUCAAAAGCCUUACAAAGCAUCUACAAUAAAAAGAUGGCACAUCCUCCAUCCAAACGACAAAAACAUGGACUCGCAACGCAAUUCUUGCUAAUUAAUUAAUAGGUAGUCAUAUUCCUCCGAGCAACAAAAUGAACAUCAAAUUGUUGAUGAGGCACCAUAUGCACAAAAUGUUGAUAUUGUUUAAUGUUUAAUAUUAUGGGAAAGUUUUAAUAGAUCUUCAUUUCCCUUACAUAUUGUGAGCUUAUAACCAAAAAUGGGACUAUAUGGUUGUGUGACAAACAAAAAGGGAAAUUUUUUACUAUUCGGCUAAAUUUUAAUGUCAAUAAUAUAGGAUCUGAAUUCACUUUAAUAUGAUAUCGACAUGUGUAGAAAAUUCCUUAAGUAAAUAGAUUUUGCAUAAAAGGUAUCGACCCAGAGUCAGAGGAAAAUUAAAUAGAAUGUCUUUUAAUACAACAAUCACUGGUGACCCUGUUUGGGCAUAGUUUGAGAGUACUAAAAUAUCUACUGCCAACUCUAUUCUAGUUGAAAGGCUAUCAAGGCAAAUUGGUCGCAUUGUUGAUGAUGAGGAAAUAGAGGUUGGAUUCAAGAAGAAGAAGAUUAUGGUAGUAAUGUUCUUGAAGGUCGAGAGAUGGAGAGAUUGAGAAAUAAUAGUGCAGCAAGUUUAAUGAGUGGAUAAUAUUAUGGUCAUAUGUUUUUUUUUUUUACACACAUGUAUAUAAUAUUAUAUUUCUAUGAACUAGUUUGAUUACAAUGAUUUUAUGUACAUAAAAGUUUAUAUAAAGAUUAAAUUUUUGCAUUUUCUUUUUUGCACUUAAUUUAUUAAUCAAACUAAUGAUAUGUUAGUAUUUGUUAUAUCACGAACUACAUAACAAAUUUUUUAGUUAAAAAGAUAUUGAAGUUAAUUUUAUUGCAAAUUAAAAUAGUUAAUAAAAAAUUAUUUAAAUAUGUAAUAAAGAAAAUAGAAUAUGCUCUUAAAAAAUCUUGUAAAUAAAAAAAGAUUUAAAUAAUAAUAUUCUAAAUAAAUUACAAACAAGUAAACAAGUACAUUUUUGUCAUUGUACAUGAACAUUUUACACUUUUAAUUUUCAUUUACCAGAUUUGUAUAGUAAACCGUUUAAAAAUUGAUUGUCAAAUAAUCAUCAUUUACCAAACACCCUAAUAGAUUAUUUGUAAAAUUAUUUUUUUGUUCAGAAUCAAGGUAGAAAUUAAUUCUUGGAAAGUAAAGGAAAUCUCAAACAUACCCUCAAUCAACCAUGGGAAGUUAUUUAAGUUGUAGUAUCUAAUAAGUUCUAUUAAUAGUGAGCGCACAUAUCAAAUAUAUAAAAAUAAGUAUUUUAGUUAUUAUCCACCUGUUCCCUUGAAAUCAAUCUCAGUUUUUUUUUUCUUUUACCUAAAAUUCCAAGAAAAAUAUAUAAAAGAAGAAGAACUUUUUUUUGGGGGGGGGGGGGGGGGGGGGGGGGCGGGGAUUGGGGUGGGGGAGGGGGGAGCUCCUCUGUUUUCAUUCCAUUGUUUUGAAAUUAUCUAUCAUCAGUAUAAAGUUAUACUUUUGAAUCAAUAUGCUUUGUGACUCGAUAAUUUAGCAUAAUAAAAAAAGAAAAACACACUUACUCACAUCCCGAUUGAAUCUUAUCUCUAAGGAUAAGUAAAAAAUUAUUGUUCCUCUUUUUCUUUUACGGUUUGUUUACGAAAAGAAAACACUCACACCUUCAAGAUAUUUAUAAGUAGAACACUUAAGUUUUAAGAAUAAUACACCCUAAUUUGAAAAAAAAUGAAUACAUGUAUCAUAUUUUAUGUUUUUUUUUUAAAAAAAUUAUUUGAUGACAUUAUGAGACUCUAUAUGCCAAGAUCUAUGUGAUGGUGAGAAUGGUUUCAUAAAAGAAGCAAUAGUAUAACCGCACACAUGGCAUUGUUUGUAAUGACUAAAAUUAGAAGAGAGUCUAUGUAUCUACUCCUGAAACAUUAAGAAUUUAACUAUUUAUUAAUUAAAUCAAAAUUUCAAGAUCAUAGUGUCGUUUUACAUAAAGAACCCAAAUACUAAAUCUAGCUAAUAAAGGAGAACGGUUUAGAUUAGUUGCUUGGACUUCCUUGUCUCGGGGCUGUGUGGUCAAGCCUGUCCAUCAGGCGGAUUCAGAUUUUGAAAGUUAUCUGAAUCUUCUUCUCUAUGUAAGCCUAUACAAUGAUUUUGUGAAAGACAUAUGCAAAAACAGUACCAGUAAGCAUAUUUAUUUAUCAAAGAUGUCAAGCUCUGAUGCUCAGAUAUGGAUAUCAAAGAGAGAGAUUGAAAAAGAGAGAGAGAGAGAGAGGAUAAUCAGGGACUCGUCUGUUAUCAUUCCCCUGUUUUUCAGUUUGGUGAUUGGAAGUAACAUUAUUUGCGUGUACUCUUUAUUUAAUUUAUUUUUCAAUUUUUUAAAAAUUAAUUAUUGUUCUUCUCAAAGCGUUUAGUAAAUUAUAUGAUAAUCUGAUCAAAUCUCUAACAUUAAUGUCCGCAUAAUCUAGUAAUGAAACUUAUAAUUUUAUAAUAAUCAAAUUGAAGAUUUCUUCACGCUGUUUUGUAUGAUGACGAGUUUUUAUUUUUCUGUUAAACAUAAGAUCAUUUUCUAAUAAUGUCCAUCUGGAAUUAGUAAUAACGAAGCAUCAUUUGUGGACAGAACAAUUGAAAUAUCAAGUCACUAUUGAUCCCACUUUGAUGAUUGCACUUUAGUUUCUUUCUAAAAUGUCAUUCUUCAUUCAAGCUUUUACUUUAUCUUUUAUCAGGUAUCUUACAAAGCUUUUCCCUCCUAAUAAGCUCUAAUAAACCAAUGUGCUUUUCAAUUUCGCAGGAUACAAGUAACGUAUAUGCCAAAAUUAUUCAAGCACAACAAGUAUUUAUUCGUCGAAAACUUCAACUUAAUUAUUUCAUUAGAAAAUAUGAAACGCAGAGCCAUAAACUAGUGUUUUCUUCAACUUACUUGGGUUAAAUAAAAUUUUUUCAGUAUUUUUCCCGAUCCAUUUCUUGUAUCUCACUGCAUGCUUUAUUAAAGCUUCGUCUUUGUUCUUGAUUGUGAACUUCAAGAUUAAAUCUUAAAAAUCGGGUAUAAAAGGGGUGCUUGAUUAAGUCUUCUUCUUUUGCAAUUCAUUGUUACGGCUCUUUUCAGCUUUUUACUCACAAAUUCCUCUGACGUUAACAGUGAUCUAUCGCUCACUAAAAUUGUUCUUCAUAAUUUCUUUCAAUACCAGUUCUUAAUAUUCAAGGCGAAUAGAGAGCUCAUCAACUCUCUGAUCCCAAAUAAUUAAAGAGGUACACAUGCUCCUAAAUCCUCUAAUAAUUUCUUUUAACAGCAGUUCUUAUUUAAUUUAAUUUCCGUCUAUUUUCCAAGAAAAAUUUCUCCGGUUUGUCUUAAUCUUAUCAUUUAUUUUGCUUGAGUUGUAAGUUAUUGUUCAUUUGUAAGGUCUGUGUUCUUAUUACUAGCUUUGGUUAAUUUGAAUCUAUCUUCCCCAAUAAAAAAAAAAAAGAAGUUUUUAAAAAAAGCGCGGGUUUUUAUUCGGACCCUUAAAACCUCUCUGUUAAUAGCAAAGAAAGACUCUAAUCCUCGAGCCAGGGGGAGUAAAAAAAGAACAAAGAAUUCUCUGUUUAAGUAUCAAUUGUCUCAAGAUCAACAUUGUUUUUUUUCUUUUUCUUUUUUUUGUUAAUUUGUUUGUUAUUUUAUUAGAUUUGCUUUUAAUCUAAUUGUGCUUGAGGAUUGAAGAUGAGUGAGAAAUACCCUUUUUUUCUGAAGCAACCUACAAAUUUUAGAAUAGGGUAAGAGUAUUAGAGAUUCAAUUAAUCAAAAAAAGUUAUUUACAUUCGUCAUUUGCAAAAAUGUUUGCAUUAGAAUUUUUCUAGCAUUCAAGAGCAUUACAUAUCAUCAUGUCACAAAAUAGCCUGAAAAACAAGAUAAAUCAAUUAGAGCAACUUGCUCUUUAUUGAAUUUUUUUUUUUUUUGUUUGGUUUGCCCGAAAUCCCAGGGAAAAUAUUAUAUAAGAACAAGAGUUAAGAUCAAAAAAAUGUAAAACAAGUUUCCUCUGUUUUCGUCCCCCCCCCCCCCCCCCCCCGGUUUGAUGAUUGAAAUUUUUUUUAUCUAAAUUUUAUGAUUUUCCGUUGGGGUUUUAUUAAAUAAAAAAUAAUUAGAAAAUGUAAUUCUAGAUUUACCCUUGUGCAUCGAGUGAUUAUUAUUAUGUUCUCUUAAGAUUUGAUAGUGCAAUUUUGUGUGAUGUGAAUUUCAUGUUUCUGUUAAUCAAUACAAACACAAUUUGUAAGUAAUGGCCAUGUGGAACUUAAUUAUAACCAAGCAUCAUUUGUGGAAAGAACAAAUGAAAUAACAAAAAAGCAGCGUUGGCAAUACAAUAUCAAACUUUAUUUAUUUAUUUAUUUUUGUUUUUGUUCUUGAAUAUGCAUUAAUCAAAUCAUAUAUUGUUGAUCUUACUUUGAUGAUUUGCUGUUCAGUUUCUCUCUCAAAUGAUUUUUGUGUGUUUCCGGUAUCUGCUUUUAUGAAAGAAGCCCUAAAGUGCAUGUGGAUUUUUAAAAAAAGAUUGCAUAUAAUUAUCCUAUACGUGCGUAAACAGGGCAACAAUAACCAAAUACAUGAUAUAAAAAAGGGGUGCUUGAUUAAUGCUUUUUCUUCUGCAAGUCAAUGUUAUUAUUCUCAUCAACCCUUUUCUUACACAUUCCUCGGCAGUUACCGGUGAUCUUUUUGCUCUUUGAGGUUGUUCUUAAAUAUUCAAGGCCAAAUAGAGAAUCUCACCAACUCUCUAAUCCCAGAUAAUUAAAGAGGUGCACAUUUUCCAAAUCCUCUAAUGUGUGUGUUUGUGUAUAGUAGAUCUUUGAUCUUGACAUCUGUUCUUUCAUAAUUUCCAUCUAUUUUCCAAGAAAAAAAAUUUCUCUGGUUUGUUUUAAUAUUGAAUUUACUUUGCAUGAGUUUUAAGUUAUUGUUCAUUGUUAAAGCCUGUGCUCUUAUUAUUUCGUUUGGUUAACUUGCAUUCUUCCCCCCCCCCCCCCCCCCCCCCCCCCCCCCCCCCCCCCCCCCAAAAAAAGAAAAAAGAAAAAAGAAAAAGAAAGUUUUUAAAAAGAUUAUAGGUUUCUACUCAGACCCUUGAAACCUUUUAGCUUUCCGGUAAUACCAAAAUCUCUAAUCCUCCAACAAAUGAAAGCUAGGAAAAAAAUGUCCUAAAGUUUAAUAUCUGUUGCCUUUGUAUCAAUAUUGCCAGUUUGUUGUCUUUUAUUAUAUUGCUUGUUUGUCAUUUUAUUUGAUUUACUUUAUAUCUAAGUUUACUUGAAGAUUAAAUAUCAGUAGGAAAAGCCCUUUUUCUAAAGCAACAUACAGAUUUUAGAAUAGGGCUCAGCCACAUGAAAAUGUUUACAUUGUAGUAUCUCAUAUCAAUAAUCUAAAAACAGCCAAUCCAACAAGUUCAAAUUCAGUCAAAUCUAAAAAUGAUUGCUUUUAAGGAGUACAUGAUAGCUAUUAAAAAGAUCUUUUAGGCAGAAUUGAAAUGCAGUCAAUCGUAAAUCAACCAAUCCAACGAGUUCAAGUACAGAGUCAAUUGAACAAAUUCAUCACUUGCAGAAUUAAGCUUAUCUUCCGAAAUUGAGUUGUUUCCAUUAGAAAUUUUCCCAUAGUCACGAGCACUAUCAUCAAAACAAGAUUAUUUGUAUAGGAACAAGAGUUAAGGAAAAAAAAAAAAAGGUAAAACAAGAUUCCUCUGUUUUCAUUCCCAUUUUUUUUCCUUGGUGAUUGAAAAAUUUUAUCUCUAAAUUUUUAUAAUUUUCCAUUAAGAUUUAUAUUUAAAUAAAGAAUUAAAAAAAUCUAAUUUUAAAUUUAUGCAUUGAAUGAUUAUUAUUAAAUUCCCUUAAAAUUGGUUACAAUAUCAAUUAAAUAACGCAUAGAGUUAUUGAUCACUUUGUUAAAAAUGAUCAUGUGUUCUAUUUAUAUAAUAAAACAAAAGAUGGGGUCACACUUAAGUCUUGUUCUUUUACAAUUCAUUUGUAUUACUCACUCUCAUGAACUCUUUACUUACAUUCGUCUGCAGUUAAUAUUCAUCUUCUGGUCGUUCUUAUAUAUUCAAGGCCAGCAGUGAAGGUCAUUAACUCUUUAAUAAUUAAAUAGGUACAAUUGUCCAAGAAAAAAUAGCCCUUGUUUGUUUUAAUCUUGUCAUUUAAUUUUCUACGUACUGUUCAUUGUUAACUUCUGUGUUCUUAUGUAAUAUUAGCAAUGGUUAAUCUGCAUCCAUCUUACAAUUUUUUUUUUAAAUUGUUGGUUUUCCAUUCAGGCCCUUGAAACCUUUUUUUAAAAAGUUGUUGGUUGUCAUUUCUUUCUCCGUCUUUCCCCUAGUUCAUUUUAAUUUAUUUGAAUCUAAUUUUUCCAACAGCUAAUAUAUAUAUAUAUAUAUGUAUGUAUGUAUGUAUGAAAGCAACAGGCUAGGCAAUGGCUGCAGACCUGGUUUCCACUACUUUUUCCGGCAUUGUAACAGAAGGUGCAAAGGCAUUGUUCGAACCGAUUAUGCGGCAGAUCUCUUAUGUGUUCAAGUACCAGAGCUACAUAGCUGAGCUAAAAGUUCAAGUGAAGGAGCUAGAAUAUAAAAGAGAAAGGGUGGGAAUACCCGUUCGUGAGGCUACUCAACAAAGAGAUGAGAUUUACAAGGAUGUUGCAGACUGGCUUAAUAACGUUGAUGAAUUCAUCAGUGAAGGGGUUGCAAAAUCCAUCAUUGAUGAUGAAGAUAGAGCUAAGAAGUCCUGCUUCAAAGGAUUUUGCCCCAACUUGAUUUCUCGUUAUAAACUUAGUAAACAAGCAGCAAAGGCCGCAGAAGCUGCCGCUAGUCUCGUGGGAAAAGGCAACUUCUCUAGUGUUUCCCACCGUCCUGCUCCAGAGAGUACAGAACAUAUGCAAGCGAAAGAUUUCGAGGCCUUUGAUUCAAGAAUGAAAUUAUUUCAAGAUGUUGUGGAGGCAUUGAGGAAUGAUAAGCUCAACAUAAUUGGGGUCCACGGUAUGGGCGGCGUGGGUAAAACCACGCUAGUCAAGCAAAUUGCAAAGCAAGUUAUGGAAGAUAAGGUGUUCGAUAAGGUCGUUAUGGCUGAGGUAACAGAGAACCCAGAUGUUCAGAAAAUUCAAGACAAGCUCGCUUCCGAUUUAGACUUGAACUUUGACUUGAAUGAUAGCAAACCCCACAGAGCAAAACAACUUUGUCAAAGAUUGACGAAAGAGAAGCGAGUCCUCAUUAUAUUAGAUAAUAUUUGGAAAAAACUUGGGUUGGAAGAAAUUGGAAUUCCUUUUGGGGAUGUUGAUGAGAAAGAUAGAAAGCAAGAUCUAAGGAGACGCAUGAUAAUAUUGACGUCUAGAAGUAAACAUUUAUUGACCAAUGACAUGAAUUCUCAGAAGAUUUUCCUAAUUGAAGUUUUAUCAAAGGAAGAAGCAUUGCAAUUUUUUGAAAAGAUCGUGGGCAAUUCCGCAAAAGCAUCUGCUUUUCAACCUUUAGCAGAUGAGAUUGUUGGAAAAUGUGGAGGAUUGCCUGUUGCACUGAGUACAGUUGCAAAUGCUCUGAAAAAUAAGAAGCUUCCCGUUUGGAAGGAUGCGUUGACUCAGCUGCGAAAUUCUAAUCCAAGAGAAAUUCAUGGAAUGGAUGCAAAUGUCUGCUCUUCCAUAGAAUUGAGUUACAACUUCUUGGAAAGUGAUGAAGCAAAAUCUUUGUUCCUUCUUUGUACUCUAUUUGGUGAAGGUACUCCUAUACAAGUUGCUUCCUUGUUGAGAUAUGGUAAGGGUUUGUUUAAAAAUGUUCGCACAUUGGAAAAUGCAAGGAAUAGAGUGGACGCAUUGAUCGACAAUCUCAAAGCUUCAUGCUUAUUGUUGGACGGCGAUGCUGAAGAUGAAGUUAAAAUGCAUGACGUCAUUCAUGUUGUUGCCGUAUCAAUUGCCUCAGAGAAGCUCAUGUUUAGUAUCCCAAAUGUUACCAACUUGAAGGAAGAGAUAGAAAAGAUCAUACAGAAAGGUGCAAUUGCUAUUUCUAUACCUUAUGGAGAUAUUCAAGAGCUUCCCGAAAGGUUGGAAUGUCCCCAACUCAAGUUAUUACUGUUGCUUGCAAAUGGUGAUAGCUAUUUGGAAAUUUCACACCUCUUUUUUGAAGGGACGGAAGAUCUCAAAGUUUUAAGUCUUAGCGGAAUUCAUUUCUCUUCAUUAUCUUCAUCACUUGGUCACCUCAUUAACCUUCAAACAUUGUGUUUAGACUGGUGCCAACUAGAAGAUGUAGCGGCAAUUGGACAGCUAAAGAAAUUAGAGAUUCUUAGCUUUCGAUAUUCCGACAUUAAGCAGUUGCCACUUGAAAUUGGUCAAUUGGCGCAGUUACAAUUGCUAGAUUUGAGCAAUUGUAGCAGCCUUGUAGUGAUAGCACCAAAUGUCAUAUCAAAAUUUUCUCGAUUGGAAGAACUAUAUAUGGGUGACAGCUUUCCGCAGUGGGAUAAGGUUGAAGGAGGAAGUAACGCCAGUCUUGCUGAAUUGAAGGGGCUGUCAAAGCUAACUACUUUGGAGAUACAAGUUCAGGAUGCCCAAAUGCUGCCGCAGGAUUUGGUCUUUGUCGAAUUGCCAAGAUAUAGGAUAUGUAUAGGAGAAGCGUGGGGCAUCUGGCGCGCUAAUUCUGAAACAUCAAGAUUGGUGCAGCUCCAUGGGUUAGAAAAUGUUAGCACUCUUUUGGAGAAUUAUGGGAUGAAAAUGUUGCUGAAGUUAACUGAAGAUAUCCGUCUAGAGGAACUGACGGGUGUUCAGAAUGUUGUUCAUGAAUUAGAUGAUGGGGAAGGUUUUCCACGAUUGAAGCAUCUUUGGGUAGAAAGGUGUUCUGAGAUUUUACACAUUGUCGGUUCAGUUGGACGGGUUCAUCGCAAAGUCUUCCCCUUGCUGGAGUCAUUGUCUCUCUAUAAAUUGAUCAAUUUGGAGGCCAUAUGCCACAGCCAACUCAGAGAAGAUCAAUUUUUCAGCAACUUAAAGAUUAUAGAAGUAGAAUCCUGUGAUAAAUUGAAGCAUCUUUUCUCAUUUUCCAUAGCCAGAAACCUACUGCGGCUUCAAAAGGUCAAAGUGGCUUCCUGCAAUAAACUGGAAAUGACUGUUGGUAAGUGUUGAAAUUAAGUGUUGGUGGAUUUAUGGACUUCGCCUCAAUUAUUUUGAAAAAAAAAAGACAACGACAAAGAUUAAUUAUGUAUAUUGUUUUUGUUUGUUUACAGGACCCGACAGGGAGAAACCAACAACUUCUUUGGGAUUCAACGAAAUCAUUGCUGAUGAUGAUACUGCUCCAAAGGUGAUAAUUUUCUGUUCAAUAAUUAAUUGAUUAAUUUAUUAUCACGAUUAAUCUUCGAUCAUCAACAGAAUAUUAUACUAGACGGUUGUACUUGAAGGAACAAAAAUGUACGGCUUUUCUUUGCAGGUUCUUCUUCCGAGCUUAGAGGAAUUGAAUCUCACGGAAUUAAGAAACAUCAAAAAAUUAUGGGCCGAUCAUAAUCAAGGAAUGUACUGUUGUCAAAAUUUAACAAAGCUGUACGUGAGAAGUUGUGAUCGUAUGAAGUAUCUGUUUUCGUAUUCUAUGGUUAAUAGUCUUUUGCAACUCCAACAUCUUGAAAUAUGGUCUUGUGAGUCAAUGGAAGGGGUAGUCGACACCACGGGGUGGUCAGAAAGAGAUGAAGGAAAGUUGAUUGAAUUAAAGGUUUUUCCUAAACUACACUCCCUGCAGCUCUAUUGGCUUACAGAACUGACAAGCUUCGCCAAUACAGGACAUAUUCAUUCAGAUUUAGUUGUUGAAUUCCCUUCUUUGCUAAACCUCGAGAUUGGUAAUUGCAGUAAUAUGUUAAGAUUCAUCUCUACGAGCUCACCAGAAGACACCAAUCAUUCUGAAAUGCAACCUCCUCCUCUCUUUGACGAAAAGGUUUUUUUUUUAAUAAAUAAAAUUAAUUUUAGUCACAAUACUUAAUUUGUCUUUUCCUUGAGUCUUCAAAUUUAGUUAAUAUCCGCCUCUAAUUUAGUUAUCAAUUGAUUAUGCCAUUAAUUGAUUAAUUAGUUAUUUAAUCUUUAACUUCCAGGUACGACUUCCUAGGUUGGAGGUAUUAGAUAUUAGCUGGAUGAAUAAUUUGAGAAAAAUAUGGCACCACCAGCUUCCUUCGGAGUCUUUCAGCAAAUUGAAGAAUUUGGAGAUAUAUAAGUGUCAUAACCUAAUGAAUAUUUUUCCUCCAUUGGUAAGGUCGUUGUAUUCAUUUCGAAUCUUUUUUUUUUUAAAUUACAUCCAACAAUAUUUUAACCAUUUUUGGGUUUACAAAUGAUAUUCAGCCACUGAUUAUUUAUUUCAAGUAUUGUAUUUCGAACCACCACUCUCAAAUCUACAUUUUAAGUCCAUUUUUUAGGUUCGCCAGCAUUAGAAUCAACAAUAUAAUUUUUUUAAUCACGAUUCAACAUCAUAAUAUAAUUCAAUUUAAUUGUUUCUGCUCAUAUCUUAAUAAGUACAAUUUUCAAAAAUUAAAGGAUAGUCACUCAUCUUAUAGGUUCACAAAUUCAUCUAUAUAUUUCUCUUUUCCUUAAUUCUUCACAUUUCGAUUGGAAAAAGAAAAAAAGAAAAGAAAAGUCUUCAAAUUUAAUUAAUAUCUCUUGUUUAGUUACGAACUGAUUAUGCCAUUAAUUAACCACAAAUUCACGAUUAUUUACAACUGAUCCUUGAUUGUAAAGAAAUUUCCUCGAGUCUGGAAGUACUUAAUAAAGAUCCACUUUAAUUUUGUUUCCAAAAUUAAAUAUACAUAAAAAAAAGGGACCAAGGGAAAAGGGAAAAAGCGGCAUUUUGGUUGAUUUUUUUUUCCCAAAAGGAAUAGUUGAAAUUUGCAAAUUUUGUUUAAAAACUGGCAUCAAGAUGCAAAAUAAGUCUAAAAUAUUUAGAAAUUGCCUUAAAUUCUUCGUACGUUCCUAAUACUAAAUAGUGUAAAUGCAUUUAAUAUCUUUGUUUAUCUGGCUUUUAUUUAUUUAUUUAUCUUGUUGCUUUUUUUGUUUAACAAAAAAUUAUCUUGUAGACAUUUCAUGGUUUGUUAUCUUUAUAAAACGUAUAAUUGUAUGAUUAAACAUACUUUGAACCUAGUUGAAUGAUAUUCUUACAUUUUUACUUUUUUAAUAUACACACACUUUUGCUUAUUUUCAGGUUGGAAUUCCUAGUAGUUUGGUGAAUCUUAAAGUAUCGAAGUGCCAAAAAAUAGAAGAAAUCGUAGGACAUGUUGGAGAAGAAGUGAAGGAGAAUCGUAUUGCUUUCAGCGAAUUAAAAGUUUUGAUACUUAAUUAUUUAUCAAGGCUUACCAGCUUUUGUUUGGAGAAUUACACUCUUGAAUUCCCAUCACUGGAACGAGUUUCUAUGAUACGUUGUCCAAAUAUGAAGACUUUUUCUCAGGGAAUCUUAUCCAUUCCAAAGCCAUGCAAAGUGCAAGUGACUGAAAAGGAAGAGGGUGAACUGCACCAUUGGGAAGGCAAUAACCUUAAUUCCAUUAUGCAAAAGUAUUACAAAGAAAUGGUAUGUGUUAAUCGAUUCACCCAAAUUGUUUAUGCAUCUCCCCUGCAAUUGCACAUUUAAGCAUAUACCCCGGUCUUGUAUAUAUAUUUUUAGAAGUUAAAACACAAAACAUGUAAGUUUAAUGUGUAUAUAUAUAAUGCCUUUCAAAAAAAAAAUUGUAUAUAUCCGGUGCAAUUGUUUUGGUUUGUGCAGAUUGGAUUCCGUGACAUAUGGUAUUUGCAACUCUCACAUUUUCCACGUUUGAAAGAAAUAUGGCAUGGCCAAGCACUGCCUGUCAGCUUCUUCAACAAUUUAGCACGGCUGGUGGUGGAUGACUGCACGAAUAUGUCGAGUGCUAUUCCUGCCAAUCUGCUACGAUGCUUGAACAAUUUGCGACGGCUGGAAGUGAGGAAUUGUGAUUCACUAGAAGAGGUGCUUCGUUUGGAAGAGCUAAAUGCUGACAAAGAACAUAUAGGCCCCAUGUUUCCUAAGCUUUCCAAUCUAAGGCUCAUUGAUCUUCCAAAACUCAAAAGAUUCUGCAACUUCACUGGGAAUAUAAUUGAACUGCCUGAGUUGAGAUAUCUAACUAUUGAGAAUUGCCCUGACAUGGAAACAUUCAUAUCCAAUUCUACAUCUGUAUUGCACAUGACAGCAGAUAAUAAGGAAGCUCAAAAAUUAAAAUCAGAAGAGAACCUCUUGGUAGCUAAUCAAAUACAACAUCUCUUCGAUAAAAAGGUAAUCAUUAUUAUUAUUUUUCCCUUCACUUUCAUUCGCAUAGAUGUAAUUUCAUUAGAAUCAAAUCAAAUUUAAUGACUUAUCUUUUUGCACGUCGUCUUAAUUUAUAUCUGAUUUAACAAUAUAAUUGUAGUUAUUAACUAACUUUAUAGUAUGAAUUAAAAAAAUGUCUCAAAUUAAUUAGAUGCCUAGUGACAGGAGGUGAUGAACUAUAUCGCAUAAAUUAUGCGUGUUAGAUCUUUGUUUUCCUAGCUAAUUCAUAUUGGAUUUAUGAUCAGAUUUCAUUUAUGUGUUUCAAAGGGUAAUCGAUUUGAUACUUAUAUUUGGGAUCCUACUGCAAAGCAUACUAAUUUGGAAAUAAAAUAUAAAAUGCCGUGAUUAAUCUUGUCCAUAAAAUAUGUAGGGGAAGACUGUAGAGAUUGGAUACAUAUUUUCAUUUACAACUUAAUUUUGUUGAUUUUCAGGUUGCAUUCCCUCAAUUGAUGAAGUUAAAGCUAUCUGGAUUACACAAAGUGCAGCAUCUCUGGAAGGAAAAUGCCGAAUCCAACAAAGUGUUUGCAAACUUGAAAAGUCUAGAAAUAUUUGAAUGUAGUAAGUUGCAGAAAUUAGUACCAGCUUUGUGGCAUUUGGAAAAUCUUGCGACUCUGGAAGUAUCGAAGUGUCAUGGGUUGAUAAAUUUAUUGACACUCUCAACAUCUGAAAGUCUAGUGAAUCUUGAAAGAAUGAAGAUAACUGAUUGCAAAAUGAUGGAAGAAAUUAUACAGUCGCAGGUUGGAGAAGAAGCGGAAGAUUGCAUUGUUUUCAGGAAAUUGGAGUACUUGGGAAUUGAUUGUUUGCCAAGCCUAACAAGCUUUAGUUUGGGUAAUUACGCUCUUGAGUUCCCGUCCUUGGCACACGUAGUUGUGAGACAAUGCCCAACGAUGAAGAUUUUCUCUCCAGGAGUCGUAGACGCACCAAAGCUAAACAAAGUGAAACCCACCGAAGAUGAAGAUGGUGAUGAUGAAGGAUGUUGGGAAGGCAACCUCAAUGACACUAUAAAAAAAUUGUUCAAUGAAAUGGUGAGUAUCAAUGAAGUGUUGGCACUAUCUAGUAAAUUAUUUCUAUUUAAUGUGGCAUAAUAUGAUUGCUUGACUGAAAAUAUAAAAUAAUAAUAAAUAAAUUAUGAGGGUCAUGUUAUGUUUUUGUUUAAUCAAUCAUAUUAUGUCAUAUUAGUUUGUACAAUAUUAUUUGUGCACAAGAGGCUGUGGUCGUAUCAUUACUCUUGCCUUAUUAUUAUUAUGGUUGUAAUGUAUGCUUGCUUACACGAGUAAUUACAAAAUGUGCAGAAUUCUAAAGAAAAGAUUGAGCCAACCCUUCAGGUACUGUGAAGAAGCUAUCUCGAACCAGGCCAACCUCUUGUACAUGAUUCAACUUGCUUGUUCUCCUGUACUUGAAUAAUCUAAACGCAUUUACAAUUAUUUACAGACAUGCAAGACACUUUGGAUUUGUUUGAUGCAUUCUCUGUUUAAGGAAGGACUUGAAUUGAUGUUUCAUGCUUCAUGCAAUUUUCAAUUAGAUACUGUUUAAACUUCUGCAUUAUUCAUUCAAUUGGUGUUUUAAGCAUUUGAUUUCUAACUAGUCCUAAUAGAAGAUUAUUGGCUGAAGAAAACAUCAUAACAUUUGUGGCAUUAUCAGAAUAAUAAUAGUUUUACGAGUAUAGUAAAAUUAACUCGACCAUUAUUAAAAGGAAUUAAUCCGUCAAAUUAACUUUCUCAGACCAGAACCCUUUAAGUUAAAAGAAUUUCGUGAAGUCAAGACCAUGUUAUAGAUCUUGUGGAAAUAAGUGAACCCAUAAAUGUUUUCACAGCAUCAUAAGAAAAUCAUUUUUUUAGUUGUUGAGUUUUAAAAGUAGUAGGCUAUUAAACAAUGACAAUUAGUGCGGUCGCAGUUGGGGAUCGAGUAGUUCACUUGAUUGCGAGUAGAAACCAACUUCAAUACUAUUACACUCAUUCCAAAAAUAGUAACUAAAGAAUUAUUAAGUUUCCUAUUAAGUAUUCUUUAUUUUUUAAUGCAAAAUUCCUAUUCGAAAACACCAGUGACUUUCUUUCAAAGUAAAUGAGAAAUUACAAUGAAAACGGGAUCAAAAUACAUGUAUGCAUACCUAAAACAAAUGAUUUUUUUUUUCAAUUAAAAAAAAAACAGUUGAGGUGAAAUGAAACCAGAGUCAUGAUGUCUCUGGUUCCAACUUUGGGACAAUAGCAGACUUGAGUUCUAUAUAAGAAACACGUACAGCUCCAAUCAGCCGCUCCGGUAAUUCAUCUGUAGUAUUUGCCUGCAUACACGAAGCAUUAUACCAUUCUGAAAAUGAUUCUUGAGUUACUAUUCAAGUAUGCAAAUAUGCAAAUUGCAGUACAAUAUCUCAAAAUCAUGUCUCUUCCCUCGUGUCAUUUAGAAGUGGGGGAAAAAAACAAUCAUACAUACCUGCACAAGGAAAGCCAUGUCAACCACCAAUGCCGUAAUUACACCAAUUACAAGGCCCAAAACUCCAUUAGCAACUCUAGAAGAACACGUCAACAUCAAUCUACAGAAAGAUGAACAAUGUUAAACCAUGUUAAUGGUAUUGAACAAGCUAUUUGAAAGGGAACACAUCCCAUGUACUAUAGGAAUUCGAAGAGCAUUUAUUUCUAACUACUUAGGACCGCGGAUAUAGUUACAAUCAACUGCUUUUCCUAAUAAACAAGGGGUGCUUCCAUCACUCUGGUGCAUGAUCCAUGACUAAGCCCUAUAUUUAAGUCAUAUUGAGGAAACAUAAGAAAAAAAUUCCAGAAAAAGUAUCAGCUAAGAAUUAAAAUUAAAUUCAUCAAAAUGAUCUCAAUCACUAGAUUUUUUACUGUCACAGUAUGUUUAAAAACUUGCAGAAGGCCCAAAGAGAACUUAGGACUGAACCGAGGGAAAAACAAGACGGUGUAUUUAUUUUAUUUCUGAAUGCCAACAAUUACAUUGGGAUACAGAAAUUUUAGGUAAUUUCCUCACAUAUUACAUCAGAAGAGAGGAAAGGGGAAAGAAGAACAAUAAAUGUUCUAUUCUGACCAAAGCAUAAAUGAGAUGAUUGAAUCAAGAGACUAUUACAUUGGAAGCCAGUCCAGCUGAAGCCUAUGAUAGAGAAUAGCCGUAUGACCAUCUACCUCUUCAACUAAGCUGCGAUACAGAAGACUACAAUCCCACCUGCACAAAACAUGAAAAACGGUGUACGUGCGGCAAGAACUUUGAGAAAGGUACAUAAAAAAGAUCUGAUGGCCAAGAAAUACAACAAUUGUACAACCAAAAGAGGUAGAAAUCCAUGUCUAGUACACUGCCCUCUUCAAGACCUCUAAAUACUGAGUCAAAUUGAUAGGAAUUUCAUGGAAAUAACUAUUCGACAAAUGAUCAGCCUUGCUGGCCUUUAUAAGCCAACGCACAGAGAUUAUGGAACAAUGCAAUGGUGCAAACCAAGAAUUAUUAGGGUACAGACAGUAAAAUUAAAUAGAAUAAUUUGAACACAUUACUAGCAAACCUUGCCAAGAGACUUGUUAAAAUCUAAUUCGCAAACCAGCUAGAUUUGCUAGGAAACAGGUAAUUUCAGGCAGCACGCCUUCUCCUGUUUUAGAACACUCUUUUAUGUAAUAGUGACUUCAAAAGUGUAACAUGUUUCGAAAAAAAAAAAAAAAGAGGAAAGAACGUAUUUGACACUUCAUGAAAUGGCUAAGAUACAAGCUUUAAUCUAGUACAACAAAUUAAUAUAACUAACUUCAACCAUCAAUUGAUCUAUAGUUCAGCAACAAAAAAUAUAGAUAGCUACAUCUAUUUUGUCUUCAUCAAAUACCAUUAGCUAAGUGGAGAAAAGUUAUAAAAAUGAGUCCUAGUCUUUCUUUAUUAAUGAAGCAAUCCAUCAAACUUCAAAAGCUAUUUUCAUUUCCACAUUCUUCAUAUACUUAAGCAACAAAAGUUUGUAAUAAUCUUUAGAAAGCACCAUGCAGAUUAAUUAAAUAUAUUCAAAAAGGCACAUACAGAAUCGGGACUGGAGACAAUGUGAAUUUCACAGCAUACAAGAGGAAAUAUAAUACUCAGCUUACACAGACAGCCAAUAUAGUCUUGAUUAUGUUAAAGUAACUAAAAAUAAAAAAUAGAAAAGAAGCAUACUCGUAUCGUGUCCCAUCCAUGCUCAUUACAAGUUCAAAUAUUUCUUCACAGCUGGCCUUCAUAACACCAACAGCCUUCAUUGCUCUACUACAGCUUCUCGGCAGCAUUAAGUAAACUUUAGAUGAUGGUUCUGACCUAAACAAAAUCACAUCCUGAGCAUAGAGUAAAGAAAGUGGCAUACAUGGUAAUCAACUUCAAGAAGCUCUUCAGAAAUACAUAAUUCUGUUGGGGAGAAAAGAAAAAAGAAAGAAUACAAAUAAAAAGAAGUCACAAACAAUUCAUUUCCUGCACUACACAUCAGCAGCAGUUUUUCGGGAACACAAAAAUGUUAUAAUAACUUUUCUUGAUUGCCACCCACAUGCUAAACUGAUCAAAUACAAAACAGGAUACAGAAAAUCUCUAACCUUUUUGGCACUGAAGAAGACGCCAGUGCUUUCAAAAGAAAAUGCUUGAUUGUUGGCAUUCUGGUUUGAAAAAUAUGAGUCCAAUUCCUGUGUCCAGUCAUGUACCAAAUCAGGACGACCUGCCAGUCAUACAAAGAUGACAAAAAUACACUAUAAAUUGCGUCAAACCAAUUCAAGUCAAUUGGAGAAGUAAAUCAAGGACCAUUUGCAAUAGUUGUUCUCCACAUCAAAUUUGGGUGUCCAUCGUCUUCAUCCUCUUGUGCACUGAACCUGAGAGUCCACGAGAAAUACAUAUAAAAAUUAGCCAUGAUUGAAAUUGAUAGUAGUACAAAAUGGAUAUAAACAUCACGAUGAACAAAUUAAAUUGUUCCAUGUCAGACAAAUCCAGCCUGCAAGCUUAAGCUCUUAAGCUAGACCAAAUCACACUGCAAAUAACAAUACAUAAGGCCAAAAAAAGAUAAUAUGUAUCAUUCAUAUGCUUCGCCCUAUAGAAAUGAUUUGAGUCUACAUAAGAAAAUUUUUUGAGCUUCCCGAUCCACGAAUAAUAAUAAAUCUCCUUAAAAUAAUCUUUUGUAAAUAAUUUUAUUUUUCUUGACACAUGACAAGCACCUUCAUAUAGAGAAGAAAGGAGAAUCUCAAAUUCCACCCGCUCUCAGAACACCACAUCAAAGCUUCGUAUCAGUGAACAUGGAAGAAGAAUAAAAGAAGUAGCUCAAAUCCUGUAAAAAAGAACCUUGGACUUCGACUCUUGUCAAACAGUUGACUCCGACUGAAUAUAGGAAGAGUAAUUGAGCAAGCAUAGAUCGGCCAAGCUUAAGCAAGCGCAUAGAUCGGCCAAAUUUGAGCAAAGCCGAGAGAGAGAGAUGAUUGUGGUCAAUUUACAGCCGCAGUUGAUCGUUGCCGACUCGUGCCGCCGUUGAUGGCCGUGGAACAAGAAGAGAGGUGAGGUGAGGCGAGGGAGUGGUAAGGCGCGUGACGCGAGGGCGUGGGAGUGGGAGUGGGAGUGGGAGUGGGAGUGGUGGUUUUUGUGCAUGUAUCAGAUGCACGCAUGUAUUAUAGCAGAGUUGAGUUCAAUACGAAAAACACGUACAGCACCAAUCAGCCACUUCGAUAAUUCAUCUGUAGUUGUGAGAUGAUGAAUCAAGUUUGGUUCCCAGAAACGGCUGCGUUUUGAAGCCGUAAAAGCUUCAUUAGCUCACGUGCUGUUCAGCUGAUUCUUAACAAAAAAACGAUUUAGUGGAAACGACAUGGAUGGAGCACGUUUUACAUAUCAAUUUAAGUAACCACGUGAGGAAGCAUGUGAUGAAGGUUGUUCCGAGUUCGUUGAAGGUUGUUAAGCACGUGUCAAAACAAAGUGUUCAUGCUGGAAAGAAACAAAAUAUUAAUAAAUAAACCCUUAAAAAGAUUCUCUGAAAAUUAUGUUUAACUAGAACAAUUAUCUAGCAGUUUGAUAUAUUAAAUGAGCCUGUUAAUUAUUUCACUUACUAUCUUAUAAAUCCUCUCAAAAUUACACCGCUGCUCUGACCCCAAGUUCCAUUAUCAAUUAUAUCAUUCCCUAUCUUAUAGUAAAGGUAAAAGAAAAGAAAAGGUAUAUUGCAUUAGAGUUCGUGUACUUCUACCUUUUAGUUUAUUCUUCAUUUUAUUAAAAUGACAGAUUCCUCAUUAAAAAAGGUCACUCUACAUAGUAUGUGGGUGUAUGUUCUUUUAAAAAGGACUGAGAGAAAAUACAGUAGCACGUAAAAAUGUGCACCCAGCAGCAGAACCAUAUUAAUCCACAACAGCGCAAAAUAAAUGUGAAAAACAAGUAACAUCUGAAGAAGACAGUGAUGCCGAAACAUUGACGACCAAUAUAGUGUCUUGAUUUGGUUAAUUAAAUAUAUUUUUGUUAUCAUCCACCUGUUUGCUUUAAAUAAUUUUCAAUAUUUUUUCGUAUGCCUGAAAUUCCAAGGAAAAAUAUUUGUAUAAGGACAAGAGUUAAGGGGGACAAAAAUGGAAAAAAUAGGGCUCCUUUGUUUUCAUUCCCCUGUUUCUCCGUUUGGUAAUUGCAAAAAUUUAAAUCUAAACUUAUGAUGCAGGCUACAAGGUAGCUGGUGGACGAUUAAUAGGGUCUAUCUUUUGUUGUUAAUUAGGAAUUUAAUUUGGAAUUUGUAGUGUGCGCCUUAUCUAAGCAGACUUCCUAACAGUAAUUAAAUAAUCUAAAUUUAUGAUGCAUUAGGAUAUGAUUGUGAUAAAUUAGCUUUUUUCUCUGUAUUCUAUGAGGCUGAUUAUUAUUUUAAUUUAAGCCACACCUUUAAAUUCAGUUUUCGCAAAACUGACAGGUAGCUUGGGUGUAAAUGAAUAUACAUUAAUGAAGAACGGACAUGUGGAGUACCGAUAUACUAGCAUAAGUAAUGUUUAAUUUUAAUGUAUAAAACAAUGGUGCAUUUAGAAGGUACUACUGUAGAAAUAAAAUUUGUGCUUGCAACUCAUUUUUUAAUUCCCCUUUUUAAUAAUAAUCAAAAGAAAGCAGAGGAGAAACAGGGGAUUUUCCAGUUUUUUAUUCGGUGAUUUUUAACUUUAUCAUGGAAUUGUCAAUUUUUAGUUGAAACUUAUCUAAAUCGUCCUCUCUAUAUAAGCGAAUACAAUAAUUUUGUGAAAGAUAUAUGCAAAAACAAUACUAAUAAGUAUAUUUAUUUAUCUAAGACGUAGAGCUCUAAUGCUCAGAUAUGGAUAGUCCCAUUUUUUGUUAGAGGCAUCUCUUUCCAUGCAUUGAAUUAUUGCAAGCAAAUCGCUUCUCGCAAUUACAAACCUACCCUCAUCAUUGUCUCUCACGUAUCCAGCACCACAGUUACCCAUUCCUCUCCUCACCAAGGCACACAGAUUACAGGACAAUGCAGCGAUGCCAACCAAGAAUGCUUAGGGUAAAGACGGAAACAUAAAACAGAAUAAUAAAAAAAAAUCUAUUCCGUAAACAUAAUAAUUAAACAGAAAGUGGUACGUUCAGACAAAACACCUGCUCCUGUUUUAGAAAAGAGCUCCUCCGUUUUUAUUUCUCUGUUUUACUGUUUGGUGAUUGCAAAAAUUUUUGUCUAAAUAAUGCAUAGUAGAGUCAAGAAUAAAUUUAUGUUAAAACAAAGAAACAUCAAAGAUCCCCUGAUAUUAUUAUCCAGAACAAUAUGUUUAUUGGGCCGAAAUGGGCUAACAUACAUGGGUUCAAGCUUGCAAAAUCCACAUUUAUGUAUAAUUAUAUAGUAAUUAAAUACUGAACUUGAACUCAUACAACUCUUCAAUCAUUUGGAUUUCGAAUCUGUGUUAAUUGAACUAAAUACUGUCAGGCAUUCGAGUAAACACAUAAAGAAUUCAUGAUUUAAUGUCGUUCUGAAUUUUGACUUCAUAAUAUUCCAGCUACCGUUGCAGUUUCUAUUAUUGUGUGAUAAAUAUGAAUGAUGUCUUAGUAUAAAGACAUGUCUCAUUAAUUAUACCUUAUAGAAGAGAUAUCUUUUUAUACUAAAACUAUAUAGUGAAAAGGGGUCCGCCUAAGUUACGUUAAACGUAACUUACGGCCUGGCUGUAAAACUUCAUCCAGCCCCCUAUAUUCGAUAUUAUUUAUAUUAUAUUUGUGAAUAUUAUAAAAAUUUUUGAUUUGAAAAAUUUCGUUUAACCCCUUACACUCAAUUUUAUUUUAUUAAAAUCCUAGAGUACGAAUUUGCCUCCUAUAAUUUUAAAUUCUCAAAAUAACCUCAUUUAAUUAAAAAAUAUAAUUAUUAUUAAUUGAAUUAUAAUUAUAACUAUUAUUUUAUUAUAAUUAUAAAUAUAUUUAUAUUUUUUAAAUAGAUUAUUGUUAUUAUUAAUAACAAGAAUAAAAAGUAUUACAAUUAAUUAAUCUAUUAACAAUAAUUAAUAAUUUUUUAUUAAAUUGUUAAUAAUAAUUAAUGAUAAUUAUUAUUAAUAAUUAAGUUUUGAAUAAUAAUAAUAAUUAACAAUUAUCAUUAAUAGAUUGUGACUGACUCUGAACAAGUUGUCCGAUAUUUUAUAUCAUAUUGUAUGCAUUCACUUCUGGCUACAAAAAAAAUUAAAGAAAUAGCUUUCUCUUUAACCAAACAAGAGAUUUAACAAAAUCAUAAACACACGUUUCUCAAAACUAACAAGGACUUGGACAAUUAUGGCACUAAGUAGUACUGCAAUUAAUAUCAGUGAUGAGAGUAUGUUGCUACUUUGCUAGCUAAGCCUAGGUGGGCAUUGGCAUUCCUAGGACUCUGAACAAUUAUCGUUAAUUUUUAAAAAUCAAUUAUUAAUAAUAAUUAUCGUUAAUUACUACUAUUAUUAAUUUAAUAAAAACUAUUAUUAAUUAUUGUUAAUAGAUUAAUUAAUUGUAAUACUUUUUAUUCUUGUUAUUAAUAAUAAUAAUCUAUUUAAAAAAUAUAAAUAUAUUUAUUAUUAUAAUAAAAUAAUAAUUAUAAUUAUAAUUCAAUUAAUAAUAAUUAAAAUUUUAAUUAAAUGAGAUUAUUUUGAGAAUUUAAAAUUAUAGGGGGCGAAUUCGUACUCUAGGGUUUUAAUAAAAUAAAACUAAGUGUAAGGGGUUAAAUGAAAUUUUCUAAAUAAAAAAGUUUUAUAAUAUUCAUGAAUAUAAUAUAAAUAACAUUGAAUAUAGGGGGCUGGAUGAAAUUUUAAAGCCAGGCCGUAAGUUACGUUUAACGUAACUUAGGCGGACCCAGUGAAAAGAUAUCUCUUCUAUCAGGUACAAUUAAGUAUGGUUGCUUGCAAAGAAAUGUAAAUAUAAGUCAUAAAACAAAGUCUCUAUUAUUUGAAGUACAAUUUCAUUCACAUGUUGCACAUGAGACUUGAGCAACCACGAUGUGCAGAAGACACUUUACAAUGAUUUUGCUUGUUUUUUUCCUAAUCAUUUCUGUAAUUGAUUUUGUUAGAAAAUGUUAGUAAUGAUUAAAUUACUUUAAAAAACACACUCACACAUCUUAACUGUAAAGGUUCAGAAAAUAUAUCGAUAAAGGUCAGAAGUAUCUAAUAAAAGUUGGCCAUAAACUUCAAUAUCCAAAAUUGCUUUAAUAAAGUAGCUGCAGUAAACAAAAGUCAGUAACCAUAGGCGACAAUAAAUCACAAUCAGCAACUAGGUCUCCAAAUCAAAAUAUAAUGGAUUUGGUUAAGUCUUCUUUCGAAAAGCUCUCUCUCCUUUAGAGAGGCUUGAAUGGAAGUAUUGAGGGGUCGUAAGGACUCAUGUGUUCACUCCCUGUGAGUGGAAGGUAAUCCAAAAAAAGUCAGCUUUUGGGGUUGGUGAGCUGGUUGAGAAAGCUUCGAAAGCAAAGUUCGUGUAGAGCGUUGGGGCACGAUUUAAAGCUAGUGAGCCUAAAUAACUUACUACCUAUCCAAGCAUUAACUACCAUGGAUACUGAAGAGCUAAUUCGUAAGUGUCAAGCAAUAACUAUCACAGAGGAAGACAAAGCCAAAAUAACGCUGGAGGUGAAUUUGGAAAAAAAGAAAGAACAAAUGAUGGCAGGAUGCUUAGUGGGCAAAGUACUUCUCACAAAGGGAGUAAAAAAAGAUGGACUUAAGGUUGCGUUACAGCAGGUGUGGAGGACUUUCAAAGAAGUCAAGAUCGAAAGCGUGGGAAACAACAUCUUCAUGUUCAAAUUUGCUGAAGAAGCAGACAAAAAACGAGUUCUCAAAGGGGGACUAUGGCACUUCGACAGGGCCUUGAUUGUUCUCGCUGAGCCAAGGGGGAUUGGGGAAGUCGCAAAACAAUCUUUUAUUCACACAUCCUUUUGGGUGCAUAUUCGUAAUAUCCCACUGGCGUGUAUGGAUAAAGAUUUUCUCCGAGACUUGGGCGGGAAGAUUGGAUCAGUAUAGGAGGUUCAAACGGAUGAUAAUGGAGACUGUAUUGGGGAAUUUUCCAGAAUAAGAGUCUCAAUUAACAUAACACAGCUGCUAGAGAAGAUUUUAUUUCUAAAGCAAGAAGGUGAAACUGAUAUCCCAAUGCCGGUGGUAUAUGAACGCUUGCCAGAUUUCUUUUAUUGCUGCGGAAUUAUUAGACAUCAAUACAAAGAGUGUGGCAAGUACCAAGACCAACCAAGAGAAGAUCUACCAUUUAGGAGUUGGAUGAAAGUGAUUACGGUAGGGGGUUUUACAAAGAGGAAUUGGAACAAGGAAAGGUGGAACUAUGGGGCUGGUAAAUCGGAUGAAAAAUCAACAAGCUCAGGAACUCACAACUUCCCGCAACAGCAAGGGCAAAACCAAGAAAACUCGAUAGGGGCAAACGGGUCAGUACCCAUUGAGAAAGAAAUGGGGCAAACCAUGAAGCAUGCCAAGAAGGAUGUUAUAGGAGGAGUAGCUGAGCAACAAUUAAUGCGAAGAGUGAUACAAUCAGCGGAAAAAAAGUAAAAUGAUGGCAACAAGCAAGCUGGGGAAACUGGCAAUGCAACAACCCCAAGGAAAAUGGGCACACAAGCGGGAAAUGGCAUUCCAAAAGAGAGGGAAAAAAUGCAGAUAAGUCAUGAAGAGGAAGCUGAAAUAAACAAUGGGCCGGAAGUAUCUCAACUACAGCCCAAUAAAAGGAAAUUGAAGUAAUUAACUAGAGAUCUAAGCGAGGGGGGGGGGGGAAAUUAAGUUACGAGUUCAAAAAAGGCCUAGGGGGAAAAAAUUUGGGCAAAGCCCAAGGAAAAAAACAAAGCUCUCUAGCCCCAAUAAGCUUGAGACUAAAAACCUGGAGCAUGUCUCUCCAACAGCAACGCUUCAGCUGGGUUAGGAACUGUUGGUACUGGAAGAAGUGGUAGUCAUGGAAGCAAACAAUAUGGAGAUAUCGGCGGAGGCUGGUGGUCAGCCCCCCCGGAAGCUAUGAAUAUUCUCAGUUGGAAUGUUCGGGGUCUGGGGAAUCCCCGAGCAUUUCAAGCCUUAAGAAAAAUCCUCCAAUUGCAUGGUGCUCAGCUAGUGUUUUUGUGUGAAACAAAGGUAUCAACCAUGCAAAUGAAUGUGAUUGCAAAUAAGCUGAGUUUUGAGAAUUGCCUCGCGGUGAACUGUAAAGGAAGAUGAGGCGGAAUAGCAAUGCUCUGGAAGUCAGAUAUUGGUGCAAAUCAAUUCAUACAGUCAGCACCACAUUGAUGCCGAAACUCAAAUGCCAAAUGGAAAUCGAAUGCGAGUUACAGGAGUGUACGGACAUCCGGAAACAAGACAGAAAAAACACACUUGGAUGCUCCUCAGGCGGCUGGCAGUUUUAUCUUCUAGCCCUUGGUUGUGUUGUAGAGACUUUAAUGAAAUUUUACAUCCAGAUGAGAAGAGUGGCGGCAAUGACAGGAAUGUGAAUUUAAUUAAUGAUUUCAGAGAAGUUUUGAGAGAUUGUGGCUUAAAGGAUGUUGGGUAUCGGGGGUACGCUUUUACUUGGAAUAAUGGAAGAUAUGGGUAGGGAUUCGUGGAAGAAAGGUUGGAUAGAUUUGUUUGCAAUAAAGCUUGGAGUGAUAGAUUUGUGGAUUAUGCAGCAAGCAACCUUGACACAUGGACUUCGGAUCAUUGUCCCAUGCUGAUGGCUGUUUAGGAGAGAAGUGGGGGCAUGAACCAAAGGGGUAGACAUUCCUCACGAAUCCAUUAUGAGGAUAUGUGGAGCUCGUAUGACUUGUACAAAGAGAUAAUCAAGGAGGAAUAUAAUUUGUAUAGAAAUUAGAAUAGUGAAAAUCCAGCCCAAUCCUUUCGAAAAGCAACAAAAGAUUCGAUGGGUAGGCUGUUGGGGAGGAGCAAGUUGGUGAGGAAAUUCGGAAGGUGGAGAAGCAAAUCCAAAAUAUCCUCAUGGAUGAAGAAAUCUACUGGAAGCAGCGCUCAAGAGCAGAUUGGCUCAAGGAGGGGGACAAAAACACAAAAUUCUUUCACGGCAAGGCAUCGACUAGAAGGAAAAAAAAAAACAAAAUUUUGGGGAUUGAAGAUAAUUUCGGGAGAUGGAUUGAAAAGCCAAAAGAAGUGGAGCAUGAGUUUUGCAAUUAUUUCACCAACCUUUUUACAUCAACCCAGCCGAGACAGGAUCAAAUUGCAGCAGCCUUGAAAGGAAUAACUCCGAGAGUUUCAGCCAGCAUGAAUGAGAGUUUGGAGGAACCGUUUACAGCCGAGGAAGUCUUGGAAGCUUUGAGUCAAAUAAAGGCUUCGGGGCCGGAUGGUUUUCCAGCAGUGUUUUACCAAAAGCAUUGGCAUACGGUUAAGGAGGGAGUGCUCACCACUUGUCUGCAUAUCGUCAAUUCACAAGGUACCAUAGGCCCUCUAAAUCACACUUACAUUGCUUUGAUACCAAAAAUCGGGAAGCCUAGGAAAGUGACAAACUUUAGGCCUAUUAGUUUGUGCAAUGUUAUCUAUAGAAUUGUAGGUAAGUCAGUUGCUAAUAUAUUUAAGCAAAUUCUGCACAAAAUCAUCUCUCUAUCGCAAAGUGCCUUCAUCCCCAAUAGGUUGAUCACUGACAACAUCAUAGUUGGCUACGAAUGUUUGCACAAGAUAAGGCAUUGUAAAGGAAAGCGAAAUGGAUUAAUUGCAUUAAAGCUUUAUAUUAGUAAAGCUUAUGAUAGAUUGUAAUGGAACUUCCUAGAGCAAACUUUAAAACAACUAGGCUUCUCGCAUCAAUGGAUUAGCUUGAUCAUGGGGUGCAUUAGUUCAGUUUCCUUCUAUGUGUUAAUAAAUGGCUCAGUGAAAGGCUUAAUUAAACACCAAAGGGGCAUAAGACAAGGUUGCCCCCUCUCUUCGUAUUUGUUUAUUACAUGUGCAGAGGCUUUUUCUUCCUUGCUGUAGCAGGCUGAGCAACAACGGCUUAUUCAUAGGCUAUCAUUUGGAAACGAUUUGAAGAUUUCGCACCUUCUAUUUGCUGAUGACAGCCUUAUCUUCAGCAGAGCUUCCAUGGCUGACUGUCGAAAUCUGAAGAUGAUCCUUGAGUGCUACUCCACAACUUUCGGUCAAAUAUUUAAUUUCGAGAAAUCUUCUCUUUUUCUUAGUGGCAAUGUACAACAAGAUCAAGCUGAGGCAAUUGGGAAUCUCUUUUAGCUCAAUAUUGUGUAAAGACAUAAAAAAUAUUUAGGCUUGCCGUCUAUGAUCGGGAGAAAGAGAAGCAGCUUCUUCAAUGACAUCAAGCUGAAGGUUUUCAACAAGAUCUCAAGCUGGCAGCAUAAAUUUUUUUCUUGUGGAGGGAAAGAAGUCUUAAUCAAAGCUGUUGUGCAAGUCAUCUCAGCCUACGCAAUGAGCGUUUUUAAAAUUCCGAUGGGAGUUUGUGAUGAUAUUUAAAAAAUGGUGGCAAAGUUCUAGUGGGGCUCCAAGAGGGAAGGGAGGAAUAUUCAUUGGGCGAAGUGUGAAAAGAUGAGUCAAGCUAAGUGUAAUGGAGGGAUGGGAUUUCGUGAUUUUUCAAGCUUCAACAGAUCCCUUCUAGCAAAGCAAGGCUGGAGGAUUCAGCAAUGUCCAAACUCGUUGGUGGCUAGGGUCUUGAAAGCCAAGUAUUUCUAGUCAAAAAAUUUCUUGGAUGCAAAGCUCAACUCAAACCCUUCAUAUAUUUGGAGAAGCAUUCUUUGGCGAAGGAAAAUUAUUUGCUCGGGCUCUAGGUGGAGAGUUGGCAAUGGUCAGAAAAUUCAUAUUCAUAAGGCUAACUAGAUUCCACAACCUUCAACAUUCCAGCCAAUGGUUAAGCCAACUUUUCCUUCGAAUGCUAUGGUCUCUGAAUUAAUCAAUGAGGCAAACUACUGGGAUGAGAAGAGGAUUUAUGAGCACUUCGAAAAAAUGGAUGCUGAUUUAAUUACUAAGAUUCCUCUGCCUAGAAGACCAAGGAAGGAUGAGCUAAUUUGGCAUUAUGGAAAAAAUGGCCAGUUCUAGGUUAAAAGUGGGUACCAGACAACUCUCCAAAUAAAGUUUCUAGCCAUGCCUUCAAGCUCAGUGGCUUCAAAAAAUGAAUGGAAUAUUAUUUAGUCUCUUGCUUUGCCUCAAAAGAUCAGAAUUUUUGCAUGGAGGGCAGCCAAAAACCUACUCCCCUCAGCUGAGAAUUUGUGGAAGAAAAAGAUAAUCCAGGAACCUACUUGCCAAGUGUGUAAAAUGGGAAUGGAAAAUGUAUUUCAUGCUCUAGUGGCCUGCAAAUCGGCUAAGAAAGUAUGGAGGCUAAUCUAUUUUGAAGAUGAUAUUAAUGCUGCUCACAGUCAAGAUAUCUUCAGUUUGCCGCAUGCUAUGAAAAGAAUGAGAAGCAAAGUUGACCUGGAGCUGUUGGUAACGAUUUUUUGGGUUAAAUGGAAUGCUCGGAAUCAGUUGCUAUUCAAAGGAAAAAUGGAGACCCCCCAUGUAACACCCUAGGCGAAUCCCAUAUCGGCAAAGCACAGGAGAGAUGCUGGGUUUAUAAGAAGUGAUCCACACCUUAAUUGGCAAGACGCGUUUUGGGGUCUAUGGGCGCCCCAAGAACAAAUCCGUGCAGGCCUUGUUAAGGCCCAAAGCGGACAAUAUCUUGCCAGGUCAUGACCCAACCCAGACCUGGCAAGAUAUUGUCCGCUUUGGGCCUUAACAAGGCCCGCACGGAUUUGUUCUUGGCGUGCCCAUACACCCCAAAACGCGUCUCAUGCUCCUUCUUACUCUUAGAGUAAAUUAAUAUGUCAUCAAUAAAGACAAUGACAAACUGGUCAAGAUAAGGUUGGAAGAUCCUAUUCAUCAAAUCCAUGAACGCUGCAGGAGCAUUAGUUAAUCCAAAAGGCAUAACUAAGAACUCAUAGUGUCCAUAACGAGUUCAAAAAGCUGUCUUCGAUACAUCCUCACUUCUUAUUUUCAAUUGAUGGUAGCCAGAUCGUAAAUCAAUUUUAGAGAAUACCGCUGCACCUCGUAAUUGGUCAAAGAGGUCAUCAAUUCGAGGAAGAGGGUAUUUAUUCUUGACAGUAACCAUAUUCAACUGCCGGUAGUCAAUACACAACCUCAUUGAACCAUCUUUCUUCUUUACGAACAAAACGGGAGCACCCCAAGGCGACACACUAGGACGGAUGAAACCCUUAUCUAGUAACUCUUGUAGCUGGACCUUUAGUUCUUUUAAUUCAAUGGGUGCCAUCCGAUAUGGCGCCUUGGAUGUAAGUGUAGUACUAGGAACUAACUCUAUAGUAAACUCAACCUCUCUAUCUGGGGGUAGACCAGGAAGAUCCUCAGGAAAUACAUCAAUAAACUCCCUUACAAUAGGUAUGUCUUCAAGGCACGCCCCAUCAGGAUGGUCAGCAAUUAUAUACGCUAAAAAUCCUUCACACCCCUUCUUUAGCAUUUUCACUGCCGUCACCAUAGAAAUCAAAGCUUUAUAACUCUUAUGAUUCCCUUGAAAAUGAAAUUCUUCCUCGCCAGGUAGGCGAAAAAUAAUUUCCUUAGCAAAACAAUCUAUUGAAACAUGGUAAGGUCCUAACCAAUCCAUCCUCAAAAUCAAAUCAAAAUCAUGCAUCUCUAAUGGUAGGAGAUCCACAAGGAAUUCUCUAUCACACAAUCUGAUCACACAUGACUUAUAGACAUGAUCUAUUAACUGGCAAUCCCCCAUAGGGGUACUAAUUGUCACGUGAACACCGAGUGGCGUGAUAGGCACAUCAGCAUAACGGGCAAACACACAAGAUACAAAUGAAUGUGUAGCACCAGGAUAAAAAGGAACUUUGGCUUCUCUAGAGAAUAAGGACAAUGUACCUGAUACUACAUCAUUGGACACCUCAGCAUCUUUCUCCGUUAGCGCAAAAACACGCCCUUGCACCUUCGGUUUCUUCCUCUGCCCUUCGUUAGUCGGAGUAUUUGUAGUCUCGCCACGUCUCUUUGGGCAAUCCAUAAUCCUAUGCCCAGAUUCUCCACAAGCAAAACAAGCUCCAGUUUUCCAAUGGCAUUCACCAGGGUGCCUCCUUUCACAAUGUCGACAAAUGGGGUAAUUUCUCCGAGCAGUGUCACUAGUAACACCCUUGUUAUCCCAUUUGUUACCUCCACCAUUAUACUUCUGGGAGUGAGUGCCUUGCCUAUAGGAACUUCCAUUUCGCGGUCCACCUUGUUGAUUCUUCUUAUUUCUCUGAUACCAUAAUGUCAUGACCCAACCCAGACCUGGCAAGAUAUUGUCCGCUUUGGGCCUUAACAAGGCCCGCACGGAUUUGUUCUUGGGGUGCCCAUACACCCCAAAACGCGUCUUGCCAAUUAAGGUGUGGAUCACUUCUUAUAAACCCAGCAUCUCUCCCGUGCUUUGCCGAUGUGGGAUUCGCCCAAGAACAAAUUCGUGCGGGCCUUGUUAAGGCCCAAAGCGAACAAUAUCUUGCCAGGUCUGGGUUGGGUCAUGACAUUAUGGUAUCAGAGCGGCUCCGCGUGUCCUCUUGAGCGAUGGUGGGGCAAACCUCAGCGAGGACGCUGAGUCCCCAAGGGGGGGUGUAUGUAACACCCUAGGCGAAUCCCACAUCGGCAAAGCACGAGAGAGAUGCUGGGUUUAUAAGAAGUGAUCCACACCUUAAUUGGCAAGACGCAUUUUGGGGUGUAUGGGCACCCCAAGAACAAAUCCGUGCGGGCCUUGUUAAGGCCCAAAGCGGACAAUAUCUUGCCAGGUCUGGGUUGGGUCAUGACACCCCAUAUUAUGGUAGCUAAAGUUGAAGCUAUGAUUGCAGCUUAUAAGAGGGUGCAUUCUUCAGUUGAGGCUUCCAGUGAAACAGAGCAGAGGGUACCUCUUCAGACAUGGAAUCCCCCUCAAGAUGGUUUUGUAAAAGUCAACAUUGAUGCAGCUAUCAACUUCAAAAAGAACCUUGUAGGGCUGGGGGCAGUGAUUAGAGAUGAUUCGGGGCAUGUUACAGCAGCUGCAAUCAAGAUUUCCAAGUUUCAUGGAGAUGUUUCUUAUGCUGAGGCAGCAGCUAUGGAAUGGGGUAUGUUGGUGGAGAGAGAAGCUAAAGUGAAAGUUGUAAUCGUGGAAUCAGAUUCUCAAGGUGUGGUCAGUUUAGUUAACAACAAGCAGGGCUGCAGAUCUGAGAUCUAUUGGGUUGUUUCGGAAAUUCAGAAGUUAGCGGAAAACUUCGAGUGUGUUAGUAUUAAGUAUACAGCCUAGAUCUUGUAAUGUUAUUGCCCAGUCUUUAGCUAAGUUAGCUCUAGAAAAACGCGAGACUGUUGUGUGGAGGGUUCAUACCCUUCACAAGUGAUGUAUUUCCUUUCAUCGUUGUUUUAAUUGAAAUCUAUUUUCAAAAAAAAAAAAUCACAAUCAGCAACUACAAUGAUCCAAAACCAACAUAGAAAGACCUAGAAAUAGUAAAAAAUAUUGCAAUAUAUUAAAGAAGAUUAAUUCAUCAGAGUGCCCACAACAUAUAAAUGGAUCUAAAGAAUAGAUUAUAUAAUAGCUUGUUUCUUAUGAAUGAUACAUGGGAUUCCACAGAUAAAAAGAAAAUAAGAAUCAAGUACGUGAAUUAAAAAAAUACCUAACCAAUAGGGGUUAGUGAGAUAUUUUAGCUAAAUAUCAGUUGACAGAAUCUGACCCACAAUAAAAAUUGCUAUCUUAUCACAAUGGGAAUCUGAAUUAUAAAAUUACUGAACAAAACUUUUAACACCUACAAGUCCAAAUAAUAUCAAAUAAAAUGCCUAACCAGCUAUUAAAUAUAAAAUGUCCUUGUAGGACUAAAACCUUGUGGCCAAUCCUUCAAAGUUCCAAGCAACAAUAUGAUAAAAACAUAAUGCAUAAUAUAUAAGGAGCUUAUCUGUAAAACUUCCAUACAGUACUUAUCAUAUUAAACAAUGUACCUAAUGAAAUAUUGGCUUAUUUCUACAGAAUAUUACAAUAUAAGUACACCAAUUUCUCAAGCAAUGCCAUAUAGAAAGAUACCGAAGAAAAAAGGAAAAUAAAAAAUCGAAGCAUGUUAGUUAUGAUUUCAACUUUUGAACUCAAAGUCUGUGACAAAUUUUGCUUCGGGAAAUACUAACAAACACUUGAGAAAAACUAAAGUGUAUCACACUUGAACCGUAUAUAAAGCACAAGAAUAAAAACAACAAUGGGCAAAAAGAGGCUAGAUGUAUCAUCUUCAUUAGUUAAACAACAUAAAUAGAAUCAAAAUAUUAAUGCAUACACCAAAACCUUCAAAAUUCUCUAAACAUUCAAUUUUUUUCAGAUUAAGAAAAUAAAUUUAUAAGAAAAUCGAGAACGCGUAUUUGUUGCGGUAUUUUAUCAAGCAAUUGGCAUGCAGCAAUGUAAAUGACAAUUAAAACAUGUAAAUCUCUGUACAUUGAAAGCUCACCUUCGUUAUUCAUCCAAAGAGAGAUAUAUAGGGCAUGUAAGCUCCUUCUUUGAUAUUUAUAUAUUUUGUCAUAAAAGAUUAUAUAUUGUCCGAAAAGAGCUAACUUUGGACAGGCUUUUUAUGCCAAAAAAAAAAAAAAAAUUCUUUUGUGACUAUUAUAAAGUUCGUCAAAAAGAAAUUGAAACAGGGACCAAGUAAUGUCUCAAAAAGAAAAAAAAAUGGUUAUCAAAUAUAAAAUUAUUCAAGACAAAACAUUCAAUGACUAUUGUUUAAUUUUGUCACUGUAGGUAAUUAUAUAUGAUAAAAAAAAAUGGUCUUAAAAUUAGCCAAAAGAACAAUAAUUUUGGCUACUAAUAUUUUGUGUCAUAGAUUGUGUAGUCAAUUUUACACCCCUCUUUUAGUUACCAAAUAAUUUGGUCGCCUAUAAUUAUAUUUCGUGACUAUUUAUUUUGUCAUAAAUAGUGAAAUAUUGUCUCAAAAUAAUCACUUUUGGAGGGAAGAUUUUGCGCCAAAAAAAUAUCUUUUGGUGACUAAAAUAAUUUUUGUCAUAAAAAAAAUUAAUUAAUGACCAAUGAACAAGUCUCAAAAUAAAAAUAAUUGGUUACAAAAAACAAUAUAAGUUAGGACAAGACUAUUAGCUACGAUUUUAAAAAUUUGUCACAAUAAAUACCAUUUUGUGACCAAAUUUAAAGUUGUAAAAAAUAUCAUCUUAAAAAAUCAAAUUUCUUAUAGUGGCCGAGGCCUAUGAUAGAGCAUAGCUCUAUGCCCAUUUACCUCUUCAACUGCCAUAGAGAACUAGAAUCCCACUUGCACCCAAAACAUAAAAACAAUGUACACUUGGCAUGAACUCUGAGAAAGCUACGUAAAAAUGAUUUGAUGGCCAAGGAUUACAACAAUUGUACAACCAAAAGAGGUAGAAAUCCAUGUCUAGUAUAGUGCCCUCGUUAACACCUCUAAAUACUGAGUCAAAUCAAUAGGAAUUUCAUUGUGGGAAAAAAAAAACUAUGCUACGAAUGGUCAGCCUUGCUAGCCUUUAUAAGCAACGCACACAGAUUAUAGAACGAUGCAGUGAUGCAAACCAAGAACUAUUAGGGUAUAGACAGUAAGAUUAAAUAGAAUAAUUUGAUUCCAUUUCUAGCAAACUUUGCCUAGAGACUUGUUAAAAUCUAAUCAGUAAACCUGCUAGAUUUGACAGGAAACAGGUAAUGUCAGGCAAAUCGCCUUCUCCUAUUUUAGGGCACUCAUGUAUAAUAGUGACUUUAAAAGUGUAAACAUAUUUUGAACAAUUUUAAGGAAAUUAAAACUAUAUUUGACACAUCACGAAAUGGCUAAGAUACAAGCUUCAAUUCCAGUACAACAAAUAUAACUUCAACUGUCAAUUGAAGGAGCGAGAUAAAGAGGAGAGACACGAAGCAAUAUACCAUUAUGAGAACAUUGCAGCAUACAAAAGUGUAAACGGCAGAGCAAUAUCUCAAAAUCAUGUCGUUUCCGAUGUGUGCUCAUUUGAAAGUGCAGAAAAACCACUCAAACAUGCCUGUACAAGGAAAGCCAUGUCAGCCACCAAUGUCGUAAUUACACCAAUUACGAGGCCCAAAACUCCAUCAGCAACAGUAGAAGAACCGAUGUCAACAUCAAUCUACAGAAAGUUUCUAGCAGUCACGAGCAUUAUCACGAUCAUCGUGCCGCAGAUUGCCCUAAAAACAAGACAAAUCAAUUUGAUCAGCUUGUUCUUCCUCUAGAGCUGCGAAUAAUUGAAAAAAAAAAGAUUAAUUCCAUAGAAAUCCAUUAAUGAGGACAUUAAUCCAAUAUAUAAAAAUGAAUAUUUAAGUUUGAAGCUCCUAGCUUGAAGCUUUCCAAAUAUAAAGUUACAUAGUGAAGGACAACAUUUGUCCAUGAGGUUUCUAAAAUGGCAACUUUUGCACAGUAAAAUUAAAACGGACGGCGGAAGCUCUAGAAACCUCGGAUCGGCUUCAUUCAAAAACGAAAAUCACGAGGAAAGAUUUAAGUUUAAUUAAAUCACUUUUAGUUUCAAAAACGGCUUCGUGAAGUAGAAGAAAAAGACUGAAAACAGCACGCUACGAACACUGUCCAGAAAAUAGAGCUCUGCACGAACAGCUUCUGUUUUGCCACGAUUUGAGAUCCUUAAAGCACCCCAAUUGUGAUGCCUCUAAUUAUUCCACACUUAGAAAUGUUCUAGGAGUUCAUAGGAUUUGGAAUCUCGAAAUUUCGUUUAGAAAUGAAAGAGAUAAUGAAAAAACAUGAAUGCUAGUUCAUGAUGAUUCAUUCCAUCAAAUAAAGCUACCAUUAUCUCUAAUAAUGGCACCAAACAUUAUCAUGUGCUAGACCCACCCACUUAGUUAUUAUUUAUUGAAAGUGAUCUUAUCACUUAAAUAAAUUAUUUAAUCAAAUAAAUAAAUAGCUAAAUUAAUUAAUUUCGUAAUUAAUUAAUUAACCCCAUUUUGAUCAAAUCAAAUGGUUAAAUGUGGGCUCAUUUUGUGACAUGUUCUAAUGCUUUCUCUUAAUCCAUAUUAGAUCUAAUAAAAGCCCAAAAUUCUAAACCCAAAAUUGGUCUAGAAGUCCAUAAUCAUAUAUGAACCGGAACAUGUCCAAAAUGGUCAUUUUACGUGCUUGAUAUUGCAUAAUGUUUAAUGGGGAUUUAUGAAAUUUAUUUUGUUCCUUAAACUAUUUAUGGAACAUCUAAAUUUCUAUCUUAAAUCAUAUUUAAGAUAUAUUUAUAUAUAUAUUCAUUCUUAAUGAAUUAUAAUAUAAAUAUUGAUUUUCCUAAAAUUAGGAAAUUUAACUUCUCAUUUUCUAGUAACUCCUUUUUCAUUUCUAUUUAGUGUGUGACCUUUCAGGUUCUUAGUUAUAAGGUAGUAGAACUAUUUUAAUGAUAACUCUUUAUUCAUUAAAUGAUGCUAAACUCUUUAGUAAUCAAUUAGAACUUUUCUAAUGACCUUAAGAUGCAUAGCUAAUAGGCUUUACCAAUAUUGAUCUUAAGGUUUCUAUAAGUCAUGAGUGACACCUAGCAGUAUAUCACAACUAUCCAAAUAACAAGAAUUGUUGGAUCUAUAAAACCUAUUUUAUUGUAUCUCUAUGUCUUGGUCUCUUCAUCAUCCAUGUCUAGAGAAAAGCACGGCUUAUGGUUUAUUAUGUUAAGCAGUUAUGAUUUAUCUCAAAAUAAAUCUAAAUGAACUUAACAUGAAAAUAUAAUUUGAACUCCUUCAAAUAUAUUUCACCUUGGCCAAGGAUUUCUCAUGCCAAUUCAUAUUAUCUCAUAGGGACAUCCUUUUUGUAUAUUACAAAGUGAUUAAUUCCAUAUUAGCCAUACACUUGUCUUCAUACAUAACCAACCAUGACAGCUAUUGCUAGAUCUCUUCCGUGAUUAGGAAUCCAUGAUUAUGCUUUCACAUAUCAGAGAUGUCUAUGUAUAAGACAUCUGUUAUGCCUCAAGUCUAAAGACCAUUAUUAAACAUAGUGUCUAUUACAAUGUAUAAUAAGCCAUUAACACUCAAAACCAUAUGACUUACUAUAUUUGGUCAUGUUCAGUAAACUCGUUCUCUCAACAAGUACCUAUGUGUUUGACUUGACAUGUCAUGUCAAUGAUAUGAAACUCACCAUCCAUUUUAGUAUCACAUACCAUAAGGAGUCAUAACACAUACUAGUGUUUAUAGGAAUUUAUAAUGUCCAAUCAUAAAUCCACCACUAGGAACUAUUUUAGAAGUAUAGUACAAAGGAUGCACGUUUCAUACUCUCGACAAACUCGAGAAUGUGUUCCUUAACUAUUUUACUUCUUGGACUAUAUUCAUUAAAUUAAUUUAUGAAUGUUGAUAACUUUGCCAUUUUAUAAAUAUCAAAAUGCUAUUCAAAUACAAUAAUUCCCUAAACAAACAAACACCAUUUGAUUGGCCUUUAGGGCAUAUUACUAACACAUAGCCCUUAGAAGGCCGAUUGCAAACAUCACCUUUCCCGGGGAUGGAGAGGAGGACGUCCUCAAGGAUAUUAUAAAGGGUUCUUAGUUUGAGUAGGUCAGUAUGGGUAGUGGCACACUUGAGGUAGUCAAUGGGAUAAGAAUCGGCCUCCAUCCUAUAGCCGAGGUUUCUUUUCUUAGAGGGUCGGCUCGGCUCAGAACUAUUCUCCUUGUUAUCACUUUCUUUUUCAGGGAUCCCAGCCCCCUCAGAACUGUGAUUCUCACCAGAAGCCGAUGCUUGUCCACCGCGAUUUCCCAUAGGUUCACAAUCAGAAGGAGGCAAAAUGGCCUUUGGACGGGGGUACUCAAGGGUAUCUCUAUUAUAAGAGGGACCUAUGUUACUGGAAGGAUUUUGGGGAUCAGUGGGUCUUAAUAAAUUGGGGUAUGAAUCUAUCUCUUCAUCACUCUCAUUUACAAUUAUUUUUCCCCUUCGUCUUGACAUAGUGAAGUCUUAAGAGAAAAAUAUAACAAAUUUAAGUAUAUGGGUACAAAAGUGUUGAGUGCGGAAUGCAGAAUCAAGCACACCAAAUAAUUAUAGAAAAAUAAUUGACACAAAAUUUAUGUGGUUCAGUAAUUAAACCUACAUCCACCGGAGCAAGAGAAAAAUAAUUGUAUUAUUAACAAUUAUUUGAGUACAAAUUUGAGUAAAGAAAUCUUACUUUCCCAUAACCCAAAUACACCCAGUACUCUCACACACACACUCUCCAAUUGCUCACACUUUCAGAACUCUCAAAAGCUUAAAAACUAAUAAGCUUAACAAAUUUUUUGGGAUACUUUAGAAUGAAGAAAUGACUUUAAUUUAUAGGCUUCAAGCUUGCACUAUUCCACUUAAUCCCUCUGCAAUUUGUCAAUCUUCAUCUCCAUCAAUUUGACAAAUUUUGCUAAAUUUUCCAUUUUUCUUCAUUUAGUGCAGGAUUGUCAAAUGCCAAAUAUUUUACAGCUUGCAGUUUUGGUGCCGACUUUGAAAAAACAAAAGCAAUGCAUGUGGCUCACUUUUCUUUUUCAACCAAUUUGAAAACACUCAUUGACUUUUCAACAAUUUUCCACCUCGGCGAAGAUUUGUUCAAAUAUGAGCCGACUCCCAACCAAUCAUCAUCCCCAAAGUGGCUGCAUCUCUGUGACUGCUACGUACACAAAAUUUGGGAUCAAGCCAACCGUAGUUCAAAAUUCCUGAAGGACAUAACUUAACAUAAUCGAAGGAUUUGAAUUAGUCUCAAGCAUUGUUGAAACUUAACUCCAGAAAUCACCUUUGUCAACAUAUCUGCUGGGUUAUCCUUGGUAUUGAUCUUUUUCAACAACACAUCACCACCCUCGAUAAUCUCUCUCACAUAAUGAUAUUUCACAUCUAUGUGCUUCGACCGAGCGUGAUAUGUUUGAUUUUUCGCGAGGAAUAUCGCACUUUGGUUAUCACAAAAGACCGCAAUGUUCUCUUGGAUUACUCCCAAAUCACAAAAUAAGCCUUUCAACCAGAUAGCUUCCUUUACAGCUUCAGUUACUACCAUAUACUCUGCUUCCAUAGUGGAUAGAGCAAUUGUCGAUUGUAGAAUCGACCUCCAGCUAACUGAUCCUCUACCCAAUGUGAAUACGUAGCCAGUUGUUGAUCUUUGCUUUUUAAGGUCUCCGGCGAAAUCAGAAUCACAAUACCCAACACAUUGUUGACCACAAUCCUUUUUUAACAAUAACCCAACAUCAACUGUCCCAUAUAGAUAUCGGAGAAUCCACUUUACCGCAAGCCAUUAAUUUUUACUCGGAUUGUGCAUGUACCUACUAACCAUUCUCACUGCUUGAGAUAUAUUGGGCCUUGUGCAUACCAUAACAUACAUAAGACUACCCACAACACUAGCAUAUGGAACACGAGCCAUGUAAUCGCGCUCCUCUUGAGAUUUAGGACAUGAAGAAGAGCUUAAUUUGAAAUGAGGAGUUAGAAGUGUACAUACCAGUUUAGUUUUGUCAUCCAUACCGAAUCUUUUUAGCACUUUCUUCAAAUAAGACUUUUGAGUCAACCAUAUGCUCCCAUUCUUCUUGUCUCUAUGAAUUUCCAUCUCAAGUAUUAUAUGUGCAUCACCCAAGUCUUUCAUCUCGAACUCAGAAGCCAGCUGCUUCUUUAAUCUUUCGAUCUCAUCUCUAUUCUUCAAAACUAUAAGCAUAUCGUUGACAUAGAGUAACAAAUAGAUGAAAGCUCCAUCUAUUAGUCUUCUAAAGUAAACACAAUGAUCGUGUUCACUUUUGGUGAAUUUCUGCCCUUGUAUAAAUUAAUCAAAUCUUUUAUACUACUGCCUUGGCGAUUGCUUCAGUCCGUAUAAAGAUUUAAUCAACCUACACACAUGAUUCUCCUUUCCAGUAACUUUGAAACCACAAGGCUGAAUCAUAUAGAUUUCCUCCUUCAAAUCUUCAUGUAAGAACGCCGUCUUAACAUCCAACUGAGCCAACUCUAACUCAUAUUCUGCAACUAAGGCAAGUAGGAUACGAAUGGAAGUAUGUUUUACAACUGGAGAGAAAACUUCAUUAUAGUCAAUACUUUCCUUUUGAGCAAAACCUUUUGCCACGAGUCUUGCCUUGUAUCGAGGAGUUGAUUGAUUUGGAGAUCCUUGCUUUUUGGUGUAGACUCAUUUAUUGCCAAUAGUCCUUUUCCCUUUUGGUAACUUUACAAGUUCCCAAGUCUGGUUUUGAUGGAGAGAUUUCAUCUCUUCCUCCAUGACUAACUUCCACUGAUCACUUUCACUGCUGCGUAAUGCUUCACCGAAAGUGUUGGGGAUGUCAUCAUCAAUAACUGAAAGUGCAUAGACUACCACCAUAUCUUUAGUAAGCCAUCCGGGUUUCUUUAUCUCUCUUCUUGGUCUCCUUGUUACUAUAAAAUCAUCAUUAUCUACAGCAUCAAUUGUUUCUUCAUUUUGUGGGACAUCAGAAGAAAUAACAUAUUCUUCAACUCUAGGUAUCACCUCCAUAGUUGAACCCUUAUUUGAUGUAGAACUAACUGGUACAUAUGGAGUUGUAUCAAACUUCACCAGCUGCAAUACCUCUUUGGUUUUGUUUUCCAUUUGCUGAGAACUUGAAGUUUUCAUCAUUGAAACUUCAUCAAAUGUGACAUCUCUGCUACACACAAACUUUUUGUCUUUGAGAUCCCAAAACUUAAAGCCAUUUACUCUACCUUUGUAUCCCACAAAAAUAGCUUUUCUAGCACGAGGAUCCAGUUUACCAUCUUUGACAUAAUAAUAAGCUAGACACCCGAAUAUACGAAGGGAAUUAUAGUCUUGUGCAUGCUUUCCAGACCACAUUUCUAUAGGAGUUUUACCUCCAAUUAUAGCAUAAGGCAACUAGUUUACCAAGUGACUUACGUAGUUCACAGUUUCAGCCCAAAACUUUUUAUCUAAACCAGUAUUAGAUAACAUACACCGUACUUUCUCCAGUAAAGUACGAUUCAUACGCUCAGCUACACCGUUCUAUUGCGGAGUAUGUCUCACUGUGAAAUGUCUUUUAAUACCGUCGUUCUGGCAUACUUACAAGAAUGGAUCAGAAGUAUAUUCACCCCCAUUAUCAGGUCGUAAUACUUUGAUUUUUCUGUCAGUUUAAGUCUCCACCAAUUUCUUCCAUUUCACGAAAAUCUCUAGAACCUCAACCUUUGCUCGCAUGGUGUACACCCACACACGUCUAGAGAAAUCAUCAACAAAUGUAACAAAAUAAUGGCUUCCACCAAUUGAUGUAGUCUUGGUUGGUCCCCAUACAUCACUAUGAACAUAUUCAAGGAUUUCACGAGUAUCGUGAUUAGCUGUACCAAACUUGACCCUUGUUUUCUUGCCUACUACACAAUGCUCACAGAAAUUUAAUUUAUAGGUUUUGGUACCUUUUAAGAGUUCGUGCCUCAUCAGAGUUUGCAAAGACUUUUUGCUAGCAUGUCCUAGUCGUACAUGCCAUAGCUUGGUGGUGUCACUAUGCGCCUCAAUAAUAUUUGCUUCAUCAGUUGUACCUCCCUUCAAAUAGUACAGAUUGUGACGCCGAACCCCUUGUAGAAUCACCAUAGCCCCAUGUGUAAACUUCAUUAUACUAUUUUCAAUGGUAGCCUUGUAGCCUUUAGCUUCUAGAGCACCCACAGAAAUUAGAUUUUUCUUUAAAACUAGAACAAAUCUAACCUCUUUGAGUUCUCUGACCAUUCCAUUAAACAUUUUGAGCCGAAUUGUUCUUAUCCCCAUUGUGCGACAAUGUUGAUCAUUCCCUAUCACAACUGCACCGGAUUUUAGAUUACGAGUAUUCGUAAACUAUUCCUUAAUAGGACACAAAUGAUAGGUUGCUCCAGUAUCAAGUAUCCACUUACUCGAACUAGCCACGUAUGCUGCAAGAGUAAUACUUAGUGAAUAAUCAGAAUCUUCAUCUUUCGUGCCAUGUUUGCUGCUGUUGGUUUUUUCCCAUCUCUGUUUUGAGCUUUUAGACAAUCUUUCCUCCUAUGAACCUUUUCAUGACAAAAGGCACACUCGUCUCGAGCUAUAUCUCUGCUUCUCGAUUUGGAUCGAGAAUUCUUUCCACCACCCUUUUUCUUUUUCUCCAUCGCCCAAUCUUUACUCACCAAAACUUCAGACGAUACUCGUUCAGAAUUUUUAUUAUUAUUCUGAAUCUCCAAGUUAGUCAAUGCUGUGCAAACAUCUUUGAAGAUGAUCACGCUUUUCCCAUAUAUCAAGGUAGUCACAAAAUGGCUAUCUUCCUCUGGUAGUGAGUGUAACAGAAUCAUAGCCUUGACUUCAUCCUUAAUAUCUUCAUCAAGAUUCUUCAAAUCAGCAAGUAACUUUUCAAAUCUCGAGACAUGAUCGUGCAUUGAUACCCCAGGCUUCAUUCGAAAGCCAUAUACUUGGCUCAUUGCAUGAAGACGAUUUUCAGGACUUUUCAGCCUAUACUUCUUCUCUAAUGUAUGCCACAAAGUCACCGCACACUCCUCAACUUUCACCAAGUAUUUUACCUCCUUGGUCAAAUAAGAUCUGACCUGACCACAAACUUUCUCGUUCAUACGAUCUCAAAUUUCUUCAUCAUACAAGUGUAUUUUAUUUUUCAAAACAAUAUCGAGAUCGAUUUGAAUAAGGGCAUCCAUAACUUCGCGCAUCCACAUGCCGAAAUUGAUUUUCCCAUCAAACUUUUCAACAUCGAUCUUCUGGCCUCCUAUAACAGGUGCUGAAUAGCGAUUUUACAAGUCUCGUCUCCCACUUGAAGUGUCUUCUAAAAUAGUCUCGAUAGAUCUCUCCUUAAUUCUGGAAGUUUCACCUUAUACCAUUUUCUCAACGAACUAUUUCCACUUGAAAAACAGCCUCUAUGAUGUUAAUUUCGCGUGAAUAAAUGUCCCAGGAAAGUUCCCUAAAGACUAGACGGGAACUCGGUCCUAAUUAAAAAUCGGAAUCCUUAGACUCUUAUCGCCUUUGUUGACAGAACUUUCAUAGACAUGUAAAAAUACACACUACUUACAAUAGACUGUCUCCCAAGUACAAAUGGCCGCCUCCACCGUAUUCGUGAAUAGUACUGUAUAUGUGAACAAUACAGUAUACUGGAAUAGUACUGUAUAUGUGAAUAGUACUGUAUCCCCCCAAGUACGAACCGUCGGCUCUGAUACCAGUUGUUGAGUGCGGAAUGCGGAAUCAAGCGCACCAAAUAAUUAUAGAAAAAUAAUGGGCACAAAAUUUACAUGGUUCGGUAAUUAAACCUAUAUUCACCGGAGCAAGAGAAAAAUAAUUGUAUUAUUAAUAAUUAUUUGAGUACCAAUUUGAGUAAAAAAAUCUUAUUUUUCCAGAACCCAAAUACACCAAGUACUCUCACACACACUCUUGGUAGUGUGUCUUUUAUGGGCACGAUCUGACUAGAAAAGAUACCGACCAGAAGUUCAUACUGACCAGGUACUUGUCACUCAAAGAGAGGACGUGAUCUCACAAACACGCGACAAUUUCACCACGCCCCAAACCGCUGGGAAAACACGACGCCCCACGAUUACCCACGUUCGGUUGUUGAAGACCCAUUAAGGCCCUUAACCACCCAAAUAUGACGAGCAUGGAAAAUACCCUGAAAAAGUGGGAUGAUUGCCUAUAAAAAGCGGAGAAAUCAAUGAAGAGGGGGAGAGACAAAAAGAGAGAGAGGGGAAACUCUGUCAAAUUGACUCCAGGCAUUGUUACAUAGCCACCUUAAAUACAUUUUAUCUUAAGAACAUCGCAAUGAAUGUGUGUGAGCAUAAAUCAUAUAGUUUUCCCGUAAAUUCCAUUUCCUGACUUAAGUAUCGGAGGGUUUAUGCCGGAAAAACCAUCAGCGUCUCUGAUUUGUUUUUGUGAAUGCAGGUUUAGAAAGAAAAGGGAGAGUGAUUCGGUUCCCAGGAGCUCGGGCAAUUACUAUAGCUGGUGGAGCGCAACCUCUUCUUCAUUGUCAACACACUUGUUGAUGAUCCCAUCUGGUCGGGCAAAAGGCGACUAGAUUUCAGCAUCAACAGUACGUUCAGACAAAACACCUACUCCUGUUUUAGAAACGGCCUCCUCUAUUUUACUGUUUGGUGAUUGCAAAAAUUUGUCUAAAUAAUGCAUAGUUGUAGAGUUAAGAAAAAAAGUUAUGUUAAAAUAAAGAAGCAUCAGAGAUCCCCCGAUAUUAUUAUCAUCCAGAACAAUAUGUUUAUUGGGCCAAAGUGGGCUAACAUACAUGGGUUCAAGCUUGCAAAAUCCACAUUUAUGUAUAAUUAUAUAGUAAUUAAAUACUGAAUUUGAACUCAUACAACUAUUCAAUCAUUUGGAUUUCAAAUCUGUGUUCAUUGAACUAAAUACUGUCAUGUAUUCGAGUGAACAGAUAAAGAAUUCACAAUCUGUUCUCAAUUUUGACUUCAUAAUAUUCCAGCUAUGGUCGCAUUUCUAUUACUGUAUGGUAAAUAUGACUUUUAAAUAAUUUUUUUGACAAAAUUAGUCAAGGUGCCAUAUGUGUAUCAAAUAAUAGUUGAUAAAAUCAUCUUAUAUUUUGAACUACAGAAGUAAGUAUUCAUCAAACACUUUAUAAUUGUCAGUCAAUGUUUAUGUGAACGUGACCGAAAAUGGUUACUAAGUGCAUGUUUGGGAGUUAGGAUUAAGUAUGGGAUUAGAAUAACUUUGGUAUUAAAUAUUUUAUCCCAUGUUUGGCUACUUUGCUUGGAUUGGAUUAAGGAGGACUAAAUUUAAAUUUAGGGCUUAAAUCAUGGGAUUAACAAUCGCAAUUUAUAAGUGGAUUUAGAUGGGAUUAGAAUAAGAGAAAAAAAUUUUGUUCAUGUUUCUUUCAUAAAUAACACUAUUUUUUAUUUGAAACCUAAAAUUUAAUUACUUAAUUUAUUAUUUUAUUCAUGAUUUACAUGAAUUUAUUUUUUAUUUUAUUUUUAUAGUCUAAUUACAUUGGUACUUUACUCCAACAAAAUUAACUAUUUAAUAAUUUGUUACAAUAAUUGAUUGUAUUAAAUUCAAUAAUCAACUAUGUAAUAUUAAAAAUAAUCAUAGAAAUUAAUAAUACAAAUAAAUAAUUGAUUUUGUAUAUACAUUAUUUGCUAACUUUUUGAUAAAAUAAAAUAUAUCUAAAAUAUCCGAUAAAAAUUAAUUAAAUAAUUAAAUAGUUUUAUUAAUUUAUAUUUGUUUAUUAUGAAUAUGACUACCCAAUAACUAAUUUACUACAUAUUUAAUGCUAUUGUUAAUUAUCUUUAAAUUAAUUUUAAUUAUUACUUUUAAAUAUUCUUAACUUUUUUUUUGUAUUUAAAUAUGAUUUAACAUUGUCUAAUUCGAUAUUGUACCAAACAUAGUACAAUAUAUAAUAUAAUCUAGCUUAAUCUAAUCUAACUUAAUCCAGUCCAAUCUUAAAAAUUAGCCCAAUUCAAUUCUACGUGUCAAGCACAACCUAAGAGUUCCUAGUGUUAAAAAUUUAACAUACCCACGAUCCAUUAAUGGGAUAAUUUAUUUUAUAAUAAUCAAAUUGAAGAUCAAUUUGUACGAUGAUGAGCUUUCAUGUUUCUGUCAAACAUGAAAUAAUUUUGUAAACAAUGGCCACGUGGAACUUAUAACCAAUCAUCAUUUGUUGAUAGACAAGUGAAAUAACAAAAAAGCAGCGGGUUUGGGCUUUCUCCAGGAAUCGGCUUAACACAAACAAUGUGGGGUUUCUUGAUCUUCUUAAAGAUCAAGCAUAUACGUAUACAUGUUCUAUACCUAUCAAUCAUUCCCCUAUUCUUCGGUUUGGUGAUUGCAAAUAACAUUCUUUGCAUCUACUCUUUAUUUAUUUAUUUAUUUUUAACUCAUUAAUUCUUGUUCUUCUUAAAGCGUUUAGUAAAUAUAUCAUCACCGGGUCAAAUCCCUAACAUUAACGUACACAUAAUCUAUUAAUGAAAUUUAUUAUUUUAUCAUAAUCAAAUUGAAGAUUAGUUCAUGCAGUUUUCUAUGAUGAGGAGUAUUCACUUUUCUGUUAAAUACAAGAACGAUUCGUAAAUAAUGUCCAUUUGGAACUAGUAAUAACGAAGCAUCAUUUGUGGACCGAAUAAAUGAAAUAACAUUUUAGUUUCUCUCUAAAAUGUCAUUCUUCAUUCAAGCUUUUGCUGCAUCUUUUAUCAGGCAUCUUAUAAAGCUUUUCCCUACUAAUACUAAUAAACUUUGUAAAUCAAUAUUCUUUUCAAUUUCACAGGACACAAGUAAUGCAUAUUCAAGCACAACAGGUAUUUAUUCGUUAGAAACUCCAACUUAAUUAUUUCAUUGGAAAAUAUGAAACGCAGAGCCAUAAACUAGUGCUUUCUUCAAUUUAAUUGGGUUGAACAAACUUUUUAAUGUAUUUUCCCCAAUCCAUUUCUUUUAUCUCACUGCAUGCUUUAUUAAAGCUUUGUCUUUGUUCUUGAUUGAUGACCUUCAAAAUUAAAUCUUAAAAAUCGGGUAUAAAAGGGGUGCUUGAUUUAAGUCUUCUUCUUUUGCAAUUCAUUGUUAUUGCUCUUUUCAGCUUUUUACUCGCAAAACUUCUUACUCACAAAUUCCUCUGCAGUUAACCGUGAUCUUUUACUCAUUAAAAUUGUUCUUAUUAAUUCUUUUUUAUAGAGAGAGAGAGAGAGACUCAAAGAGAAUUAAAAAAAAAGUAAUUCUAAAUUUUUGCUUGUGCAUUGUGUGAUUUUUACCAUUUUUAAAGUUGGUGAUUUGUAUUGAAUAAAUAAAAUAAUAAAUAGAUUUAUGGACUACUCUUUUUUGUUAUAAUAAACAUCAGAGGUCCUUUCCUGAUGUUUCAUUCCAUAAGAAUAAAUUAUAAUUUUAUUGAUAUAGUAACGUCAAUAAUAGAAAUCCUAACAAACAUACAAACUUUAGAUUAUGGAUUAAAGCACUACAAGGUGAAUGGAUCACAACAAAUUAUUUAUACUACAAGGUGAAUGGAUCACAACAAAUUAUUCUGACGAAAGCAUAAACAAGAUGAUUGAAUCAAGAGACUAUUACAUGGGAAACCAAUCCAGAUGAAGCCUGUGAUAAAGAAUAGCCGUACGCCCAUUUACCUCUUUAGCUAAGCUGCCAUACUGAAGGAGGCAAUCCCACCCGCACAAAACAUGAAAAACGAUGUACACGUGGCAUGAACUUUGAGAAAGCUACAUAAAAAUGAUCUGAUGGCCAAGGGAUACAACAGUUGUACGACCAAAAAGGGUAGAAAUCCAUGUCUAGUACACUGCCCUCUUCAAUACCUCUAAAUACUGAGUCAAAUUGAUAUGAAUUUCAUGGAUGAAACUAUGCAACAAUCGAUAAACCUUGCUGGCCAUUAUAAGCCUAUGCACACAGAUUAUAGAACGAUGCAGCGAUGCAAACCAAGAAUUACUAGGGUAUAGACAGUAAGAUUAAAUAGAAUAAUUUGACUACAUUACAAGCAAACUGUCACGGACCGCAAUCGUGGCACCCAAGAUAUGCGCUUGUACGCUAGUGUCGAUGAUGGUUGUUGAUGCUGAAAUCUGCUCGCCUUUUGACCGACCAGAUUCUUUCACCAACGUUUGUGUUAUCUACUGUUGCUCGUUCACUGGGAUUGGAUUCGUCCUCCUUUCUCUCAAUAGACCUGCGCUCACUAAAAACGGAUCAGAGACGCCGGUGGUUUUGCCGGCGUAAACCCUCCGAUGUCUAAGUUAGCUCAAGGUGUUUACGGGAAAACAGUGCAAUUUAGAUCUCAAAACGGUUUCUAAAUUAUUCGGAGUUUAUAAGAAAAUGGCCUGAUUGUAAUUUGGCAGCGUUUUCCCUCUCUCAAUUUUUUCUAUCCCCAUCUUCAUCGAUUUCUUCCUCUUUUAUAGCCGUUGUCCCCACGUUCCCAUUUGCCUUUCACCCUACCUUUUUCGGGUAGUGGCAGCCUCUCAUGGAACUCUAACCGCUGCAUUACGGGCAAACGUGGGAUCUCGCAUCCUCCGCAACGGUUCUGGGAACAGCGCAACUACCGCGAUUCUGUGGGAUCUGUUCCCGCUUUUUGGGGGACGGGUACCGGCUCGGUAUAUACCUCUGGUCGGUAUAUUUCCCUGGUUGGUAAUCGCCUCUGGUCGGUUCAUGCUUGUCCCCGUGUUCUGCUCGCACCAUUUGGCUAAGAUGAUCCAUGCCGGGGUGGAGAUUAGUAGCAUGGCCGACCUGGUGCUUUUAUUUACUUAACAAUGGUUGUGCUGAUUGUUGGAGACGUGCUUCAGGGGCGUGCGUGUUGGGAAUACAAUGCCCUAGACUCUUUGGAGUUCAGGCAGGCCGACCCGGUUGAGUUUGGGGAGCUUGUCGCUAGUCAAGGACUUAACGCUGAAGAGGGGUCUAGGAAAAUCCUGACGCACACUGGUUGGGAAUUGAAGCCGUUCUCCUGAUGAGCCCAAGGCAGGGCGAAACCAGUUGACAUUGUGUCACUUCCUCUAGGCUUACUCUCGUAGUAUGGGAUGCGGGAGUGCCGCACGGGCUCGAAACCUCUCGUCCCGUGACAAAUGGUAUCAGAGCCGCGCUUGUCAUCUCUCGAAGCCCUCGUCGCGAGCUCGCCAAGCGCUCCAAUGCCGCACCACGCGGGUCCCCACCCUUUCAGAUACAAGAGUUGACAAGCGGGACGAACAGGCGGGUUCUCACACCCCCAAGCGUUCGCACCAAGUGGAUGGUGUCUCCAUGCGGGUCCUCUCCAUGGAUUGAGGACGUGCAUGUAGGCAGGGAGUUCAUGGGUUGAGUUUGGCAAGUCGAUCUUCACAUUUUUGCGUGGAAGUGCACACUUGCGAGGCGUACUCCUCAUGCACGAGGACGUGCAUGGUUAUGGCGGUGGGAGAAUGUCACGGACCGCAAUCGUGGCACCUAAGAUAUGCGCUUGUACGCUAGUGUCGAUGAUGGUUGUGCUGAUUGUUGGAGACGUGCUUCAGGGGCAUGCGUGUUGGGAAUACAAUGCCCUAAACUCUUUGGAGUUCAGGCAGGCCGACCCGAUUGAGUUUGGGGAGCUUGUCGCUAGUCAAGGACUUAACGCUGAAGAGGGGUCUAGGAAAAUCCUGACGCACACUGGUUGGGAACUGAAGCCGUUCUCCUGAUGAGCCCAAGGCAGAGCGAAACCAGUCGACAUUGUGCCACUUCCUCUAGGCUUACUCUCGUAGUAUGGGAUGCGGGAGUGCCGCACGGGCUCGAAACCUCUCGUCCCGUGACAAAACGCUGCCUACAGACUUGUUAUAAUCUAAUCAGUAAACCUAUUCGACUUGCUAGGAAAAAAAUAGGGCUUUUUUGUUUUCAUUCCCCUUUGGUGAUUGCAAAAAUUUAAAUCUAAAUUUAUGGUGCAGGCUACAUGGCACCUAGUGGAUGAUUGUUAGGGUUUGUCUUUUGCUCUUAGUUAGGAAUUUAAUUAAGAAUUUAUAGUGUGCGCCUUAUCGAAGUAGGUUUCCUAAUAGUAAUUAAAUAAUCCAAAUUUAUGAUGCAUUAGCAUAUGAUUGUGAUAAAUAAGCUUUUUAUGUAUCCUGUAAGGCUAAUUACUGUUUUAUUAGAUUCUCUUGUUAGUCUUGUGAAUCAACGAGAUUUAAUUAGUAGUAGAUAAUACUUUAGGCUUCACAGGCGCACUAUUUUAUCCGCUAAAUCAAUUUUUUUUUUAAAUUAAAAACAAUUCAUCAAACACUUUAUAGUUCUAACUUUUAAGCUGGUAAACACUUUAAGCCACAACUUUAAAUUCAGUUUACGAGAAUUCCUAAUAGUCACAGUGGCUUGGGUGGAAAUGAAUAUAAAUAAUGAAAUACUAUCUAAGCAACUCAAGGGCGGUGAAUUGAGUUUCUAAAAAUUUUGUAAAACUUAAUUCAAAUAUGAAACGAAUUAAAACAACAGUAAGUAAAUCAACCAAAAUAUAAAAAGAUAGGGGAAGAGAGAUUCAAACACAGAGAUUUUUAUGUGGUUCGGCCAACCUCGCCUACAUCCACGCCUCCAAGCACACCGAGCUUGAGGAUUCCACUAGUCAUGCCUUUAAGGCUUCAAGAACACCUACAAUUGACUUCAAAGAUGUCAAUCAACCUUUACACCAAGAAAUUAUCCUCAAUCUCUUAACCCAAGUGUAUCCUAACACUUACAAUUUCUCAAUUUGAUUUAAAAAUAAAUACAAAAUAAAUCUCUCUCACACAAUGUGUUUGAUUACAAAUGAAAUUCUAAAGUGUGAAUAAAUGAGAUGUAUACAAGAAUUUAAAACUCAAUGAAAGUUGUAUGCUCAAUAAUUUGCUCAAUGAUAAUGGUUGGAAUCGUUGUUAUUUGAAUUUGAUUGAACUUAUUUAUAGUUGGAGCUGAAAUAUAGUCGUUAUUGACUUUUUGCUCAAUGUUGGAUUGCCGUUUUGACUAUGAGCAAGUUACCGUCGGACAAAAUUUUAAAUUCUCGGACCGUCGAUUUCAAGAUGUCGAAUCGCCGUUAAUGUCCAGAGGCUGCUCUUCAAUUCUGUUCAAUGUCGGCUAGCCGUUAUCAAGAGAUCGGUUAGCCAUUUGCUACAAUGACUGCUACAGUGAACUAUUUCUAAAAUUAUAAUUUGGCCCCAAAACUUUAUAAAAUUUACUAUGACCGAUAACUUUAUAAAAUUUUGUCAAAUAAGUCCAUUUCCAAAAUUUUAAGCAAUAUUUGCUAAUUUCAAAGUUCUCAAAACUUUUUCAAUUUAAAUCAUUAACAUGAAAAUAACUAAUAUCAUAAAAUUACUUUUCAUUGAAUAUAAAGCCUUAAUAUGAAAAAAAAAUAAUUUGAGCUUUUAAAUCAAGCUUAACCAAGUUUGUUAUCAUCAAAAUCAAUAUUAAAGAAAUAUUUAUGUUGACAAAUAAUGUUUAAUUUUAAUGUACAAAGCACUGGUGCAUUUAGAAGGUACUACUGUGUAAACAAAAUUUGUGCUUGCAACUCAUCUUUUCAUUCAACUUUCUAAUAAUAAUAAAAUAAUACAGAGGAGAAAUAGGGGCUCUCUUUCCGUUUCCCAGUGUUUGUGUUUGGUGAUUUUAACUUUAUCAUGGAAUUGUCAAUUUUUAGUUGAAAGUUAUCUAAAUCUUCUUCUCUAUAUAAGCGUUUACAAUGAUUUUGUGAAACACAGCAAAAACAAUAAUAAUAAGUAUAUUUAUUCAUCUAAGAGGUCAAACUCUCAUGCUCAGAUAUGGAUAGUCCCAUUUUUUGAUCAGGGACAUCUCUUUACAAGCGUUGAAUUAUGCAAGCAAAUCGCUCCUCAAAAUUACCAAUCUACCCUCAUCGUUACCUCUCAAGUACCCAUAACUAUAGUUACCCAUUACUCUCUUCGCCAAGGCACACAGAUUAAAGAAUGCUUAGGGUGAAGGCAGUAACUGUCCUGAAAUAUGACUUUUAAAUUUUUAUUUUUUUUUUACGAAAUUAGUUAAAAUGCCAUAUGUGUGAUCAAAGUUGUUAAAUAUCUUAUCUUUCAAAUUAUAGGAGUAAAUAUUCACCAAACACUUUAUAAUUUUUAGUCAAUGUUUAUGAAAACACGGCCGCAAAAUGGUUACUAAUGCUAGGGAUCAAUAAUCAAACUGAAGUUUGUACGAUGAUGGGCUUUCGUGUUUCAGUCAAAGAUGAAAUAAUUUGUCAAUAGUGGCCAUGUGGAACUUAAAACCAAGCAUCAAUUGUUGACAUAACAAAUGAAAUAACAAAAUGGCAGCGGGGUUGGCGAUACAAAAUCAAAUCUUUUUUAUUCUUUUGAUUUUUGAUUUUUUCUAUUGCAUUCUGCUUUCUUAAAAGUUUGGUCCAAUUAAAGAGAAUACGGAGCAAUGACUUGUAUCAUCUGUGGAAUAAUCCAUAGAAAUAUAUAUGUGAAGCACGCCAAAGAAAAUGGCGCUGAUGACAUACUCCUAAGAAUUGUUCAUACUGAGUCAUCCAUCAAUCAACGGGUGGAUUAUUAUCUCACUGUAGAUGAAAUUCAACUGCAGAAGUAAUCGGAUGUGGGAUCCCAAUUUUGGCGUGACCAAUUAGAGGUUAUCAAUAUUAUAAUGCGAAAUUGAUGAUCAAUCAUCUUAAUGUGGGGUACAUGAUUUCUGAUGAUCCAUCAAAAAUACAAAGUUGAUUCAAAAGGAUGAUACGGUGAGUGGAACAGACAGGCUGAUGGGAAAUCAAGCUAUUAAAAAACGAGCUCACAUGCUUCAUAUUGCAUUUGAUCAUGGCUGUCCUAGAAGUUCAGUGGCUGCUUCGGAUGCUUUCAAAGUUCUUAUUAACCAGAAAGCAGUUUAACAAAAACAAGUAUUGUGCAUAUUAUUAACCAUAUGCUUUCAAAGAUCAUGUAUAAGCAUAUCAGAGAUCUUGUUGGCUUGAAGAUCUUCUUUGGAUGCUUUCAAUACCUACACUUAUACUACCAUAUGUAAAGCCUUUGUUACUGAUUGCAUUCAAUUAUUCAAUUAAAAGUCUUACAAAGCAUCUAAAAUGGAAGAUGGAACAUCCUCCAUCCAAAAAACAAAACGGAAGUCAAAACGUUGAUAUUGUUUUAUGUUUAAUAUCAUGAUACUAGAACUUUUUAGGCUAAAGCACCUACCUGCUGUGAGCUUUACUACAAAAAAAUGAGACUAUUUAGUUGUGAGACAAAUAGAGAGGGAAAGUUUUUACCAUUUAGCUAAAUUUCGAUCUUAUGCAAAAUAAUAUAAUUCAUUUGUUAUUAUGACCUAACCAACUCAAAACAAAAAGGAUUAUUAUGGCCUAACACAGUUCAAAAUGCAUGCAACAAUGGUGUAUUUAAAAUGGAACUAAUGUACAAAUAAAAUUUAUGCAUCUCUUGGAGGAAGGCCUUUAGGCCAACAAAUGAAAAUAGUGAGCUCGCAUUUUCUAUUAUCAUUUUCACCACUUGAAAAAGAGAGGGAAAAAAAUUGAGAGGAAAAACAGGGCUCCCCUGUUUUCAUUUCCCAUUUUUUCAGUUUGGUAAUUGUAAAUAACAUUCUUUACUUCCCUCUUUAUUUUAUUUUUUUUUUAUUUUUAACUCAUUAAUUCUUUUUCUUAUUCUUGCUAAAGCGUUUAGUAAAUCUUAUGAUCAUCUGAUCAAAUCCCUAACAUUAACAUACCCAUAAUCUAUUAAUGAAAUUUAUUUAUUUUAUAAUCAUCAAAUUGAAGAUUUGUUCAAUUUUGUAUGGCGACCAAUUUUCAUUUUUCUAUUAAACAUAAGAAGAAUUUGUACAUAAUGUUCAGGUCGAAACUCGUAAUAACGACGCAUCAUUUUUCGACAGAACAAAUGAAAUAACAAAAAAGUAUAAAUCAAGUCAUUAUUGAUCCUACUUUGAUGAUCGAACUUUGGUUUCUUUCUAAGAUGCCAUUCCUCAUUCAAGCUCUUGCUUUUCUCUUUUAUCCGACAUCUUACAAAGCCUUGUCCCUACUAAUAAGCUCUGCAUAUCAAUAUUCUUUUCAAUUUCGCAGGAUACAAGUAAUGUAUAUGCCAAAAUUAUUCAAGCACAACAGGUAUUUAUUCGUUGAAAACUUUUAACUUGAUUAUUUCGUUAGAACAUAUGAAACGUAGAGCUAUAACUUAGUGCUCUCUUCAAAUUAACUGGGUUGAACAAAAAAUUUUAAAGUAUUUUACCCGAUCCAUUUCUUGUAUCUCACUGCAUGCUUUGUUAAAAGCUUCGUCUUUUGGUCUUGAUUCUGAACUUCAAAAAUUAAAUCUUAAGACUCGGGUAUAAAAUGGGUGCAUGAUUAAGUCUUCUUCUUUUCCAAUUCAUUGCUAUAACUCACACCAACAUUUUACUCAGACAUUCCUCUGCAGUUAACAGUGGUCUUUUACUCAUUAAAAUUUUUCUUAAUAAUUUCUUUGGAUACCCGUUCUCACUUAAUAUUCAAGGCGAAUAGAGAAGCUCAUCAACUCUUUGAUCCCAGACAAUUAAAGAAGUACACAUGUUCUAAAUCAUCUAAUAAUUUCUUUUAAUAGCUGUUCUUAAUUUCCAUCUACUUUGCAAGAAAAAAUUUAUCUUGUUUGUUUUCAUCUUGUCAUCUAUUUUGCUUGAGUUUUAAGUUAUUGUUCAUUUGUAAUGUCUGUGUUCUUAUUAUUAGCUUUGGAUAAUUUGCAUCCAUGUCUUUUCUUUGUUUGUGGGCUUUUAUUCAGACCCCCUGAAACCUUUCUGUUAAUAUAAAAACUCUAAUCCUUGAGCAAAAGGUUAAAAAAAGAAAAAGAAAGAAUUCUCUGUUUAGAUAUCAGUUGGGUUAAGAACAAUGUUGUUUGUCUCCUGUCUUUUCUUUGUUUGUUUGUUUGUUUAUUUUGUCAUUUUAUUAGAUUUGCUUUGUAUCUAAUUUUACUUGAAGAUUAAAGCUGAGCGAGAAAUGCCUUUUUUUUUUUUCUGAAGCAACCUACAAAUUUUAGAAUAGGGCCAAGAGUAUUAAAGAUUCAAUUAACCGCAAAAAGUUAUUUACAUGCAUCGCUUGCAAACUUAAGCUUAUCAUCCCAAAUUGAGUUGCUUGCAUUAGAAAUUUUCAUGCAUUCACGAGCAUUAUCAUCAUAUCACAAGAUAGCCUGAAAAACAAGAUAAAUCAAUUUGAGCAACAAGUUUCCUCUGUUUUCGUUCCUCUGUUUUCAUUCCCUGUUUAUUGAUAUUUUUUUUUUUUUUUGGCCUGAAAUUAAGAAGAAAAAAGUGGUAAAACAAGUCACCACUGUUUUUAUUCCCCUGUUUUUCGUGGAAAGAAUAAAUGAAAUUGAAAAAAAAAAAAGCAGCGUUGGCAAUACAACAUGAAACUUUAAAUUUUUAUUUUAUUUUUAUUUUUGAUUUUGAAUGUGCAUAAGUCAAAUCAUAUAUUAUUGAUCUUACUUCGAUUAUUUGCUGUUUAGUUUCUCUCUUAAAUGCUUUUUGUUUGUUUCCGGUAUUUGCUUUUAUAAAAGUUUUAGUCCUCAAUCAUUCGUUCAAGGAUUUGCUUUCUCUUUUAUUAGGCAUUUACAUUGCUCUGUCGAUCAAUAUUCAUUUGAAUUUCACAGUACACAAGCAAUGUAUAUACCAAAACUUAAUUAUUUCUUUAGAAUAUAUGAAAACGUAAGAGUUGUGAACUACUGCUUUCUUCUUCAACAUGCGUCAACAGGGCAACAAUAACCAAAUACAUGAUAUACAAAAGCGGUGCAUGACUAAUUCUUUUUCUUUUGCAGGUCAUUGUUAUUGCUCUCGUCAACUUCUUUUCUCACACAUUUCCCAGCAGUUACCAGUGAUCUUUUUUCUCCUUCAACUUGUUCUUACAUAUUAAAGGCGAAAUAGAAAAGCUCACCAACUCUCUAAUCCCAGAUAAUUAAAGAGGUGCACGUUUUCUAAAUCCUUUAACUUUUUUUUUUUUUUUUUUUAUAGUAGAACCCCUGAUCCUUGAUCUUGACAUUUGUUCCUUCAUAAUUUCCAUCUACUUUCCAAGAAAAAUUUCUCUGGUUUGUUUUAAUAUUAUAACUUAUUUUGCAUGAGUUUUAAGUUACUAUUCAUUGUUAAAGCUUGUGCUCUUAUUAUUUCCUUUGGUUAACUUGCAUGCUUUUCCCCAAAAAAAAGAAAAAAGUUUAUAAAAAGAUUAUAGGUUUUUACUCAGACCCUUGAAACCUUUCUGAUAAUACCAAAAACACUAAUCCUUUAACAAAAGAAAGCAAGAAAAAAAAAGGUCCUAUAUUUUAAUAUCUGUUGGCUUUGUAUUGAUAUUGCUUGUUUGUUGUCUUUUAUUUCAUUGUUUGUAUCUAAGUUUACUUGAAGAUUAAAGAUCAGUAGGAAAAGCCCUUUUUAUAAAGCUAACAUACACAUUUUAGAAUAGGGCUCAACCGCAUGAAAAUAUUUACAUUGUAGUAUCUCAUAUUAAUAAUCUAAAAAAAACCAAUCCAACAAGUUCAAAUUCACUGAAAUCUAAAAAAGAUUGCUUUUAAGGAGUACAUGAUAGCUAUUGAAUUUUGGUUAAAGAUCUUUUAGGCAGAAUUGAAAUUCACUCAGUCAUAAAUCAACCAAUCCAACGAGUUCAAGUGCAGAGUCAAUUGAACAAAUUCAUCACUUGCAGAAUUAAGCUUAUCUUCCGCAAUUGAGUUGUUUCCAUUAGAAAUUUUCCCGCAGUCACGAGACUAUCAUCAGAACAUGAUUAUUUAUAUAAGAACAAGAGUUAAGAGGAGAAAAAUAAGGCAAAACAAGAUUCUUCUGUUUUCAUUCCCUUUUUUUUUUUUUUGUUUGGUGGUUGAAAAAUUUUAUCUCUAAAUUUUUAUAAUUUUUCGUUAAAGUUUAUAUUUAAAUAAAGGGUUAAAAAAAUCUAGUUCUAAAUUUAUGCAUUGAAUGAUUAUUAUUAUUGGUUACGAUAUCAAUUAAAUAACAAAUAGAGCUACUAAUCACUUUGUUAAAAAUGAACAUGCGUUCUGUUUAUAUGACAGAGCAAAACACGGGGUGCACGCUUAAGUCUUGUUCUUUUACAGUUCAAUUGUAUUACUUACUCUCAUAAACUCUUUACUCACAUUCCUCUGCAGUUAACCGUGAUCUUUUGCUCAUUAAAAUUUUUCUUAUAUAUUCAAUGCCAAUAGUGAAGCUCAUAAACUCUGUGAUCCUGAAUAAUAAAAGAGGUGAACUUGUUCUAAAUGAUAGCUAUUCAACUUGGUUAAAGAUCUUUUAGAAAGAGUUCAAAUUCAGUCAAUCAUAACUCAACCUAUCCAACAACUCCAAGUCUAGAGUCGAUUGAGCAAGAUUCAUCACAUGCAAAAUUAAGCUUAUCAUACCCAAAUUGAGUUGUUUCGGUUAGAAAUUUUCCAGCAGCCAUAAGCAUCAUCAUUGUGUUUCCGUUAGGAAAUUGAGUUGCUUAUCAUACCCAAAAUAUUUAUAUAAGGACAAGAGUUAAGGAAAAGAUCCCUCAAGGAAAAGGUCCCUCUGUUUUCAUUCCCCUGUUCUUUCGUUUAGUGAUUGAAAAAUUUUAUAUCUAAAUUUUAUUAUUUUCCAUUGAGGUUCAUUUAAAACAGAAAAGAAUUAAAAAUGUAAUUCUAAAUUUACCCUAAUUCACGGAGUGAUUAUUAUUAUGUUAUCUCAAAAUUGGCCAUACGAAUUAAAUGACUAAUAGAGUUAUUGACAAUUUUGUUAAAAAUGAACAACCGAUAAGUCAUUAUCUUUUGCACUUCAUUCUUAUUACUCUCAUAAACAUUUUAAUCACAUUUCUCUGUAGUUAACAAUGAUCUUUACCCAUUAAAAUUGUUCUUACAUAUUCAUGGCAAAUGAAGAAGCUCAUCAACUCUGUGAUCCCAGAUUAUUAAAGAGGUGCACAUGUUCUAAACCCUUUAAUAGUUUCUUUUGAUACCAUAAUCUAAUCCUUGAUCUUGAUAAUAGUGCUUUCGCAACAUCCAAGUAAAAAUUUCUCUUGUUUGUCUUAAUCUUGUCAUUUAGGUUUCUCGACUUUUAAUUUAUUAUUCAUUGUUGACUUCUGUGUUCUUAAUAUUAGCAUUCGUUAACUUACUUAAAUCCAUCCUUUUCAACAGCCAGAAAAAUAUAUAUUGUUAAGCAACAGGAGAUGGCAGAAGUAUGUCUUGCUAUUUUUUCCUGCGUAUCAGAAGGUACAAAGACAUUGUCUGAACCGAUUAUAGGGCAGAUGUCUUAUGUGCUCAAGUGCCAGAGCUACAUAGAUGGGCUAAAAGACCGAGUAGAGGAGCUGGGACAAAGAAGAAAAAGGGUGGAAAUACUGGUUGAUCAGGCUCCUGGACAAGGAUAUAAGAUUUUUGGGGAUGUCACAGAGUGGCUAGGGAAAGUUGAGCAAUUCACUCAAGGGUAUGCAAAACACAUCAUUAAUGAUGAAGAUGAAGUUAGGAAGCCCUGCUUUAAAGGAUUGUCCCCAAAUUUGAUGUCUCGUUAUAAACUCAGUAAACGAGCAGUGAAGGCUGCAAAAUAUGCUGAAACUCUCUUGGCAACAGGCAACUUAUGGAUCAUGAGUAAUGUUUCCCACCCUCCUUCCCCAAAGAUGAGAGAAUUUGGCAACAUGAAAGAUUACGAUAUCUUUAAUUCGAGAAAGAAAAUAUUUCAAGAUGUUAUAGAGGCGUUGAAAGAUGAUAAGCUCAACAUAAUUGGGGUCUGCGGAAUGGGCGGCGUGGGUAAAACCACGCUAGUCAAGCAAAUUGCAAAGCAAGUUAUGGAAGAUAACGUGUUCGAUAAGGUCGUUAUGGCUGAGAUAACAAAGAACCCAGAUGCUCAAAAAAUUCAAGGAGAACUCGCUUCCGAUCUAGGCAUGAACUUUGACUCGAAUGAUCACAUAUACCACAGAGCAAAACAACUAUGUCAAAGAUUGAAGAAAGAGAAGCGAGUCCUCAUUAUAUUAGAUAAUAUUUGGACAAAACUUGAGUUGGACAAAAUUGGAAUUCCUUAUGGGGAUGUUGAUGAGAAAGAUAAAAAUGAUGAUCCGAGAAGAUGACGAUAAUAUUGACGUCUAGAAGUCGAGAUUUAUUGUGCAUUGAUAUGAAUUCUCAGAAAAUGUUCUGGAUCGAUGCUUUAUCAAAAGAAGAAGCAUUGCAGUUAUUUGAGAAGAUAGUGGGUGAUUCCACAAAAGCAUCUGAUUUUCGACCUUUAGCAGAAGAGAUUGUUGGAAAAUGCGGAGGAUUGCCUGUUGCACUGAGUACAGUUGCAAAUGCUCUGAAAAAUAAGAGUCUUGCCAUUUGGAAGGAUGCGUUGAAUAAGCUGACAAGUUCCAAUCUAAGAGAAAUUCAUGGUAUGGAUGCAGAUGUGUAUUCUUCUAUAAAAUUGAGUUACGACUUCUUGGAUGAUGAAGCAAAAUCUUUGUUCCUUCUUUGUGGUCUGCACCGUGAAGGUCGUCCUAUACACGUACAUUACUUACUGAGAUAUGUUAUGGGAUUGAGAUACGAUAAGGGUUUGGGUCUAUUUAGAAAUGUUUACACAUUGGAAGCAGCAAGGAAUAGAGUGGAUGCAUUGAUCGACAAUCUAAAAGCUUCAUGCUUAUUGUUGGACGGUGAUGCUGAAGAUGAAGCUAAACUGCAUGACGUCAUUCAUGUUGUUGCUGCAUCAAUUGCAGAAGAAAAGCUUAUGUUUAAUAUUCCAAAUGUUGCUGACUUUGAGAGAGAGAUGGAAGAGACAAUACAGAAAGGUCCAAUUGCUAUUUCUUUACCUUAUAGAGAUAUUCAAGAGCUCCCUGAAAGGUUGGAAUGUCCCCAACUCAAGUUAUUUUUGUUGUUUGCAAAGUACGAUAGCACUUUGCAAAUUUCAGACCACUUUUUUGAAGGGACGGAAGAACUCAAAGUCUUAGAUUUUACUGGAAUUCGUUUCUCUCCAUUACCUUCAUCACUCGGUCGCCUCAUUAACCUUCAAACAUUGUGUUUAGAUGGUUGGCGACUAGAAGAUAUAGCAAUAGUUGGACAGCUAAAGAAAUUAGAGAUUCUCAGCCUUCGAGGUGCCGAAAUUAAGCAGUUGCCACUUCAGAUUGGACAAUUGACAAGGUUACAGUUGCUAGAUUUGAGCAAUUGUAGCAGCCUUGUGGUGAUAGCACCAAAUGUCAUAUCGAAAUUAUCUCGAUUGGAAGAACUAUAUAUGGGUGACAGCUUUUCACAGUGGGACAAGGUUGAAGGAGGAAGUAACGCCAGUCUUGCUGAAUUGAAGGGGCUGUCAAAGCUAACUACUUUGGAGAUAGAUGUUCGGGAUGCUGAAAUGCUGCCGCAGGAUUUGGUCCUUGGGGAAUCGCUAAGAUAUAGGAUAUGAAUAGGAGAAGUGUGGGGCCGCUGGUCUGUUAAAUCUGAAACAUCAAGAUUGAUGAAGCUUCAGGGGCUAGAAAAUAUUAGCAUUCUUUUGAGGAAUCAUGGAAUGAAAAUGUUGCUGAAGAAAACUGAAGAUCUCUAUCUACAGGAACUGAAGGGUGUAAAGAAUGUUGUUCCUGAAUUAGAUGAUGGGGAAGGUUUUCCACGAUUAAAGCAUCUUCAUGUAGGAAAUUUUGCGGAGCUUUUACAUAUUGUCGGUUCAAUUCAUUGCAAAGUCUUUCCCCAGCUAGAGUCAUUGUCUCUUUUUGGUUUGCUUAAUUUGGAGAAGAUAUGUUACAGCCAAAUCACAGAUCAAUCUUUUAUCAACUUAAGAAUCUUUAGCGUACGUAAUUGUAACAAAUUGAAGCAUCUCUUCUCAUUCUCUAUGGCCAAAAGCCUAUUGCGGCUUCAACAAAUAAAAGUGGGUCUUUGCAACAACCUGGAAAUGAUUAUUGGUAAGUGUUGGAAGUAUUUUGAGGAAUUAUAAAAAGCUACUAUUACUUAAUGACAGAAGUUAAUUAUUAAUUUUGUUUCUAGGACUCAACAAGGAGACAAGUAAUUUCGGUUUUAAAGAAAUCAUUGCAGAGGAUGAUCCUGUUCAGAAGGUGAUAAUUUAUGAUCCUGUUCAGAAGGUGAUAAUUUUCUCUUUAAUAAUUAAUUAAUAUAUUAUCAUGAUUUAUUUCAAUCAUCAAAAGAAUAUUAGAGAGAUAGGGAGGGGGAAAAAAAAAAAAGCUUACGGUUUUGCUUUGCAGGUCAUUCUUCCAGGCUUAGAGGAGUUGGAACUUGAUAGAUUAGCAACCAUUGAAAAAGUAUGGCCGGAUCAGUUUGAGGGAAUGUCUUGUUGUCAAAAUUUAACAAAAGUGACCGUGGAGAGGUGUCAUCGCCUGAAGUAUCUAAUAAAUUUGUUGACAUUCUCAAUGCCUGAAAGUUUUGUGAAUCUUGAAAUAAUGAAGAUAGUUGAUUGCAAAAUGAUAGAAGAAAUCAUAAAAUCACAGGUUGGAAUAGAAGCGAAACAUUGUAUUGUUUUUAGGAAAUUGAAGUACUUGAGGCUUGAUUGUUUGCCAAGCCUGACAAGCUUUUCUUCGAGUAAUUACACUCUUGAAUUCCCCUUCUUGAAACAAGUAGUUGUGAGACAGUGCCCAAAGAUGAAGAUUUUCUCUCAAGGAGGACUCUUACACACACCAAUGUUGAACAAAGUGCAACUCACUGAAGAAGACGAUGAUGAAGGGUACUGGGAAGGCGACCUCAAUAAUACCAUACAAAAGUUGUACUACAAAGAAGUGGUGAGUAUUAAUUAAGCAUUGGUGCUAGGCCACUAGCUUUAUUUUAUGAAUAACACAGGAGCCCUAACCACAUAAAAAUUAUCUUAUAUAAAGUGGUGAAAUAAUAUGGUAGGUUGACAUAUAUAUACAUGUAUGUAUGUAUGUAUGUAUCCACGUAUAUGGCCCAUGUUUUGUUUUACAUUUAACCAGUCAUAUUAUGUUACAUCAAUUUUUAUAACAUUAUUUAGAUAAUAGUGUCUGAAACUGUAUCAUUAUUCUUGAUUUAAUUUUGUUAUUAGUUUUUUUUUCUAUUAUUAGUAUUAUCAUUAAAAGGUAAACGUUUUCUUACCCACCUCAUAAAUUAGCAUGCUUUAUUUUGUCUUUAACUUAUUGAAAACAUUAACCCACGCCCAUUUAGCGUUAAAAGUACAAAAUGUUUGCCGAAGAAUAUCAUCAACACAGGCCCCUAUUCACGCUAUUCUUUUGGAUAGUAAAUGGGGGUGCGUUGAUGUUAUCAUUAAUUUGGUAGACAUCGGGAAACUGUAAUAAUAUAAAAAACAAUUGUGUGUGUCUAGUGAAUUUUUUUUUGGUUUGUGCAGGAUAGAGUUCGUGAAAUGACGAAGUUGGAACUCUCAAACUUUCCACGUUUCAGAGAAAUGUGGCAUGCCCAAGCACUGCCUGUUAGCUUCUUCAGCAAUUUAGUAAAGCUAGUGAUGGAUGACUUCAAGAAUAUGACUACUGCUAUUCCAGCCAAUCUUCUACGGUGCUUGAACAAAUUAAAAAUUCUGGAAGUGAGGAAUUGUGAUUCAUUAGAAGAGGUGCUCCAUUUAGAAGAGCUAAAUGUUGAUGAACAUUUUGGCCCUCUGUUUCCUGUUCUUGUCCAGCUAGAGCUCAUUAAUCUUCCAAAACUCAAAAGAUUCUGCAGCUUCAUUGGGAAUGUUAUUGAACUGCCUGAGUUGUUGAAUCUGAACAUUGAGAAUUGCCCUAAUAUGGAAAUAUUCACUUGCAAUUCUAUAUCUAUAUUGCACAGGACAACAAAUAAAGAACCUCUGGAAAUAACACCAAAGGAGAACUUCCCGCUAGCUGACAUACAGCCUCUCUUUGAUGAAAAGGUGAUUGUUAUUAAGUUUUUUUUUUUUUUUUCCUUCGCUUUCAUUCACAUAGAUGUAAUUCUCAUUAGAAUUAAAAUUAAUUUUAUUUAAUGAUCUUUCUGUUGUCUUUACUCUUUAUAUCUAAUCUAACGGUUCUAAUGCAGUUAUUAACUAAAAUUUCAGUAUACACUCAUAAAAAUGUCAUCAAAUUAGUUAAAUGAUUGGUAACAAGGGGUGAACUCUAUCCAUAUUAUCUCUAUUCAGAUUUGAUUUAUGUGCUUCAAGGGUAACUAUUUGAAUUUUAUUUUUUGGUUCCUCCGCAACUAAAUACAAUUUGGAUAUAAAAUGCUGUCGUCAAUCUUUUCCAUGAAACUGCUUACGAAGACUGCCGACGUUAGAUAUAUGUUCUCAUUUACAACUUUUUUUUUUCCAGGUUGCAUUCCCCAAGUUACAUAUGUUGAACCUGUCUAGAAUACCCAAGGUGUCGCAUCUAUGGAAGAAAAUUUCCGAAUCCAACGAAGUUUCCAAGUUUUUGAAUACUCUAGUAAUAUCAGAAUGUAGUAAGUUACGAAAAUUAGUACCAUCUUUGUUGCAUUUGGAAUAUCUGGCGACUCUAGAAGUGUCGAAGUGUCACGGGUUGACAAAUUUGUUGACGAUCUCAACAACUAAAAGUUUAGAACAUCUUUUAGUAAAUCUUGAAAUAAUGAAGAUAGCUGAUUGCAAAAUGAUAGAAGAAAUCCUACAAUCACAGGUUGAAAAAGAAGAAGAAAUCCUACAAUCACAGGUUAAAAAAGAGGAAGAUUGCAUUGUUUUUGGGAAAUUGAGGUACUUAGGACUUGAUUGUUUGCCAAGCCUAACAAGCUUUUAUUCGGGUAAUUACACUCUUGCAUUCCCAUCCUUAGAAGAAGUAGUUGUGAGACAGUGCCACAAGAUGAAGAUUUUCUCUCAAAAAGGGCGCUUACACACACCAAUGUUGAACAAAGUGCAAUUCACUGAAGAAGAUGAGGAUGAAGGAUGCUGGGAAGCCAACCUCAAUGAUACUAUAAAAAAAUGGUACUACAAAGAAGUGGUCAGUAUUAAUUAAGCAUUGGUGCUAGCUUUAUUUUAUCAAUAAUACUAGAGUCUCAACCUCUUAAAAAUUAUUUUAUACAAAAUGAUGUGAUAUAAUAUGGUAGGUUGUGUGUGUGUAGCCCGCGUUUUGUUUUUUGUUUAACCAAUCAUAUUAUUUUAUAUCAGCUUUAUAACAUUAUUUAGACAAUAGUGUUUGUAACUAUAUCUUUACUCAUUAUUUAAUUUUGUUAUUAGUUUUGUUACUGUUAUUAGUAUUAUUAGUAGUAUUAUUAUUAAAUGGUAAAUGUUUUUACCCAGUACCCACCUCAUAAAUUAACAUUCCUUAUUUUUGUCUUUAACUUAUUGAAAACAUUAACCCAUGCACAUUUAGCUUUAAAAGUACAAAAUGUUUGAUUAAGAAUAUCAUCAACACAGGCUCCUAUUCACUAUAUUCUUUGAAUAGUAAACGGGGUGCGUUGAUGUUAUCAUAAAUUUGAUGGACAUCUGGAAACUGUAGUAAUCUAGAAAACAAUUGUGUCCAUAUAUAUAUCCACUACAGUUUUCCUCUUUUUUUGUGGCUUUUGCAGGAUAGAGUUCGUGAAAUGAUGAAGUUGGAACUCUCAAGCUUUCCACGUUUGAGAGAAAUGUGGCAUGCCCAAGCACUGCCUGUUCGCUUCUUCAACAAUUUAGUAAAGCUAGUGAUGGAUGACUUCACGAAUAUGACUACUGCUAUUCCAGCCAAUCUUCUACGGUGCUUGAACAAAUUAAAAAUUCUGGAAGUGAGGAAUUGUGCUUCAUUAGAAGAGGUGCUCCAUUUAGAAGAGCUAAAUGUUGAUGAACAUUUUGGCCCUCUGUUUCCUGUUCUUGACCAGCUAGAGCUCAUUAAACUUCCAAAACUCAAAAGAUUCUGCAGCUUCAUUGGGAACGUUAUUGAGCUGCCUGAGUUGUUGAAUCUGAACAUUGAGGAUUGCCCUAAUAUGGAAAUAUUCACUUGCAAUUCUAUAUCUAUGUUGCACAGGACAACAAAUAAAGAACCUCUGGAAAUAACACCAAAGGAGAACUUCCCGCUAGCUGACAUACAGCCUCUCUUUGAUGAAAAGGUGAUUGUUAUUAAGUUUUUUUUUUUUCCCUUUGCUUUCAUUCACGUAGAUGUAAUUCUCAUUAGAAUCAAAAUCAAUUUUGUUUAAUCAUCUUUCUGUUGUCUUUACUCUUUAUAUCUAAUUUAACGGUUCUAAUGCUCUUAUUAACUAAAUUUUCACUAUACACUUAUGAAAAUGUCAUCAAAUUAGUUAGAUGAUUGGUAACAAGGGGGAGAACUCCAUCCAUAUUGUCUCUAUUUAGAUCGGAUUUAUGUGUUUCGAGGGUAACUAUUUGAUUUUUAUUUUUUGCUUCCUCUGCAAAUAAAUAGAAUUUGGAUAUAAAAAGUUGUGAUCAAUCUUUUCCAUGAAACAUGCUUGUGAAGACUGCCGAUGUUAGAUAUAUAUUCUUAUCUACAACUUUUUUUUUUAUUUAAUUUUCAGGUUGCAUUCCCCAAGUUAUAUAAGUUAAAACUGACUAGAAUACCCAAGGUGUCGCAUCUAUGGAAGGAAAUUUCCGAAUCCAACAAAGUUUCCAUGGUUUUGAAUACUCUAGUAAUAUCAGAAUGUAGUGAGUUACGAAAAUUAGUACCAUCUUUGUUGCAUUUGGAAUAUCUGAUGACUCUAGAAGUGUCGAAGUGUCACCGGUUGACAAAUUUGUUGACGACCUCAACAACUAAAAGUUUGGUGAAUCUUGAAAUAAUGAAGAUAGCUGAUUGCAAAAUGAUAGAAGAAAUCCUACAAUCACAUGUUCAAGAAGAAGGGAAAGAUUGCAUUGUUUUUCGGAAAUUGAGGUACGUGGGACUUGAUUGUUUGCCAAGCCUAACAAAAGCUCAUGCCUUGUUGAUGGAUGCUGUAGAAGAAGGACUAUAUUGUUGUAGCAACAAGCCUGCAGAAAAUCACAGAAUACUUAUCUGUAUAUGAACAAAAACAAGUCUGAACCAGAGAGAAUGUUGUAGUAACUAUUGCAAAAAUCUAGAUCAAAUACAAACAAAACUGUCUAGAUUGUUCAUGUGCUAACUAAUAAAGUCUACUGCAGUCGAUACUGAACUACCACUAUCAUGUGCAGACAACAGAGUGGCAGGCAGCACAAAAGGGAAUGUGCUCCUAGGAUGCCAAAAAACACAAGUGUCCUAAUGCUUUUUAGUUGCCCAAAUCCCAAGAUAUAAAAGACCAUAUUUUAAGGAAAUACAUCAUCCACGACCGACACAUGCAAAGAGAACAGAAAGAGAGAUUUCAGAGUUGCAAUAGAGGCAUUUUUCGUGUUGAAAAAUGAGAGAUAAUAGAAGAUCAAAGCAUGACGUUUUGGGUCUUUUGUAUCUCAACGUUUUUUCUUGUAUUUGUUUAUUUUGUUCUCUCUCUGAUAAUGUAUUUAAUGGCAGACACUUGUGUUGUUACUGUUUCAAAGCUCAUCAUGAGCUAAACCUUAAUUUAGUUGGGUUUUGAAUAUGCUUAAUGGUUAUUUAAUUUACAUGUGUAUGUUGCUCAGAACCUGUUAUAGCAUUUUGUUUUAACUUUACUUAUUGUAAUUGCCUACCUCGGUUGACUACCUAUUUAGUGGAUAUUAGAUAAGAAGGAGCCUAAAAGGUUUGACUUAGUGGAAUAAAUUAAGAAAUACAUGGUUCUAGAUUAGGAUUCCCAAGUUGAGUUAAUCUCGAUUUGAAUAGGGCCAUGCUUAAUCUAAGAUUAGUGAAGAACUAGAUUUAGGGAUUCACCUUGUAGGGCAAAUAGAGUCUAAAACAUAAAAUGCUAUGUCUAAUGUUAGUUUAAUAACUAAUCACUAUUAGAUUACAUAUAGAUAUAAGAUAUCCAAAAAACGACAGUUGAAGACGCUAUAACAACUGUGUCUCAAUUGAAAGAUAUUCAAUAACCAAUAAGUGAGUUUAGAACCCGACUACCCUUUUGCCAUUUAGUAUAUUUUUUUGUUUGACUUUAGAUUCUCUUUAUUGCAUUCUAUUUGUUGCAUUGUUAAUUUCAUUAGAUCAUUAAUAUCAUCAUUUAUUUUCUUUUAUUUAGUUUAUUAAAAUUGCACUGUUAAGAUUGCUAUAGUAAGUCCUAUAACAUCAAUCCAUGUGGAGACGGUUUUGAUACUCAUCAUUAUAUUAUUUCUUGUGUACACUUGUAUAUUGACACUUUACCAAGUUUUUGGCGCCGUUGCUGGGGAUUGAGUGUAACACCCCAGUCUGAAAUCCAAGGGCAAAUAUGUCCAUAACUCACAUAUGAAUUUAAAUAACCCUUUACAAUCGAAAAAAAUUCAAACCUCCAAUAUAAUAGGCAGCGGAAUAAUUUGAAAAUUUUGUCAAACCAUCUAUCAUCCUCAAUUCAAGUCUACCUUCUCACUCAUUACGAAUCAUUCCUGACUUUUGGAAACUGAAUCACAAUAAACUAUAAUGAGUACAAAACUCAGUAAGCAAAUUAGUUUUCUUAUACUAAAAUACAUCCAUACUUAUACAUAAUGCAAAUGGAUGAUAUGUCAUGAUCUUUUGGAAAUACUAUAAAACAAAUUCAUAAAAGUCUCUUUCUGUCGCUUUCAAACUUUCUCAUUUUCUUUCAAUAAAAUACGUAUCCUACAAUGUGGCACUUUGUGCUGUGCGUGGCACUUUGCACCAUGCGUGGUACUUUGCGGCGCUCUGGCCCUCAAGAGGUGGCCCCCGCAUAGUCUCAAGAGGUGGCCCCCAAUGUAAAAUCUCAUAAAACAAAAAUUCUGUUUGCUAAAAUUCACUUGUUCAUUCAUAGAAAACUCAAUGCAUUUUCGUGCUCAUGCUAAUGAACCAUCACACAUACAUAUGCCCAUGUACAUAAUCAUGCCCAUUACAUAACAACACAUCACAUAAACACAUGAGCAGAGACAUAUAAAUCCAUAUUCGUACAUAUCAAAAUAGGUUUUUCAUACAAGUCAAACAUAUAUAUUAUUUAUUGUGAUUCGUUUUAAAGUCUAGUUUACUUACCUCUUGGUAUCCUCAUGCAACAAAUGCAUAUUGAUAUCAUCAACCUUAAAUCAUCAAUAAAUUUCUCAUAAGAUAUAAUCAAGUCUCAAUCAUAAACUCUAAUGUCCUGAAGUAUCUCAAUUUAAAUGUCCUCAAUAAUCGGCCCUCAAAACAUAACAGUCCAUAUUUCUCCGAUUUUUAAUAAACUAUUCUCUUAUUGGAAGAAUCUAAAAUUUUACCGACCAUAUGCUGACACAUUGAAAGUUCAUUGAUAAAUAUUUCGUAACAUAAUUCCUUCAAAAACUAUUGAAAAUAACUGACGUUUCAGACAUCAUCAAUACUGUCAAACAGUUUUCUAUUUUGAACACACUUGCUUUAAAAAUACAAAACAAUUUAUUGCUUUAUCAUAAAAUCAUGAACAUUUUUAGAAUCAUACUAUACAUAUAUAUAAAUCAUUGGUCCAAAUUUCGUAAUUGUUGAAGAAGUCUAGCUAUGGUAAAAAUAAUUUCGUAAUUUACGUUAUUCACUGAAAUCAUAAAUUUCCAGGUUUUCAGGCUUGAAUUUGAAAAAUCGUAAUUAAUUGAAAUCUUAUCUGAUUAACUUGAAACAAGUUUCAAAACAUUCUAAACGAUAUCUAGUUUAACAUACCCAAAAAUCAGAAUCAAAAUCAACUUGUACAAAUUACUAUGAUUUCCGUAAUAAUUCACUGUCAGCAUAUUUCUGCAAAAUCUUAGAUUUCUACUUCUAUUGCAAUAAUGCUUCUCCACAACAAUUUAAUAGAGACCAAUAAUUAAAACUUACCUCCAAAACUUCUCCCAACAAUAAAAACUUAAUUCCAUGUGUUGCCUAUGGCAGAACUAAGAAGAAGAAGAAGACUUCUUCUUUUUUUCUUUUCUUGAUUUUCUCUCUUGUCUCUCCAUCUCUCUCUCUCUCUCUCUCUCUCUCUUUUCUGUCGUUUUUUUUUUGCAACCGAUCCCUCUUUUCCUCUCUCUCUUAUAAUAAAAAAGACAUCUUGUUCUAUUUAUACUAGGGCAAAAAAGGAUCACUAAAAAUUAAAAAGAGUUAAAUACCCUUAGGAGAUUUGGAAUAUUACAUUGAGUGCAUAUUGUGAGUUUUUAAGUUAAUUUUUUUUCUUUUAAUUUGUUUGUUGUGUUAACAUAAUGCUUUAGCAACCCUUGCAUGCUCAAGUAUAAACCUGUUGAAUUUUAGUUUGAUCCAAAAAUUGAAAGAACUGCAAGGAGGCUAAGAAAAGAGCAUAGAGGUUUAGGAUCUGUUGCAGACAUGGAUGGUUUGUAAAAUGUGGGAGAUUUGAAUCCCCAAGGAGGAAUGAAUCCAAUUAAUGUUCAAAGAGAUAAUCCUCUUCCCAUUUUAGAUCUAGUUAAUGCACAAAGAGUUCAAGAAUGUCAGUACGGGUAGAUUGGUCAAGGGCAACUAGAGAAUAACAACAUUUUCUGCAUGACAGUUGAUAAAGAAAAUGUUGUUAGGGACUAUAUAGUGUUAACCCCUCAAACUAUAAAUCCUGGAAUAGUCAAACCCAAAGUUCAGGCUGCUCAUUUUGAGCUCAAACCAGUAAUGUUUCAGAUGUUACAGAAAGUAGGAUAGUUCAAUAGACUACCAUCAGAAGAUCUUCAUCUUCACCUUAAACUAUUUUUGAGGUGAGUGAUGCUUUCAAGAUUGCUGGAGCAUCACAUGAGGCAUUGAGGCUAAUACUCUUAAUUUUCUUUGAAGGAUCGAGUAAGAGAAUAGUUGAACUCUUUACUACAUGAUUCAAUCUCUACAUGGAAUACCUUAGCUGACAAAUUUUUGAUAAAGUAACCUACCAAGAAUGCAAAGUUGAGGAUGAGAUCACAUUUUUCCAUUAACUUAACGAUGAAAGCUUCUAUGAUGCUUGAGAAAGAUUCAAGGAGUUGUUUAGGAAAUAUUCUCAUGAUGGUAUCCCUUGUUGUAUACAGUUGAAAACUUUCUAUAAUUGUCUAAAUUCAAGCACUAGAUUGAUGGUAAACACUUCAGGAAGUGGGGCCUUGUUAUCUAAGUCUUACAAUGAGGCUUAUGAUAUUUUGAAAAGGAUAGCCAAUAACAACUAUUAGUGGCCAUCUACCAAACAAACUACAAUAAGAAGAAUAAUAGGAGUUUACAGUGCAGAUGCCUUGAUAGCAUUAUCAGCCUAAGUAACCUUAUUGAUAAAUAUGGUAAAGGAUAUAUCCACUGUUCCAGCAACUAUCAACAAAGUUGUUAAGGCAUCAUGUAUUUAUUGUGGAGAAGGAAAUUUAUUUGAUAGUUUUCUUAGAAAUCAUGCCUCAGUCAACUAUAUGGGCAAUUAUAACAGACAGAACCACAUCAACCCUUAUUCAAACACUUACAACCCUGGAUGGAGGCAGCACCCAAACUUUUCAUGGAGCAAUCAGAAUCAGAAUCAAUAUGUUGUAGAAUCUAGUGGACAAAAUAGACUUGCUCAACCAUUUAGAUUUCAUCAGCAAAAUCAAGGGCGAAGAGACACCAACAAUGAUCAACCCAACUCCCUUGAAGCCUUAAUUAAGGAGUACAUUGUGAAGAAUGAAACAUUUAUCUAAAGUCAAGCUAUUUCCUUAAGAGACCUAGAAAAUCAGAUGGGACAAGUUACUAUAGUAUUAGGUAACAGACCUCAAGAUAAUUUACCAGGCAAUACAGAGGACCCAAGAAGAGAAUGGAAAGAGCAUUGCAAAGUAAUUAACUUAAGAUCUAGAAAGGAUGUUCACAUUCUAGUUGGUGUACUAAAAAAAAGAGUUGAGCCCACUUCAAUCUAAGAAAAAACUCAAGUUGAAGAAGAUCCAUAACCCUCUACUUCACAGUACACAGGUGAAAACAGCAAAGCACACCAAUCCAAUACUUUACAAAAAAUGAUUAUCGAAUACCUAUUGAUGAAGAUCUUGCACACUAACCACACCAAUCCAGAACAUGGCAAAAGUGAAGCAGUUUGCACAACCUUCUACAACUCAGCCGUUUAGGCACCCACCACCCUUUUCUUAAAGGUUCAAGUGACAGAAACAUGACAAGCAGUUCAGUAAAUUCUUUGAAGUGUUGAAGCAAUUGUAUAUCAACAUCCUUUUUAUGGAAGGUCUAGAGCAAAUGCCAAAUUAUGUGAAGUUCUUGAAGGAUAUUUUGACAAAGAAAAAAAGGCUAGAAGAACUUGAAAUAGUUUCUCUAACACAAAAGUACAACCACAUGCAUCAGAAUAAGAUACCUCAGAAAUUGAAGGAUUCAGAAAGCUUCACAAUUUCAUGCUCUAUAGGCAAUAAAUACAGUGACAAGACACUUUGUGAUUUAGGAGCCAGCAUUAAUCUCGUGUCCUUAUCUAUAUUUAAGCAAUUGGGUGUUGGAAAGGUCAGACCAAUAAUAGUUACCUUACUACUUGCUGAUAGAUCUCAUGCCUAUCUAGAUUGAAGAUGUACUGGUGAAAGUAGAUGAGUUUAUUUUUGCAGUUGACUUCAUAGUAUUGGAUUUUGAAGCAGAUAAAGAAGUGUUUAUCAUUUUAGGUAGACCUUUCUUGUCUGCUGGUAAGACUCUAAUUAAUGUGUAAAAAGGAGAACCAACCGUGAGGGUUAAUGAUCAGUAAGUUACAUUCAAUGUGCUAAAUGCCAUGAAGAGUCCUGAUGAUGUUGAAGAUUGUAAUUUUGUUAAUGUUGUGGAUUUUACUAUAGUAGAAAGAUUAAACAGUUGCUGCAGCAGAAAGAUUAAACAGUUGCUGCAGCAAAGAAGAAAUCAAGGUUGCAAGAUUUAAAGAACUUGAUGAUAAACCUCAAGGCCUUGAAACAACUGACAUAACAUGGCUAGAAGAAAAACAACCCUUCAAAACUGAGAAGCAAAUUAAAUAUCUUGACCUUCAAAUAGGGAUAUAAAAUAUUCUAUUUCUUUUAUUAAGUCCUCAUAUUUUAGAAUUAAAACUUUUACCUUUACACUUGAAAUAUGCUUAUCUUAGUGACCGUGAUCAACGUCAUGUAAUCAUUUCAUCAUCUUUGAAUGCAGAACAAGAAAAUAGCUUAGUUUUUGUAUUAGGGAAACAGAAGAAGGCCAUUUGAUGGACCAUGACAGAUAUCAAAGGAAUCAGCCUCUCAAUAUGCAUGCACAAGAUUCUACUGGAGGAUAGUUAUGGCAAUUCUCUAAGCAAUUGAAAAGAUUAAAUCCUAUCAUGAAGGAAGUUGUAAAGAAAGAGAUCAUCAAAUGGCUUGAUGUUGGAAUCAUCCACCUAAUAUCAAACACCUCAUGAGUGAGCCCAAUACAAUAUGUUCCAAAGAAAAUUGGAGUGACAGUUGCAGAAAAUAAAAAGAACGAGUUUAUUCUUAUAAGAACUGUAAAUGGAUGAAGAGUCUGUAUAGACUACAUAAAGCUAAAUAAGACCACAAGGAAGGAUCGCUUUCCACUGCCUUUCAUAGAUCAGAUACUGGAUAGACUCGCUAGAAAGGAGUAUUAUUAUUUCUUAGAUGGAUACUCAGGAUACAACCAUAUUGACGUAGCACUAGAAGACCAGGAGAAGACAAAAUUCAUUUUUCCUUAUGGAACCUUUGCCUUUAGAAAGAUGCCAUUUGGCAUGUGCAAUGCUUCACCAACUUUCCAAAUGUGUAUAAUGUCCAUCGUUUCAGAUAUGAUUGAGCAAAUACUUGAGGUAUUUAUGAAUGAUUUGUUUCAGUUUUUGGGGAAUCAUAUGAUGACUAUUUGUAUAAUUUAAAAAAUAGACUUAGAAGAUGUAAAGAGACAAACUUAGUAUUGAAUUCGGAAAAAUGUCAUUUCAUUGUACAAGACGAGGAUAGUCCUAGGCUAUAAACUCUCUAAAAAAAUGAUAGAAGUGGAUAAGGUAAAAAUAGAGGUGAUUAAUAAACGUCUAUUAUCCACUUCAGUUAAAGGCAUAAGGAGUUUCUUGAGGCAUGCUGGAUUUUAUAGAAGGUUUAUUAAGGAUUUCUCCAAAAUAUCAAAACCUUUAUACAUGUUGUUGGAGUGUAACAAACCUUUUAAUUUUGAUGAUGAUUGCUUGAAGGCCUUCGUUGAGUUAAAGAGAGCUUUUGUUACAACACAAGUUGUUGUAACACCUAAUUAGAGUAUGCCUUUUGAGUUGAUGUGUGAUGCUAAUGAUCAUUCGGUUGGAGCAGUGUUAGGGCAAAGAAAAGGCAAGACUUUCCAUUCCAUUUAUUAUGCCAGUAUGACUCUAGCUAAUGCAAAUUCAACUAUACCACAACUGAAAAUGAGAUGCUGACAAUUGUAUUUGUAUUUGAUAAAUUUAGAGCCUAUUUGGUUGGCAGCAAAGUGACUGUUUACAUAGAUCACUCAGCCAUAAAAUAUUUGACUCCAAAGAAAGAUGUCAAACUAAGGCUAAUCAAGUGGAUUCUCUUCCUACAAGAGUUUGACUUAUAGAUCAAGGAUAGAAAAUGAACGGAGAAUUAAGUAGCAAAAUAUCUUUCAAGGCUUGAAGUAGAUGCAAGCACUUUGACCAAGCAGGAUAUCAUAGAAAUAUUUCCUUAUGAGCAAUUGUUCAUAUUGCAGCAUGCACAGAUGCUGCAGUAAUCUGAAUUUCCAUGGUUCACGGAUUUUGUUAAUUUUCUAGAAAGUGGAUUGCCACCACCUAACUUGAGCUACCAGCAAAAGAAGAUAUUAAUUUAUCCAUGAUGUCAGAAGCUAUUAGUGGGAUGAGCCCUACUUGUACAAGAUGUGUUUGUUAACAUAUAUGUUUCCAUAAUAUUGAUUUUGAUGAUAACAAACAAGAUUAAGAAUGAUUAAUCUUUUAAGCUCAAAUUAUUUUUAUACUUUUUAAAUAAAUCAUUAUUUUUACAUUAUAAAAGUUUUAUAUUUAAUGGAAAAAUGAUUUUAUGAAAUUGAUUGUUUUUAUUCUUUUUAAAUAAAUCAUUAUUUUCACAUUAUAAAUGUUUCAUAUUUAAUGGAAAAAAGAUUUUAUGAAAUUGGUUGUUUUUCAAAGUUUAUGGUUUAAUUGAAAGAAUUUUGAAAACUUUGAAAUAAACAAGUAUUGCUUGAAAUUUUGGAGAAGGACUUAUUUGAAAAGUGUCAUAGCUUUUUGGGCUAUAUCAUAAUUUCAAAAAGUUUUGGGAUUAACAAAGCAUUACUUAGAAAUUCUGAAAUUGGACCUAUUUGCAAAGUUUCAUGACGUUUUGGGCCAUAGUAUAGUUUUAUAAAGUUUUGGGGUCAAACCAUAAUUUCAGAAAAUAGUGCACUGUGAAGGUUACUGUAGCAUCCGGCUUAUCGGAUAUAAAAACCAAAAAACUGGAUACGGGGCAGAAUGUAUCCAGAACGUAAACGGCUUACCGGAUUUCGUAACCGGCAAGCCGGAUAGGCAAAAUUCAAAUUUUUGCCUUAAUGGUAACAUAAAUCCGGCUUACCGGAUUCCAAAAACGGCAAACCCGAUACGUCCAGAAUGUGCAUAACGGCUAGUUUUUGAGUUCAAACUAUAUAAACUCAAAACCAAUUCAUUUUUCGUAAUCCAAGCAAGCAAGAACAAGUGCACACAACAUAUAUUAAGCUUCAAUUUCGUAACUCAUCAUUUAUUAAAUCAUCUUUGUUCUUCAAUUUGUAUAUCCACUCUUAAAGAGAGAUUCAUUGUUGUAUUUUUCAUUUCUCAUUAAAUUGUGAGUGUACAAGUGUGAGAAACACUUGGAGUGAAGAGAUUGGAGAGAUAAUCUCUUGUUGUAAAGGUUCAUUGACACCUUAAAGUCAAUUGUAAACGUUUGAAGCCUUGGAAAGGCUUGGAUAGUGAAAUCCUCAAGCCCGGUGUGCUUGGAGGCGUGGACGUAGGCGGGGAUUGCCGAACUACGUAAAAAUCCUUGAGUUUGCUUUCUCUUCCCUUGCUCAUUUAUUAUUGUGCUUUCAUUGAAUUUAUUGUUUUCGAAUUUAUUAAGGAAUUAGAUUGGAUUUGUGUGUGGUUUGCUUAGCUUAAUUUUUAAAAAUCCAAUUCACCCCCCCUCUUGGAUUGCCUAGUUAGUAUUUCAUUUGGUAUUAGAGCGAGGUGCUCUUGUGUAAACUUAACCGUCUAGAGUUAAAGAUCCAUGGAAACCCAUAAUGACUCAAUCUUUAGGGAAGGACAAUCCACAAUUAGACCACCGUUCUUUGACGGUAAUGACUACCCAUAUUGGAAAACUAGGAUGAGAAUUUAUUUACAAGCUUUAGAUUAUGAAAUUUGGGAAAUUGUUUGUGAUGGUCCAUUUAUGCCUUUGACUAAAAAUGAAGUCGGGGACGAUAUUCCAAAACCUUCACAGGAAUGGAAUGAAUUGGAAAAGAAAAAAUCUACUCUAAAUUCCAAAGGUAUGAAUGCCUUGUUUUGUGCACUAGAUAAGAAAGAAUUUCAUAGAGUUUCUAGUUGUGAGAGUGCUAAUGAAAUUUGGCACAAACUUGAAGUUGUUUAUAAAGGCACAAAUCAAGUGAAAAGAGUCUAAAAUUAGUAGGUACACUCGGCAAUAUGAAUUAUUCCAAAUGGAACAAAAUGAGAGUGUGUAUUCUAUGUAUACUAGAUUUACGGACAUAGUGAACACUCUAGGAGCCCUAGGAAAGACUUUUUCAAAUAGCGAUAAGGUUACGAAAACUAUUAGGUCGCUACCUAAGGAAUGGAGACCAAAAAGGACUGCUAUUGAGGAAGCUAAGGAUUUAAAUAUCUUACCUAUUGAUGAUUUAAUUAGUUCUCUUAUUUCUUAUGAGGAAGACUUGGCAGCCGAAAGAGGCAAUAAGGAGAAGAAGAAAAACAUUGCUCUCAAAGCCUCGAAACAAGAGAGUGAUGAGGAAAGCGAGCUGGAUGAGGAGGAGAUGAAUAUGUUGGCUAGGAGGUUCAGAAAACUCUUUAAGAAAUCCGGUGAGCGAAGAAAAUUUAAAGACCUCAAGAACUGAAAGGAGAAGAAGGAAUUAAUCAAAUGUUAUGAGUGCAAGAAGCUUGGCCAUAUAAGAACGGAAUGUCCUCUUCUCAACAAGCUCAAGAAGAAAGCAAUGGUUGCCACAUGGGAUGAUAGCGAUGAGGAAACAAGUGAUGAUGAAGAGAAUCAAGAAAUGACAAAUCUAGCUCUCAUGGCAAUUGGAGAUGAAUCGGAUGAUGAACUUGAUGAGGUAAAUGAUCUUUUUACUUAUGAUGAAUUAUAUGAUGCUUUUAAAGAAUUGCAUGAUAAUUGGAUAAAAAUUGGUAAAAAGAAUGCAUGUCUUAAAAAGAAAAUGGUAGAGCUCAAAAAUGAAAAUGAAUCUCUAUGUGCAAAGAUUACAUGCCUAGAAUUAGAGAAUAAAACAUUGCAUGAUAGAGUUGCAUUAUUUGAGAAUUCUAGCACUUUACAUGAGCACUUAGAGUCACACAUGAAUGACUUGAAAAAUGAGAAUGAAAUGCUUAGAAAGAAGAGCAAUGAGUUAAAUGAGAUUGUUUUAAAAUUUACAGAUGGACAAAAGAUGUUGGAUAACUUGAUUAAUUCUCAAAAAUGUGUGUUUGAUAAAGGAGGUAUUGGUUAUAAGCCAAAUUUGAAACAAAAAUAUUAUAAAAGUUAUUUUGUUAAAACUACCUCCAUUAAUAAUCAAAUUGUAUGUCAUUAUUGCAAUCAAAAUGGUCAUAUGAAGAAUAGAUGUCCAAUUAAAAGAAAUGUGUAUUAUGGAGUAAAAUGUGUUUGGGUUCCAAAAGGAACCAUUGCUAACACUCAAGGACCCAAGAGCAUUUGGGUACCAAAGGGCACAACUUGAAUAUUCUUUUGUAUGUACCACAAACAAGGAAUGGUGGAGAGUUCCUUGAUGAAGCUUGUGAGGAUAAUCAUUUGAGCAUGAUCUAGGAGAAAAAGAUGAGGCAAGAUGAUUUAAUUGUUUUGGUAAUAAUUCUUGCCAUAUUAAUUUUGUUGAAUGGAUCAUGAUAAAUGGAUAAUAGCUUGAAUUUGUGAAAGUAUACUUGUAUGUUUACAUGAUAGAAUUAUCAUUGUGUUUAACAUUGAGUGCUUUAUCAUAAUGCAUGGUUAUAUAUAUAAGAUGAUAGCUUGUCAACUCAUCAUGAUAGCUUUGUUUGAUUUUGAUGAUUAUGUAAUGCCUAAGCUUGAUAAAUGAAUGAUAUGCUUGAAUUAUUAAUCUUUGAAUGCUUAUAUGUUUCAUGAUUGUGUAAAAUAUAUACAUGAUGAAUGAAUUAUAUGUGUAAAUUCUUGUGUCGUUAAUUGUGUUAUAUCAUCAUUCACUUAUAAAAUUGACAUCAUUGGUUGAUAUGAUUUCAUAUGUUUGGUCUUGUAUGCAUUUAUGUCUCAUGUAUUAAAUGACUUAUUGAAAAGUUUUAAAUCUCGAAAUGAUUUAAAAUUAAUCAAUUUUUAAAGCCAAAAAUAAAAUGGUGAGUGUAAUACAAGUAUAAGAGCUAGCCAAUAUUCAAUUAGAGCCAAAUAGAUUUCCAAGUCCAAACCGGUAAGCCAAAUCAUCUUUUGUUGCUCUCGGGUUAUCAUUCGGAUAACCGGAUUUUCAAUCCGGAAAACCGGAUUUGCUAAGCCUUCUCUCUGCCUCAAAACCGGAUAACCGGUUCUUAAAAUCCGGAAAACCGAAUUCAAGAGGAAACUUUUUGCCUCAAACCGGACUACCGGUUAGCAAAACCGGAAAGCCGGAUUCGCUUGAAAAGCUUACUGGAACAAAACCGGAUUUCCGGUUAUGCAUAUCCGGCACGUCGGUUUCGGGUUUCAUCUUUCUGCUCACAACCGGCUAGCCGGUUAGUGAAAUCCGGCAAGCCGGAUUCGUGAGCUUUUAGCUUUGUUCUUCCUCUUCCUCUCAUUCGGCUUUCCGUUUCUCUCUCUCUCACUAAAAGCUGAUUACUCCUCACUUGAUUUCAUUCCAAAAUCCAUCAAUCUCAUCCUUUUUCACUUCAAAUCCUUUAUGCUUGUAUUUGAACACACCAACAUUUACUAUUUUUUUUGGAUUAUAUGGAUGUUUGCUAUGAUUUUGGAUUAUAUGUCUAUUUUGAAUUAUAUGGAUUUGAUAUAGUUAUAUGUUAUGUUCUUUACUUAUGUUUUGGAUAAUAUGCAUUUUGAAUUUUUUUGUUGUCCAAAGGGGGAGACAAAAUAGUAUAUCAUUUCGAUGUUAUCAAAAGGAGGAGAAUAAUAUGCUUUUUGAGUAAUUGUUUUGAUAAUUGGUAUUUGAUUAUGAUGAUGAUUUUGAUGAAUUUGAGAUAAUGAUGAUUUGAUUACAUGGGUGUUUUAUAUGAUAAUUUCAUGUUAUGAGUUGUUGAUUUGGUAAUUAAUGGAAUAAUGGUUCAUGAUAUUUUAGUGUGAUUAUUUGUGUAUGGAGUUGGCUUUUAUCAUGAUUUAUAAUAAUUUGGAUGUGAUAUUACUAAUCUUGUAUUUGAGGUGAUGCUUGUUGUUAGGGAGAGAUUUUGUUGAAAUUUCUAUUCGGACAACAUUGGUAACAAAUUUGCUACUCUUAUUCUUUUCCUUUAAGUUUUAUUUUUGAUGAUGAAGGGGGAGAAGAAUACAUGUUUUUAAAUUUAUAAAAAUUUACUACUCUUUUUUCUUUGCCAAUUAAGUUUUCUUUUUGAUGAUGAAGGGGGAGAAAAAUCCAUGUAUUUAAAUCGUUAAUUUAGCUAAUUGGCAAAUUGUAAAAGAGGAUUAUAUUUAGGGGGAGCAAUUGUGGAAUCAUUCUUUAAAUACAUGAAAUGUUUGUCAUCAUCAAAAAGGGGGAGAUUGUUAACAUAUAUGUUAACAUAAUAUUGAUUUUGAUGAUAACAAACAAGAUUAAGAAUGAUUAAUCUUUUAAACUCAAAUUAUUUUUUAUACAUUUUAAAUAAAUCAUUAUUUUUACAUUAUAAAUGUUUUAUAUUUAAUGAAAAAAUGAUUUUGUAAAAAAUGAUUGUUUAAAUACAUGAAAUGUUUGUCAUCAUCAAAAAGGGGGAGAUUGUUAACAUAUAUGUUUCCAUAAUAUUGAUUUUGAUGAUAACAAACAAGAUUAAUAAUGAUUAAUCUUUUAAGCUCAAAUUAUUUUUAUACUUUUUAAAUAAAUCAUUAUUUUUACAUUAUAAAGGUUUUAUAUUUAAUGGAAAAAUGAUUUUAUGAAAUUGAUUGUUUUUAUUCUUUUUAAAUAAAUCAUUAUUUUCACAUUAUAAAUGUUUCAUAUUUAAUGGAAAAAUGAUUUUAUGAAAUUCGUUGUUUUUCAAAGUUUAUGGUUUAAUUGAAAGAAUUUUGAAAACUUUGAAAUAAACAAGUAUUGCUUGAAAUUUUAGAGGACUUAUUUGAAAAGUGUCAUAGCUAUUUGGGCUAUAUCAUAAUUUCAGAAAGUUUUGGGAUUAACAAAGCAUUACUUAGAAAUUCUAAAAUUGGACCUAUUUGUAAAGUUUCAUGACGUUUUGGGCCAUAGUAUAGUUUUAUAAAGUUUUAGGGUCAAACUAUAAUUUCAGAAAAUAGUGCACUGUGCAGGUGACUGUAGCAUCCGGCUUACCGGAUAUAAAAACCAGAAAACUGAAUAUGGGGCAGAAUGUAUCUAGAACGUAAACGGCUUACCAGAUUUCGUAACCGGCAAGCCGGAUAGGCAAAAUUCAAAUUUUUUCCUAACGGUAACAUAAAUCCGGCUUACCGGAUUCCAAAAACGGCAAACCCGAUACGCCCAGAAUGUGCAUAACGGCUAGUUUUUGAGUUGCAUAACGGCUAAUUUUUGAGUUCAAACUAUAUAAACUCAAAACCAAAUCAUUUUUAGUAAUCAAAGCAAGCAAGAACAAGUGCACACAACAUAUAUUGAGCUUCAAUUUCGUAACUCAUCAUUUAUUAAAUCAUCUUUGUUCUUCAAUUUGUAUAUCCACUCUUAAAGAGAGAUUCAUUGUUGUAUUUUUCAUUUCUCAUCAAAUUGUGAGUGUACAAGUGUGAGAAACACUUGGAGUGAAGAGAUUGGAGAGAUAAUCUCUUGUUGUAAAGGUUCAUUGACACCUUGAAGUCAAUUGUAAACGUUUGAAGCCUUGGAAAGGCUUGGAUAGUGAAAUCCUCAAGCCUGGUGUGCUUGGAGGCGUGGAUGUAGGCGGGGAUUGCCGAACCACGUAAAAAUCCUUGAGUUUGCUUUCUCUUCCCUUGCUAAUUUAUUAUUGUGCUUUCAUUGAAUUUAUUGUUUUCGAAUUUAUUAAGGAAUUAGAUUGGAUUUGUGUAUGGUUUGCUUAGCUUAAUUUUUAAAAAUCCAAUUCACCCCCCCCCCUCUUGGAUUGCCUAGUUAGUAUUUCAGUGUUCAGACUAGAUAAUUAGAAGAUAUGUCCCUGACGAAGAGAUUUCAAGCAUUUUAUAGUCUUAUCUUGCUGCAGUAUAUGGUAGACACUUUGGAGGACACUAAAUAGCAGUAAAAGUUUUUCAAUCAGGUUAUUACUAGCCCUCCAGCUUUAGAGAUGCUUACAAGUUUGUUAGUGCUGUGAUAGUUGUCAAAGAGCAUGAACCAUUUCUAAAAAACAUGAAAUGCCACUGACCAAUAUUUUAAAAGUUGAGCUUUUUGAUAUAUAAGGGAUAGACUUUAUGAAGUCGUUCUCACAAUCUUUUAGAAACUUAUAUAUCUUAGUUGUUGUGGACUAUAUGUUGAAAUGGGUAGAAGCUACAGCAUUGCCAACAAAUGAUGCCAAGGCAAUGGCAAAUCCUUUAUAGGAAUAUUUUCACAAGAUUUGACACCCCAGAGUUGUCAUCAGUGAUGAAAGAAGCCAUUUUUGCAACAGGAUAUUUGCUGUAGCAUUGGCUAAGUAUAAGAUCAAGCUUAAAGUUGCUACAUCAUAUCAUCCACAAACGAGUAGUCAGGUAACAUUGUCCAAUAGGGAGAUCAAAAAGAUUUUAGAAAAAGAAGCGAAUCUUAGUAGAAGGGAUUGGUUUACUAGACUAAAUGAUUCUCUAUGGGGUUACAGAACUACUUACAAGACAUCACUUGGCAUGUCUCCAUACAAACUUGUUUAUGGCAAAGCUUGCUAUUUGUUGUUAGAACUGGAGCAUAAAGUAUAUUAGGCAGUUAAACAACUGAACAUGGGUAUGCAUGCUGUAACAGAGCAAAGGAGGCUACAACUUUUUGAGCUAGAUGAGUUGAGGUUAUUCUUCUAUGAAAAGGCAAGAAUCUAUAAGGAGAGAACCAAGCAAUGGUAUGACAAGAAAAUCCAGUAAAGAGAACUCAUUACAGGCCAACAAUUAUUGCUUUACAACUCUAGACUGAAGCUUUUCCAUGAAAAUUUAAAGUCUAGAUGGUUAGGAUGCUUCAAACUCGUCAAGGUUUAUCUUUAUGGAGUUGUUAAUCUUAAAGAUGAAAGAACUGGUUAAGAAUUCAAGGUUAAUGGGCAUAGAGUGAAGCAUUAUAUGGGAGCUAAGGUGAACAACCUAAACGAGGAUCCGGUUUGAGUAAACAAGGAAGGUGAGAAUGAAGAACCUAAAACCAAGUGCUAAUUAGAAGGGAACUAAAUGAGGGGAAGUUUAUUUUGAAUUUUUAAUCACUUUAAUUUCACUUUUGUUGUUAUUAAGUUUAUUUCUCUAUUUUGUUUUAAUUUAUGCGACUAAUUUCUAUGUUUUUUUUGUCCUUCUCCCUCUCUUUUUGAAUGUUUAAAAUUUUUAAAAUCUUUAAAUUAAUUUUAUCUCUUUCUCUCUCUAUUAUCUUUCUUUAUAAAUUUAAGCUUUUCACUGUUUCACUUUUCACUACCAAUCUCUCUUCCUCUACUGUAAUUUUUAAAAUUAUGCUCUCUAUUUCUCUCUCUCUCUCUCUCUCUCUCUCUCUCUCUCUCUCUCUCUCUCUCUUACACACACUCAAAGUCCCAAUCUCUCAUUCUAACGAAACUCCUUUAAGUGUUGCAGCAAUACUGAGAGUCAAGGCACCUACUAAAAGGUUGAAGGACUAAAAAAGAUUCCAAAAUCACAAAGUUGAAGAGAAGUAUAAUAAGUCCAUAAGAUCUCGUAUAAUUUUAGAAGAGAAUGGUUUUGAAAUUUGUUGAACAACCCACUGGCCUUAUCAGCAUCAUUCUCAUAACUGCUAUAAAAAGGGGGUGGAUCAAAUGAUCCAAGUUGUAAAGGAAUUUUAUUCUAACUUGCUGGAGCAAAUCCAAAUUCCUUAAGACUCUAGGGUGAUAAAUGUCUUUUAUGGUUUGCCCCUACUAUUAAUUGUGAAUACGCUGAAUUUAUUAAGAGCAUAACUAUUAAGAAAUAGAGGGAGAUGUUUAAAGCAUUAAUUGUGGAAGGAAGUGAGUAGGUUAAUGAAGAAGCUGGGAUUGUUAAUAGGAUUGGCCUUAAAUUGAUUAUAAAGGUUUGGGUGAACUUUAUAAAGUCUAGGCUUAUGCCCACCACGGCACACCACAACAAUGUCAAUGCUAGAGUGAAAGGAUGGACAAUUGAUGUUGGGAAAGUGAUUGAGCAAGAAAUUAGAGACUGUGCUACAAAAAAAAAAAAAAAAUCAGCUGUCUUUUUAUUCCCCUCACUCAUCAUUGGGAUUUAUGAGGCCUUUGGUGUCAAAAUUUGUUGACAAUGAUGAGAGGGUUAAAAAUGAAAUGGCCCUCACAGUAAGAAGAAUAGAGAAGAUUGUAGGAGAAUCAACUGGUACAACAACCCAAAGCAUCCAGUUGUAAGAAAAUUAAUAAAAGCCACUACAUUUGGGAAGAUUCUGAAAGAUUUGAGUGACAACUUAAAUGCAUGGAGAGAAGAUCCAAAAGAGUUAAAUCAGAGGCUUUAGGCUUACUUGCUGCAUCAAGAAGCUCAAAAACACCAGUUUGUAGUUUAUAUACAGAGCAAGAAUGUAAACUUCCCAGAGUCUCUAUUGUAGCAGUACAAUUUCCACAAAGCAACAGAGACUGUUCCAGCAAAUGAUGAAAAGGAUGAAAGUGAAAAAGAGGAAAAAGAUGAAAAAGGAGAAAAAAGUGAAAAAGAUGAAGAUGAAGAAGAGACUGAUGAGAAGUAGGAAGAGGAGCUACCAGCAAUAACUCCUAAAAGCUAUGGCAAACAGAAGAUCUUGCUUGAUGAAAAUCAAAAUGAUAAUGAUGCGGCCAUUUAAGAGACCAUUAACAAGUCUGCAAUGACAGAAGGAGAAAAGAAAAGGUUAAAGGAGCUCAAUGUCUACAUAACUGCUAAGGAACUUGCAACAACACCUCGUUCAGCAUUAGCAACAAAGAAGUCUCCCAAGAAAUCUCUAGUCAAAAUUCCCACAAUCUCCAAUAAAAGAAAAAGAGCACAAAUCACUAAAGUAGAGAUAGUUUAUGGAUAAGGGUUGAAAUUCUAUCAUAACACUUAGAUUUGGAUUAAGUUUAAUGAAUAUGUUGUAGCAAACCAAGCUGGGUAGUUUAGAAAAAUUUUCAAGAAUCUAAGGAUAAAAAUAGCUCUAGUUUGGGGGAAAUUAGGAAAAUUUUCAAAGUUAUUGCAAAUUGUACUGGAAGUAGAAUAAUUUUUUCUUCAAUGACUUAGUUGCUGAGUAACCAGGGCUGUGUUUGUAACCCAUAUCCAAACUUGAGUAAAAAGACAGUAAGAGUUAUGAGCAUUGCUGUAGCAACCCAAAAAGAAGAAAAAUCCUCUAUUUAGGAAUCUGAAUAGCUAGGUCUGUUCAUGAACCUCAUAUUCAGCCUUGAGUUAAAGAUAUAUAAAGAUAAGACCAUGGUUGUAGCAUCUUAGAUGCUUUUGUUGUAGCAGCUCUGAUUUGUGUAUUGAUUAAGUAAUUGGGUUCCAUCAUUACAAGUGAUAGGCAUUCGCAUAAAAAGAUUGAUUUUACUCUGAUGGGCCUCAUAAUAAAAAAAAAUUGAUGAAUGUUGUAGCACAAUUUGUAGUUCUUUAUGACCCUUGUCCCUUAUAAAUAAAAAUGUUUUUAUUGUUGUUAUGUUUGAGAUGCAUUUGAUGCUUGAGUGAUUCUGAAGCAACUCUGAAACUUGAUCAAAGUGACACAGACACACACACUGGAUAGAAUGAAGCCUAAGUCUAGAACUAGAACUGUUGAUGGUAAUGUUUAAGAAUGAAGUCUGAGGGUUAAUGAAUUAGAGUAAUCUAAAUAGCAGAGCUAAGUAUCCUCAUGCUUUUUGGUCCUUAAUCCCAAGAUAUAAAAGAGCACAUUUUAAAUAAAUGCAUCAUCCAUGACCGUCACAUGCAAAGAGAAUAAAAAGAGAGAUUUCGGAGUUGUAAUAGAGGUAUUUUUCGUGUAGAAGAAAAAGAGAUGACUAAAGAUUAAAGCGUGACAUUUUCAGUCCUUAGUAUUUUAACUUUUCUUUUAUUUGCUUGCUUUGUUCUUUCUUUGAUAAUUUAUUUAAUGGUAAACACUUGUGUUGUUACUAUUUCAAAGCUCAUCAUGAGCUAAACCUUAAUUUAGUAGUUAUUUAAUUUACAUGUUUAUGUUGCUUAGAAUCUGCUGUAGUAAUUUGUUUUAACUUUACUUAUUGUAAUUCCAUAUUUCACGUUGACUAUGCAUUUAUUAGAUACUAGCUAAGAAGGAGCCCCAAAAUAACUUGACUUAGUGGAACAAAUUACGACAAUACAUGGUUUUCGAUUGAGUUUUCCAAGUUGAGUUAAUCUCGAUUUGAAUAGAGUCAUGCUUGAUUUAAAAUUAUGAAGAACUAGAUAUAAGGAUUCAUCGUAUACAACAAUAGAGUCUAAAAUGUAUAAUGCAAUGUCUAAUGUUAAUUUACCAAAUAGUCACUGUUAGAUUGCAUAUAGAUAUAAGAUAUCCAAAAUGCGACCGCUGAGGAUACAUUAUAGAUUCUGUCCAAUUGUGUAGUAGAUGUUGUAGCAACUGUGCCUCAAUUAAAAGAUAAUCAAUAACCAAUAAGUGAGUUUAGAUCCCAACUACCCCUUUGCCAUUGAGUAUAUCUUUGUGUUUGACUUUAGAUUCUCUUUAUUGCAUUUUGUUUAUUGCUUUAUUAGUUUCGUUAGAUCAUUAAUUUCAUCAUUAAUUUUUUUAUUUAAUGUAGUAAAAUUACACUGUUAAAUUUACUAUAGCAAGUAAUAUAACAUUAAUCUCUAUGGAGACGAUCUUGAUACUCAUUAAUGUGCUCCAAAGUUUUAUUUGUGCGUUUGAAAUGCAAGAAACCAAAGUCUCAACAGUUUAAGCCUGCCAACUUUUGAAAUAUGCAUUUUUAUCAAUAGUACGUCAAGAAACUAAAGCAUGCCAACAUUUGAAAGAUGCAUUUCCACAGUUAAGGUUGCCAGUAGUUCGACAAAUUGUCCGCUGGGCAAAUUAUUAACCAUUGUGUUAACUCCACAAAAUUCUUGUUGGACUAGAUAUGACGCCAGUCCUUUUGUUGACUCUUUCAAUGCAAUGUUGGGUCCUUUAGAAAAAAGCUAUUUCUACUUGUUAACGCAACUGUAGAAAGAAGUUUUUUGUUCCUGGUCUUGAGGUCCCAACAGCAGACAUUAAAUUAUUGCCUUUUCAAUUCUGAGUUGUCUUCAAUUAGAUGCAUUAUGCUAGACUAGUAAUUGUUUUAAAAAAGAAAGCUUCAUAGUGAGAAGCUGAUUUUUUAAGGAAGGAUAAGUUUAUUCUUACCUGAAAGUGAAUGUUCCACUGAAGAAAACACGGCUGGUGCCUGGAAGGAGAGCUAGUUCAGGAUGAAAGACAGGCAAUGAUUAUAUAUUUGAAAAGAGAGAUGAUAAAAUCAAGUUUGCAUGGGGCAGGUAAAGCAUGGCAUUAAUCAGGCUCUCUGCACUUUAGGAGUGUAGAUAAUCAAUCAAAGGCCAUCAAUCAACUCUAUUUUGUUUUUUUUAAUAUUAUAAUCAAACAAAUGUUAGCCUUUAAUUGGCAUCCAAUUGUUCAUUGUCUUAUAUUAGGAUAUAAGCUAAAUUCAUAAGAGGAUCCCUCUACAUAUAUAUUUCAUGUGCAUAAGGUGUAUGAAUAAUGUUUUCUGUAUGCUUUUGCUACUCUGUUAGUAGUCUGUUUAAGGCCCAUUUCUGAUUAUCUAAUAUCUAUGUUCAUGAUUUGUUUCGUGAUGUUGGUCUGUCAUUUGGUUUUUAGUUUUUCCCAGAGGCAAAUGAAGUCAAAUUUGCAAGAACAUCGGUCUUUGAAGGAGCAUCAUUUAAGUUGGACUCUCUAACAAAACCUUCAUUCUUUGAGAAUUUUGGAUUCACUGAGAAGGUCAAAAUGGCAGGCCGUGUGAAGCCGGAAGAUGAAUUGUUUCUAGUGGCCUAUCCAUAUUUUAAUGUCAAUGGUAGUCUUACACCUUGUCUUCUCAUUGAUAUUCAUUCCUUAAGGUCAUUAAUUUUGCUUUUCUUUUGUCUUGUAGAAAUGCUUGUGGUUGAAGAGCUUUACAAAGAAGCUAUAUUCAAUACUGCCCGGAAACUGAUUAUAUUCAAUGGAGAACUUGACCAGAUAAUGUCUGGGUGUAUUAUUCACCAUUCUUUCAUUCUUAUUGUACUUUCUGUAAAUUUAGUAUGAUUUUGAUGCUAUAUAAUAGUUUCUAGAUGCCCGCCCAUUGAAUUGCUUAUUUACAACUUUUUGGUAUAUUAUAGCAGAUUUGUUUUAUAGCUUAUAGCAGAUUUUUUUUAUAGCUUAUAAAAGAUCAACUUAUGUGCUGAGUUCAAUCAUUAUUCCAUAAACUUUUUCUGUACCUAUUUUCACAUGGUAUCAAAGCUAGACUCCCUUUCUUUUUGAUCUCUUUCCCACCAUGUCUGACUAAUCUUCUAAAACCACAGUCACCUAAAAAAGACUAGAACAAAAAAUUUUUGAUUCUGAAUCUCAUUCUGUCCAUAUUACAACUAUCCGGCUGAAUGAAGGAAAUUUUCAAAGAUGGUCUCAGUCAGUUAGAAUGCAUAUUAGGGGAAGAAGGAAGAUUGGUUAUCUUACUAGAGAUGUUAAGGCUCCUGAAAUAUCUGAUCCCUCUUAUGGUGUAUGGGAUGACGAAAAAUCCAUGAUUAUGGCAUGGUUAGUCAACUCCAUGGAUGAAGACAUUUGUGCAAAUUAUAUGUGCUACUCUACUGCAAAGAACUCUGGGAUAAUGUGAGUCAGAUGUACUCUGACAAUGGAAAUUAGUCUUAAAUCUAUUAGUUGCAGCUUGCUCUUGGAGAUAACCAUCAAAGAGAUUAUAGGAUAACAAAAUACUUCAAUACUCUAAAGAGAUUGUGGCAAGAUCUGGACUUAUUCAACAACUACGAGUGGAAGAGCACGGAAGAUUUUAAACACCAAAAACAAACUAUCAAUAAUGAGCGAAUCUUGAAGUUCCUAGCUAGGCUCAAUGUUGAAUUGGUAAGAGGAAGAAUUAUUGGGAGAAAGCCACUUCCUACUCUUGAGGAUGUUUUCUCUGAAGUAAGGAGAAAAAAAAUUCGUCGAGGUGUUAUAUUGGGAAAAAGGAACUCCAUUGUCUUUGUGGAAAAAUCUGCCCUUGUUACAGCAGAUGCUAAUGCUACCUGCUCCUUCACUCAACAGCAACAAAAACCUCGAGUAUGGUGUGAUUACUGUAAUAAACCAUGUCAUACUCGGGAGGCUUGCUGGAAACUCCACGGAAAGCCUACAUAAUGGAAAAACAGCAAGCAUAGCCGUGCGUCUACCAAUAAAGUGGAGGAUAUAGAAAAAAAUCUUAACGAGGAGCAAAUUGAUCAUCUCAUAAAGCUGCUGACUUCUAAUCCUCCACCUGGUACUCCUAGUGGUUCACUAGCCUAAACAUGUAGUAUUAUUAAUGCUCUAUUUAGCCACUCAUCUACUGCACCAUGGAUUAUUGAUUCGGGUGCUUCUGAUCAUAUGACCAUCAUUUCUAGUUUAUUUGAUUCCUAUUAUCCUUGUCCUAGUAACAAAAAGGUAAGAGUUGCUUAUGGAAACUUAUCUUCCAUAACUGGAAAAGGAUCAAUAAAAAUCUUUGAAACCAUUGAGCUUAAUAAAUGUGCUACAUGUCCCUAAACUUUCUUGCAAUCUGUUACUUGUCAAUCAAUUAGCCAAAGAUUCUAAUUGUUGUGCUGUCGUUUUUUACUCCCAUUGUGAAUUUCAAGACAGGGAUUUGGGGACGAUGAUUGGCAGUGCUAGUUUGCGAGAAGUUCUUUACUAUUUUGAUGACUACUUAUCAAGGAAUAAACAAGCUCAAGGUUUGAGCAAUAGGAUUAGUUCAAACUCUGCUAGGGAUCAAAUAAUGCUUUGGCACCUUAGACUAGGACACCCUACCUUUCCUUAUUUGAAAUAUUUGUCUCCAGAUUUAUUUAAAAAUGUUGAUUGUACUACUUUUCAGUGUGAAAGUUGUUUUUAAUCUAAAAGUCAUCGAGUUUCAUAUAAAGCACUUACUUAUUGUGCCUCAAAACCAUUUUAUUUAAUUCAUAGUGAUGUUUGGGGACCCUAAAAAAUCAUUACUUUAACUGGCAAAAAAUGGUUUGUAACAUUCAUAGAUGAUCAUACGCGGCUUCAUUGGGUUUAUUUAAUGAGAGAAAAAUCUGAAGUUGAGGGUUAUUCAAAGAUUUUUAUAACAUGGUUGAAAAUUAAUUUCAAACAAAAAUAAGCCUACUCGAUACAGAUAAUGGUCUGAAUAUUUUAAUAAUUAUCUAGAGGUGUUUUGUAAGGAAAAGGGUAUAAUUCACACAUCCACUAGUCGUGAUACUCCACAACAAAAUGGAAUUGCGGAAUGAAAAAACCGCCAUUUACUUGAAGUUAGUCUGGCUAUCAUACUCUCUAUGCAUGUUCCUAAAUAUUUGUGGGGUGAUGUUGUUUUAACAGCAUGUUAUUUGAUUAAUAGGAUGCCUACCCGUGUUUUAAAGUAUCAAUCACCUUUAGAAUACUUUACACUUAUAUAUCCUUCUAGUAGGAUUACCUCGAAUAUUCAGUUAAGAGUCUUUGGGUGCACUGUAUUUGUUCACCUUCCUAACCAUCUUAGAUCUAAAUUGGAUCCUAGAUUUGAAAAUUGUGUUUUCUUGGGCUAUGCUCCUAAUAAAGAGGCUACAAAUAUUUCAAUCCUCAAACAAAGAAAUUCCAUGUCAGUAUGGAUGUUAUAUUUCUCGAAAAUCAACCUUUUUUUGGCCAAAAUUCUCUUCAGGGGGAGAAAGAAAAUAGUGAAGAUCAUUUUUGGCAUACUUAUACACCUAUGCCUAAUUUGUUUUUACCUGAUCUGAGCACUUCAAUUCAAACUCAAAAAACUAAUAUUUCUAAUAAUGAAAACUUAGGAAACUUUGAACUACAAGAACCAAGUGUUAAUGUACCAGAGACAGGGGGAGAAAUAUUACAAGAUAAAAUUCCACCACCAAAGCUUCGUGUUUAUACUCGACUAAGGUAUCAUCACAGCAAUAAAGACCCUCCCAUAAACUUGGUACAACCUCAAUUGUCGCCUCCAAGCACUGAUUCCUCAUAAAAUUUAGGUAACAUUUCUUCUCCUAAAAAUUCCAGCACUUUUUUUUUCCUGAUCUUGACUUACCCAUAGCACAUAGGAACGAAACCCGAACCUGUACUAAGCACCCCAUUGCUGGAUAUGUUUCCUAUGAAAAGUUUUCCAAUAAACGAAGAGCCUUUACCACAAAAAUCUCUCAGAUACCAAUUCCUAAAGCCAUAAAAGAAAAAUUGGACAAUGGUUUGGUCUGCAUGCUGAACAUUCCUACAGAUGAGCAAAUUGCUAAUAUACUCACCAAGGGACUACCUAAGAAACAUUUCGAGAAAUUGGUUUGCAAGCUAGCCUUGAAAGACAUUUUUAUACCAGCUUGAGGGGGAGUGUUGAAAGGUUGACCAAAUCAAAUUGAUUUGGUUUCCUUAUAUAUUUAGGUGUAUAUUAGGCGUAAAUAUAGAGUUAUUGCUUCCUAGAAAUCAGUGUGUAAUAUUCUGCUUUAAUUUUUUCUUUCCUUUCUUAGUCUCUUGUAUCCCUAUAUUAAGACUGUAUACAGUCUCAUGAAGAUAUGAAAAAGAGAAUUAUUCCAUAAACUUUUUCUCUACCUAUUUUCACACUUCCACAUCAUACGGUGAUUAAUAUGUCAUCUCUACUCAAUUUAUUUAGCAUCAAAUUAUCAGAAGAUUUUGUUACUUAAAUAGAUGGUUUUCAUUUCAACUUCAAUGUUUUUUCAGGCCUAAAGCUUCAUAGUGCUUGUUUAUAUUGUUAAUCAAUAUAUAUAAGUUUACUUGCAGGCAAUAUCAGGCAUUUUCGAAAUAUGCGUAAGUAUGACAAGGAAAUCUCAAAAAGAAACAAAAACUUAUUGCUUGGAAAAAUUUAUUUAUUUGGGGGAAGCCAUUAUGAGUUUUGGGCUCCUUAAUAGCUUUAGUAAAUUUUGGACCAUUAUUUUGAACUAUGACCCAGUUUCCCUUGUUUACACCACAGAAAAUUAGCAACACUCUCUUAUGUCUCAACUCUCUCUGUCUCAACCAACAAAAUCAACUCUGUUAGUAGUCUGUUUAAAGCCCAUUUCUGAUUAUCUGAUAUCUGUGUUCAUGAUAUGUUUCGUGAUCUUGGACUGUAAUUUGGUUUUUAGUUUUUCCAGAGGCAAAUGAAGUCAAAUUUGCAAGAACAUCGGUCUUUGAAGGAGCAUCAUUUAAGUUGGACUAUCUAACAAAACCUUCAUUCUUUGAGAAUUUUGGAUUCACUGAGAAGGUCAAAAUGGCAGACCGUGUGAAGCCGGAAGAUGAAUUGUUUCUAGUGGCCUAUCCAUAUUUUAAUGUCAAUGGUAGUCUUACACCUUGUCUUCUCAUUGAUAUUCAUUCCUUAAGGUCAUUAAUUUUGCUUUUCUUUUGUCUUGUAGAAAUGCUUGUGGUUGAAGAGCUUUACAAAGAAGCUGUCUUCAAUACUGCCCGGAAACUGAUUAUAUUCAAUGGAGAACUUGACCGGAUAAGGUCUGGGUGUAUCCUUCACCAUUCUUUCAUUAUUAUUGUACUUUCUGUAAAUUUAGUGUGAUUUUGAUGCUAUAUAACAGUUUCUAGAUGCCCACCCAUUGAAUUGCUUGUUUACAACUUUUUGGUCCUUCAAUUGGUAUCAUUUUGCAAAAAUUGAAAGUAAAGUGGGUUUUUUGCUUUUAUUUUUUAAUACAAUAAUUUGAAAUUCACUCCCAGAAAUCUAAAGGGGAAUUAAUAAGGAUGAUCGUGUUAUAUCUUUCACUAAAAUGUCGCAAGGAAGACUUUUUUUAAAAAAAUAAAUAACAAUGACUUAACCAAACUAAUUAGUGACUUGGUUGUAGUAUAGUUGUUUUGGAAUGUGCAAUAAAAGGAUCAGAGAGGAUUUCCUUAAAUGAGCAGAAGAUUAUCCAUCGUUCUUCUACCCUAAGCUGGCUGCACUAUCCAGAACACUUUUUCCUGUGAUGGAGACCAUAUAUUACAUUCACAACUUUAAGGGUGGCAAUGGAGGAACCCUUUUCAGGUUUGCCAGCUAGUUACCGACGCGUUUCCUGUGGCAACAUAUUAAUGCUUGCCUAGUAUCACUCACUGUUUUCCUGCUGUUUAACUUAUAUUUUACAUGUUUUUCUUUUCCACUUCCUGUUAGGUGCUACCCAGGUUCCUGGAAGGUCCUGAAGAAAGUGAGUAAUAAAUAUAUAUGUUUGCAUCAGCAGGAAGUGAUGCCUUCCCUUAAGGAGGUUGCUUUGGAUAUCCUUCCCUCAGCUUGAGUUUCACCAAAAUAUUUGUCUGGUGAUAAAUCCCACUUUCUUAUGUUAUAGCAGAUUUGUUUUAUAGCUUAUAAAAGAUCAACUUAUGUGCUGAGUUCAAUAAUUGGUUCAUGAUUUCUAGUUUGUAGGUCUUAUGCUGAGUAUUUUGAUACUAAUCUGCCAGUGUUUGAAAGAUCUUAUUCUUAAGAUGAAUAUAAUCAUAACUUCCACAUCAUAGCGUGAUUAAUAUGUCAUCUCUGCUCUAUUUAUUAAGCAUCAAAUUAUCAGAAGAUUUUGUUACUUAAAUAGAUGGUUUUCAUUUCAACCUCAAUGUUUUUUCAGGCCUAAAGCUUCAUAGUGCUUGUUUAUAUUGUUAAUCAAUAUAUAUAAGUUUACUUGCAGGCAAUAUCAGGCAUUUUCGAAAUAUGCGUAAGUAUGACAAGGAAAUCUCAAAAAGAAACAAAAACUUAUUGCUUGGAAAAAUUUAUUUAUUUGGGGGAAGCCAUUAUGAGUUUUGGGCUCCUUAAUAGCUUUAGUAAAUUUUGGACCAUUAUUUUGAACUAUGACCCAGUUUCCCUUGUUUACACCACAGAAAAUUAGCAACACUCUCUUAAGUCUCAACUCUCUCUCUCUCAACCAACAAAAAUCAACUCCCUUUCCAAUCUAUAUCACAAUGCACGCUAUUUCAUCAAACCCAAGACUUACUUCAACUUAGAUUCAUAUAUGUUAUUUGAUUCAUGAUUAAGAAACUGUGUUUUUUUUCUUUUUUCAAAGUACGCUUGGAGAAUAAUAAAUAAAUUUACCAACCAACACAAAAAAAGUUUAUGUGAGGCUUGGUUGACAAUUUUAUUGUGGUAAUAUGUCGUUUAAAGAUAAAUGUUGUUGAUUUAUUGAUUCUUGUGUUGACUUGGAUGGAAGAUAUGUUGAAGAAAAAGAAACCCAAAAAUUACAUAUGCAGUUUUUUUCGUCAUUUCUGACUUUCAUGAUUUUGUACAAGAUAUAAGUUUUGUUUUCUAGACUUUGUUCUAAGUAGUAUUGGAAAACUUUGCAUUGCACAUUGUAGGUGUCCUCAAAUCUAUUAAAUUGGAUUAGGCAGUCUGAACACAUUAUUAGGGUUGUAAAGGGUCCAUGCAGUAUAAUUUUCUCUUGAUGCUUUCAUAUUUUUUGGCUGUACAGAUUUGAUGCAUCAUUGAUUCUUUGAUUCUGAUGUCUAAUGAAAAUGUAUGUUUAUAUUGCAUCGAUGAAUUUUUUAAUCCGGGAAUUGUAGUAAUUGUCUGUUGUAUUUCCAUGCAGUUGAAACCUUCUUGAUUUUUUGAAAAAGGAAAAUUACUUAAUUUGAUAAAGAAGAAUAUAUGAAUUUCUGAACAAUAAAAACUGUAGGAAGCAAAAAGAUAUCCUUGUGGCAUUAAUGAGUUGCUGGAAACAAGGUUUAAGAAUUUUGUAUGCUUUUGUUAAAGCUAUAAAAUGCUAUUUAUUAUCUGUGUUGUUACAAACUAAAGUACUUUUGUGCUUUAUGCAAAUUUAAAAAUGCUAUGCUAUGCGUUAGAGCAAUAAAGUUGUUAAGAAACAGUGAAGGCUUUUGUUGCUUUACUUAAGAUGAGGUUCAAGAAUAUUAUAUAACUUUAGUGAAUGUUUGCAUGGUGGCUUUGAUCUUGUUGCUGCCCCAAACUGACUGAUUGAAGGAGAGAAUUUUACAGCUAGAUCAAGCUUCUUUCCCCAGAUUAACUUCUGACAUGGACCAAUCAAAUGGCUGUCGCAUUCUUAAAAAAAUGGUUCAAGUUUUCCAUAGUUAUGGUCCACUUAUACAGAAUCUGGAGAAAUGAAUAUAUGAAUUGUGACUUAUAUCAUCUGUGAAGGCAAGGAAUAAUCCAUGGAAUUAUAUAAGAAGCAUUGAAACUGCUUUGUUGAUGGCCUGAGGCCAGAGAAAAUGCCGAAAACAUAUUCCUAAGAAAGUUGUUCCUUCUAGUUCAGUCCGGUCCAUUAAUUAAUCCUGGCUACAGCCCUCCAAGUAGUCGGGAUUGAGGGGCUUCUGUACGUGUAAGAAUGCUCUUGUAUUUUUUUUUAAUUCUUUUUAAAUUACUAAUUGUUGAAUUGAUCAAAUUUCGCGCCAUGUUUUCAGUUUAUAACAUGGAAGAGUGCUUGCAAGUUAAGUUGGAAAAAUUAUCACCAUUGCCCUCAAACUGCUGCAUCUACAGAGUUCCGGAGCGAUUACGUCAGAUAAAUGAAAAGGCAUAUACACCUCAGGUAGUCUCAAUUGGCCCUCUUCACCAUGGCAAAGCAAACUUACAGUUCAUGGAAGCUCAUAAACAGCGGUACCUGCGUUACUUACUUCAACGGACCAUAAUAAGCUUUGACGAGUUUGUUCAAUUUAUAAAGCUCAGAGAAGCAGAAUUAAGAGGUUCUUAUGCAGAAAAAGUCGAACUAAGUAGUGAUAAAUUUGUUGAAAUGAUUCUGCUGGAUGCUGCCUUCAUCAUUGAACUCUUAUUGAGGUAUCAUUUUCGUCAACUUCAAAAAAAAGAUGAUCAUAUAUUUCAUAAACCAUAUUUAAUAGAGGAUAUAUGGUAUGAUAUGUAGUUGCUUGAGAAUCAGCUUCCUUUCUUCAUUCUUGAGGAUCUUUUUGCUCUAGCUGCAAUUGAAAUCCCUGAACAACAUGAAAAUCCAACCAUCAUCACAGUCACAUAUGAGUAUUUCAAGGGUUUAGAGGCAGUACAAGGUAAUCGGCAAAAAUUCCCUCCUUACACUGAGGUUAGGGUACAGCAUUUCCUUGAUUUUCUAAGGAUUUGUCAUCUACCAUCAUCGAGGAAUCAGGAAAAACAAGAAGGUCAGCAAUACCACAAAGGUAAAACCGCACCAAGUGUGACUGAGCUCCACCAAGCUGGAGUCCACUUCAGUUUGAGCAAGAGCAAUGAUUUGUUCGCCAUAGAAUUCAAAAACAGGACAUUGCAUAUUCCGAAACUGAAGCUACAGCUGGAAACAGAAUCCUUAUUUCGUAAUCUCAUUGCCUUUGAACAACGGCAUUACUCAGAGAAUUACAUAAAUGAUUAUGUGUUCCUUAUUCAUCAUCUCGUGAACACAGCGAAGGACGUCGAGUUGCUUGUUCAGAACGGAAUCAUUGAGAACUGGUUGCGGGAUAAAGAGACUGCGUCAAUGCUUAUAAAUAACCUUUCUAGAGGUACUACUCUGCUGUCUGAUAGCUUCUAUUUUUCUGGGCUAUGCAAAGGAUUGAAUGAUCACUGCAAAAGAACGUGCUACAAAUGGAGGGCAAACUUGAAACAAAAUUACUUCAAUACUCCAUGGGCUGGCAUUUCGGUGUGUGGCGCCGUUUUCCUUCUUAUUCUCACCGUCAUUCAGUCUGUAUGCUCUGUUAUACAAGUGUUGUCUCAACCCAAAAAUAUCUCGUGACGAAAAACCUCUGUGCGGUAUUUGUAUGUCGUUUUUGAGUUGCUGUUUUCUUUUUUUUAUUUUAAUUCUUAUUCUCAACCAAUUUUAUCAUGGAAUUGUUAAUUUUACUUGAAUGUUGAACCAAGCCUUUAUUUUUUAAUAAUGAAAUGAAAUAAAAGGUGGGGGUAUACCCUUCACAAUACCCUCUUCACUCCUUAUUUAGUGUUGCAUUUACCGCAAUAAAAAAUAAUUUUUAAACGAUAAACAUAUUUACUUGAAAACAAAAAUUAGUUUAUGCUAUUUAUUUAUCUUAUAAUGUUGGAACUUGAAAGUUAAUUUAAAUUAAUGUAAUCCUACCAACUUGAUUUGGUUUUCAUAUUGGUUGGUUUCAUGUAUCAUGCGAAUUGUUAGGCACCGACUAACUCAAGCGUAUGUUACUCAAACAUCACGCUUGAAUAAUAGUUUAAGGAAUGUUGAUUUGGAUGGUAGAUAUUUAAUCAACUAAAACUAACGUUCUCAACUCAAAGCUCAUCUACUAGUAAAAGUAAAACCCUUCUCCGUCAACUUAUCUUCUUCAUUAUAUAACAAAAGAUGUUCAAUGAAAGAAUGAAAUAUAUAUAUAUAUAUAUAUAUAUAUAUAUAUAUAUAUAAUUAAGUCAAAGUAGUCAAGAUCCAGCCACUCGGCUUGAGGGCUUGAGUUCGAACCCACAAGAACUUAUUUCAAUCCUUAUUUUAUAAAUAUGAGAUUAGGGAUAGAUUUAUCUCUAAUUAUUUAUUUAUCGAGUAAUUAAUUUUAACAAUAUUAUUAAUUGUAGUUGAAACUGGAAUGAAUUUUCUGAAAGAUGCUCUCUCAUAACUAACCAACUAAAACUAACAAUCAAAUUAUCAAACUCAGAGCUCACCUACUAGUAAAACUGUAAAACUAAAACACUUGCUUCUCCAUUAAGUCAUCUCUUUAUAUAUAAAAAAGAGUGUUUUUAUGAAAUAAUCAGUAACAAUUAGGUAUCAAAUAAUUCAUAAAAGAUGUCAAGCUCCGUUGCUACUGCUGCUGAGGCCGAGAUUUGGAUUGUCCCAUUCUUCGGUCAGGGACAUCUAUUUCCAUGCAUUGAAUUAUGCAACCAAAUCGCUUCCCGUAAUUACAAAUCUACCCUCAUCAUUCCCUCUCACAUUUCCGCCACCAGCAUUAUCCCAUCCUCGUUUCACCAAUAUCCUCUCUUUGAAGUUACUGAAAUACCCUCCUUCGCCUCCUCACCCCCAUGUUGUCGUGCACAGCCAAAUGCUUCAAGGCCUUCGAAACCUCCUUUCAACCCGGGAACCCAAAAGCCGACCCGUUUGUGCAGUCAUCGACGUUAUGAUGGGCUGGACGGCUGAUGUUUUCAAGAUUUUUGAAGUUCCCAUUGUUGGGUUCUUCACUUCUGGUGCUUGCUCAGCGGCUGUGGAGUGUGCCAUGUGGCAGGCUCACAUCCAAGAUGUCAAACCAGGAGAGGCCCGUUUACUUCCUGGGUUACCCGAGGAUAUGGCUUUAUUUGAAUCGAAUCUUAAACACAGGCCUCAUGAGCCCCCUCCUGGUGGUCCACCACCUCUGAGAGGUGCACCCGGUUCCGAGAAAAUAGGUCCACCAGAAGCCGGUGAUCAACCACACUGGAUGAAGGAAGUGGAGGGAUCAAUGGCGUUGAUGUUCAACACGUGUGAUGGUCUUGAGGGACCAUUUAUUAAUUAUUUAGCCAAUGAAUUGGGAAAGCCGAUGUGGGGAGUGGGCCCACUGUUACCUGAACAAUUUUACAAAUCGGCCGGUUCAGUGCUUCAUGAUCAUGAGAUGAGAAUCAACCGGUGGAGUUCUAACAUGACGGAAGAUGAGAUCAUUCAAUGGUUGAAUUUGAAAUCAUGCGGAUCUGUGUUAUAUGUGUCAUUUGGUACUGAAGUGGAUCCGACCUUAGAUGAGUAUUUAGUACUAGCCAAUGCUUUAGAAGCAUCAAAUCGACCGUUUAUUUGGGUAAUUUAAGGUGAUGCAAGUAGAUUGGAUCCUCUAUGUCAUUUGGACAAAACAGUAGAAGGCAGUUAUUUUCGUUAGAUGAGUUUAGUGUUGUUGACGAGGCACCAUAUGCACAACAUAGUGAUAUUGUUUAGUGUUUAAUAUUAGAGUAAUGAUAUAGCCACAAACUCUUGUACAAAUUUAUUUUGUACAAACUUAUGUGGCAUGAUAAGAUUGGUUGAAUUAAAUAUCACUUGGCCCACAUGAUUUGUUUUCAUUAUUUUAUAUUUUCAUUCAACCAAUGAAUUAGUGCCACGUCAGUUUGUAUAAAAUAAGUUUGUACAAUAGUUUGUGGCUGUAUCAUUACUCUUAAUAUUAUAGGGAAGUUUUUAAUAGAUCUUCAUUUCCGUGCAUAUUGUGAGCUUAUUGCCAAAAAUGAGACUAUAUAGUUGUGGGACAAACAAAAAGGGAAAUUCUUUACCAUUCGGCUAAAUUUUGAUGUCAUGCAAAAUAAUAUAGGAUCUUGAAUUCACUUUAAUUGGAUGUCAGCCGGGUUACCAUUCAGAGAAACGGGUCUGAAUCCGACCCGUUUCAACUCCUCCCCCCAUCUCUCCACUUUCACCUCACCCGUCCUCUUGGGUCCACCAACCGCCACUAUGUUCCUAAUUUCACACCCAAACAACUGCUGCUCCACCGUAUGCCUCUCUAUACUGUCAGCACCCAGUCCGUCCCCCAGCACAGUGACGGAAAAAAAAAAAAAAGAACACUCAGAAUAAUAACAAUAUAUAAAACAAAAAAAUACAUAAAAAUAUUAAGAAAUGGAAAAAGAAGCCAACUUCUCUUGUUCGACGAGAUGGACCCUUUCGAUCAAUAAAUUGCAGUAGCCUUCCAUCAUACCAAAAGCAUCCAACAUAUUUUGCUCCUUCAUCACAUGCUCAACCUGCAAAAACCAAACCAGGUCAUUAGACAAAUGCAAUUGAACUAGUCAAUAAUUAUAACGAAUCAAACAGAAAAAGAGACCAUGCAUGAGCGACUUUGAUUCUUCAUGCAUGUGCAUAUGUCUUACGCGAGGAGAGCACGCUCUUGAAAGCCUUGUUGGAGGAACUGAACGACGUCGGAGCGUGCUUGGGAGCACUUGACUUGGCGUUGGUUUUUGAGAACGGCCAGGCGAGAGAUUGCAAGGUUGACCUGCGGCUUGAAUUUGUAGGUCUUGAAGUUGUUUUCUCUAAGAAGAAAAUCGAGUUUCUUUCCCAUGCCGCCGCCUGCUCUUCUGAUGAGUAACUGAGCUGAUCACGCUUCCAACUCAAUCACCCAACGCACAGUGACGGAGAGAAGGAGAAGAAACAAGCAAACGAAGGCUUGUUUACUCCUUUUAGAGAUGACGAGUGAUUGCGUUGUUAUUUUAUAGUUUCAUUAGCCUGAAACUUGGACUGAAGUUGUUAUUGCUGGACAAAAGGAAAAAGAGUUCAAUCACUUCAGUACCGUUAUUAUUGCUGGAUUCAUCUCCUCUCUCGGCAGCAAAAAUCACUUCCAUAUUUUGGCAACUACUCACUUCAAUGGACUGAAGUUGUUGAAGGCCUCCGCCAAUGACCAAUGGAAAUACAUUUUUCAAUUUAUCACACCCUUCCACCCUUAUGGUCUUUAGUUUGCAAAAAGACUCUGCUGUGAGUGGACCACGACAUAUUUCCUGUAGAUUCCUUAAAUCUCUCAGAAAUAAUGACUCCAAAAGGGGGAAUGCAGGCGUCGGAGCUGGCGUACAAUCCAUUGUGUCAACAACACAAGAAAGGUUGCCAUUAUGUUUGAUUUUGUUAAGGAAGUUAAGGAAGCUCAUAUUUGUAGUCAAGCAGAGGAUCACAGCAGCUUCUAUAAUCAGUUGCAAGUUGAUGACAUGUACUGCCAGCUGGCACCAGGUGGUUAUGUAGCUGCUUGUACUCAUACAUGUGAUAAGUUUGUUAAUCAUUUUUUAAUUAGUUAGUUAGUAUUGUAACCUUCAGCUGAGAAGCAACACUUGUAUAUAUAUGCUUGUAAUCAUUCAGUAGCAUUUUAAGCUUGAGAAAAUAAAAGAAGAAAGUUUUCUAGAUCUCAGUUUAUUUUCUUAUUAGCCAAACACUCAUUUUCUGUUUUCUAACUUGGUAUCAGAGCUAGUCAUGGCGUCUCUGAAUAUUGCCUCAUCAAAUCACACUUCGAAUAUUCAUACAAACUCAACAAACUUCUCAUUCACAUUCAAUACCCCUGUGAAACUGGAUCAGGCAAACUAUCUGAUCUGGAGGUCCCAAGUUCUAGCUUCCAUACACGGCAAUAGGCUAGAAAAGUUCAUUGAUGAAAAUGUCACUCCUCCUCCAUCUCAUAUUGCUCAAAGGAUUGACGAUGAACUUAGAUCUGUUGAGAAUCCAGAUUCAUCAAGCUGGAAAGCACAAGAUCAAGUACUUCUUGGCUGGUUGCUGUCAUCGAUGAGUGAAGGUAUUAUAAGCCUGGUGUUUAAUCUGGAAACUUCUCUUGAGGUAUGGAAAGCUAUUGAAACUCAAUUUGGAUCACAGUCAAAAUCCAGACUCUUACAUUUGAGAUAUUUGAUGAAUUCAACUAGGAAAGAUGAUCUGAAAAUCAAUGAGUAUUUCAUUAAAAUGAAGAAUAUUGCUGAUAACAUGGCUGCGGCAGGAAGUGCCUUAAGCAGUGAUGAUUUAAUUUUGCAUGUACUGUCAGGACUAGGACCAGAUUAUAAUGUUGUUGCUACUUAUAUUACUGGUCAAAUAAGUGGUGAUAAAAUGAAUUUGAAUGAGGCUUAUGCUAUGUUGUUGACUCAAGAAGCUAGAAUUGAGCAACAAGCACAUAUGCUUUCUGGAAUGGAUGUUAAGCAUAAUUUUGAAGCUAAUUUUGCUCAGAACAGAGGUUUCAAGAAAGGAAAUUUCUCAGGUGGUAGAGGAUCUGGUAAUCAUAACUAUUUUACUGGAUUAGAUAAUGCUGGAAAUUUUGGAAAUAAUUACAGAAGUGGCUAUAGAAGAUCUGGUUUCUUUGGCAAUGGUUUUGGAAAUAAUCAUAGUAACCAGUUCAGAGGAUUUCAAAGUGAUAAUCAAAGGGGAUCAGGCUCAGGAAAUUGGAACAAUGAUGGGGGUGGUAACAAUAAUUCUAUCAGGCCUCAAAUGAAUCCAAAACCUCAGUGGAAUGCUUCUAAACCUACUUGUCAAAUCUGCUUCAAAACUGGUCAUACUGCAAAUGUGUGCUGGAAGCUUGAAGAAUUCUUUACCUCUGGUGCUUACAAACCUCCUCCAAACAAAAAUCCCAAAGCUACAUAUCUAGCUGAUAUGGAUGGUGCAGCUGAUCCCAACUGGUAUCUGGAUAGUGGAGCUACACACCAUCUUACCAAUGACAUGAGGAAUAUGACUAUGGCAGAAUCCUUUGCAGGUAACUCUAAACUCAUCAUUGGAAAUGGUACUGGUUUACACAUAACACAUGUUGGAAAUGCUGUGUUAAGAAUGCAUAACUCUUCUGCUCAUCAUACACUCAAAUUAAACAACAUGCUUCUUGUUCCACAAAUAUCCAAGAAUCUUAUUAGCAUAUCUCAGCUUACCAAAGAUAACAACAUUGUUAUUGAAUUUACUGAUAAAUCCUGUUUUGUGAAGGACAAGGUGAGGAAUUUGAUCAUACUGUAGGGCAAAGCUGAAAAAGGUUUAUACAGAUUGCUAUUGUUUCCCUCUAAUAAAGUCUCUUCUCAAUCAUGUCAAAGGUCUCUUGAAGCCACUCAAUCCAAAAUUUCAGAUGUUCCUCUGUUUAUGUUUUCAGUUGUUCAGUCAGUUGUCAAUAAUCAAACAAGUCCCUGCUUGCAUACUGCAGCAGAAUCUUGUAUCGGUCUAAAUUGUAUGCUGAGUGUUUCUGUUUUGCAUCAGAAACUUGGUCAUCCUAAUUCCAAAGUUUUAAGUCAUGUAAUAAACUCUUGUUCAGCUUUCAAGAAUUUAAAUGGAAGUAACUUUCUUGAUUCAUGUGAUGCAUGUAAAAUGGGAAAAAUGCAUAGAUUACACUUUCCAGUUUCUACUACCAAAACAAAGCAUGUAUUAGAAGUUUUGCACACUGAUUUAUGGGGACCUGCCCCUGUGCUUUCAGUUCAAGGUUAUAGAUAUUAUGAGUUUUGUGGAUGAUUUUUCGAGGUUCACAUGGAUAUUCCCAUUAAAAACCAAGGAUGAAACACUAGUUGUGUUUAAAAUCUUUAAGAAACAAAUUGAGAAAUAGCUAGAUAGAUCCAUUAAGUGCAUUCAAUCAGAUUGGGGUGGAGAGUAUAGAUCAUUUGUUAAUUUUCUUCAUGAGGAAGAUAUUCAAUUCAGGCACUCAUGUCCCUAUACUCACAAUCAGAAUGGCUUAGUUGAGAGAAAACAUAGACACAUAACCGACCUAGGUCUCACCUUACUUGCUCAAGCUACUUUGCCUCUCAAAUUUUGGUGGGAUUCCUUCCAUACAGCCACCUAUAUUAUCAAUAGACUUCCCACACCCAUACUAUCUAUGCAGUCACCUUAUGAAUGUGUCUUCAAAACCAAACCUGAUUACAAAUUUCUCAAGGUCUUUGGUUGUUCAUGCUUCCCUUUCUUAAGGGAUUAUAAUACUCACAAAUUUCAUUUUCAUACCUCAAAAUGUGUAUUUCUUGGUUACAGCCCUUUACAUAAGGGUUACAAGUGUAUGCAUUCUUCUGGAAAGAUUUUUAUAGCCAGUCAUGUGUUAUUUGAUGAAACUUCUUUUCCUUACACAUCAAAUUCACAAUUUUUAACUUCAUCAUCCAAACCCUCUGAUUUCCAUUACAGUCUUAUUCAAUCUUAUACUGUUUCACUUCCCAAUAGCAAUCAAGAAACCUGUGAAGCUAGCUCUGCAGAAGAUGAAGCUCCAUAUCAUCAUUUCAGUGAUCAUUCCUCACCUGACAGUCAUAAUACAACCUUUGAUGUUUCACCUUCUCAAAUACAUCUUCAACCCUCUACCAUAGCUACUUCACAAACACAACAGCCAUCAUCAUCUACUAUUCAAUCCACACAACCAUCCCAACAUUCUCUGCCAAAUCAUCCCAUGAUUACUAGAGCAAAAGCUGGUAUAUUCAAGCCUAAAGCAUUCUUAACAUCACAUAACAGCCUGGAACCAUCCACUGUUGAUGAAGCUUUGUCUGAUUCUAAGUGGAAAGCUGCAAUGCAAUUAGAGUUUGAUGCUUUAACCAGAAAUAAUACCUGGACUCUAGUACCUAUGACAUCUCAGCACAAGUUGGUUGGUUGUAAAUGGGUCUUUAGAACCAAGUACAAUACAGAUGGUACAGUUUCUAAACACAAAGCAAGAUUGGUGGCCAAGGGCUUUCACCAGACAGCAGGAGUGGAUUAUAAGGAAACUUUUAGUCCUGUGGUAAAGUCUUCUACAGUCAAAACUAUACUAAGUUUGGCAGUGAUGAAAUGUUGGAAAGUCAGGCAAAUCGAUAUAAAUAAUACUUUUCUUAAUGGAGAUAUUUCAGAGGAUAUAUACAUGACACAACCAGAGGGCUUCAUCACCAAAGAGGGCUAUGUCUGCAAACUUAGCAAGGCUCUUUAUGGCUUGAAGCAAGCUCCUAGAGCUUGGUAUGACAAACUCAAAUGGUGUCUUACAAGCUGGAAUUUCUUCAACUCCAAGGCUGAUACAUCCCUGUUCAUCAGACAUGACACAAGAGGUAUCAUUCUUGUUCUUAUCUAUGUGGAUGAUAUUCUCAUUACAGGACCAAUUCUUCCAUGUUGGAAACAUUCAUCACUAAAUUCAGUAAGGCUUUUGCCUUAAAAGAUUUGGGAUUGGUAUCCUAUUUUCUGGGUGUUGAGGUGUGUUAUACUGAUAGUGGGAUGCAUUUAUCACAAACAAAAUAUAUUAAAGAGCUCUUAAGUAGAGCUUCAAUGCAGAACUGUAAAGGUUUUGAUACACCUCUCAGCACAGGUCAAAAGUUAGAAAAGGUAGCAAAGGGCUGUUUGGGGAAAGAAUUUGAAGAUCCAACUCUCUAUAGAAGUAUUGUUGGAGGGCUCCAAUACUUGAUACUCACCAGACCUGAUAUUGCAUACUCAGUUCAUAAGCUCAUUCAAUAUCAGAGUGCUCCUACACUUCAGCAUUGGCUUGCUUGUAAGAAGGUACUUAGAUAUCUUCAAGCAACUGUCACUCAUGGAAUAUAUAUUCAAAAGGAAGGAGAGCUUGAAGUUACAGGUUUGAAUGGAUACUCAGAUGCAGAUUGGGUUUGUGAUACAGAUGAUAGAAAGCCCAUUGGAGCAUAUUGCAUCUAUCUUGGCAACAAUUUAAUUUCAUGGUCCUCUAAGAAACAAGCUAUAGUGGCCAAAUCCAGCACUGAAAGUGAGUAUAGAGCACUAUCAUCAGCAAGUUCAGAAAUCUCUUGGCUUGAAUCUCUAUUUUCUGAGCUCAACAUUGUAAAGCUGCCAACACCAGUGCUUUGGUGUGAUAAUCAGAGUGCUGGGGAAUUAGCCAAAAAUCCUGUGUUUCACUCCAGGUCUAAGCAUAUCGAGUUGGACAUUCAUUACAUUCGAGAUAAGGUACUUCAAAACCAAUUAGAAGUGAGAUACAUUCCUACAGAUGAACAAGUUGCUGAUGUCCUCACCAAAGCUUUAUCACUUCCAAAAUUCAGCUACUUCAGGUCCAAGCUCAAUGUCAUUAGCAGACCCUUGAGCUUGAGGGGGGAUGUUAAGGAAGUUAAGGAAGCUCAUAUUUGUAGUCAAGCAGAGGAUCACAGCAGCUUCUAUAAUCAGUUGCAAGUUGAUGACAUGUACUGCCAGCUGGCACCAGGUGGUUAUGUAGCUGCUUGUACUCAUACACGUGAUAAGUUUGUUAAUCAUUUUGUAAUUAGUUAGUUAGUUUUGUAACCUUCAGUUGAGAAGAAACACUUGUAUAUAUAUGCUUGUAAUCGUUCAGUAGCAUUUUAAGCUUGAGAAAAUAAAAGAAGAAAGUUUUCUAGAUCUCAGUUUAUUUUCUUAUUAGCCAAACACUCAUUUUCUGUUUUCUAACUGAUUUGGAGACGCUUCAGUUUUGGAAAGCCUUCUCUGUCUGAUCCAAAAAGAACAUUCUUCAUGUCCGGCAAUCCAUCUAAAGUUAGGUCUUCAAUACCCUUCAAUUUCAUGAUAUGCGCCCCGUUCAAGCAAAUGUUGGCACCACUGGCGAGCUUCAGUGUGAACGUUCUAGAAAUCCCAUCCGAUGGGCCAUACCGCCGCCGCCGAUCUCCUAUCAAUAUUCUGUACCUUUGCAGCAUUUUGAAGAACGACAAGUCACUUGGUAGAUUCAUUGCAUCCGGGAUGAGUAUUUCUAAAGAAGUCAAUUUAGAUAAAUGAUUCAACUCAUGAAGGCUGGCAUUUCUUCUUCUACUGUUGUUAGGUCCCAGUCAGAGACAGCCAAUGAUCACGCAUAACACAAGUGAUAUUUUUCUGCUUAUGGCGAGAAAGGACUAAAUAAUUGUUGUUUAGAAUUCUCAAUACUUUUAUUCAUAUUCUGGAGCUUAUUUAUAAUAACAAGACUUUGGUUUCCAUCCUACAAUUACGGCUAAAUAAACGAGUAUAACAACUUAGCUAAAAAUUCGAAACCGAAAGAUAAUCGAAAACAACUUCCGUGUCUUAGCUUCCCUCCUUACUCGCUGCACAAUUGUUGACAAGCGUAUUCCUAGAUCACGGCUCCAGCUCCAGCACGUAUCUUCACGAUCUCAGCACAUGCAUGUUUCAUGCAUGGCUUGCAUGGGACUCAUGCCCUUACGUAGCAAACUUAGGAUUUGGCUUUGGCAUUUCCAGAUCUUCGUGGCUCAUGCAUUUGCUGUCUAUCAUUACCCCAUCCUCGAAGAAUACCCUUGUCCUCAAGGGUCAGAUUGGGAAACUGUUGGUGCAGCAUUAUGGUGUCCUCCCAUGUUGCUUCUUCAGCCAACAUUUUUUUUCCAACGGACUAGAUUCUGCUCGAUCACUUUACCUCCUCUCUUCACCCAACGUGUGUCAAGGAUAGCUUCAGGGUCCAUGAUCACCAAGCCUUCAUCAUCCACAGGUGGUAAAUCGACGCCGUUGCUAAGGAAAUCACCCACAGCUUUCUUAAGCAAAGAGACGUGAAACACUGGGUGAAUUCGAGCAUUCUCUGGUAAUUGUAGUUCGUAGGCAACGGCUCCAACUUUGCGAAGAACUAAAUACGGCCCAAAGUACCUGCAAGUUAAUUUCUGAUGUGCCCUUCUGAACACUGAAGUCUGCCGAUAGGACUGCAACUUUAAUAACACCAUAUCUCCCUGUUUGAACUCAACGUCGCGGCGACCCUUGUCAGCUGUUUGCUUCAUCCUGUUAGCUGUUGUGGCUAAGUUUUUCUUUAAUUGUAAGAGCAGUUCAUCACGCGAAUGUAAGGCUUGAUCAACCUCAUGCACCGGCGAGGAACCAAGUUGAUACAUGGGCAUGGCUGGAGGUGGUCUUCCAUACAAAGCUUGGAAUGCAGUCAUUCCGGUGGAGACGUGGAAUGUGGUGUUGUACCAAAAUUCUGCCCACGGCAAAAAAGAAUGUCACUUUCGCAGCCACUGGUGAACAAAACAUCUCAAGUAUUGUUCCAAGCAUCGAUUAAUUACCUCCGUUUGGCCGUUGGUUUGCGGGUGGUAUGUGUUGAGUGUUAGAAAAUGCAUAUUUAUAAAGGAGAAAACCGUCAUUUUACAUUUCAAGUCUUACUAACAACCCUUACUUUUAUGUAUUUAACCUUCUUGUGAUUUAAUUACAUGUGUUUUAUUUUAAUUAAGUAUUUUAUGUAUUUUAGGGGCAUUAUAGUCAUUUCACAAUAAAGGAGAGAUUAGACGGCAAAACGGACAUCACUUUUGAACUCAGGACGGUCGAAAACCUUAGGAGGAGCAUAAAAGGAAAAAUGGAACUAUUCACAUGUACGGUACUAUUCACGUGUACGGGACUGUCUAUGUUACUGUUCACGACACUGUUCACAUAGACGGAUCGAUGACGUGGCAUUGACCGAUGAUGUGGCAUUGACUGAUGAGGUGUCACGAUCCUGUUGGGCUAAAAUUCUUAUGUACUGUUGAUGCUGACGUGGCAGCAUAUCAGUGGACGAAAAAUCUCGCGUACGGUACAUGCAUCACACAGGAUUAUUUUCAACCAAACUGCGUUACUGUUCAUCCGGGUCAAACCGUAUUACUGUUCAUCCACGUUGUCAAACCGCGUACUGUUGACUGAUGACGUGGUGCAAUCCUGAGCGUCCAAACUGUUUUUAAUCUGAUGGCCAUGAUUUACUCCAUGUAUCUAUAAAAAGGGGGCCUCUCCCCCUUAAUUUGAUAGCUCUGAAUCCAUUUUUGGGAUCCAUUUUCUAUAAUUCCCUCUCCAUCUUGUAUUUUCUACGUAUUUUAAUAAAUUCCCAUUUUGCCCCUAGUUCAAUUAUGAAUAGCUAAUUUUCUUUCAAGCUUGGGUUGAAGGUGAAGUCUCAACAUGUGUCAUGGGCUUAAUUUGGUAAAUUUAUUUUCUCUUCCCCUUUAGUUUUUGUGGAUGUUUUGACUUCUCGUCGACAAAUAAUAAUAAUCUUGUCUAGAUAUCGUCUUGGUUACACCGGCUCUCUAGUAUAAGGUUAUUAUUAUUUGGCACGAUAAGCCCUUAGCACCAUAUUGAUUAGAGUGUGGUUCAUAAGGUGUGGAUUCCCCCCUCAUGAUUUAAUUGGUAUUAAUAAGGAAUAUUUAGCCCAUGGUGCAUGUUGAUACGGAUCCAAAUACCCAAGUACGUCAUUUCAAUAGAUUUCUCUUCAAUUUAUUCUCGCCAUUUAAAUUCCAAUUUUAGAAUUUAUUCUCGCCAUUUUAAUUUAAGUUUUAGCAUAUUCCAAAUCAUUUCCAUCACAAAUCCAAUCACCCAUUUACAAAAUUAAUUCUACACACAAUUAAAAUCCACCUCCUCGUGGGAUCGACACUCGUCACCAUUGAUCUAUACUACAAUAGAUUCGUGCGCUUGCGAGUACAUUAAAAUUUGCACAACAGUAUGGUGAGCUCAUUUUGAGUUUGGUGCCUGAUAAAUUAAAGAACUCUUGCCAAAAUUUGCUGAUGAAUAUGGGGUCACGAUCGCUGAUGAUUGACUUGGGCAUACCGUGCAGCCUCACUACUCCUUCACUUUCUUCUCGAACUGGCCGCGGUGAACCAAUGGUUUCGUUGGUGCCGUGGCUAGUGGUGUCUUUGGAUGCAUUGAAAGUUUCUGCUAAUUUGCUAAUGGUGUCUUCUAAUCGCUGAAGCUUGUCAUUGAUCCCAAUCUCCAUGCGUUCCAUUCGGCUCUCCAUGCUUUUCAGAUCAGCUUCAAUUCGCUCAAUACGUUCUUUGUUGGUCAUCAUUGUUAACCCGCUCUGAUACCAAUGUUAGGUCCCAGUCAGAGACAGCCAAUGAUCAUGCGUAACACAAGUGAUAUUUUUCUGCUUAUGACGAAAAAGGACCAAAUAAUUGUUGUUUAGAAUUCUCAAUACUUUUAUUCAUAUUCUGGAGCUUAUUUAUAAUAACAAGACUUUGGUUUCCAUCCUACAAUUACGGCUAAAUAAACGAGUAUAACAACUUAGCUAAAAAUUCGAAACCGAAAGAUAAUCGAAAACAACUUCCGUGUCUUAGCUUCCCUCCUUACUCGCUGCACAAUUGUUGAUAAGCGUAUUCCUAGAUCACGGCUCCAGCUCCAGCACGUAUCUUCACGAUCUCAGCACAUGCAUGUUUCAUGCAUGGCUUGCAUGGGACUCAUGCCCUCACGUAGCAAACUUAGGAUUUGGCUUUGGCAUUUCCAGAUCUCCGUGGCUCAUGCAUUUGCUGUCUAUCAGUUGGUCCUUUCACGCUUCCCCCACUCAAUGGGACUCUCACCAAUGUACAAUUCUUCUAAUCGUGAUAAGCUUGAUAUGACAUUUGGUGGAAUAACUUUUAGAUUGAAACAGUUGCUCAGAUCCAACAACCUCAACUGAGUCAGCCGGCCUAUUUCUUCAACCAGUUUCUGCAUAUUAGAACCUCGAAGUGUAAGGAUUUCUAAUUUCUUUAGAUCUCUAAUAAUAGCGAUGUCUCCGAGUUGGCAAUCAUCGAGAGACAAUGUUUGAAGGUUUUGUAAGAGACCAAGCGAUGGAGGCAAAGGCAACAAAUGCAUCGUAGUGAAAUCUAAAACUCUAAGCCCUGUCAUCCCAGUAAAAAGGUUAUCUGGGAUUCUCAAAGAUGGAACAUUAUCAAUGGUGAGGUAUUUAAGUUGCGGACAUUCAAAAUCUUGAGGAAACUCACUAAUAUUACACCUACAUAAGGAAAUAACUUUGCAAACCUUCAGUCUCUCCUUAUCUGGCCAGCUGGUCAGCGGAAUAACCUCGUUUUCCACCGCAAACACAUGUUGGUCUCUAGAUGCAAUUGAUAUGGCUACAUCACGAACAACAUCAUGCAUAGAAAACCAUUCACUUGUAUUGCCAUCAAGCAACAAACAAGAUUUUUUGAGUUUUUCAACCAAUUCAUGUGCUCUAUCCCGCGCCUCUUCCAACGUGUUGAUGUUUUGAAACAGACCCAAACCCAUUCCAUAAAAGAGCACGUCUUCAACGCAAGAGAUGAAGGCGUACCUUAUUAGCAAAAAUGUACUCUUGAGCUCCUCCCCGUUUAAAUGACUGUAACUUAGCUCUAUACUUUUAUAUGCCACCUCCAGUGUUCCACUGAAGUUCCUCAAGGAAGGCCUUCUUAAUUCUAGCAAAGCAUCAUUCCAUUCACACAAUCUCUUAUUUCUCAAUGCCCUUGCUACGGGUACAAUGGCAAUGGGCAAACCAGCACAUUCCUUGACUAUAUCUUUUGCUACCGAUCUCAAUUCAUCAUUUUCUAUGCAAUCACCUGUCGUCUUCGUAAAAAGACUACAAGCUUCUCCUCCAUUCAAAACAUCAACACGAAAAUUCUGUUGACAAUCAAUCUUACAGGACAACACAUCUACACUUCUUGAUGUCAGCAGAACUUUACGUCCGCUGUUAUCAUCUGCCAAUGGAAUUCCAAUCGCCUCCAAAUCAAGACUCCCCCAAAUAUCAUCCAAGAUUAUAAGGAUCUUCUUCUCUACUUUCAAUCGUUCAUAUAGCCUCCCUGCUCUUACAGUUUCAGUCUCUUUAACUAAUCGCAAGCCCAUCUUCUCUGCAAUUUCUUCACCAGCGUCGUCUUUCCAACCCCACCCAUCCCGUAGACCCCAAUCAUGUUGAAUUUACGGUUGCUGAGUGCGUCUAGUAUCUCCUUCAAAGUGCACUUCCUCGAUUGAAAGUGCACGAAACCCUGGGUAGACUUAAGCCAUGGCUCUUCUGGAAUGGUUCGAAAAGAAACACUGUCCAAUCUCCCUUUUUCAAGGAGUUCAACAAUAGCAUUCACCUCCCUCACUGCUUUCUUGCUAAGCUGGUACCGAGUCUUCAAAUCAGGGCAUAACCCCUUCAAACACCGGUUGUUUGAAUUCUCUUUGUAUCCAAUAAGUUCUCCGACUUCAUUGAUGAGCCUGUGCGCACUAAUCAGCCACUCCGCAACUUUCGGUAGAAUUCCAUCCCCAUUAUUUCUGGAAUCAUCAACUUUAUGCUGCACACUGUCUCUAGCAUUCUUUAGGUUACCAACUUCAUUCUUCAGCUUCUCGAAGUUGGUCUUGUAGCUGCGGCAGUAAGUAAAUGGGUGAAAAAUGGGACCAACCAAGUUCUUUGAAGCUUUUGUAACAAUGGAGAUAACAAUUUCCAUUAUCCUUUUUUUUCCCCCCGCUUUCAGAAAACAGGGAAAAGCAAAACUAAUCAAACUAAGCAGAGCUAAUCAAUCGGCUGGGAAUUUGGAUAAAUUGCUGAAAUAAGAAGUUGUCCGAAUGAAAUUGAUGAAACAAAUAUUUAAGGGAGAAGGAGGGGAAAGGAGUGAAAAAUCUAGAGAUGAAGCGAAGAGGAGACAAAUUAAAAAGUGAGUGCAAUGAAAGAUUUGCAAAGAAGGUAUGGGAGGACAAGGAUGAUUCAGACAAGGGAAACAGAAUAUGAAGAAAGGGAUUUCAGAGAACUCUAAAGAUUAGGGAAGAAUGAUGAUUAGGAAAAUGAAGAGGCAGACAGUUGUGAUCUCGAGACUCAAGGGGUAAACUGAAUCAUGCAAAAAUGCCAAACUAAAUUCAUACAAGGAGAAGACUCGUGCUUCCAAGUCAACUAGAUUCUCCAUAAGUAAAUAGCGUUAAAGUCGCAGGUUAAAUGCUAAAUGGCAUUUUGGCAUUUCGUUGAAUUUUCUUGUUACCAGUAAGUGCUGUGCUGCCGACAUUUUUCAACUUGUAAUUGUAAGACUUUCCAAGCAAUUUUUGUGGUAGUUUUAAUUAAUUUUAAUUGUAUAUCAAAUAUUUUAUUACUGUAAUUUAAAAAUCACAAUUGAUAAACAACAAUAGUAGAGAGAACGUUAAAUAGUUUGAGAAUGAUUUUUUAUUUAGGGCAUGUUUGUGAUUGCUUUACGAACAAUCAAAAUGCUAAUUCUAUUAGCCAAUAAACACAAGCGCUUUGUCAAGAACAUUACGCGAAGAACCCUUUAUAUAAAUAGCAAUCAUGUAAUUACGGAAGGCUUAUCCUAAUUACAUUUUAGUUACAUUCAAUAACAAAUUAACAACAAUAUUACUUAAAAAUUUUCGUUUGGCAAUGAGUAUAUUGGAGGUAGCAUAAAAAAAUCUGAAAACUUUGCAAACUUUUUAUGAAAAUGCAUUAGAGUUGUUAUGUUCUUUCACUGUUGAUAAUGGAAAUAUAAUGCAGGCCAAGAGACCCAAAGUGAAAGUGACCCAUGUGCUUUUCUAAUUACUCUGCUAUAAAGCCAAAGUUUGCGGACUUUAUGAUUUUUUUUUUCAGAAAUAGAUAUGCAAAUAAAUUGAAAAGAAAAAAAAAAACCCUGUUGCGUGGUCAUGUGGGUCCUCGAAAUCAUUUCGGCAUUUAAUCGAACAGUUGGAUGUACUCGGCAAGACGGCAACUAUACUUCCUCGAAGGUUCCUGGAUGUUGCAAGUGCUGCCGGCAUUUUCAAACUCGGAAGGUUUCAAUAAUUUUUUUUCUUUGAAAUAAAGGUUUCAAUAAUUAGCUUUGAUUAUUGUGUAAUAUACGAUAAUCUAGUGAUGAUGGUCACUUAUAUAUGUGAUUAAAAGCUAAGCUGGUUGAUUUGUAAGUAAGAACACACGGCAAAGUAUUUGAGCAAGCAUUUUUAUCUUCUUAUUACCACAUUCUUCUAACCAAUUUGCUUUCACCAACAAAAUAAUUAAUAAUUUGUAAAUAGUUGGAUCUUAAGCUCAGAUUUUGACAAUACAUGAAUGAUAAUAUAUACUUAUUUUCCAAGAGUAUACUCUAUUCAAGAGAGGAUCUCAAAUUUUUAUUAGAGAAGAUCAUAUUUAAAGCUCAAGUGCAAGAAUAAUAAUGGUUGCGUUGACUGGAGAACAUCAAAUACAAACAAAGACCAUGCUAAAGGAAAAGCAAAAGCUGGCGAGAUUGAUAAAGAAAGACUAAUAAAGCUUUCCUUUCAGCAUUAAUCAUGAUUAUUGGAUGAACUAGAGGUGAUCACUGUUUUAUAUUUUUAGUGCAAAAUAGAAUACACUGCAAGAGCUGAUGGCUUUCUUUGUUGUCCUCUUAUUGUCACGUAUUUUGUAGCUUUCUCAUUUUGAUUAGUUGUUCGCUCAAUAACCUAAAUGGGUCAGGGUUUUGAUGAAUUGAAAUUGACAUCAUUUCUGUUAAGAGUAGUUUGUUAUAGUUAGUUAUAGCUGCUGACUUAUGCUGACGUGUUAGAUGAGCUAAUAAUUGUUAGUUAUAUUGGUUGUAGUUUGUUAGUAAUCUUUUAGCACAUGUAUAAGCUAAGCUCAGCUCGCGUGAAUUGAUUCCAGAAUAUUCAAGAGCUUAGUAUAAAUACUCUUGUAACAAAUACAACAAUUAAUUCUAAGCUCUCCAUUCUUCUUUCAAACUUUCUUUCGUUUUCUCUGUUUUUCUCAGAUGCUAAACACUUUUCUUAUAUUUUAACUUGGUAUCAGAGCUUCAAUCUUCAAUUCUCAUGGCAUCAUCAAGCUCAAACUCAAACACAAACUCAAUUAUUUCAUCAUUUACUUUCAUCUCACCGAUCAAACUUGAUCGUUCAAAUUAAACAAUCUGGAAGUCUCAAAUUCUUUCAUUUGUUCAAGCCAAUGGUCUAGAAGAUUUGCUUGAUGGAUAAAAAACCUAUCCAGAUCAAUUUCUUCAAGGUGAAACUGAAAACGCCUCUGCUAAUACUCAGCUAAAUCCAGCAUAUACUACAUGAGAGGGAAAGGGUCAGUUGCUACUGAACUGGUUGAUGUCAUCUAUCAGUAUUGAGAUUCUGAGUCUUGUAGUAAACUCUGAAACUUCUCUAGAACUUUGGACUAGUUUGGAACAACAGUUUGGAUUUGAAACUUUUGCUAAGAAAAUUCAUCUAAAAAAUGAUGCUUAAUAACCUUAAAAAAAGUUCGAUGACAGUCACUGAAUUUUUUGGCAAGUUAAAAACAAUUACUGAUGAGUUAGUCAUUACUGGUAAUCCAAUAAGUUCUCUGGACUUUCUUACACACCUGAUUUCUGGAUUAGGUCAGCCUUAUUAUCCUGUUGUAGUUUAUCUUGAAGCAAAUCUUGUUAAGAUCUCUAUCAAUGAGGCAUAUUCUAUGUUAUUAACUCAUGAAGUUAGUCUAUAGGCAAAUCAGUUAAGUGCAAGCAAGGAAGUUAAGUUGAACUAUACUGCAAAUAUUGCUCAAACUGGAUCUAGAUCUAAUAAUAACAAGAAACAAGGUGGUCAAUUCAAUAACAAUUGGACUGGUGGUCAAUUUAACAAUAAUUGGAACAAGAAUGCUAGCUUUAGAGGUGGAUAUGCUGGAGGCAAAGGUGGUUAUGGUAGAAAUUUUUCACAAGGAUAACGAAGAGGAAACUGGAAUGGUGUGCCAUUUGGAAAUUUUUCACAAGGAGGCAAAGGAAGUAAUUACAAUGGCAAUCCUAGUCAAAAUGAGGGAUUUACUAGUGGAUUUACUAAUGGCACAGGUGUUAUGGAUCAGGCUACUGCCACUGUAAUUUGCCAGAUUUGCUUUAAACCUAAGCGCACUGCAGCUGAGUGCAGAAACUGAUUCAACAAGGAUUAUGUUCCUUUCAACAAUCCAUUUCAGAACUCAUCAAGAAUUGCCCAUCUUACAACUUCAGAAGGGGCAAUAGCUGAUCAAGGAUGGUAUAUCGAUAGUGGUGCCACAUAUCACAUCACUAACAACUUACAAAAUCUACAAAUUGGAAGUGAGUAUUCAGGUAAUCAGCUGCUCCUUGUAGGUAAUAGUCAGGGUUUACAUAUUUCACAUAUUGGCUAUGCAUAUCUUCAAACAUCAUGCAAUACAACUUUAUACUUAAGAGAUACUUUGUGUGCUCCUAAACUUACUAAAAAUCUCAUAAGUGUUUCGAAAUUGCUUGAAGAUAACAUUGAUGUAACCAUUGAGUUUGUUGCCAAUAUGUGUUUUAUAAAAGAUAAGAGGAAGGAACGACAUCUGGCUCAAGGGAUUGCUAGAGGAGGAUUGUAUCUGUUGUUGUCAAAGAAUGACUUUGUUUCGAAUUCUAGUUGUCUCACUUAUGCACCUAGCUCUAUGCUUUCUGUUUUGAAUAAUUCAGCUUGUAAAAUUUUUGAUACUGCUACAAAUAAAGUUUGUAAUCCACAAUGUCAAAUGAACACAACCAAGAUAACAAACUUGUUUCAUCAGAAAUUUGGUCAUCCUAAUAAACAUGUGUUGAAAUCCAUUUUAUCUUCUCUUUCUAUUGAGUACUCAUCUAUAUCAGCACCUGAUUUUUGUGAUGCCUGUCAAUAUGGUAAAGUCCCUCAAAUGCCCUUUUACACAACUAGAAUCAUAACUAAAGCUCCUUUAGAGCUUAUCCACACUAAUCUUUGGGGUCCAACACCCUUACCAUCUCUACAUGGCUAUAGUUAUUACAUUAGCUUUGUAGAUGACCAUAGUAGAUAUUGCUGGAUUUUUCCAUUGACCCUCAAAUUAGAAGCAUUAGGCACUUUCAAAUUCUUCAAAACCUUAGUCAAAAAAUAGUUUGGCUACACUCUAAAAUCACUGCAGUCUAAUUGAGGGGGUGAGUAUAGAAGCUCUCAAAGUUUCCUUGAAGAAGAAGGGAUAAGGUUUAGACAUAGUUGUCCUCACACACACCAUCAAAAUGGUGUGGUUGAAAGAAAACAUAGACACUUGGUUCAAACAGGACUUACCCUUCUGACACAAGCCAAAAUGCCUCUGUCUUUCUGGUGAGAAUCAUUCCAUACAGCUUCCUUGUUAACAUAUAUGUUUCCAUAAUGUUGAUUUUGAUGAUAACAAAUAAGAUUAAGAGUGAUAAAUCUUUUAAGCUCAAAUUAUUUUUUAUACAUUUUAAAUAAAUCAUUAUUUUUACAUUAUAAAGGUUUUAUAUUUAAUGGAAAAAUGAUUUUAUGAAAUUGAUUGUUUUUAUUCUUUUUAAAUAAAUCAUUAUUUUUGCAUUAUAAAUGUUUCAUAUUUAAUGGAAAAAUGAUUUUAUGAAAUUGGUUGUUUUUCAAAGUUUAUGGUUUAAUUGAAAGAAUUUUGAAAACUUUGAAAUAAACAAGUAUUGCUUGAAAUUUUAGAGAAGGACUUAUUUGAAAAGUAUCAUAGCAUUUUGGGCUAUACCAUAAUUUCAAAAAAUUUUGGGAUUAACAAAGCAUUAUUUAGAAAUUCUGGAAUCGGACCUAUUUACAAAGUUUUAUAAUAUUUUGGGUCGUAAUACAGUUUUAUAAAGUUUUGGGGUCAAACUAUAAAUUUGGGAAAUAUUUCACUGUAGCAGUUACUGUAGUAGCUACUGUAGAAAACGGCGAUCCGACAUCUUGAUAACGGCUCGCCGAUAUCUAACAGAGUUGAAGAUUAGCCUCUGGACCUAAACGGCGAUCCGACAAUUGUGAUAAACGGCUCGCCGAUAUUUAACAGAACUGAAGAUCAGCCUCUGGACCUAAACGGCGAUCCGACAUCUAGAAUAAACGGCGAUCCGACAAUUUGAAAAAUCAGCCCAACGGUCAUAUUGACCAGUCAAACGGCGAUCCGACAGUGUGCAGACAGUCUAUAACGGCUAGUUUUCAGCUGCAGCUAUAAAUAAGCUCAUUCAAAUUCAAACAAAGGUUAAUCACAACACGACUAUUGAGCUUAUAUCCGAGAAUACAAUCUUCAUAGAGCUUUAAACACAUUCUCUCUUCAUCUAUUCACAUAUUGGGCAUUGAUUUGUAAUCUUAAAUAUUGUGUGAGAGAAAAACAAUUUGUAAUCUUUUACUUUGAGUGAUUGUAAGUGUUGGGAUACACUUGGGUUAAGAGAUUGGGGAUAAUCUCUUGUUGUAAAGGUCCAUUGACACCUUGGAAGUCAAUUGUAAGCGUUUGAAGCCUUGGGAGGCUAGCUUAGUGAAAUCCUCAAGCCCGGUGAGCUUGGAGGCGUGGACGUAGGCGGGGAUUGCCGAACCACGUAAAAAUCCUUGAGUUUGCUUUCUCUUCCCUUGCUCAUUUAUUAUUGUGCUUUCAUUGAAUUUAUUGUUUUCAAAUUUAUUAAGGCAUUAGAUUGGAUUGUUGUGUGGUUUGCUUAGCUUAAUUUUUAAAUCCCAAUUCACCCUCCCUCUUGGGUUGCCUAGUUAGUAUUUCAUUUGGUAUCAGAGCGAGGUGCUCUUGUGUAGACUUAACGUCUAGAGUCAAAGAUCCAUAGCAACCCAAAUUAGCUCAACCAUCAUGGAAGGCCAAUCUAUCACUAGACCUCCAUUUUUCGACGGAAAUGAUUAUCCUUAUUGGAAAACUAGGAUGAGAAUUUAUUUACAAGCUUUAGAUUAUGAAAUUUGGGAAGUUGUUUGUGAUGAUUUACUCAUUCCUAGAAAGAAUGCUUUAAGUGAGUUGGAUAAGAAAAAGAUGUCUUUAAAUUCCAAGGCUAUGAAUGCUUUAUUUUGUGCCUUAGAUAAAAAGGAAUUUCAUAGAGUUUCAAAUUGUUCUAAUGCUUAUGAAAUUUGGAGAAAACUUGAAAUUGUGUAUGAGGAGACUACAAACGAGGAGAAUUUUCAUGAAGUGUCAAAUUUGGCACUUAUGGCAAUUGGAGAUGAAUCGGAUGAUGACCCAUGUGCUUUUCUAAUUACCCUGCUGAAAACUAUAAAGCCAAAGUUUGCAGAUUUUAUUAUCAAUUUUUUUUUUCAAAAUAGAUAUGCAAAUAAAAAGACAAAAGAUGAGACUUAUUAUAGUACCAGUGGCGGGCCCCCUGGGUCCUCAACUUCUUCAAAUGGGCAUUUUAAUAUAUUUACAUAUAAAUAAAUGAAUAUCUUAUGUAAUAUUCACUCCAUCAAGCAUGAAGUAUAUAAUUAAUUGAAUGUACAAGCAUCGGCAUUAGUUGACAGGAAAAGAGCUCGUUAAUAAAUUAUAUGAGUGAUAAUACUACUUGAAUCAAACUCACGUCCAAAGUUGGGACUCGCCUAUUGUGCAACAGUGGCACCAUGCCACCGUUUUUGUCUUUUUCUGUGUAAAAUUUCAUGAAGCCCUUUCACUUAUUCUUAUUUGAACUUUGCUUCACAAAUAUUAAGUUCAUUUCUCCCAAACUCGUGAAUCCUUCAACGGCCGAUCAACGGCAAAUCGGCUCCUCCAAUGGCUGUGGUUGGUCAGAAAAGACAAAGGGAACUGUGGAGAACAAAACCCAAGUGGUGGUGUCACCGGAAACCGGAGAAACCGCAGUGAAUUGAAGCGGGGAUUCUGUGACUUUUUGCGGCUUUGAUCAACAGCUUUCCGAAUGCUUUACGGCAACAAGGAUGGCAUGAAGAUGACCAGCGUCGCACGAGCUUCCGAUCGGUACCAACCUUGGCUGGUGGAGUAGGCAGAAACGUAAAAAAAAUUUGGGUCGGGUUCACGAGUCAGGUUGACUCAGUUAUUUUUGCGACAAGGAUGGUGUGGAGAUGACCGGCAUCGCAUGAUCUUCCGAUCGGUACCAACCUUGGCCGGUGGCAUGGACGAAAAUGGAAACGAAAUUCGGGUCGGGUUCGUGGGUAUUUGUGAUAAAGAGAGGGGUAUUGUGAUAAAAGGUGCAAUAUAGAAGGAAAAUGUAUAAAUAGGAAAUAGUAUAAGGUGCUAAUUAUAAUGUUUAUAUGGAUGCAAUAGAAAUUAAUUUAAUAUUUAUGAGGUAAAGUUUAAAUAAAAAUGAAUGAAAGUGGUUCAAUGAAAUUUUACAACAAUGCUGGCACAAAAGACAAAACCAGUGGUACGGUACCACGGUGGUACCGUAGCUGGAUCCCCAAAGUUGAUAAGAGUUAAAUUAAAUAAAGCUUUGAUGAUUUAAUGUGCAUAAAAUUAUAAAUUUAUAAUCAUCAAAUGGAUCCACCUAUGUCACAAUAGUUGCACCAUACCACACUUUUUGUCUCUAUUUCGCAGAGCCGUAAGAUGUUUUAUUGUUCAAUCUAACUAUUGAUGCCAAAAUCGGCUCGUCCUUGGACCGACCAGAUUCGUUCACCAACGUUUAAGUUAUCCACUGCUGCACGAACCGCUAAGGCUGGAAUUACCCUCCUUUCUCUCACUAGACCUGCGUUCACCAAAAACAGAUCAGAGACGCCGGUGGUUUUGCCGGCGUAAACCCUCCGAUGCCUAAGUUAGCACAAGGUGUUUACGGGAAAACAGUUAAAUUUUGAUUCAACAGUGGUUCUAAUUUGUUCGAAGUUUGUAAUAAAAUUGUCUGGUUUCAAUUUGGCAGCGUUUUCCCUCUCCCAGUUUUGUUAUCUCCAUCUUCAUCGAUUUCUUCUUCUUUUAUAGCUGCUGUUUGUCCCACGUCUUCCGCUUACCCUCUAUCCCCCCUUUUCUCGGGUUGUGGCAGCCCCUCAUGGGGCUCUGACUGUUGCAUUGUGGCAAACGUGGGAUCUUAUGUGUCCUUCAACGGUUCCGGGAAAGGCGCAGCAGCCGCGAUUCUGUGGGAUCGUGUUCCCGCUUUUCUGGGGAGUGUGUAUCGGUUCGGUAUUAACAUCUGGUCGGCAUACGCUCCCGUGCUCUGCUCGUACCCACGGCUGAGGUGAUCCAUGCCGGGGUGGAGGUAGUAGCAUGGUCGACCUGGUGCUUUUAUUAACUUAACACCAGUCCCCCAGUUUCUGGUCUUGCGAGUGAAAUGAGUUAGGAGUAGAAACUGAUAGUCAAAUCUUACCAACCUGGGGAGCGUCUCGCCUGGUCUUCCGCUUACCAGGACAGAUCUCAGGUACCAUUUUCCUUCUAGGGAGAUUCCGACCUGAGCAUGGGCCUAAAUGAGCCUGUCCGUUGCAUAUCUGGGCUUUCAUCUAACCCGGUCUCUUGUAACGGUUGGUGACGUGGUGCUUCCCGACUCUUCGUAUUUGAAAUUUGAAACGACGGGCUAUCCGUCCUCGAUAUAUGGGGGGGUGAGCUGGCAUAUCCCAUCACUUAAAUGCUUCCAUUUCCCCCUUUUCGUUUUAAAUCCCUAGACUGGAGUCUUCACCAUCUUGUUACUCGUUUCUCCGCCGUUAACCAAAUUUUCUCUGAACUUUGCUCACACUUCCAGCGUCCGGAGUAUCCAUUUGCUGGGUGUUUUCUCUGUUACGGCAGCGCUAUCAGUGUCAGUCUAUUCCAGGUAUAGCCUUUAACCUUUUCUUCGGCUGUUGUUGAUUGGGUUCUGUGUUGCCCCUUUGUGUCCAUAUACUCGAGUUUUCUCUGUUUUCUUUUGGGAUUCCGGUAUGUCAAAUCGGAAGAGGAAGUUAAUUGUUGAUGAGGGUGAUGACGAAUCAGGGGAUUCAGGCCUCAACGUGCCAAUACCCACCGAUUUUUUAGGUCCCUCCAGUAGUGUAGGUCCUCCCCAUGGUAGGGAUACCCUUGAUUACCUACGCCCCCUGGUUGUCUCUCCCUCUCCCGAAUUAGAGCUUGUAGGAAAUAGGGGUGGACCUGCGUCGGGCUCUGGUGAGAACCACAGCUUUGGUGGGGUUGGGAUCCCUGAAGGAGUUGGUGAUGGUGAGGGGGAGCAGUUCCGGACCGAGCAGACCUGCUCAGAAAAGGAACCUAGGCCAUAGGGUGGAGGUUGAUUCCUACCCUAUUGAUUUCAUGGCUUGUGCCACCACCCCCACCGAUCUAUUUAAACUUAGGAAUCUCUACAACAUCCCCAACGAGGUUCUUCUUGUAGUUCCUGGAAAAGGUGAUGUCCCUAGUCGGCCUCCGAAAGGGUAUGUGACGAUGCACUUGGAGAGUUUCAGACUAGGAGCUCGGCUGCCCCUUCAACCUUACUUUGCCAAGAUACUGGGCGGUAUGCACCUGGCCCCAGGUCAGCUACACCCAAAUGGGUGGAGGGUUCUCUCGGCAAUGUUUGUGUUGUGGGAGAGGUGCGGGUCGGAGGAGCCUUCUCUUGUUGAAGUGAAACAUCUGUACCAGUUGCGGAGUAGCCCGAAAGAGGCAGGCUGGUACUAUUUCAUGUCCAGUUCCGCAAAGAGGAAACCGAUCACUGGGUUUCCAUCUUCAUGUAAAAAUUGGAAGAAUAAAUUCUUCUUUGCUGGAGGGAACUGGUGUCCAGCGGUUCGGUCGCUUGGUGGGGAGAUUUAUCUUCCCACCCAUUUUGUCACCCCAGGUCGUUCAUUUUUUGCCUAUAUUCUUUCUCAAAUUGACACUCAUUGGGUUCUUUAACCUUGUUUGUUUUUUCAGAAUCGUGGGGUUUGGUGAAGGACCUUGAAGACCGACCUUUGCUUCAGGUGGAAACUGCUCUGUUGAACGCGUCUACUUGCCAAGACCUCCUGUCGCCAACAAACUUGGUCGGUUCCCGCUUAGUCGAUAUUGCCGCUGGAAUGGAUAACAAGAUCCUCAGCGCGUUGAGCAGAAAGCGUGGUCGGGCUCCGAGUAGCUCCAGCAACCCUCCUCCUCCUCCAAAGAAACCCAGCGUCGGUCCUUCCAAGGUGCCAGUUCCUGCUCUGCCCCCUCCUCCACCUCGUAAGAGUGGUGGGGAUAAAACCUCCGACAAGAGUCCUGAGGUCAGCUUGCAGUCUGGGGACCGCUCUUCUCCUCUUCCAUCUCGGGAUCAGGGUGACUACCUAAGCCCAUAUCAGAAGGAUUAUAGAAAAUCGGUUGGGCCCAAGAUGGUGAAGGACAUCGAGAGCAUGAGCCUCUCCGAGUUAACUGCUUCUGUUCAAAGAGUCUCCUUCAGGCUGGCCACAAUGGUCUCGUGCUACAAGACCGGGUCCGCGCGUCAUGAGAGGAAGCUUCAAGCUGAUAACCAGGAGUUGAAAAAGAAAGUUGAAUCUGCUGACCGCUCCAAGGAGAAACUGGCCGAGCUGAACAAGCAGCUUACGGAGCUUGAGGAGAAAGUUGCUGUUGCUGAGUCCACUUCCUCCAAGCUUGAGGGUGAGUUGGGUGAUCUGAAGUCCGAUCUUCAGGCUACCCAAAGUGAAAAGGAUACUCUGAGGAUCGCCCUUGAAGGAGAGAUCAACUUCCUGAAGGACAGCUGGCUGAGGAGAAAAGCAAAUCCGCUGACGUGGAUGAUCGGCUGGAUGCCGAGUAUGACUCCGGGGUUGCUUUCAGCUAUAAGUGCAUCAUGUCUGUGCUUAAGGAAGAAUACCACGAGCUCGACAUGAGCAAGCUGGAAUCUGGGGUGGAGAGGUAUAUGGCUGGGGCCGGCCAGGGAGAUAAGGAGCAGGUGGAGGUUCCUUUUGAUGAGGUGCGGGAGGGAGGAGCUGGUCAGUGUGUUUUUUAAGUGGGACAAGGGUCUGUGCCUCCUCCUCCCGUUAUUGCUGAUCUUCCACCUCCCGAGAUAGCCGACCCUUCUCCUACUGAGGCCGUUGACCUUCCUAAUCCUUAGGUCUAUUUUUGUAAAAACUCUAGAUUGUUAUUCGCUUUGUAAACAUUUGAACAUUUAUAAAUUUUUAAAUGCUCUCUAUUGGCUUUCUUGUCUGGUUUUGCUCACGGGUUGCUUCUGCAAAACAACUUGGCAAUUUAUCUGAUUUUGCCUGUUGGUUCUUUAGUGCAUUGAGCAGGAAUAGGCAUCCGUUUGCCUUAGCGAAAUUUUCGCAAAAUUGCCUGCUGGUCUUCGGUGACCGAGCAGGAUUGGACACUUAUUUGCCUUAGUAGAAUUGUCGUAAAUUUAACUGCUGCUUUUCGUUGACCGAGUAGAGGUAGGCACUUGCCUUAGUAGAGUUUUCGUAGCUUUAGCUGCUGAUCUUUUACUUCACCGAGCAGAAGUAGGCACCGAUUUGCCUUAGUAGAAUUUUCGUAGCUUUAGCUGCUGGUCUUACGUUGACCGAGCAGAAGUAGGCACUGAUUUGCCUUAGUAGAAUUUUCGUAGCUUUAGCUGCUGGUCUUACGUUGACCGAGCAGAAGUAGGCACUGAUUUGCCUUAAUAGAAUUUUCGUAGCUUUAGCUGCUGGUCUUACGUUGACCGAGCAGAAGUAGGCACUUAUUUGCCUUAGUAGAAUUUCCGUAGCUUAAGCUGCUGGUCUUUCGUUGACCGAGCAGAAGUAGGCACUGAUUUGCCUUAGUAGAAUUUCCGUAGCUUAAGCUGCUGGUCUUUCGUUGACCGAGCAGAAGUAGGCACUGAUUUGCCUUAGUAGAAUUUUCGUAGCUUUAGCUGCUGGUCUUUCGUUGACCGAGCAGAAGUAGGCACUGAUUUGCCUUAGUAGAAUUUUGGUAGCUUUAGCUGCUGGUCUUUCGUUGACCGAGCAGAAGUAGGCACUGAUUUGCCUUAGUGAACUUUCAAGAAUUUAGCUGCUGGUCUUUCGUUGACCGAGCAGAAGCAGGCACUGAUUUGCCUUAGUGAACUUUCAAGAAUUUAGCUGCUGGUCUUUCGUUGACCGAGCAGAAGCAGGCACUUGCCUUAGUGAAAUUUUUAUUGAUCUUGCUAGCAGGGGGAUUUCAUGUUGAAUUCAUCUUUAUUGAAAUUUGAAUGUAUUACAAAAAACAUAGAAUAUAUGCAUGUGCGACAGGCCAUCGGGCAUUGUAACAGAAAUAACUUGCCAGAGUGAGGAUUUAAUAGAGCAUUUUGCUUACUGGAAAUACUUCUUCAGGUGUUCGGCGUUCCAUGACCUCUUCACGUCUCGUCCGUCUUGGCACGCUAAUUUAUAUGCUCCUGGUCCAGUGGCUCGUAUCACUCGGUAUGGGCCUUCCCACUUUGGGCCAAGAGCGCCAUGGUUAGGAUUCCUGGUGUUCUGGUUCACCUUCCUAAGUACCCAAUCUCAUGCUCGGAACUGCCUCACGCGUAAAUUCUUGUUGUAAUAACGCAUGACCCUUUGCUGACAUUGGGCCACUUUCUGCGAGGCCUCUUCCCUUUUCUCCUCCAGCAGGUCUAGGCUUAAGCAGAUCUGCUCGUCAUUUUGCUCCUCAACGAAAUGUUCUGUUCGAUGUGUCCCCACUCCAAUUUCCGCUGGGGCUACCGCCUCAUGACCAAAAGCUAAAGCAAACAGGUUUCCCCUGUGGCGGUUUUGUGGGUUGUCCGAUAGGCCCAUAAUACCCCUGGUAGUUCGUCAACCCAAGCUCCCUUCUUCUCUCCCAAUCUAGUUUUCAAGAGCUUCUUUAUUACUUUGUUAGCUGCCUCCACUUGUCCGUUUGCCUGGGGGUGCGAGGGGGUGCAAAACUUCAGGUCCACCCCCAGAUUCCGACAAAAUUCUCUGAAGUUGUUGUUGUCAAAUUGCCUCCCAUUGUCGGUAAUAAUGGCAUAAGGGAUUCCGUAUCUGCAGAUGAUAUUCUUCCAAAUAAAAUCUGUUGUCUUUCUUUCCGUGAUUUGGCUGAGGGUCCCCACUUCUAUCCACUUGGUGAAGUAGUCUAUUGCUACAAUCGCAUGGGUUGCCGCUCAUCGGCCUUUCGGUAACGGACCAAUCAGUUCUAUUCCCCAUUGAGCAAAUGGCCAUGGGGAUGUCAUAGUAGUCAGCUUUUCUGGGGUUGUGUGGGAACCUCUGAAAAGCUUUGGCAGAUAUUGCACCUCUUUGUCAUCCAUUUUGCAUCCUGGUGCAUGGUCGGCCAGAAGUAUCCUUGCCGGAGUGCCUUGAAGGCUAAAGCUCUGGCUCCUGAAUGAUUUCCACAUAUCCCUUCAUGAAUCUCCCUUAGUACAUAGUUUACCUCCUCGUCAUCCAAACAUCUCAAAAGGGGUAAGGUGAACCCUCGGCGGUAUAACACUCCAUCUAGUAGCGUGUACCUCGCUGCUCGGCAUUUUAACUUUCUUGCUUGCCUUUUGUCUUUCGGUAAAACUCCGUCGCGGACAUACGCGCAAAUCGGGUCCAUCCAGGAUUCUCCAGCGCUUACUCUCAUCACCUCUACUUCCUCCCCUAUACUCGGCGAGGUCCUCACCUCUAGUGGAACCGACUUAGGUAAUUUUGGAUCUGCAAUUGCAGCCAUCCUAGCCAACAUAUCCGCUCGGUAAUUCUCAUUCCGAGAUAUCUGCUUUACUUCCACCUCUUGGAAAAGCCCGACCAUCUGCUUCGCUUUUUUUAAAUAAAGACCCAUCUUCUCUCCCCUUGCUUGGAACUGAUCAUUGAGCUGAUUACAUACCAAUUGGGAAUCUGCUCGGAUUUCUACCCUUUCUGCUCUCAAAGCGUGUGCAAGCCCGAGCCCGGUGAUAAAGGCUUCAUACUCAGCUUGGUUGUUUGUGAGCUGAAAUUCGAACUUCACCGCAUAUGUUAUCUCGGUUCCCUCUGGGCUUCGUAUUACAACUCCUGCUCCGGAUCCUUGCUCACUACAUGAUCCGUCAACCAUUACCAGCCAUAUCCCCUUUGAAUCAUGUUGCUCUGCCGGUUGUUCCUCUUGGACCUCUUCCCCCGGUUCAACACGGUCCACCAUAAAAUCUACCAGGGCUUGGGCCUUGAUUGCUCCUCGGGGCCUGUAGGACAGGUCAAAUUCGCUCAGCUCCAUGGACCAUUUUACUAACCGACCAGACACAUCUGGUUUUUGAAACACUUGCCGAAGUGGCUGGUCAGUCAUCACAACGAUCUGGUGGGCUUGGAAGUAUGGUCGGAGUUUGCGUGCUGCCGUUAUCAAAGCCAGCGCCCACUUCUCCAUUAGCGGAUAUCUGGUUUCUGCAUCCACCAGGGCCUUGCUUGUGUAGUAUACCGGGUGUUGCUUCCCUUCUUCUUCCCUGACUAAGACCGAGCUGGUAGCCUGCUUAGAGAUUGCCAAGUACAAGAGCAGCUGAUCACCCUCUCUCGAAGUUGAUAGUAACGGGGCGCGGGCUAGGUAUUCCUUCAGCUGUCCAAAUGCCCCCUCGCAUUCCGGUGUCCAUUCUAGCUUCUUCCCUUUCUUUAUGACUUGGAAGAAAGGGUGGCACUUAUCAGUGGCUCGCGAAAUGAAUCGGUUCAAUGCUGUCAAUUUCCCCGUAAGGCUCUGCACCUCCUUAACUGUUCGUGGGGACCUCAUUUCUAUUACCGCCCGUAUUUUUUCUGGGUUGGCUUCAAUACCCCGAUGGCUCACCAGGUAUCCCAAAAAUUUGCCCGAGCCGACCCCAAAUGCACAUUUCUCCGGGUUCAGCUUCAUUUCGUACCUCCUCAGCAAUUCGAAAGUCUCCUCCAAGUGCUUCACAUGAUCUCUCGGGUCUCUUGACUUGGUGAUCAUAUCGUCCACAUAUACUUCCAUAGUGUGACCGAUCAAUGGUUUGAAGACCUUGUUCACUAACCUUUGAUAGGUAGCUCCUGCAUUUUUCAGGCCAAAGGGCAUCACCCUGUAACAAAACAGACCCAUGUUAGUUAUAAAGGUGGUGCUUUCCUCAUCCUGCUCGUUCAUGGGUAUCUGGUUGUAUCCGGAGAAGGCAUCUAUGAAACUGAGCAGACUAUGACCCGCGGUUGAGUCCACCAACUGAUCUAUUUUUGGUAGGGGAAAUCUAUCCUUCGGGCAUGCCUUAUUAAGGUCCGUGAAGUCUACACACAUUCUCCACUUCCCAUUGGCCUUCUUUACCAGUACCACAUUGGAAAUCCACUCCGGGUACUUGGCUUCCCUUAUAAAUCCUGCUUUUAGCAGCUUUUCCACUUCGGCAUUUAUGGCCUCGUACCUUUCAUGAUUGAAGCACCUCCUUUUCUGCCUCACCGGCCUUGCCCCUCUCUUGACCGCCAGCUUGUGACAAGCUAUCCCGCGGUCAAUACCUGGCAUAUCCUCAUGAGACCAGGCAAAUAUGUCUGCAUGGGACUGUAGACACUUCACCAGCUCGGCCUUUAUUGCUUCGCCCAAUUCUGAUCCGAUCUUAACAACUCUGCUAGGGUCACUCCUGCUUACAACAACUUCCUCCAGCUUCUCAACAGGUUCCUGACGACCAUUUUUUGAAUCCCCUCGGUUAUCUAGAGAGGUAACCUGCAGCGUUUCCUUGGCCGCUGUAGCAUAGCAGCUCCUGGCCAUUCUCUGGUCGCCCUUUACCACACCCACAACUCCAUUUAUUCUGUACUUCAUCGCCAGAUAAUGCGUGGACAUUACACAUUGGCUUAUCCUCAUGAACGGUGUCCCCAAUAUCAUCUGGUAAGGACUUCUUUCCUCUACCACUACAAAGUCCAACAUCAUCGUUCUUUCAAAUGGCUUUGUCCCCACAGUAAUCGGGAGUUCAAUGACCCCCAUGGGAGUUAACCGUCCCCCUCCAAAUCCCUUCAAGGAUGUAUUCGUUCGCUCCAGCUUGAAGUCUAAAAUCCCCAUAUCAUCUAGGGCCGACUUAAACAGAAUGUCUACUGAGCUGCCCGUAUCUACCAGUAUUCGUCGCAAUUCUGUACUGGCCACCAAUGCUUUAAUCACCAGUGCAUCCUCGUGAGGGUACAAAAUGCCCUCUUCGUCGUCCUCUGUCCACAUAAUAGGAACUUGCCGCACUUUUGCCCUAUUGGCUACUGGCAAAUUGAGAAGCACUUCCUUGCCAGUCAUGGCAUAUCUCCUAUAGUUUUUUCGUGCUCUGUUUGAAUCCCCGGCCAAUGUUGGCCCUCCUGCUAUCACCUGGAUAGUCGGCUGUUCUCGUUCCAAACCCCUUUCAACUCCUUCAUCCUGUGCAUAUUGCGACUCACUGACGGGCGACACUCUAUCUACGUACUCACCCAAGUACUGGUUCCUCACCAAAUCCUCCACCUGAAUCCUUAGGUCACGGCAUUGGCUGAUGGUAUGACCGUGAGUAUUGUGAAAUUUGCAGAACCUGCUCUUAUCACGCCGGUGAGCGGGUUUCGUUAUAGGGGCCGGAGUAUACAGCAGUCCUCGUCCCUCGAUCCUUUCAUAUAGUUCCUCCAUGGAGAUUUUUAAUGGAGUAUAUUGUCUAUAUGCCGCGCUCUGGUCAACCAACUGAACUGCUCGGCUAUGAUGGAUGUCACCUCGGUCUGGUAUAGCCGGUAGCUGCUCUGGUCGGCCAGACCUGUAAUUAGUUGCAUUUACCGCUCUGGGGGUGCUGUGAUAAGGGUGAGCAGUCAUCUGCCUGAAUUCUCGCUGCCGCUCUGGGAUCGGGGGGCGCGGAGGUUGAGCCCGGCUGUGUUGGAACUGUUGUGCUCUCUGAGCUAUGGGGUAAGGGCGAGACCGAACUGAUAUUCCGCCCAUCCCUGAAGAUUCUCCAGUUCGCUUUCCCGACCCGCUCCCUUUCGGGGCUCUCCGUUCCCUUCGCCUCAGCUCUUCUAGCUGUUCACUUUUAAUUCUUGCUGAUUUCUCCUCUUCUAUUUCUAUAUCUCAUCUCGCCUGCUCAUACCCCGACGAGUAAUUCUGUACGAGGGGGCUUCUUAAGUUAUACCACAAUCGGCCGAUUCUUACACCUUCUUUUAAUCCCCUCAAUGCCUGCGGGUGAUUAAAAGCUCCCAAAUCCAGCACGGCUCGGUGAUAUCGUUUUACGAAAUCUCGAAGGGAUUCAUUCUCCUCCUGCUUCAUCCCCAUCAAUUCCAUCAUGUCAUCCUCUGGGGCCACUGCCCCUCGGAACUGCUCGGCCAACUCCUGGCACAUCUGCUCAUACCCCUUUAUUCCUCCUCGGGGCUGCUUGCGGUACCAUUCUCGGGCUCGUCCCUCUAGUGUCAACGGGAACACCCUGCACCUCUGAGCUGGUGUCAGCCCCUGCACACCCGUCAUGUCGUUGAAACGCUCAAUGUGCACCAACGGGUCACUUCGCCCGGAGUAUUUGAGGUCGGGGAAGCGGAAAUCUCUUGGGAUUAUGGUACUCAUGAUCUUAGUUGAUAACGGGGAUUCUUCAUCUAGCAUUAUCCUCCAGCUCGGGGGCUUUCUCUUGCCCUGCAUCUCCUCUAUCACCUGCGCCAAUCUGCGCACCUCCCCCUCCAAUUCUAUAGCACGAUCAGGAUCAUGUGCAGCUAUCUGGUCUCGCUCCUGCUCGACGUUCUGCAACCGCUGUCUGAGCUCUCCUUCAUCAACACUGGCCCCUCGGCCAUUUAUUUCCAGUACCCGUCUGGGGCGAGGUUGGUCUCUCCCUUCAUCCACGUGUUCCCCUGGGACCCGACCAGUACUUCGGUGAGGAUGCACUCCGUUAGGUUGGUCUGCGGGCGGGGGGAUUUCCCCGACCCUACGCCCCCGGAGGCUGGGUUCUGCUCCAACUCCAUCUCUUCCCACGGGGGUUUCACAAUCCCUUCUCUGCUCGUCCCUCAGCUCAAACAAUACAGCCGCGAGAGUCUCCAUUUGUUUCUCCAUCUGCUCCAGUCUAUCUUGCAUCAUCCUCUCUCGGGCUUCAUUUGCAAUCUCCCGGAGAGUGAUUGUCUCCACCGUUUCAUUGCCCUCCCUUAAAGUAUCCUUUCUUGACGCAUCCAUAUCCAAUCGUUCGCUGCUUCUCCGGUACUUACUAAUUUGGUGGUAGCUUUUUAUUCAGCUCCCCACAGACGGCGCCAAAAUGUUGAUGCCAAAAUCGGCUCGUCCUUGGACCGACCAGAUUCGUUCACCAACGUUUAAGUUAUCCACUGCUGCACGAACCGCUAAGGCUGGAAUUACCCUCCUUUCUCUCACUAGACCUGCGUUCACCAAAAACAGAUCAGAGAUGCCGGUGGUUUUGCCGGCGUAAACCCUCCGAUGCCUAAGUUAGCACAAGGUGUUUACGGGAAAACAGUUAAAUUUUGAUUCAAGAGUGGUUCUAAUUUGCUCGAAGUUUGUAAUAAAAUUGCCUGGUUUCAAUUUGGCAGCGUUUUCCCUCUCCCAGUUUUGUUAUCUCCGUCUUCAUCGAUUUCUUCUUCUUUUAUAGCUGCUGUUUGUCCCACGUCUUCCGCUUACCCUCUAUCCCCCCUUUUCUCGGGUUGUGGCAGCCCCUCAUGGGGCUCUGACUGUUGCAUUGUGGCAAACGUGGGAUCUUAUGUGUCCUUCAACGGUUCCGGGAAAGGCGCAGCAGCCGCGAUUCUGUGGGAUCGUGUUCCCGCUUUUCUGGGGAGUGUGUAUCGGUUCGGUAUUAACAUCUGGUCGGCAUACGCUCCCGUGCUCUGCUCGUACCCACGGCUGAGGUGAUCCAUGCCGGGGUGGAGGUAGUAGCAUGGUCGACCUGGUGCUUUUAUUAACUUAACACUAACGACUACAAAUUUUUUUUAAAAAUCAAAUAGCUACUGAUCAACUGUGCAAUUGCUUUAUACAAUUAGGGUUCUUGCCUUAAUGAUGUCAUGGAGAUGGGUGAAUCAAUGGCCACCAGGCACCAAAUUCAUGACCAAUCAAUGACCAACAAGCACCAAAGUAAUGCCAAGCACACCAACAACCACCGAUUAAUGGCAAGCUUAGUGUUUAGAAUUUGGAGAAGCACUUGGUACUGUAUCGAGGUAUUAAAUCAUCAAAAACCAAUUUGGUUUGGACUCUUCAAUUUCAACUUGACUCCUACACCAAAGCCGCCCAACAACAACUCAACAACCGAAUCACUCGUCCUAAUAGCAUAACAAUCCAGUCGUCAGUUGCCUGCACAUGAGAGACCAUUUUCUAAUUUAUGAUCGAAAUUGUUGAAUUAAUUUUACAAUUCUCUUGUACCAAUUUUCAUCAUAUAUGUUGCCUCAAGAAGUGAAGAUUGAUGUCGGAAUCACUUUCAGUUUCAAUUACAUGAUGUUUGCGAUCUUCUUAUACCAAUUCGGUUUACAGUUGCCUUAAGUAUCCAUGUCCGUCAAAUCUUAUCUAUAUUAAAGUAACCGCCUAAACUGUUAACCAGUGGCUGUUUGAUUUUAAAAAAAUAUUUGCAGCCGUUAGAUUGAACAAUAAAGCAUCCGACGGCUCUGCCAAAUAGAGACAAAAAGUGUGGUAUAGUGCAACUGUUGUAACAUAGGUGGAUCCUCAUCAAUAUAUCUCGAGACUUUGUAAAGUUACUAUGAAAAUCCAUCACAGCUGUAGUUAUUAUGAUUUAUUUGGUCCAAAUAGUCUAAUGCCAGUGGCGUGACCUCGUGGGUCCUCAAAUUAUUCAAAUGGGCAUUUCAUCGAAUAGUUGAUAUACUCGGCAUCUGCAAUUGGAAGACACGUUCAAAAACUCUAAAUCAUGUUAAAGUCAACCAGAAAGACGAAACAUAGAAAGCAACAAUCCAACAACUUGUUUAAAAUAUUCGCUUCAACAAAUGGUUGCGUUGACGUGUAUUUUGGGGGAUCAUCAAAUAUAAACAAAGACCAUGUUAAAGACAAGCAAAAGCUGGCGAGAUUGGUACUGAUAUACUAAAAGAAAGACUAAUAAAGCUUUCCUAGCGGCAUCACUCGUGAUUAUUUGAUAAACUAGCGGUAAUAAAUGAUUAUAUUUUUAGUGGAUAACAGAGUACGUUACAAGAGCUGAUAACUGAUCGCUUUCUUUAUUUUUUGUCAAUAUUCAAGCAAAAAUACAAGUCAAUCAAAAUAACGUACCAUAUUAACAUUAAAUAAACAGAGAGGGAUAAGCUGGGCCAAGUCUUUAAAUCAGCUACGUCAUGGAAGAUUAAAAAAAUAGAUCAACUAGAAUAUAAUAUAAUGCUCUCACAUUUAAUUAAUUAGGAGGCUAAUGCACUAUAACUCAGCAUUAAUCAAAAUUAUUUCAUAAACUAGUAUAUACUGGAUAUCUCGAUCGGUGCAAAACCGAGUACUGAGAGAUAAAAAUUAACCUGGUGUCUUUGGCAGGUCUUUAAUAUAAUUGCUAAGCUUGCCCCAUGCCAUUGCCAACUUUGGCCAUCGGCUAGCUGCUACUUAUGAAGCAACUCAAGGAAACAUAAAGCAGCCGUCGUAAGAUCAAGCACAACAAGUGUGAUCACUGAUCAUGCAUCCAGGACAAUUUUAUAUUUAUUCAAUUUCAAUAAUCAUAAUAUACUAUUGAAUUAUAGACCAGGAUUUCUAUUUUUAAGAAUAUAAGACACAAGCACGAGCAUAUUCGCGCAUCUUUAAUAAAUUUAUUGGGACACACUAUUUCUGCUUAUUGAAGAAAAUCAAGAAAUGCUGAUUCCACCGUGCAUGGUUUAAUGUUAAUUAAAGUUUAAAGGGAUCAGAUUCAUAUUCAUUAAUAUGCUUUUAUACGAAUCGUUCUGUUUGAAUAUAAUAAUGGUUUCAGAAAUGCAUACCUGUUAAUUCUCCAUUUCUUGUCUCCGAGGAAAGUUUGACUUCAAGCAAUGUUAUAAGAGGUUUAAUUGUGGGUCAAUUUCUUGCGAGCAUUUCAACAAACAGGUGAUAUGCAUGCACAUCUCCUACGCUAUCACUGCCAUACUUGCCCUGUAGUUGCUUCCAGUUGUAACAGGAUGCUGACAUGUCAUCAUACUUGGACAGAUCUUUAGAGGCCAUUCUUCGAAGCGCUUGAUGAUGCAAACACGUGAGGACAAAUCAUGCACGUAUGAUAUGUGUUUAUUAAUUAAAUAUAACUAUUAAUUACAAGAUUAUUUUUUUAAAUAAAUACAUACAUGUCAUGUAUCUAUUAAUUAUAUAGAAAUAGAAUACAACAAAAUAUUUUUAGAAUCUGUGGGUGAACACAAUGUAAUUAUUAUAAUAAAAGAAAAACUUUAGAGCCUUUGGUGUACUCAUUAGUGAAAUUUGAGCAAAAGAAAAAUUCAUGUUUGUAAACCUCGAAACCACAAUAACCUUAAAUUUGAGAUCAUUAAUCAUUGAAUGUUUUGUUUGUAAUAUCAGUGGCAACACGUUUAAUGAUUUGAUUAAAUUUGUGUUUUGUUCUAUGAAUGAUUUCAUUCAUUUUUAUGAUUUUUUUGGGUUGACUCAACGGAACAACUAAUAAUUACCCAGUUCCAUAACCGUAAUUAUAACAGCGGCAAUUAGAUUUUUUUAUUGUUAUUAUUUUAAUGUGUAUUUUAUAGAAUAUAGAUAUUUUAGGCUAAUGAUAUUUAAGGGUGUUUUAAUUUAUUUUUUUUUUUAAGUUUCAAAUCACUUAACUUUUUUACCAAUCUAUUAAGGGUCCGCCUAAGUUACGUUUAAUGUAACUUACGGCUUGGCCCUAAAAUUUUGGCAACUACUCACUUCAAUGGACUGAAGUUGUUAUUGCUGGACAAAAGGAAAAAGAGCGGGUUCAAUAGAUGAGUUGUUCCCAUUGAAGCUAUCAAAGAAAGAAAAGGAAAAAGAGCGGCUGCAAAAGGGAGGAAAGUGGGAGGAGUUGAAAGGCUGUCACAGUAAAUUGAUCGCCUUGUUGAUACUGUGGAAAUGGAGGUCGAAUUCAAGAAGAAGAUCAUGGUAUUAAUGUUCCUAAAGGUAAAGGUCGAGAGAUGGGGAGAUUGAGAAAUAAUAGUGCUGCAAGUUUAAUGAGUGGACAAUAUUGUAGUUAUAUAUAUAUAUUUUUUUACACACAUGUAUAAAAUAUUUUAUUUUUAUGAGCUACUUCGAUUGCAAUAGUUUUAUGUACAUAAAAGUUUACAUAAAGAUUAAAUUUUUGCAUUUUCUUUUUGCACUUAUUUAUCAAUCAAUUUAAUAAUAUGUUAGCAUUUGUGCACAUUACAAACUGCAUAACAAUUUUUUUAGUUAAAAAAAAAUUAAAGUUAGUUUUAUUGCAAAUUAAAAUAGUUAAUAAAAAUUAUAUAAGUAUGUAAUAAAGAAAAUAGAAUAUACUCUUUAAAAAUCCAGUAAAUAAAAAAAUGAUGUUAAUAAUAAUAUUCUAAAUAAACUACAAAUAAACAAACAAGUACAUUUUUAUUAUUGCACAUGAAUAUUACACUUUGAAUUUUCACUUAUCAAAUUUGUAUAGUAGAUUAUUUGAAAAAUGAUUGUCAAAUAAUCAUCAUUUACCAAACACCCUACUAAAUUAUUCGUGAAAUUAAUUAUUGGGAAGUAAAAGAAAUCCCCAAUGUACCCUCAAUCAAUCACAAGAAGUUAUUUAAGUUAUGAUAUCUAAUGAAUUCUAUUAAUAGUGAGCGUGUUUAUCAAAAAUAUAAAAAUAAAUAUUUUAGUUAUUAUCCACCUGUUUUCCUGAAAUCAUUCCCAAUUUUUUUUCGUUUGCCGAAAAUUCCAAGGAAAAUAUAAAAAGAAGAAGAGUUGGGGGAAAAAAGAAAAGGAAGGAAAAACAGGUUCCUCUGUUUUCAUUCCCCUGUUUUGAAAUUAUCUAUCAUCGAUAUAAUUUAAUCCCCCUGUUACUAAAGGAGAAUGGUUCAGAUUAGUUGCCUGGACUCGCUUAUCUUGAUCUGGGUGGUCAAACCCGCCCAUCAGGAGGAUUCAGAUUUUGAAUUACCUGUCAUAAUUUGUUUUCCCACCUAAGCAUCUUGAGCAUGCUUAUUAAAAGAAUUGUUGUUCCACUCGUAUAGUCAAUGGAUUCCCACCUACGCGUUUGCUUAUUAAAAGAAUUAAUCUUGCUUUUCUAGGAAAAUAAUGCAAUACGCAUGACGGUACGUGUCCAUGUGAGAAAGUUGAUGAAAUCUUCACUUUCAGUGUUGGAACUCCACAAUCGAAACAAUCAAUACGACAAUUUUUCUCCAUCGUUUCAAUCUUAAUUAAAUAGAAAACAAGUACGGUCAAAUAAAUUCUGGUCUACCAAUUUAAUUAGUAUAAACAUAUGGAUCCCAUCAUUAAUAUUAUAAAUAUGUGGGUAUUUUUAAUUAUUACAUUAUAUGACUAUUUACAGAUUGCUUUCAUUAUGUCAUAUUAGGUAAGGAGAUUCCCCUUAAAAAAACAAAAAGAGGGAGAGAUUCCCUCUUCGGCGAAUGAAAAUAAAAGAAAUUAAAAAUAAAAUAAGACUUGGUAAAUUUCGCUCUUUUUUUCUCUUUUUGCUGUUGGCAUUUUAUUCAUAAAAGAAAUGAUCACAAGUCAUUCAAUAAAUAUUAAGGGCUGCAUGAUUAAGUCUUCUUCUUUUCCAAAUCAUUGUCAUUACUCUCAUAAGCUCUCUAUAAUCACAUUCCUCUGCAGGUAACAGAAAUUUUUUGUUCAUUGAAAUUGCUCUUAAAUGUUCAAGGCGAUCACAGAGGCUCAUCAACUUUCUGACCCCACAUAAUUAAACAGGUGCACUUGUUCUAAAACCUUCAAUUAAUUUCUUUUAAUAGCAUAAUCUCUAAUGCUUGAUCUUUAUAGCAUUUCUUUCUUAAUUUCCAUCCACUUUCCAAGAUAAAAAUUAUGUGGCUUGUUUUGCUUGAGUUUUGUAGUUAUUGUUCAUUUAUGGUAAAUUUAUGGUUGUUUUUUUUUUAAGACGCUUGAAGUAGGUUUUGUUAAUAGCAAAAACUCUGAUCCUUAACAAAGAAGAAAAAAUGUUGCGAUACUGUUUACUGUCUUUUCCUUUUUUGUCUUUCCCUCUAGUUCAUUUUAAUUUAUUUGAAUUCCUUUCUUUGACAUUUUAUUAGAUUUGUUAAGCAGCAGGCAAUGGCAGAGGUGGGUCUUGCAGCUCUCUCCAGCAUCGUAUCAGAAGGUGCAAAUUCACUGUUCAAAGCGAUUAUACGGCAGAUAUCUUAUGUGUUCAGGUACCAGAGCUACAUAGAUGGGCUAAAAGAUCAAGUGAAGCAGCUGGGAUAUAAAAGAGAAAUGGUGCAGCAACCAGUUAAUCAUGCUAGGCUACAAGGGGAUGAGCUUUAUGAGGGUGUCACAGACUGGCUACAUAACGUUGAUGAAUUCAUCAGUGAAGGGGUUGCAAAAUCCAUCAUUGAUGAUGAAGAUAGAGCUAAGAAGUCCUGCUUCAAAGGGUUAUGCCCAAACUUGAUUUCUCGUUACAAGCUUAGUAAACAAGCAGCAAAGGCGGCAGAAGCUGCCGCUAGUCUCGUGGGAAAAGGCAACUUCUCCAAUGUUUCCUACCGUCCUGCUCCAAAGCUGGCAGAACAUAUGCAAGUGAAAGAUUUUGAGGCGUUUGAUUCAAGAAUGAAAGUAUUUCAAGAUGUUGUGGAGGCAGUGAAGGAUGACAAGGUCAACAUAAUUGGGGUCUAUGGGAUGGGCGGCGUGGGCAAAACCACGCUGGUCAAACAAGUUGCAAACCAAGUGAUGGAAGAUAAGUUGUUCGAUAAGUUCGUUAUGGCUGAGAUAACACAGACCCCAGAUUAUCAUAAAAUUCAAGACAAACUUGCUUUUGAUUUAGGCAUGGAAUUUGACUUGAAUGAGAAUGAAUUUCAAAGAGCUUCUCGACUGUGUCAAAGGUUGAAGCAAGAGAAGCGGCUCCUCAUUAUACUGGAUAAUAUUUGGACAAAACUUGAGUUCGAUACAGUUGGAAUUCCUUAUGGGGAUGUUGAUGAGAAAGAUAGAGAGGACGAUCGGAGAAGUCGCACAAUAAUAUUGACGUCUAGAAGUCGAGAUUUAUUGCGCAAUGAUAUGAAAUCUCAAAAGGAUUUCUCAAUUGAAGUUUUAUCCAAGGAAGAAGCAUUGCAAUUGUUUGGAAAGAUAGUGUGUAAUUCUGCAAAAGCAUCUGCUUUUCAACCUUUAGCAGAUGCGAUCGUUGAAAAAUGCGGAGGAUUGCCUGUUGCACUGAUUACACUUGCAAAAGCUUUGAAAAAUGAGAGCUUUGACACUUGGAAGGAUGUGCUGCGUCAGCUAAGAAGUUCCUGUGCAAAAGAAAUUGAUGGAAUGGAAAGAAAUGUGUACACCUCCAUAAAAUUGAGUUACGACUUGUUGGGAAAUAAGGAAGCAAAAUCUCUGUUCCUUCUUUGUGGUCUAUAUACUGAAGGUGAUGUCAUACACGUUUCUGACUUAUUGAGAUAUGGUAUGGGUAUGGGCUAUUUUAAAAACGUUUACACGCUGGAAGAAGCAAGGAGUAGAGUGCAUACGUUGAUCGGCAAACUCAAAUCUUCAUGCUUAUUGUUGGACGGUGAUGCUGAAGAUGAAGUUAAAAUGCAUGACAUCAUUCAUGCUGUUGCUAUAUCAAUUGCAGAAGAGGAGCUCAUGUUUAAUAUUCCAAAUGUUGCCUACGUGGAGAAAAAGAUGGAAGAGACAAUACGGGAUGGUCCAAUAGCUAUUUCUUUACCUUAUAGAGAUAUUCAAGAGCUUCCCAAAAGGUUGGAAUGCCCCCGUCUCGAGUUACUUUUGUUGUUUUCAAAGCGUUAUAGCUCUUUGCAAAUUUCAGACCUCUUUUUUCAAGGGACAGAAGAACUCAAAGUUUUAGAUUUUACUGGAAUAUUUUUCUCUUCAUUACCUUCAUCACUUGGUUGCCUCAUUAACGUUCAAACAUUAUGUUUAGAUGGUUGCCGACUGAACGAUAUAACUGUAAUUGGACAGCUAAGGAAAUUAGAGAUUCUCAGCUUCCGAGAUUCUGAUGUCAAGGAGUUGCCACUUGUAAUUGGACAAUUGACGAGAUUACAGUUGCUAGAUUUGAGCAAUUGUAGCAGCCUUGUGGUGAUAGCUCCAAAUGUCAUAUCAAAAUUAUCUCGAUUAGAAGAACUAUAUAUUGGUAACAGCUUUUCACAGUGGGAGAAGGUUGAAGUAGGAAGUAACGCCAGUCUUGCUGAAUUGAAUGGGCUGUCAAAGCUAACUACUUUGGAGAUACACGUUCGGCAUGCCGAAAUUCUACCGCGGGAUUUGGUCUCUGUGGAAUUGCAAAGCUAUAGGAUAUGUAUAGGAAAUGAGUGGUGGAGCAGCUGGUCCGUUAAAUCUGGAUUAUCAAGAUUGAUGAAGCUCCAGGGGCUAGUAAAGUUUGGCAUUCUUUUGCAGAAUUAUAGGAUGAAACUGUUGUUGAAGAGAACUGAAUAUCUCUAUCUAGAAGAACUGAAGGGUGUUCAGAAUGUUGUUCAUGAAUUAGAUGAUGGGGAAGGUUAUCCACGAUUGAAGCAUCUUUCUGUAGAAAGAUGUUAUGAGAUUUUGCAUAUUGUCGGUUCAGUUGGACGGGUUCGUCGUAAAGUCUUCCCCUUGCUGGAGUCAUUGUCUCUUAUUGAUUUGAACAAUUUGGAGACAAUAUGUGACAGCCAACUCACAGAAGAUCAAUCUUUCAGCAACUUAAGGAUUAUAGAAGUAAAAUCCUGUCACAAAUUGAAGCAUCUUUUCUCAUUCUCCAUAGCCAAAAACCUAUUGCGGCUUCAAAAUGUAGAAGUGGAUGAUUGCGAUGAUCUGGAAAUGAUUUUUGGUAAGUGUUGAAAUUAAGAAUUGGUGGGAUAAUGGACUUCGCCUCAAUUAUUUUGAAAAAAAAAAACAACAAAGAUUAAUUAUGUAUAUAUUGUUUUUGUUUGUUUAUAGGACCCGACAGGGAGAAACCAACAACUUCUUUGGGAUUCAACGAAAUCAUUGCUGAUGAUGAUACUGCUCCAAAGGUGAUAAUUUUCUGUUCAAUAAUUAAUUGAUUAAUUUAUUAUCACCAUUAAUCUUCGAUCAUCAAAAGAAUAUUAUACUGGACGGUUGUACUUGAAGGAACAAAAAUGUACGGGUUUUCUUUGCAGGUUAUUCUUCCGAGGUUAGAGGAAUUGAAUCUCGCGCAUUUAAGAAACAUCAAAAAAUUAUGGGCCGAUCAUAAUCAAGGAAUGUACUGUUGUCAAAAUUUAACAAAAGUGACUGUGAGAUGGUAUUAUCGUCUGAAGUAUCUGUUUUCGUAUUCUAUGGUUAAUAGUCUUUUGCAACUCCAACAUCUUGAGAUAAGUUAUUGUUCGUCAAUGGAAGGGGUAGUCGACACCACGGGAUGGUUAGGAAGGGAUGAAGGAAAGUUGAUUGAAUUGAAGGUUUUUCCUAAACUACACUCCCUCAAGCUCUCUCAUCUUCCAGAACUAACAAGCUUUGCCAAUACGGGACAUAUUCAUUCAGAUUUAGUUGUUGAAUUCCCUUCAUUGCUAAACCUGAAGAUCCAUUGUUGCACUAAUAUGUUAAGAUUUAUCUCUACAAGCUCACCAGAAGACACCAUUCAUUCUGAAAUGCAACCUCCUCCUCUCUUUGACGAAAAGGUUUUUUUUUUUAUAAAAAAAAUAAUUUUAGUCACAAUACUUAAUUUGUCUUUUCCUUGAGUCUUCGAAUUUAGUUAAUACCUGCCUCUAAUUUAGUUAUCAAUUGAUUAUGCCAUUAAUUGAUUAAUUAGUUAUUUAAUCUUUAACUGCCAGGUACGACUUCCUAGGUUGGAGGUAUUAGAUAUUAAGUGGACGGAUAAUUUGAGAAGAAUAUGGCACCACCAGCUUGCUUCGGAGUCUUUCAGCAAAUUGAAGAAUUUAGAGAUAUUUGAGUGUAAUAACCUAAAGAAUAUUUUUCCUCCAUUGGUAAGGUUGCUGUAUUCAUUUCGAAUCUUUUUUUUUUUCAAAUUACAUCCAACAAUAUUUUAACCAUUUUUGGGUUUACAAAUGAUAUUCAGCCACUAAUUCUUUAUUUCAAGUAUUGUACUUCGAACCACCACUCUCAAAUCUACAUUUUAAGUCCAGUUUUUAGGUUCGCCAGCAUUACAAUCAACAAUAUAAUUUUUUUAAUCACGAUUCAACAGCAUAAUAUAAUUCAAUUUAAUUGUUUCUGCUCAUAUCUUAAUAAGUACAAUUUUCAACAAUUAAAGGAUAGUCACUCAUCUUAUAGGUUCACAAAUUCAUCUAUAUAUUUCUCUUUUCCUUAAUUCAUCUAUAACAGUCCCAUGUUGAUGGCGUUGGGAAGUGUUUUCCAGAAAUGUUUUCCAUUUUUAAAAGCAUGAAUAUCGGGAAAAAAUGUGAAAUACAGCGUUUUAGUUUAGUUAUUUUAAAAAUAGGCAUGUUUGAAAAUUAAAUUUUUUUAAAAAACUAGAAUCAAGAUGAAAAAUGAAUUUAGAAUAUUUAAAAAUUACCUGAAAUUCUUUCUCCGUUCCUAAUACUAAAUAGUGUAAAUACAUUUUCAUUAUCUUUGUUUUUCUGGACUUCUAUUUAUUUGUUUUUGUUUUAAUUUUUUCCUUUUUUCUUUAACAAAAAAUAUCUAGUAGACAUUCAUGGUUUGUUAUUUUUCAUAAAACAAUUGUAUGAUUUUGACAUACUUUGAAUCUAGUUGAAUGCUACUCUUUAUUUUCAGGUUGGAAUUCCCAAUAGUCUGGUGAAUCUUAAUGUAUCGGACUGCAAAAAAUUAGAAGAAAUCGUAGGACAUGUUGGAGAAGAAGCGAAGGAGAAUCGUAUUGCUUUCAACGAAUUAAAACUUUUGGAACUUGAUGAUUUACCAAGGCUUACCAGCUUUUGUUUGGAGAAUUACACUCUUGAAUUCCCAUCAUUGGAGCGAAUUUCUAUGACAGGUUGCCUGAACAUGAAGACUUUUUCUCAGGGAAUCGUAUCCACACCAAAGCUGCACGAAGUGCAGGUGAGUAAAAAGGAAGUAUUAAGUUUUAUAUGAAACUGUGAUGUUGUUUGGUUACUAAGAAAAUAGGAAGAAAGAAAACUUCUGUAAGCUGAGAAUUCUGUUAUUAUUGAUCUAAUGAAUCUGGAAAUUACAAGCCUUUUUAUAUGUGCAUAGAAGAUUCUACACACAUUGCACACACGCACAGUUUACUACUAACAACCUUUAGCUGACUCAGCUGCCAUGUCAGCAUACUCAUUAACUAACUAAUUCUAUUCUUAACAGGAAGAGGGUGAAUUGCGCCGUUGGGAAGGCAACCUUAAUUCCACUAUACAAAAGUGUUACAAAGAAAUGGUAUGUGUUAAAUCGAUUCGUCGAAAUUACUUAUGCAUCUCCCUUGCACUUGCACAUUUGAACAUAUACACCUGCCUUGUAUAUAUAGUUUUAGAAGUUAAAACACAAAACAUGUAAGUUUAAUGUAUAUAUAUAUCUAAUGCCUUUCAAAAAAAAAAUUUAUAUAUAUCCAGUGCAAUUGUUUUGGUUUGUGCAGAUUGGAUUCCAUGACAUACAGUAUUUGCAACUCUCACAUUUUCCACGUUUGAAAGAAAUAUGGCAUGGCCAAGCACUGCCUGUCAGCUUCUUCAACAAUUUAUUUAAGCUGGUGGUGGAUGACUGCACGAAUAUGUCGAGUGCUAUUCCUGCCAAUCUGCUACGUUGCUUGAACAAUUUGGAAUGGCUGGAAGUGAGGAAUUGUGAUUCACUAGAAGAGGUGCUUCAUUUGGAAGAGCUAAGUGCUGACAAAGAACAUAUAGGACCCCUGUUUCCUAAGCUUUCCGACCUAAGGCUCAUUGAUCUUCCAAAACUCAAAAGAUUCUGCAACUUCACUGGGAAUAUAAUUGAAAUGCCUGAGUUGGGAUAUCUAACUAUUGAGAAUUGCCGAGAUAUGGAAACAUUCAUAUCCAACUCUGUAGUGCACAUGACAACAGAUAACAAGGAACCUCAAAAAUUAACAUCAGAAGAGAACUUCUUGCUGGCUCAUCAAGUACAACCUCUCUUCGAUGAAAAGGUGAUUAUUGUUAUUAUUAUUAUUAUUUUUCCCUUCACUUUCGUUCGCAUAGAUGUAAUUUCAUUAGAAUCAAAUCAAAUUUAAUGACUCAUCUUUUUGCACGUCGUCUUAAUUUAUAUCUGAUUUAACAAUAUAACCUCCGUUAUUAACUAACUUUAUAGUAUGAAUUAUAAAAAUGUCUUAAAUUAAUUGGAUGCCUGAUAACACGAGGUGAUGAACUAUAUUAAUUAUGUGUAUUGCAUCUCUGUUUUCCUAGCUAAUUCAUAUUGGAUUUAGCAUCAGAUUUCAUUUAUGUGUUUCAAAGGGUAAUCGAUUUGAUACUUAUAUUUGGGAUCCUACUGCAAAGCAUACUAAUUUGGAAAUAAAAUAUAAAAUGCCGUGAUUAAUCUUGUCCAUAAAAUAUGCAGGGGAAGACUGCAGAGAUUGGAUACAUAUUUUCAUUUACAACUUAAUUUUGUUGAUUUUCAGGUUGCUUUCCCUCAAUUGGGGAAUUUAAGACUGUCUGGAUUACACAAAGUGCAGCAUCUCUGGAAGGAAAAUGACGAAUCCAACAAAGCGUUUGCAAACUUGGAAAGGCUAGAAAUAUCGGAAUGUAGUAAGUUGCAAAAAUUAGUACCACCUUCGUGGCAUUUGGAAAAUCUUGAGGCUUUGAAAGUAUCGAAGUGUCACGGGUUGAUAAAUAUGUGGACGCUCUCAGCAUCUAAAAAUCUAGUGAAUCUCGGAAGAAUGAUGAUAGCUGAUUGCAAAAUGAUAGAAGAAAUCAUACAAUUGCAGGUUGGAGAAGAAGUGAAAGGCUGCAUUGUCUUCGAGAAAAUGAACUACUUGACACUUGAUUGUUUGCCAAGCCUAACAAGCUUUUGUUCGAGUAAUUACACUCUUCAAUUCCCAUUCUUGCAAAAAGUUGUUGUGAGACAGUGCCCAAAGAUGAAGAUUUUCUCUCAAGGAGUCAUAGACACACCAAAUCUAAACAAAGUGAAACUCACCGAAGAAAAAGAUGAUGAUGAUGAAGGAUGUUGGGAAGGCAACCUCAAUGCACCAUAAAAAAAUUGUUCAAUGAAAUGGUGAGUAUCAAUUAAGUUUUGGUGCUAUUUAGCAAAUUAUUUUAUAGAAACUAAUGUGAUAUAAUAUGAUUGGUUGACUGAAAAUAUAUAAUAAUAAUAAUAAAUAAAUAAAUAAAUUAUGAGGGCCAUGUAAUGUUUUUGUUUAACCAAUCAUAUUAUGUCGCAUUAGUUUAUAUAAUAUUGUUUGUGCACAAGAGGUGGUGGUCAUAUCAUUACUCUAGCUUUAUUAUUCUUAUGGUGGCAAUGUAUGCUUGCUUACACGAGUAAUUUACAAAAUCUGCAGAAUUCUAAAGAAGAGAUUGAGCCAGCCCUUGAGGUACAGUGAAGAAGCUAUCUCGAACCAGGCCAAUCUCUUAUACAUGAUUCAGCUUGCUCGUUCUUCUGUACUUGAAUAAUCUGGUUCUAAACGUAUUUACAAUUUUUUGGUCAUGCUACAGACUUGCAAGACACUUUGGAUUUUGUUUGAUGCAUUCUCCGUUUAAGGAAGCACUUGAAUUGAUGUUUCAUGUUUCAUGCAAUAUCCAAUUAGAUUCUGACUAAAUUUCUGUGUUAUUUAUUCAAUUGGUCUUUUAAGCAUUUGAUUUCUAACCUGUCCUAAUAGAAGAUCAUUAUCUGAAGAAAACAGCAUAACAUUUGUGGCAUUAUGAGAAUAAGAAUUUUUUUGAGUAUAGUAAAAUUAUCUCGACCAUUGUUAAAAAGAAUUAAUCCGUCAAACUGACCUUCUCAGACCAGCACGCUUUAAAUUAAAAGAAUUUUGUGAAAGUCUAGACCAUGUUAUAGAUCUCGUGGAAAUAAGAAAACCCGUAAUUUUUUUCACAGCAUCAUAAGAAAAAAUCAUUUUUUUUUUAGUAUUUUUGUUAGCUGUUGAGUUUUAAUAGUAGUAGCUAUUAAACAAGAACAAUAUGUGUAUAUUAAAAAGUUGGAAACUGGUUGAUAGCACUUGGGAGUCGAGCAGUUCACUUGUUUGCGAGUAGAAACCAACUUUACUACUAAUUACACUCAUACAAAAAAUAGUAACUAAAGAAUCAGGAAAUUUCCUAUUCACUAUUCUUCAUUUUUUAAUGCAAAAUUCCCAUUCGAAAACACCAAUGACUUUCAUUCAAAGUAAAUGAGAAAUUACAAUGAAAAUAGAAUCAAAAUACAUGUAUGUAUACCUAAAACAAAUGAUUUUUUAAUUUAAAAAAAAAAAAACCCGGUUGAGGUGAAAUGAAACCAGAGUCAUGAUAUCUCUGGUUCCAACUUUGGGACAACAGCAGACUUGAGUUCUAUAUGAGAAACACGUACAGCACCAAUCAGCCGCUCCAGUAAUUCAUCUGUAGUAUUUGCCUGCAUACAAAAGAGCAAGAUAAAGAAGACACACACGAAGCAUUAUACCAUUCUGAGAACAUUCAAGUAUGCAAAAAUGCAAUUUAAAAUGCAAAUUGCAGUGCAAUAUCUCAAAAUCAUGUCUUUUCCCUUGUGUCCAUUUAGAAGUGGGGGAAAAAAACAAUCAUACAUACCUGUACAAGGAAAGCCAUGUCAACCACCAAUGUCGUAAUUACACCAAUUACAAGGCCCAAAACUCCAUUAGCAACAGUAGAAGAACCGAUGUCAACAUUAAUCUACAGAAAGAUGAACAAUGUUAAACCAUGUUAAUGGUAUCGGACGCUAUUUGAAAGGGGAACAAUUCAUCUGUAGUUACAAUCAACCGCUUUCACUAAUGAACAAGGGGUGCUUCCAACACUCUUGGCGCACGAUCCAUGACCCCUGCAUGAUUCAGUGCUUAAAAUCAAGAACAAGUGCAAAACAAAUUCAAGAGGGUAAAAUGGACAUGAAGUUUGAAGGUACAACCCAUCAAUACAUUUACACCUAAAUGCAUGCCUUCUUUGGACAAAUUGAAGUGUACCAUGCAGUAAAGGGUUAGUAUACGUUAAUAUAGUCCUAAUACAUGAAGGCCAAGAUGGAUACCUUAGGAACAGAUGGAAUCAGUUUCAACCUACUAUUGCGAAACUCAUCAUCGCCAUCAACAAACCGUUGCAAAAGUGAUCCCAUAACCAAUUGCCUUGCGACUAAAUAAAAUACCAUACUAUAAUGUGUUGAUCCAGGAACCUGCAGAUGCUUAGGUUACAACUAUACAACCUCCCAAUACAAUAAGUUUGAAACUUAAUACCUUCUGAAAUGAAACAAACUUACUUGAAGAUUAAAGAUCAGCGAGAAAAGCCCUUUUUCAGAAGCAACCUACAUUUUUUAGAAGAGGGUCAGUGUGUUAUAGAUUCAAUGAACCAUGAGAAGUUAUUUACAUUGUAGUAUCUCACAGGCAGUAUUUUCUCCUAAUGCAUCAAUGGAAAAGGAAAAAUAAAAAGAAAAGAAUAGUUACUUGUGCAGCACAGCCUUGACGCCUAGCUACAUGGUCCAUUCUCUUUGUGUCUUUGAACCAAUCAACAGCAACAAGAUCCAUUAAAUGUUUUCCCGCAGGUAUCUGCAGUUACAAAUUGCACAAAGCACAAGAAGAGCCAACCAAACUACAUCAUAACCUGUCUACCUAGCCUAUGCAGGAUAUAUAAAUACCAUAACAAACAAACAAAAUAUGGGGGAACCUUUGUUUUGUCAUAACAAAAAUGCUUGCUACGAACUCUAAAGUUAUUUCCAUCAGAAAGUUUCCAGCAGUCACGAGCAUUAUCACAGUCAUCGUGUCGUAGAUUGCCCGAAAAACAAGACAAAUCAAUUUGAUCAGCCUGCUCUUCCUCUAGGGCUGCAACUAAUUGAAAUUUUUUUUUAAAAAAAAAAGAUCAAUACCAUAAAAAUCCACUAGCCAAAUAUACAAAAAUGAAUACUUAUCAUCCACCUGUCCUCUUGAAAUCAUUCUCAAUCUUUUUUUCAUUUGCCUGAAAUCCCAAGGAAAAAUAUGUAACUAAUACUUCCCAUUCAUGAAUAUUGUCUAUCGUAUAAACAUGACAUUUUUAAUUGGAAUAAUAAAAUUAUUUAAUUAUUUUAAUUAAAUGUUAAUCCUACAAAUUAUUUUUGUUAAAUCUAGCAAGAAUAACUAAAAUUUCUUUAAGAUAUAUUUUGGUGGUAAAUUAAAAAAAAAUUAAUUAUUUGGCGGGAAUUAUUGAAAUUGGAGCCAUUUUUUUUGUGGGAAUUGAAAUAUAUUCUUUAAAUUAUUACAUAAAUAGCAAAAUGUACAUACACACACAUACAUAUAAUUCAUAUAUAAAAAUUCUCUAAUUUGUUCACAAGUACCAUAGAUUAUAAUUCAGUUAUGAAAUAAAAUAACUACAAUAAUUAUAGUUAAAUGAAUACUUCAUUAAUUCUUAAUUUGCUUCCUAACAUUAAAUGAACAACUUGAGUCAGCCACCUGAAUUAACCAGUAACAAUGCCUGAGUCAACUAUCUGAAUAAACCAGCAACCCUAGCUGAUUCCAGCACCUGCAAUUAACAUCAGCACAACAGGAACAAUCUUAAAUCAACACCAAGAACAGACCAAACUGCCAUCAAAUGUCACAAAACCAAACAGUCUGCUACUGCCAUCAAAUGCAAGCAAACAUAUGCAACAAAACCAGAUGCAAGUGAAAUUCUGGAGAAUAUCGGAUAAACCAAACCAAAUAACACACUUCUAGUAAUUAGACUAGAUGCAGUGUUCAAUUAAACUAAAUGUAGUCUCAUAUUACAUUCAAAAUUUCUAAAAGAAGCAGUGUUCCAUCAGAGAAGCACCAAAACCAAACCAAUCUAAUCCAGCAUAAUUACCAGCUCAACCCAAAACAAUUACACAUUAUAUUGACAUAUCAAAAUUCGCUAUCAAAACAUAGCCAAAUAAAUGAAAAUAAACUCAAAACAGACCCAAACCAACUGAUGUUGCGGCCCUAGUAGUCGUUGUCCGUUCCACUGCCAUGGGAGCGAGGGUAGGCUCCGUUGUCGAUGAGUGAGUAAGAUAAGGCUCCAAAUCAAUAGUUCCACCUCCUUUCUGCAAUUCAAAAAACAGAAAUUCAUAUAUGUAAAACUAUUAAAAAGUGUGAAACAACCUGUAAGUAUUCAACUUCUGUCAACUCAAUAGCACUUACUAAAGUUUUUAUACAGAAGAAAAAGGCAUUUUAAGUCCAAAAAAUUAGAAUUAUUGGUUGAACUCCAACUCCAUCAAUCCAUGCAACCAUCCAAUCUUUAACGAAAAAUGAAGCAUAAUUAACCAGACAUCUGAAUCAGAAAGAUUGUGCUUUCAUUUGGCACGAGGUGUUGGAAACAACUUAACAAAUCUAGACACAAUCUAUAACCAUCAUGUCCAAACAAAAGUCAGGAUCUAAAAUACUUUGAAAAAUCAGAAAAACAGUUUCAAUUUCUUUUUCAUCCAUUGUAAGCUCAAACUAAAGGUAGCCACGAUACCUUUAAACAUCAUUUGGGCUUAUACAUGCGACAUUUGCUCAUGAACAACUAAAGUUGAAUAAGAUUUUUAUAUGAAACAGAAUACAAAAGUCAAAGUAGAAUAUGACAGGAGCUACAAUAUAUUAUUCAGCAUCAGCAUUAUGUAUAAAAUAAAUUUAGAGGCAUUAUAUUCAUUCACAAUCUUGCAGAGGUAACACCAGAUUAUGGCACGCAUCUCUUGAAUAGCAGAUAAAGGAGGAGAUGCAGUGGGAAGGUAGUAACUUGCUUGCAUGAGAACUAGAAAGUAAUAUCCCAAGAUCAAUUAUAGAUCUCAUAAAACAAAAACAGUGAGGCAAACACAAUUAUACAAUCCAUCUGUCAAAAGGCUAAGCAAAUGAAUAUACAAUCAACACCAUUCUUCCAAACGAAUAUACAGUCAACACCAUUCUUCUAAACACAAACAAAGUUUGAACGUAUGACAGAUUUUUAGCCCUUUAAUAUUCCAUCAAAGAUAAUUAGAUAACACCUACCAAGGAUUUUUGAAAAGAAUGCAUUCUCAUCUUAAGCAGCAACCUCACCAGUAACACAUUUUCAUACCCUGUUUCCACCUCUGGUCGCACCACCAAAAAAAUUCAGUACUAAUUAGCUUCAACAGAAUCUAUUUUUUAAUUUCCUUUUUUUUUUUUCAAAAUAAACCUCCAUUCUUAUACAUAAAAUUAAAAUAUCAAUUAAAUAAACAAAGUCUAUGCUUACUAGUAAAACACGUCCAUUUUUAGGUAGAGGCAGAUAAUAAAAGAAAAUUGAAACUGAGAUAAAAUAAGAAGAGCUUACUAGGUGCAUUUGAUCAACAAUCCAAUCCUCAACGAUGGAAUCGAUGCCAUCAAAUAAACAUGACUUAAUCUUGAAACCACAAACUGCACUAAGCAUAGCACCAAAGCCAGAGCGUGACUAUAAAGAAGAAGAAAAAAGAAGGCAAAGAAGAAUUAAAUUAACAUGAAAUUCAACUGGAACAAUACAAAAUAUGAAAUUUUUAGCAAAUCUUACUAGCGUUAGGGUUAAGGCUUACCAUAGGGAACUGGAUGGCGCUAACUAAAUGACAAGUUGAAACGGCAUCUGCAAUCGUAUUGAAUGACAUUGAACCGCGAGGUAGGGUUUAAAUGAAUACCGAGCAGAGAUAAAUUGGUGUGGUGAAUUAGGGUUUUGUGGCUACGUUUUAUUUCGAUUGAAAAAAGGAAUUUGAGCUUUUGCUUUAAUACAACGGUGUCGUUAAUUUAAACAUUCAUUUUAGGUUGCAGUGGCCAGUGGAGAGAGGGGGAUUCAUUCAACGCUUAGCCAAAAUUUGGCUGUAAGUGUUGAUGUGUUUUAAGUUAUACAGAACGGUGUCGUUAAUUUAAACAAUACUGUUUUACAAUCUUAUAAGAUCACAAAACCUAAGCAUGACUUAUAUGUAUCAUUUAUUUAGGACGGUUAAGUUAUAAGUCAUGAAUAUGUCAUAUAUUCUGGACAUAUGAAUAUAUAUUAUGAAUCUAUUAUAUUUUUAUGACACAUUCGUGACACAAUGAUAUAUGUCAUCAAAUUUAUGUCAUUAUUUAAUAUUUUUCUAGUGGUGUCAGAUUUUUGAAACAUUUUUGUUAAUAGCAAAAACUCUAAUCCUUUAGCAAAAGACUAAAAAUUAAAAAAAAAAUCUGUUUAAAUAUCAGUUGGCUCAUGAUCAACACUUCAAUACUGUUUGUUGUAUUUUCUUUCUUUCUUUCUUUGUCAUUUUAUUAGAUUUUUUUUGUAUCAUAGUUUGUUUUGCUUAAGUAAUUGUUCAUUGUUUAUGUCUGUGUUCUUACUAACAGAGUAAAAGAUUUUGAGAGAAUGAAUUGCACCCUUUUCCAUUGAUUGUAAGACUUUUAUAUGCAGCAAUAUAUAUAACAACUGUGCCUAUUUUAAAGAGAUAAGAUAACAGAAAGAUAUACUUUACAUUUGAAUUAGUUUGAAUGAGUAAACUAGAUAGGUCCCAUAUUCUAAGAGGAGAAUCUGCUGACACUUACUGGCUUUUGAUAAUUUAUGGUUGGUUUUUUAUUCAGACCCUCGAAGUACCUUUUUGUUAAUAUUAAAACCUCUGAUCCUUAAGAAAGAAAAAGAAAUUCUCUAUUUAGUUAUUAGUUAGUUCAAGAUCAAUAUAGCGAUAUUGUUUGUGGUCUUUUCAUUCUCUAUCUUUCCCUCUAGUUCAUUUUAAUUUAUUUGUAUUCCUUUCUUUGACACUUGUAUUUAUAUAUAUAUAUUGUUAAGCAACAGGCAAUGGCUGUUGAAGGGUGUCUCCCUGCUUUUUCCAGCAUUGUAUCACAAGGUUCAAAAGCAUUAUUCGAACCGAUUAUGCGGCACAUAUCUUAUGUGUUCGAUUACCAAAGCUACAUAGAUGGGCUAAAAGAUUGAGUGAAGGAGCUGGAAUAUAUAAGAGAAAGGGUGCAAACGCUGGUUAGAGAGGCUACUCUACAAGGAGAUGAGAUUUAUAAGGGUGUCUGAGACUGGCUAAAUAGAGUUGCUGAAUUCAGUGAAGGGGUUGCAAAAUCCAUCAUUGAUGAUAAAGAUAGAGCUAAGAUAGAGCUAAGACUGAGCAUGAUUGCAAAUGCACGAUUGCAAAUGCAUUGGAUCAAUUAAGAAGUUCCAAUCUAGGAGAAAUUCAAGGAAUGCGUGCAGAUGUAUAAACCUCCAUAAAAUUGUUACGACUUGAAGGAUUGUAUAUAAGCAUUAAAUUGAUCUAAUUUAAUUUGUAUGUAAACAUUAAAUUGUAUAUAAAUACACAGAACAGAACCAUAUCAGUGUUGGAAAAAAAAAAAAAGAAUCCAGAGUUAUAUAAAUUCAAUUAAAAAUUACUGAAUUUUUUAUUACUAACUUUGAACACUCUAAUUUCAAUAAAAAAAUUAUAUUACUAAAAUAGUCUUAAUUGAAUUUACUAUUAAAGACAUUAGAAUAACUCAACACUAAUAUUCUAAAAUAUAUUUCUCUCCAUAGUCUAAUCUAAUCCAUUCUAAGAAUCCUAUAGAAAAUAUAUUAUUUACUUUUUCCUUAUUAAACACAAAAACAUGUCAUUUUGUUGCUAACUAAAAUUUUGGAACUAACAACAUCAGAUUAACAAAAUUAUCAGAAAAAGAAAUCAAACAAGAUUUUAAUUGUCGUCAUCUUCACUCUUGUCUUUUUCUUUUUCUUCACACAUGUGGCUUGCACACGCAUUCCCCUCUCUCAUCCUUAGGGCCGCCCUUCAACAAUAUCCAAUCAUCGAUUAUAAUUAUUUAGAUUGACCAAAUCAAGCAUUGAUCAUAUAUUGGUUGAGGUUAGAAAUAGGCAGGCAGCAGCAAUAAUACUACUAAUUAAUAUCUCAUGAGAAUUUUAAAGAAAAAUCUAACGUUGUCAAAUUCGUUUGAUUUCAAUGAAGUCUUUCUCCUACUUAUACUUUCACAUAUUCUCUUUUAUUUCCAAAGUUAAGGUUAUGGAUGUUGUAGAGUAAAAAGAUGAACAUUGCUAGGAAAGCAAUAAAAGGAAAUAAAUAAAAAUUAAAAAUAUAAAAAGAGUUAAGUCAUUUUUUUUUCUAUUAGUGUUUUUGUAUUUAAUAACGAAAGAUAAAAAUAAAGUAGAUAUUAUCUAUUGGAUUAUUAAAAUAACACAGGUAUAACACAUGUCAAAAUCUCGUUAUUAUAAUAUUAGAAAAGAUUAAAUUAGGAGAAUAUUCAAAUCGGCGAAAUAAUUAAUAAAUCGUAUUUAUUAAUCAUCCACCCAAUUCAUGCAUACCCAAAUGGCCGUCAACGAGCUAACCAAAUCCCAGCUUGUUGUAAUCUGGGUUGGGCUUUUUGGGCGAUAAUUAACUGCCCGAGCUGCUCAUCUACCCCAAUAGAGCCUAACAAAAAUUUUCGCCUAAGCUUCACAAAAAUGUUCAUAAAUCUUUUUUUUUUUGGUAUCAUAAAAACAUAAAUUUAUUUCAAACACUUUUGGAGCUUAAUAAAAAUUUCCCAACAUUUCAUCUGACAAAGGUAGUUUAAAAGUGUAUUCGUUAAAUUCUAAAAUACAUACUUAAAAUCUUUUAGUGACAAUCUAAUUAUAAAUUAAGGAUCUAUUUGGGAUUGAGAUUGAACAGUUAAAAUGUUAUAGUUGUUGUAGUUUAGAAGUUAAGAUGAUUUGAUUUUACACUUAUAUGAUAAAAAAUUUAUUAUAUCUUUUCUAAUUUUAUCAAAAUUAUUAUUAAAAAAUUAUAUUUAUUAUAUACUAUUAACUUUUAUUUUAUACUUAAAACUUUUUUUUCUUACGGCAAAAGUUUUAGCACCUCAAUACCCAACCAAGUCUAAAACUGCACAAUAAUAAUUAUGAGUGCGAAUGUUAAAAUCUACACACAUUCGUACUUGAUAAUUUCAAUCAACAGUGUUACAAACUUAAUUAAAAUAUUAUAUCUGAAAUUAUUGAGGGGAAAAAAAAGAAAAAGAAUGUUGUUUUCAUGAUAGUGACAUGUGUCGUGCACAUUUUGCUGUUGGCUCUUUGGUCUCUAACCUAGCGAAUAGGUUGUUGUGUCCUCGUUGUUAGAUGCCCGAACAGCAGCGCAAGAACUUUGUACUAUACCAUAUAUUUUAUGAAGGUGGUGAUGUUACAAAUAAAGACGAGUAAUAAACCAAACGGCGUCGCUUUGCUAGCCUGUUAGAACUAUCAACGCGCUCUGCCGCCCUCUCGUUCCAUUUAUUCAUUUAACCCGGUCAGGGGAUUGGCGAAUUAAAUAAACAACAACAGUCGUCCGAUCCACACAGAUCGCCACUCAUAUUUAAUCCAACGGCUGGGAUAUGAACCCCUCUAUAACUUUUAUUUGUCGAAUCAGCCGCUCUCUCUAUUUAAAUUAAUUUUUUUUUCAACAGCCGACGAGUGCUGACGUAUCAGAGACGCCCCAUCAAUCAAUAAAAAAAUCAAUUGAAAAGGACGGUAUAGUGAGUGGAAGAGAAAUGCCAAUGGCAGAUCAAGGGAUGAAGAUACGAGCUCACUUGCAACGAGGUAUAGUUCAUCAUGGCUUUCCUAUAAGUUCAGGUCCUUAUGAAUACUUUCAAUGAUCUUAUUAGUCAGAAAUUCAACAAUAAUUUUUACUUUUUACAUCCAGGAACAGUUUUAAGCACAAGCAACUCAGGUGGUCAAUAGGCCUCAUAUGUUAGCAAGGUCUCCGUUUUGGUCACUUAAGUCCCAUAUGUUAGGAAGACUCCCUUUUUAUUUUUGGUAUUACUUAUAAUAGCAAAUCCUCUUUUUUAGGCCUCUUUUUAUUUAGUAAUUAUCUUAUAAUGAAGAAUUUUGUUACACAUUUUAUAUUUGAUAACCUUAAUAUUAAAGAUCUCUAAUUGAUAGUAUUAUCUAAUUGUUAAUUUAUUAUUAGUUUUUCCAAAAAAAAUAAAUUCUUUAUCUAUUUAAAAAGGUUAAUUAAUUAACAUUAUAAAAAAUUUUGUGAUAUUCUCUACACAGAAAAUUAUUACAUUUAUUACUUCACUUCUGAAUUAAAAAAAAAAGAUUUAUUGAAAUAAUAGUUCUAGAGGAGGUAAAAAAGAUAUCUUCUUGAUUAUUUUUCUUUUUUGAACAUUUUAACUAUCUUGUUGAUUGUUAAUAUUCACGAUAUAGUUAAAAAUUGAUUGAAUUCUAAGCUCUUUUAUGUUUCUUUAGGUGUUGAAGCUGCUGAAUGUAGGGAGCCCUCGUAAAACAAUUCCCAUAAUGCCCCUAAUACUCUAAGGUCGACCCUGUGUAUAUCAUAUUAUUGAAAAAAAAUUGCUUCAAUACAGUAUGUGGUAAGGUUUAAUUUUAUAUGAAUUUAAGCUGAAGUUGGUACCUUUUAUUGUUUAAUACCGUGACAUCAGGGAAAUUUUUAAUAGGUCUUCAUUUUAGGCUAAAGUACCCGAACAAUACUUCCCAUGCACUUUGUGAUCUUAUUACAAAAUCUUAAACUAAAUAGCUGUGGAAGUAACAAAGAGGGCAACUUUUUACUAUAAUGUGAUGAAAAUAAUUCAUUUGUCAUCACGAACUAACCAAAUCAAAACAAAAAACUAAUGAUCAUAUGGUUCAAAUCUGUGCAACAAUGGUGCAUUUAAAAGGAAAUAAUGUACAGAUAAAAUUUGUGCUUGUAACAAGAACUCUUCUCUUCAAGCCAACAAUUCCACCUAGCAGAGAGAAGUGUUUUAGGCGACACUUUCCAACUAAUGAAAGCAGUGAGCUCUCAAACUCUGUUAUCAUUUUCUACUACUUGAAAAAGAGAGAAAGAGAAACGAGAGGAAAAACAUGGCUCCUCUGUUUUCAUUUUGGUGAUUGCAAAUAACAUUUUUUUUUUACUUUUACUCUUUAUUUAUUUAAUUUUAAAAAAAAAACUUUUAGCUCAUUAGAUCUUGUUCUUGUUAAUGCUUCUAGUAACUUAUAUGAUGAUCUGAUCAUAUCCGUAAAAUUAACAUACCCAUAAUCCAUUAUUUUAUAAUUAUAAAACUUGAAAAUUCGGUCAUGCAAUUUUGUAUGAUGAACAGUGUGUUCAUUUUUUCUGUGAAACAUAAGAACAAUUUGUAAAUAAUGUCCAUGCGGACCUUGUAAUAGCGAAGCAUCAUUAUUGAUCUUACUUUGAUGAUCGCACUUUAGUUUCUUUUUAAAGUGCCUUUUGUUUAUUUUAUCGGCAUCCGCUUUUACAAAAGUUUUGGUCCUCGUUCAUUCAUCAAAGCUUCUACUUUUAUCUUUUAUUAGGCAUCUUAUAAAAAGCUUAAUUUAAUUGGAAUCAUGUUCGGUAUGAAGAUUGUUUUACUUACUUCAGCAAUCUUUCAAUCAACCGAAUUUAUUCUUUUCUGAUCUGGAAAUUAUUCAUGAAAAAAUAGGCGCGUCAGUAGGACAACAGGGACCAAGUACAUAAUAUGAAAAUUCAUUUGUAUUGCUUACUCUAAUAAGCUCUUAACUCACACAUUCCUCUGCAGUUACCAGUGAUCUUUUGCUCACUAAAAUUGUUAUUAUAUAUUCAAGGUGAAUAAAGAAACUCAUCAUCCCAGAUAAUUAAAGAGGUGAACUUGUUCUAAAUCCUUUAAUAAUUUCUAUUAAUAAUAGCAUAUAUAAUCUCUAAUCCUUGAUCUUGGUAGUAGUUCUUUCUUAAUGUCCAAGAAAAAUAUCUCUCAUUUGUCUUAAUCUUGUCAGUUAAUUUUCUUGAAUUCUGAGUUAGUGUUUAUUGUUAAAUUCGGUUUUCGGUUAGUAGCCAUUGGUUAAUAGCUUCGGUUAAUCCUUGAAUUAAACAUAUUAAAAUCUAAUCAUAAACCCGCCUUUCCCUAUUUUACAACACCCUUUAUGUAAUAGUGACUUCAAAAGUGUAACAUAUUUUGAACAAUUGCAAGGAAAGAACAUAUUUGACACUUCACGAAACGGCUAAGAUAUAAGCUUCAAUUCUUGUACAACAAAUUAAUAUAACCAACUUCAACCGUCAAUUGAUCAAUAAUUCAGUAACAAAAAGGGACAGAUAUCCUAGUCUUUCUUUACUAAUGAAGCAAGCCAUUAAACUUCGAAAGCUAUUUCUAUUUCCACAUUCUUCAUGUACCAAAGCAGGAAAAAUAAAAAAAAAAAGCAACAAAAAUUUGGAAGUAAUCGUCUUUAUUCAGCAGCAUGCAUAUUAAUUAAACAUAUUAAAAAAGAGAUAUACAAUAUCAGGUCUGGAGACGAAAUGAGCCCACAGAGACUACCAAUAAUGUAACGGCUUGAUUAAAAAUAUUAAUCAAGCCACUACAUUAGAAGAACAAGAGUUAAUCAUGCAUAGUAAUUAAAAAUAUUUUUGCUAUCAUCCACCUGUUCUCUCUAAAUAGUUGUCCCUUUUUUUUUUCUUUUGCCUGAAAUUCCAAGCAAAAAUAUAAUUAGAAGAUCAAGAGUUAAGGGUUAAAAAAAUGGAAAAAGAGGGCUCCUCUGUUUUCAUUCCCCUGUUUUUCUGUUCGGUGAUUACAAAGAUUUAAAUCAAAAUUUAUGAUGCAGGCUACACGGCACCUGGUGGAAGACUGCUAGGGUUUACCUUUUAUUCUUAGUUAGAAAUUUAAUUUAGAAUUUGUAGUGUGCGCCUUAUAUAAGUAGGUUUCCUAAUAGUAAAAUUAAAUAAUCAACUUUAUGAUGCACUAGGAUAUGGUUGUGAUAAAUGAGCUUUUUAUGUAUCCUGUGAGGCUGAUUAUUAUUUUAUUACAUUGAAGAUUCAGUUAUCUCUUGGUAGUCUUGUGACUCAAGCGGAUUUAGUUAGUAGUAGGUAAUACUCUGGACUUCACAUACUAAACGGAAUGGAGCAUUAUUUUAUCCCGCUAAAUCAGUUUUUUUUUUUUUUAAUUAAAAAAUAAUUCAUCAAACACUUUAUAGCUCUGGUUUUAACUUGGUAAACACUUUAAGCCGCAACUUUAAAUUCAGUUUACGAGAACUCCUAACAGUCACUGUGGCUUGGGUAGAAAUGAAUAUACUAGCAUAAGUAAUGCUACCCAGGAAAUGUAGUUGAACCUAACCAAACUAAAACCAGAUGAUGAAAGCUUAUAUACACCAAGAGAUUUAUUCGUUUCUGAGUUUGUUUCCAGAAACCCGGAACCUCCCCUGUUUCUACAAACACGGCACCUUUGUUUUCAUUCCCCUGUUUUUCCAUUUGGUGAUUGUAAAAAUCUAAAUCUAAAUCUAAAUUUUUGAUGCAGUCUACACGGCACCUGCUAGAUGAUUGUUUGGGUUUAUCUUUUAUUCUUAAUUAUGAAUUUAAUUUAGAUUCGUAGUGUGCGCCUUAUGAAAGAUUAAAUAGAAUAAUGUGAAAAAAGAAAGAAUGCCUUUCUUAAUUUUGACUUCAUAAUGUUGCAGUAACCGUCCUCUCUUAUCAUUCCCCUGUUCUUUGGUUUGGUGAUUGCAAAUAACAUUCUUUGCAUCUACUCUUUAUUUAUUUAUUUUUUUAAUUUUUAGCUCAUUAAUUCUUGUUCUUCUUAAAGUGUUUAGUAAAUUAUAUGAUCACCUGAUCAAAUCCCUCACAUUAACUCUAAUCCUUUUAGAAAAGACUAAAAAUUAAAAAAAAUAUGUUUAAAUAUCAGUUGGCUCAUGAUCAACACUUCAAUACUGUUUGUUGUAUUUUCUUUCUUUCUUUGUUUGUCAUUUUAUUAGAUUUGUUUUGUAUCAUGGUCUGUUUUGCUUAAGUAAUUGUUCAUUGUUUACGUCUGUGUUCUUACUAGCUUUUGAUAAUUUAUAGUUGGUUUUUUAUUCAGACCUCGAAGUACCUUUCUGUUAAUAGCAAAACCUCUGAUCCUUAAGAAAGAAAAAGAAAUUCUCUAUUUAGUUAUUAGUUGGUUCAAGAUCAAUAUAGCGAUAUUGUUUGCGGUCUUUUCAUUCUCUAUCUUUCCCUCUAGUUCAUUUUAAUUUAUUUGUAUUCCUUUCUUUGACACUUGUAUUUAUAUAUAUAUAUUGUUAAGCAAUAGGCAAUGGCUGCAGAAGGGUGUCUCCCUGCUUUUUCCAGCAUUGUAUCACAAGGUUCAAAAGCAUUAUUCGAACAGAUUAUGCGGCACAUAAAUUAUGUGUUCGAGUACCAGAGCUACAUAGAUGGGCUAAAAGAUCGAGUGAAGGGGCUGGAAUAUAUAAGAGAAAGGGUGCAAAUGCUGGUUAGAGAGGCUACUCUACAAGGAGAUGAGAUUUAUAAGGGUGUCUGAGACUGGCUAAAUAGAGUUGCUGAAUUCAGUGAAGGGGUUGAAAAAUCCAUCAUUGAUGAUAAAGAUAGAGCUAAGAUGUUCUGCUUCAAAGGGUUGUGCCCAAAUUUGAUUUCUCGUUACAAGCUUGGUAAACAAGCAGCAGAGGCCGCAAACGAAGCUGAUAAACUUGUGAAAAAAGGCGAAUUUAACAUCUGUAAUCAUGUUUCCUACCGUCCUGCUCCAGAGAGUACAGAAUAUGUGCAAGUGAAAGAUUACGUAGCCUUUUAUUAUAAUAUCUUUUCACUCUAUUAACUUAAAAAAGAUUGACUUCAAUGUUAAAAAUGUAACAGUAUAUACAUUUUAUAAUAAUUUCAAUAUUUAAAAAAUAUUUGAAUACUUUACAAUCUUAUAUUAUAUUAAACUAAAUUUUAUAAUAAUUAGAAACAUAAUAUUAAAAUAAAUAUAUAAAAUUUUAAGUUAGGCUUAAUAUUAUUUAAAAUAAUUUAAAUAUCAUUAAUAGAUGAGAUAUAUUAUAUUAAUUAUAAAUUCUAUUUAAUCGAAAUAUAUAUUUAAAUUUUUUAUACUAAAAAUAGAUAUAUUAUUAAAAUAAAUAUAACAACUAACAUUUUAAAAAUUAACACUGAAAUUAAAAUUAUAAAUUAUAUUAAUCUACUAGAAAGAUUAAUCUAUUUGACACUAGCAGCGGACAAUGAGGUCACGGCAUAGGACAAGCAGUUAUCGUGACCCAUGGACUUUUCUACUUCUUUUGAAAAAAAAAUCAAAAUCAAAAUCAAAGUCAUUGAAGUGCGUUUGAUGAUUUGCUGUUUAGCUUCUCUCUCAAAUGCUUUUUGAGUGCCUCCGGCAUCUGCUUUUAUAUAAGCUUUUGUCUUUAAUCAUUUAUUCAAGCUUUCGCUAAGAGUGAUGCAGCACAGCACAUAAAUAUAGAAGCAUUGACAGCCGGUCAGGAGCUCUUCGGUAUUUGAAGCAAGAAUGAUUGUUUGGCUUUGUGCAUUGAAAGAGAAAAGAAAAUGAAAGACUUAUUUCAUUAAUACAAUUUAAUUAAUUAAUUUAAAAUAAUAAGCAUAUAAUAAUGAUGAAAUUAAUUAAUAAAAAGAAGAAAAUGAAAAUUGCACGUGCUAUUAGCAUAAACCAAUUGCCGGAAUGAGGUCACUUUGUAGACAAAUGAUUCUGGAAUCAGAACUUGGGCCAGCUUUGGGUUAUGGAUCCAAAAUAAAAAAAGGUGGGCCCCAUGGUCUCUUAUGAUCAAUAAAAAUCGAUUGAAAAGGAUGGUAUGGUGAGUGCAAGAGAAAUUUCGAUGGCAGAUCAAGGGAUGAAGAUACGAGCUCACUUGCAACGUGGUAUAGUUCAUCAUGGCUGGCUUUCCUAUAAGUUCAGGUCCUUUGAAUACUUUCAAUGACCUUAUUAGUCAGGAAUUUAACAAUAAUUUUUAUUUUUUACAUCCAGGAACGGUUUUAAGCAUAGGCAAAUUAGGCCUAUAAUUAAUAGCAAAUCCUCUUUUUUAACAAUUAAACAAUUAGGAAGUCUCCCUUUUUAUUUUUGGUAUUACUUAUAAUAGCAAAUCUUUUUUUUUUUUUUUUUUUGGUUGUAAACCAUCCGGUGUGCCACGACCGCAUUGGGCCUCGAUUAAUCCGGAUUCGGAGUGUAGUCACAGUUAAGGCUCUUUACCCCUCCCAAAUGGUGUGUUUAGUGGGGAUCGAACCCGAGAGCUCUUCCCACAAACUCAGCCUGCACUGCCAACUGAGCCACAACCAUUUGGUAGCAAAUCUUCUUUUUUAGGCCUCUUUUUAGUUAGUAAUUAUCUUAUAAUUAAGAAUUUUUAUACACAUUCUAUAUUUGUUAACCUUAAUAUUAAAGAUCUCCAAUUGUUAAUUUAUUAUUAGUUUUUCCAAAAAAAAAUUAAAUUCUUUAUCUAUUUAAAAAAUUUUAUUAUUUAACAUUAUAAAAUUUUUUGCUCCAUUCUCUAUAAAGAAAAUUAUUACAUUUAUUGGUUCACUUUUGAAUUAAAAAAAAAAGUUUAUUGAAAUAAUAGUUCUAGAGGAAGUAAAAAAUAUAUCUUCUUGGAAAUGUUUCAAACCCAUGAGCUUGGAUUUGUUUGAUAAUUUGUCGAAUUUGCCCACAUAUGAAAUUAGUAUGAUUUUACAGGUUAUAUUAUUUUAUUGGCUACUUCAUUAAAAAAAAAAAACACACACACACAGACACAAGGAUUUUUAUUUGAUGGUAGAAGUUAAGUUGUUUUUCAGUGAUAAAUAAUGUUGUUAACCAAAUUUAAUUGACAUUCUACGCGGCAGUAAUUCAAUUUUAUAGAAGCACGUGGAUUAAAGGACAAAAACACAUCAAGUAUUUAAUAUUGGAUAUGGAUAUGAAUUUUAUCCGUAUAGAUAUGGAGAUCCAUGGAUAUCCACGGAUAUUUUAUUUUUAUUAGGGAUAUUAUCAUUUUCCUACCAAAGAUAUUCUGACACAUCAUGUCAGUACCACGAUUUGGUAAAACCAUCAAUUUACCACUAAAUGUUUAAACUGUUAGCAUUUUCCCACCAUUCCGUUAAAACUCAGUUAAUAUGUAACAGAAAAUUCAUAAAAGGUCAAUUUUACCCCUGAAGCGUAAAAUGCCAUGUAAUUAACCUUUUAUAAAUUUUGUAAUUAAAUCAUCAUUUACUGUUCUUCUUUCUUAAUGGGCAAAAAUUACCCUUUAUGAAUUUUGUAAAAUUGACCGUGUGGUGCUAGGUACUUCAUAAAUUGAUUUAAUUUAUUUAAUUUUUAAAGGGCAAAUUUAUUUAUUUAAUUUUUUGUGUAAAAUUAUUAUCAUCAUAUCAAAGAUUAAAUUGCUUCUUUUGCACAUUCUUUUUUUUCCCUUUCAUAAAUUGAUUUUUAGUAGUAGAAUAAAUUGUCUUUAGCUCGUCAAUUUAAUAAAUAAAUUUAAUUAAAUGAGUGCGGAUUAGGUCAGUGGCAGAUAAAAGAGUCGGUUUUUCCAUUACUAAGCUUUUCAUGGAUGAAAAUUUUAUUUAUUUUUUUUGGUUUUAUAGGGUCUCUGUGAAUGCCAUUAGAAAUGAAAUUGACUAAUUCAAGCUUCCUUUUUCCCCUUAACUGACUGUGAGAGGCCAUCAAUCAGCUCUGUUUUGUAUUUUUGUACCUUUUUUUUUUUCGUAUAAUGAUCAAUCAAAUGUUAGCCCUUAGAUUGCAUCCAAUAUUUACUGAUUGUCUUAUAUUAGGAUAUAAACUAAAUUCAUAAGACAUUCCCUUAUUGAUAUUCAUUCCGACACGUCCUAGUCCUUUGCCUUGUAGAAAUGCUUGUGGUUGAAGAGCUUUACAGAGAAGCUGUCGUCAGUACUGCUGGGAAAUUUAUUAUAUUGAAUCAGAAAACUUGACCAGAUAAAGGCUGUGUGCAUGGGAAUACUUGAGGAAAUAUGAUUUACAUAUACCACUUAAUAUUUUACAAUCUCGUAUUCUAUUAAAUGUAAAUAUGAUUUACAUAUAAAAUAAUUUUCAAUAUCAUAUAAAAUAAUUUUAAUAUUAUUAAAACAUGAGAAAUAUUAUAUUAAUUAUAAAAACUAUUUAACCCAAGGAUUUGUUUAAAAUUUUUAUAAUAAAUAUAUUAAAUUACAUUUUAAAAAUUAAUUAUUUAAAUUAUACAUACUAGUCUACUAGAAAAUUUAAACUAUUUAAAUCAUAUUUACAUUUAGUAAAAAAAUUUGAAGUCAUUUUUUUUUGUGGCUACCAUAAGAGUACUAUAGUCAAAAAGGGUAUUGGUGUUCUUUAUUAAAAUUUUGGGGUCUGCAUGACUAUUUUCUAAAAUUUUAAGGGUGUCAUUUUAUUUUUGGAAAAAAAAUAAAUUUCAUUUAAAUAGCUAAAAUGGUAAAUAGUAGAAUGCUACAGUGGGCGUAAAUAGAAGGUAAAAAGCAAUCAGAUUUUGAUUAAACAUGCAAUGUAUGAAAUAUAUAUUAUGAUUAAACAGAUUUUGAUUAUUUAAUAUUAAAUUAUAUUCACAUUAAUAUCUUAAGGAUAGGUAAUACUCAAAUAAUUUUAAAAAAAAUCAAACCCAAAUUAUAUGCAUUGCUAAUGUGCGUUAUUGUCUAAUAUUUGGAUUUUGCUAAGUCACAACUACUGUAACUUACGGACUCUUCAAACAUAUGUGGAUCCCACCACAUGUUAAAUUUUUUACAUUAUUUUUUAAGGGACUGUAAGUUACAACAGCUUAACCUAACAACACCCUAAUAGUUCACUUUACUUUUAUAUCUUUACAAAACAAUGCCAACAAGACAACAAUGUAUGAAAUAAAUAAAAUAAAUAAACAAAGAACUGACAGCGAAAUUAGGGCUAUCAUUGGUUUCUCGUGGUGUGAACUCUUGACAAUCCUCCCCGAUCCCAUCCAAAACUCCCGCGUAGUGUGAACAUUUGACGAUUCUCCCAUAUCCCUCCAAAAAUUUGUCAUAUUACAAAAAGCAAUGUCAAUUGCAAUGUCGUUUCCAUUAGUCAUAGUGGCAGAUAGGACUAGAAUUUGUUGAAACCCCUGGACUUAUUUUUCCUUUUGAAAAUAAUUUUGUAGAACCUCAUAUCGGGAAUAACAGACAAUAAGACUCUUUUUUUAAUUAUAAUAUAUUUUUUUAAUUUAUUAACUAAAAAAAUUAAUUUUAAUAUUUUAUAAUAAAUAUAAGCAGGAUAUUAAAAUAAAUAUAAUCAUAUGUACAUAUUAAAAUAUUUUAAUACCUAAAUAUAUUUUAAUAUUUUACAAUCUCGUAUUCUAUUAAACCAAAUUUUAAUAAAUAGAGACAUAAUAUUCAAAUAAAUAUAUAAAAGUUUUACUUAUUUUCAAUAUCAUAUCAAAUAAUUUUAAUAUUAUUAAAACAUGAGAAAUAUUAUAUUAAUUAUAAAAUCUAUUUAACCCAAGGAUUUGUUUAAAAUUUUUAUAAUAAAUAUAUUAUUAAAAUAAAUAUAUUAAAUUACAUUUUAAAAAUUAAUUAUUUAAAUUAUACAUACUAGUCUACUAGAAAAUUUAAACUAUUUAAAUCAUAUUUACAUUUAGUAAAAACUUUUGCAGUCAUUUUUUUUUUUUUUGUUACCAUCUACUAAGAGUACUAUAGUCAAAAAGGAUAUUAGUGUUCUUUAUUAAAAUUUUGGGGUCUACAUGGCUAUUUUCUAAAAUUUUAAGGGUGUCAUUUUGUUUUUGGAAAAAAAAUAACAAUUUCAUUUAAACAACUAAAAUGGUGAAUACUACAAUGCUACAAUGGCGUAAAUGGAAGGUAAAAAGCAAUCAAAAUGACCAACAGUCUAACGCCUCAGCAAGGACAUAAGGUCAAAGUUUGUUACAUGUGGUCAGAGCCAUUUAGUCUGUGAGUGGGUCUUUCGUGUCAUUUUUGGUCAUUUCAUCUUCUUUGGCAUUGAAGAUUAAAUGUUGACGACAUUUUCAAAAUUUUGGAAGACCCAUCAUACUUUUGGAUGGUUGUCAUUAUUUGAUAUUAUCAUUAUAUGACGAAAUAAAAUUGGAUGUAACACUUGUUUCGCAUUGUGUGAACUUUUGACAAUUCCCUCAUAUCCCCCAAAAAUCUUUCGCCAUUUUGGGAAGAUGCCAUUUAUUUUCAUUUUCAUCAUUGAUAGUGGCAGAUAAUGGGUUCCGGGGACAGACCAUAAAUUAUUGUGACCCAUGGACUUUUCUAAUUUUUUUCCCUUCGGAUAGUUGUCGUUAUUUGAUAGAAGGAGAUAGAGAUAAAGUUUUUUAAUCAAAUGCCCAUUUUAUUUAACAUGGAAGAAGAUCUUUAAACUCUAAGCGAGACUAUCACUUCAACAUAUGCAGCCUUCAAGAAAGCGGUAACAAGUGAUGAGAUAGACUCAUUAUUGUCUAAUCAAACAAGGACAUCGGUAGAUGUAUCAGGAUCUUAAGUUAGAUUGGAAUUUGAUACAUUAUUGUUGGUAACGUUGGUUCAAACCUUCAAAGUGAGGUUGGAUGCAAAAUGGUUUACACCAAAGAAGUGAUUUAGGAAGUUAAUUAACGUUAUUUUAGAUAAUUUAUAAUUCUAGAAUAUUUAUUAUUUUAUGAUUUUCUAUUUUAGUUUGAGUUAAUUAUGGUAUGUAUCUUAAUCUUUUAUUUCCAUUAUAAUUAUGAUUUAAAUUUUCUUUUUAGGUUAACUUAGGAAAGCGGGUUUCUUCUAUUAUAAAUAAAGAUGUCUGUAAUAAAAAAAAUAAAGAUGUCUUGUCAUUGUUUUCAUAACUUCAAGUUCAAUUAUUAAAUAAAACCCCUCUUUUAUAAUUUCCUCUAGGAUUAUUUAUCAAAAUCUCUCUUGUAGAGUCGUUUGGAUUAGAGUGUCAUCUAAUCUCGUAUUACGCGUUAUUAAAAAUCUCAUUGAGUCAUUUGGAUUAUAACGAUAUCUAAUCACGCUUCGAUUAGAGCGUAAACUAAUCGCGUUGGCUUGGUCUGGUACUAGAACGAUAUCUAAUGUUUCUUACCCUAUCAAUUCUGCUUCCGCUACGCCUCACUCCAUCAAUUGGUAUCAAAAUGAUUAUGUGCGAAUUGCACAUCUUUCCUAGAUACACCAUACCUAUCCAAACCAAAUCCAUCAAAAAAAAAAAAUUUACAAAUUUGAAACCCCCUACCCGUCACAUCAACCUCCACCGUCGCCCACCACCGCCGAUCAGCCAGCCAACACCACCACAAACCUCACUAGCCACCGUUGACCAAGCCUUAGUCAUCGCUGCCUCAACCGUCGCUUGAACAGCCGCAAAUCACCAACCCAAACCCGCGGCUCCACCAAGCAGCCCACCACCAUUCAGCCACUUUCUCCACCAACCACCUCCACCAACAAACUCGCCGGCCUCCGUUGACCAAAAACCGACCAACUUCAGCCCUUGAUCGCCGCCCGUUGUCACCACACGAAACGACACGAGUGCUUCCUAGACGCGCCGCCACCAAAACACCUUCUUUUUCCGUCAAUUUACACCACCACCAUAAUCCUUAGCAUUCGGCAACCGUAAAUCCAGUCUUCCGCCACUGUAAAGCCGGCGUAAACCAAAAGCCACAUCACCAAAAUCAACCGCCAAUUCAAGUCGGAUUUCCCCCAAUUCAAGUUGCUGAAUAUAAAAAGGACUCAUGAAAAUUACCUAAAGUUUCAAAUAUUGUUAUUCAGCAACCACUUUUAGGUUACAUUAGUUUCAACCCAAAUUUUAUAUAAAUAAUUUAUAACUCCCAUUAUUAUCAUAAAAAAAAAAUUGUAGCAAUUGAGGUUAUAUCACAUGAAAAAAAAAAUCUAAUUAAAGAAAUUGACAUUAUAACUUAAGGGAUAGUUGCUCUUUUAAUCAUUAGAAUUUAUGUCAAUUAUCCAGCUUAUCCUUGCAUUCUUAAAAACUAUAUACAAUACCAUUAUCUCUGCUUUUGUAGCUAUUGACUUUGACUUUGACAACAUAAAUAUUUAUUAGCAACAACUUAAAAUUCAAACAAAUCUAAUAUGUAAUGUAUGAAAUACAAAUAAUAAUUAAACAAAUUUUGAUUAUUUAAUAUUAAGAUAUAAUCACAUUAAUAUCAUAAGGAUAGGUGGUACUCAAAUAAUCUUUUAAAAAUCAAACCCAAAUUAUAUGCAUUAUUGUCUAAUAUUUAGAUUUUGUUAAGUUACAACUGAUGUCACUUAAGUCUCUUAAAAAAUAUGUGGGUCCCACCACCUAUUAAAUUUUUUACAUUAUUUUUUAAAAAAUUGCAGUUACAUCAGUUGUAACUUAAUAGCACCCCUAGUAUUUUACUUUACUUUUAUACCUUUACAAAAACAAUAAUGUAUGAAAUAAAUAAAUAAAGAACUGACAACGAAAUUAGGCCUAUCAUUAGUUUCUCGUGGUGUGAACUCUUGACAAUCCUCCCCUAUCCCACCUAAAGCUCUUGCGUGUGUGAACGUUUGACAAUUCUCCCAUAUCCCUCCAAUAAUCUGUCAUAUUGCGGAAAGCAAUGUCAAUUGCAAUGUCGUUUCCCAUUAGUCAUAGUGGUAGAUAGGACCAGAAUUUUUUGAAACCCCUGAGACCCUGAACUUGUUUUUCCUUUUGAAAAUAAGAAAAGAACACCCGUCUGGAGAAAUAAUUUUGUAGAACCUCAUAUCGUGAAUAACAGACAACAAGACUUUUUUUUUAAAUUAUAAUAUUUUUUAAACUUAUAAACUAAAAAAAUUAACUCUAAUAAUUUAUGAUAAAUAUAAAUAGGAUAUUAAAAUAAAUAUAAUAAUAUAUACAUAUUAAAAUAAUUUCAAUAUCUAAAAAUUUUAAUAUUUUACAAUCUCGUAUUCUAUUAAACCAAAUUAUAAUAAAUAGAGCAUAAUAUUCAAAUAAAUAUAUAAAAAUUUAGGUUAUUUUCAAUAGCAUAUAAAAUAAUUUUAAUAUUAUUAAUACAUGAGAAAUAUUAUAUUAAUUGUAAAAUCUAUUUAACCUAAGGAUUUAGUUAAAUUUUAAAAUAAUUACAAAUAUUUUAUAAAUACAAAUAAAUUAAUUUACAUUUUAAAAAUUAAUAUUUAAAUUAAUUAUUUAAAUUAUAUAUAUUAGUCUACUGGAAAAUUUAAAUUAUUUAAAUCAUAUUUACAUUUCGUAAAACUUUUAAGCCAAUUUUUUUUUAUUACCACCUACUAAGGGUAUUGUAGUCAAGGGGAAUAUUGGUAUUCUUUAUUAAAAAUUUGGGAUUUACAUGAUUAUUUUUCUAAAUUUUAAUGGUGUCAUUUUAUUUUUGACAAAAAUAAAAUUUCAUUUAAACAGCUAAAAUGGUGAAUAAUACAGUGCUACAGUGGCGUAAGUGGAAGGUAGGAAACAAUCAAAAUGAACAGUCUAACAUCACAGCAGGCAUAUAAGGCCAAAGUUUGUUACAUCCCAAUACAACAAGUUUGAAACUUUGCACCUUCUGAAAUGAAACAAACUUACUUGGAUAUUGGCGAUCAGUGAGAAAAACCCUUUUUCCAAAGCAACCUUAGGGUACCGAGUGUUACAGAUUCAAUGAACCACAAGUACUUAUUUACAUUGUGGUAUCUCAAAGGCACCAAUUUCUUCUGAUCCGUUAAGGAAAACAAGAAAAAUAAAAAGAAAAGAAAAAGGUUACUUGUGCAACACAACCUUGACGCCUAGCUACAUGGUACAUUCUCUUUGUGUGUUUGAACUAGUUAACAAUAAUUGUGCCUUUACUUCUUGGAUUGGGGAAUCGGAAUCCGAAAUCAAAAUCAUUAAUGAUGGAGGCAGGGAUCCAAAUCAGAAUUAUGGGGCCACCCAAAUUUAGGAAUGAGGAAUGGAAGAUUGAUUCCCAAGGAAGGUGGUGGGAAUCAAUCACCCGUUCCCAAGAUUGACCAUUUUGCUCCCUCUCACAAACUAUAAAAUGUCUAUUUUGUCCUCAAUUAAAAAAUUAUUAUGAUUAAUUAAUAUAUGUUUAUAAUUUAUUAAUAUAACUAUUCUAAUCAAUUUAUACAUUUUACAUUUAUUACUAUUAUUAAAUAAUUAAUAUAUUAUUAUAAUUAAUUAAUAUAUUUUGAAUUUUUAUUAUUAUCAUCAUCAUCAUUAUUAUUAUUGUUAUGAAUGAUAAAAAAUUUUACAAUUAAUUAAUAUAUUAAUAUAUUAUUGACAAUAAUUAUUAAUAAUAAUAAUUUUUGAAUAAAUAAAAAUGUAUAAUUAAUUACUGAAUUUGAACAUUUUACAAUUAUUCUAUUAUUUGGACUUAUCGUACAUGCAGAGUAGCUAGUUUGCUAGCAUAUAUGUAAGGUUUAAUUUGAAUGCAUGCAGCAUUGAGAAGAGACAACGCAGAAACAAAAUUUCCGCUUGCGAUCUUUUCAUUUCCCUGUUUAAUAACAAACAAAACAGAGGAGAAACAGGGGCUCUCUUUUAAUUCCCCUGUUUUUCUGUUUGGUGAUUUUAAAAUGGGUCAUUCUAUAAUGCCGUAACUAAAUUUACGGCAUUGAUGCCGUAAUGGACGUGGACCGUUAGAUUUGAAUAAAAAAUCUCUACCAUUAAUUCUAAAUAAAUAAGUAAUAUGUUACCUAAAUAGCAGGUAAUUACUCUUUUUUGUUCAAGUUUCAGGUUACAUUUACUAAUUUUAUGUGUGAUUUACAAGUUUUAUGAAACUUUUACAAGUUAAUGCUGAUUUACAAGUUAUAUGUAACAUUUACAAGUUUUUGUUUUGUUUACAAGUUCUUCUUACAAUUUACAACUCUAACAUUAAUUUACUAGUUGUAUGUGUGGUUUACAAAUUUUUUGUUUUAUUUAACACUUAAUGUCAAUUUACAAGUUCUAUGUAAUUUUUCUAAAUUUUGGUUUUGUUUACAAGUUCUUCUUACAAUUUACAACUCCAACAUUAAUUUAUUCAUUUUUCCAUCAAUUUACUAGUUUUAUGUGUGAUUUACACAUUUUUUGUUUCAUUUCACAAUUAAUGUCAAUUUACUAGUUAUAUGUCAUUUUUAUAAGUUUUUGUUUUGUUUACAAGUUCUUCUUACAAUUUACAACUCUAACAUUAAUUUACCAAUUUUUCCAUUAAUUUACUAGUUUUAUGUGUGAUUUACACAUUUUUUGUUUCAUUUCACACUUAAUGUCAAUUUACUAGUUGUAUGUCAUUUUUCUAAGUUUUUGUUUUAUUUACAAGUUCUUCUUACAAUUUACAACUCCAACACUAAUUUACCAAUUUUUUUCAUUAAUUUACUAGUUUUAUGUGUGAUUUACACAUUUUUUGUUUCAUUUCACACUUAAUGUCAAUUUACUAGUUGUAUGUCAUUUUUCUAAGUUUUUGUUUUGUUUACAAGUUCUUCUUGUAAUUUACAACUCCAACAUUAAUUUACCAAUUUUUUCAUUAAUUUACUAGUUUUAUGUGUGAUUUACAUAUUUUUUGUUUCAUUUCACACUUAAUGUCAAUUUACAAGUUCUAUGUCAUUUUUCUAAGUUUUUGUUUUGUUUACAAGUUCUUCUUACAAUUUACAACUCCAACAUUAAUUUACCAAUUGUUCUAUCAAUUUACUAGUUUUAUGUGUGAUUUACAUAUUUUUUGUUUCAUUUCACAAUUAAUGUCAAUUUACUAGUUGUAUGUCAUUUUUCUAAGUUUUUGUUUUGUUUACAAGUUCUUCUUACAAUUUUCAACUCUAACAUUAAUUUACCAAAUUUUUCAUUAAUUUACUAGUUUUAUGUGUGAUUUACAUAUUUUUUGUUUCAUUUUACACUUAAUGUCAAUUUAAAAGUUCUAUGUCAUUUUUCUAAGUUUUUGUUUUGUUUACAAGUUCUUCUUGCAAUUUACAACUCCAACAUUAAUUUACUCAUUUUUCCAUUAAUUUACUAGUUUUAUGUGUGAUUUACAAAUUUAUUGUUUUAUUUCACACUUAAUGUCAAUUUACUAGUUGUAUGUCAUUAUUCUAAGUUUUUGUUUUGUUUACAAGUUCUUCUUACAAUUUACAACUCUAACAUUAAUUUACCAAUUUUUCCAUUAAUUUACUAGUUUUAUGUGUGAUUUACAUAUUUUUUGUUUCAUUUCAUACUUAAUGUCAAUUUGCAAGUUCUAUGUCAUUUUUCUAAGUUUUUGUUUUGUUUACAAGUUCUUCUUGCAAUUUACAACUCCAACAUUAAUUUACUCAUUUUUCCAUUAAUUUACUAGUUUUAUGUGUGAUUUACAAAUUUAUUGUUUUAUUUCACACUUAAUGUCAAUUUGCAAGUUCUAUGUCAUUUUUCUAAUUUUUUUUUUGUUUACAAGUUCUUCUUGCAAUUUACAACUCUAACAUUAAUUUACUCAUUUUUCCAUUAAUUUACUAGUUUUAUGUGUGAUUUACAAAUUUAUUGUUUUAUUUCACACUUAAUGUCAAUUUGCAAGUUCUAUGUCAUUUUUCUAAUUUUUUUUUUUUGUUUACAAGUUCUUCUUGCAAUUUACAACUCCAACAUUAAUUUACUCAUUUUUCCAUUAAUUUACUAGUUUUUUGUGUGAUUUACAAAUUUAUUAUUUUAUUUCACACUUAAUGUCAAUUUACAAGUUCUAUGUCAUUUUUCUAAGUUUUUAUUUUGUUUACAAGUUCUUCUUGCAAUUUACAACUCCAACAUUAAUUUACUCAUUUUUCCAUCAAUUUACUAGUUUUAUGUGUGAUUUACACAUUUUUUGUUUCAUUUCACACUUAAUGUCAAUUUACAAGUUCUAUGUCAUUUUUCUAAGUUUUUGUUUUGUUUACAAGUUCUUCUUACAAUUUACAACUCCAACAUUAAUUUACCAAUUUUUCCAUCAAUUUACUAGUUUUAUGUGUGAUUUACAUAUUUUUUGUUUCAUUUCACACUUAAUGUCAAUUUACAAGUUCUAUGUCAUUUUUCUAAGUUUUUGUUUUGUUUACAAGUUCUUCUUACAAUUUACAACUCUAACAUUAAUUUACCAAAUUUUUCAUUAAUUUACUAAUUUUAUGUUGAUUUACAUAUUUUUUGUUUCAUUUCACAAUUAAUGUCAAUUUACUAGUUGUAUGUCAUUUUUCUAAGUUUUUGUUUUGUUUACAAGUUCUUCUUACAAUUUUCAACUCUAAUAUUAAUUUACCAAAUUUUUCAUUAAUUUACUAGUUUUAUGUGUGAUUUACAUAUUUUUUGUUUCAUUUCACACUUAAUGUCAAUUUACAGGUUCUAUGUCAUUUUUCUAAGUUUUUGUUUUGUUUACAAUUUCUUCUUAUAAUUUACAACUCCAACAUUAAUUUACUAGUUUUUUUCUAUUUUUUAUUUUUUUAAAUUUUGUAGACCAAUUUACCACUCUAACGUUGAUUAUUGGCAUUUUAUGAUUUAGAUAGAAUGAUAUAAGGGUGGGCAUGAGUUGGGUUUGAUAGGGUUAGUGAAAUUCUAACCUGAUCUACUUUUUAAUGAGCUGACAUAAAAUCCAUCCAACUUAACUAAAUAAACUUGUUUAACCCAAUUCUACCCAAGCCUUAUAUCGUCUGGUUAAGUUGAUUAGGUUGAAGGUCAAAUCAAAAUUUUAAUUUGAACAAUGAAAAUGAUAUGAAACUUGAAAUGAAACUUAUUAAAAUCAAAUAUAAAUCUUUUAUAAAAUGAAAUUUUCAUUCACUAUCUAGUGUACGUAAAGAAAGUUAAUAAAUUAACUAUCUUUAAAUUAAGAAAAUUUCCACAAAAAGCAUAUAGACUUUAUUUCUCCUACAUCUCCUUUUCCAAUUCCAAAUUCAGACUUUUUAGAUAAUUAGCUAGCAUCAUAUACAAAAAUAAAAUGAAAGUGAUAUAUAAUUAUAUGCCGUUAAGUAUUCACUAAAAAAAUAAAAAGAAAUUAAAACCAACUUACUUUUAUAUUAAUCUUAUAAAAUAAUAAAUUUACUUAUAAGAGAGUGUGAUUUUGGUUUUGGAAUUGUAGUCUAGAGCAACAUGUAGGUCCCGAACCCUGAUUUCAAUUUAAUUGGGCUCUAAUAUUUAGGCCCGAGCCUAACCAUUAAAUUCGAGUCAAAGGAUAGAAAAUUCAGGUCAAGUCAAUUAGACUAAAAGUCGAUCCGAGUCUUCCUUGCAUGUAUAUAUGUUUGCAUCUUGAUUUUUUAUUUUUAUAUAUCAUAUAAACUCUUCUAUAAAUUUAUAGGUAUAUAUAGAAUGCUGCGUUUACUUGUCAUUAAUUGGAAUAGGUAAUGAGAAUCAGAAUAAGUUGUUUACUUGAUCUACAAGAAUCGAAAUCGGAAUGGACUGGAACCCCAUUAAUGUGUUUAUUUUAUCUUGGAAUUGGCUUCGGAAUGAGUUAAAUUGUAACAAAUUACUAAAAAGUACUUAAUGGAUUAUUAUCAUAAUUAUUAUUUUAUAUUUUAAUUAUAGUGAUUAUUUAUUCAAAAAUUAUUAUUAUUAUUAUUAAUUGUAAUAUAUAUUAAUAUAUUAAUAAAAUCAUAAAUCUAUCAUUUUUCUUUAAAUUAGUUUAUAAAAAUCGACAUUGUCCCUUUCCCGAAUGAGAAAUUGGGUAUAAAAUCAUAAAUUUAAAAUUUAACUAAAAAUCAUAAAUCUAAACCCCAAAAAAGUCAUAACAUAAGUGGUUCUAUAUAUAUUUUAGGUAUAUAUAUAAAUGUUUGUGUGUGUGUGUGUGUGUGUCUCUCUCUCUCUCUCUAUAUAUAUAUAUAUAUAUAUAUAUCUUAUUUUUAAUGAAUUGUCAUAUUACUGGAAUUACUUAGUAUGAUGUCAUAAUUAUAGAAUUAAGUCACUUUUAUGGCAUAAACAAUAUAAUUUUCUAAAAAAAAAUUAGGUUCAACUAAAGAUUGAUAUGUUACUAAUUUUUUUUUUUUUUGGAUGGACCUCUUUACUAGUUUAAAAUCGAAUCAUUGGCAUGUUUAAUUUAAACCUUAUGGUCCUUUUUAGUUACAAUUUUUUUUUUAAAUAUCAAGGUAUUUUUUAAUCUGCUAUCAAAUUUCACUUAACACUUUUACACUCUUUUUAUUUCAAUUUUUUUAAAAUAAAUAUUACAGUACUUUUUUCUUACAUUCACGACAAAUUAUGUAAUCUCAAUAGCUCCAACUAAAGAUUGUAAUCUCACGACAAAUUAUGUCAUAUUUAUAGAAUUAAGUCACUUUUUUCCUUGUUCCCGUAAUAUUUUUGCUUCUUGCUUGCUGCAGUCAAUUAAAUAUUUUGAAAAAAAAAUAUAAUCAGUGCACUGUCACAUUAUUAUGCUUGACUUUACUAAAUAUUCAUAAAUUUACCAACAAUCAAAUACGUAAUAUUUAAUGUAAUUAGACUUACAAAUACUUAACGAAAGACCGAUUAUUUCUUAAAAUUUCAAUUUCUUGGUUCACGUUAUCCUUGAAAUCAUUCUCGUUACCCUUAUCUACAUUUUCAGCCAUUUUCGAGUUUAUAACAAGAACCUGUACAUGAAGAUAUUAGGCACAAAAAGAAAUGUCAAAGAUCACAAGUUUUGGAUCCUGUAAAAAUAUUUUACAGAUAAACAUUUCAAUUCAAAAUUCAAUCGCCCGAGCAAUAAUUAGGAACACCUGGAAAGUUAAACUGGUAUUUGCUUCCAUAACAGUGACAAACAAUAACCAUUCACAACAUUAGUUAUAAUCCUUAAAAAGAAAUAACAAACUUCAAAAAAAAAUAUAUAGACGUUUUACAAUGACUGUUGGCUUGGCACAUCAAUCUAAAGCUCACAAGCAGUUUGCAUUUCUCAUCAUCUCUUUCUUCUUCCCUCUAUUAUCAAUGGAUUGUAGAAGCUCAAAUGAAGCAAGUAGCAGCAGGAACAACACAAGCAACUUUUACUAUCAAUCCCCAUCCUUCUCCAUUCAAAAUGCAUCAUGACCAUUUUCCGGCCAGCUCCAUACACAAAAACAACAGUAAAUAUAUCCGGAAACAACAAAAAAAUUAACCCAAAAGUAGUAGUAAAUUUAUACAAAAACAGAAAAAAAUUUAACUGAAAUACGGCAGCAAAUUAACCCAAAACCAGCAGAAUUUUAACACAGAAAUAGCAGCAACUGAAGCCCAAAACACCCGAAAAUUUUACCCAAAAACAGCAGUAAAUUUAUCCAGAAACAGCAGAAAAAUUAAUUGAAAAACAGCAGCAAAUUUACCCAGAAGCAGCAGAAAAUUUAACCCAAAAAUAGCAGUAAAUUUAUCUAGAAACAGCAGAAAAUUUAAUUGAAAAACAGCAGCAAAUUUACCCAGAAGUAGCAGAAAAUUUAACACAAAAACAGCAGCAAAUGAAGCCCAAAACAGCAGAAAAUUUAACCACAAAACAGCAGAAAAUUUAACCCAAAAACAGCAGUAAAUUUAUCCAGAAACAGCAAAAAAUUUAACUGAAAAACAGCAGCAAAUUUACCGAGAAACAACAGAAAAUUUAACACAAAAACAGUAGCAAAUGAAGCCCAAAACACCAGAAAAAUUUACCUCCAAACAGCAGAAAAUAUAACCCAAAAACAGCAGUAAAUUGAUCCAAAAACAGCAGAAAAUUAGACUAAAAACAGCAGCCAAUUUACCCAGAAACAGCAAAAAAUUUAACUCAAAAUCAGCAGCAAAUGAAGCCCAAAACACCAGAAAAAUUUAACCCAAGAACAACAGCAAAUCAUUCCAAAUACAGCAUAAAAUUUACCCAGAAAAAAAAAGCAUAUCAAAUCAUCCCAAAUACAGCAGCAAAUCAUCCCUACGUUUCAAACAUGCUUCUCUAGGCUAACUCUAGACUUAAUUUUCCCUUCAUUACCACAGUGGAACUCAUUCUAACUGGUAAAUUUAUUUGUAUAAACAAUAAUUCACUUUCUAUUGAACUAAGAGUUGAUGAAAUUCAUUGAUAUUGAAAUUAUUUGCAGUUGAUGAACCUCGUAUUCUAUUAAACUUCCAACCAAAAUCAAUGCACAUGAGAAUACAAAAUCAAGGGCACAACAAUUAACGAAAUUUACUUUUAAUUUCGUCCAAACCUAUACAUCGCACCAAAUUAAGGUUCAGUUUCUAUUUCUUCAUUAACCCAAGUGACACAAAACAAUUCUAUUAAAUUUUAUGUUGAAAUUAUUUGUAGCAAACAAACAAAUAUACCAAAAAUAGGCUUACUUGGUGGAAUUAACAACAAUGCAAACGCGGUGGAGGGGAAUCAGUGGCUGGAACUUGCCUUGCCUUCUCUUCCAAUCAAUAAGAUUGAGGGCAGCAGCAACAACUUAUGAUCAACACCUGGUACUCCGCUUCAGGCACUGUCAAAUCUCAUCAAAAUUUCUUUAUCCCUUAAUUCUCUUGGAAACCAAACAAAAUACCACAACCAAUCCAGAUGCACAGUAUCCAAAAAUUAUAAAAAAAUCCACUUAAAAAACUUAAAAAAGGGUUAAAAAAAGUCUUAAGAAGAGUUUACCUCCUGAAUCACUGAUGCCCAGCCGGUAUCGUUGUUCCAAAACCCCUUGACGAAUACGAACACAGCCUGGUUCUCCUCAACCAAGUUGUUGUAGAGCUUCUUCUUGUCCGAUUAAAUAAUCUAUUGGUAUUUAGUGAUGGAUUUAAAGAGGAACGCCUUGGCGAUGGGCAAAUUUCAAAUCCGCUUCUGUUUUGCUGCAAGCAGAUUUCAAAUCGGUGAUGGGCAGGAACACAAACUCAGCCCCUUCACCAACAUGAACCGUUGUAGAGCUUCUUAUUUCUCGCUUCUUUUUGGCUUCAGGCAGUUUUCAAAGCGAUGAUUGGCAGGAAAAGAGGAACGAUUGAGGAAAACAAAAUUUGGGUUAGCCAGCAAGCACAAUCGCUUCGAAAAUACAAGAUCCGGCGUGCUGCAAUUUCUUAGACUCGAUGUUGUGCCCUUCGAAUUAUGAGAUUCUAUUUGGAUUUUUGUAGAUUCGGUUUUAAAAAAAUAUAUAUAUAUAUAUAUAUGUAUGUAUAUAAUUUUGAAAAUUUUAACCAGUUAAUUUUUUUAAAUAAAUGUUUAGCCGGUUAACAACCGGUUAAUGAAAAAAAUUUACAAAUUUUUUUAUUAUGUUAUAGUUAUUGCAUGCUGUUGAUUUAAUCCAACGGUGUACAGUAAUUACGGCAUUAAUACCGUAAUUUUUAUUACGGUAUUAUAGAAUUUUCCUUUUAAAAUUUUAUGUCUAUAUUUAUCAAAAAAAGUUAUCCAGAAUUAUUAUCUAUUUUUGAUACACAUUGAUUUAUUAAAAAAACAAUUAAAAACUGCAAUUCUAAACUUAUCGUUGUGCACUGUGCUUUGACCUUGGGGUGGUUUUUUUCUGUUUUUUUACGUAGGCCAGAACCUUAAUGAAGAAAGUUUUCAUCGUUAAUUGCUUUUGACCUAGGAGAAUUUAUUACUUGGACAAAUUAACACCAUUGUCCUUUGAUGCGGCUCCUAGAUAUCUAUGCAAUUUGUGUCAUUUACUUUUGCUUUGUAUUCUUUUUUAAAUGAGUCCUGACUGGUUCAUUGGCAGAUAAAUGAGUCGGUUUUUCUGUUUUUAUUUUUUAUUUUUUAUUUUUUGAAAGACGGUUUUUCUGUUACGAAACUUUUCAUGGAUGAAUUUUUUUUUUAAUUUUAUAGAUUCUCUGCGAAGGCAGUUUAGAAGUACUAAGUUUUGUUAGGUAGAAGGGUAUUUAAGUAUUUUCAUUUCAUAUUUUGACAUUUCCUUGACCUUUGAAGUAUUGAAUCAUUGUGUUGGUAUUUAAGUAAAUCUGCCCACAAUGAGGAAUAUAUAGUUCAGAACAGUUGAGGAAGCAUGAGAAUACUUGAGGAAAACCUGAUCUGCACUCUUUCCUCUAUAUGUGUCUUCAAUAUAAAUGGCUCAAAUAUAUGCGUUAUGAUCUUUUAAUAUUUCGCCUCUGAUAUUGCCCACAUUGCUUACUGCAAUAGAUAAAGCACUUCGUUUACCCCAAAUCCUGAUAGGGAAGUAUAAAUAUAUGCUUCCGAAAUAGCGCAACUCUCCAUAAUUAUUUAAUAUGCCUCUCAAUGAAGCAAUCACUUCAUUUACAAUUCUUCGAUUAUUAAUCCUACAUACACGUGUUUCUUUUGUCUCUAAAAGUAUUCUCAAUUAAUUUACAUAAUUUAAUAUAAUAAGUACCUAAGACUAGACAAAUUACCAUUACAAUAAAAUGAAUAAAUUAUAAUAGUAUUGACACAAUAAUGUCAAUAAUAAAUGCCUUAACAAACCUAUAAAUUUUAGAAUAUGGCUCAGAGUGCUACAAUGAACCACAACAAGUUAUUAUAUUAUCUAUAAUCAAUAUUCCAAUGAUAAUAGAGCUUUUCUAUUUUCAAUCCGCUGCUUUUCUGUUUAGCGAUUGCCAAAUUUUAUAUCUAAAAUUCUUCUAAUUUUACACUAAGGUUUAUUUAAAAAAAAAAAAAAGGGGGUAGGAGAGAGAGACUCAGAGAGUAUUAAAAAAUGUAAUUCUAAAUUUUUACUUGAGCGUUGUGUGAUUUUUAUCAUUUUUUUUAAGUUGGCCAUUUAUAUUGAGUAAAUAAAAGAAUGAAUAGACGUUUGGACCACUUCUUUUCUGUUAUAAUAAAACAUGAGAUGUCUUUUCUUGAUGUUUUCGUCACAAAAGAAUAUGUUUAUGUCAUCAUAGGCUUAAAUGGGGUAAGUAAAUUAAGAUCGAGGAAAAGUUUGUUUAAGCACUAAAGUCGCUAAAUAAACGAAAGGCUCAUAUAAAAAUUACCUAAAGCACCAAAUAUUGUUAUUUAGCUACUUCUUUUAUGUUACAUUAGUUUCUACGCAAAUUUAUAUAAAUAAUUUAUAACUCCCAUCAUUAUUAAAAAAAAAAAAAAACUGUAGCAAUUGUGGUUAUAUCACGUGGUGUGAUCUUUUGACAAUUCUCCCACAUCCCACCAAAAACUCUUACGCGGCAUGAACUUUUGACAAUUCUCCCAUAUCCCACCAAAAAUUUGUCAUGUUGCGAAAGGCAAUGUCAAUUGCAAUGUCAUUUCCAUUAGUCAUAGUAGCAGACAAUGGAGGUCCCGGGAUAGGACUAGAAGUUUUUGAAAUCUUGGACUUAUUCUUACUUUAUUUUUUCUUUUGAAAAUGAGAAAAGGACACCCGUUUGAGGAAAUAAUUUUGUAGAACCUCAUAUCGUGAAUAGGGGAUAAUAAGACUUUUUUUUUUUUUUACUUCACUGCAAUAUUCUUUAAUUUUAUUAAUUUUAUAUUUUAUAAUAAAUAUAAAUGUGAUAUUAAAAUAAAUGUAAUAAUAUAUACAUAUUAAAAUAACUUGAUAUUGAAAAAUAUUUUAAUAUUUUACAAUCCCGUAUUACAUUAAACCAAACUAUAAUAAAUAGAUAUAAUAUUAAAAUAAAUAUAUAAAAGUUUAAAUUAUUUUGAAUAUCAUAUAAAAUAAUUUUAAUAUUAUUAAUAAAUCAGAAGUAUUACAUUAAUUGUAAAAUCUAUCUAAUCCAAGGAUUUAUUUAAAUUUUUUAUAAUAAAUUAAAAAUAUAUUAAUUAACAUUUUAAAAAUUAAUAAUGAAAUUAAUUAUAUAAGUUAUACAUAUUAGUCUACUAGAAAGAUUUAAACUAUUUCAAUCAGAUUUACAUUUAGUGAAAAUUUUUGAAGUUAAUGGUUUUGGUUAUCGUCUACUAAGAAUCUUGCAGUUAAAAGGGGUAUUGACAUUCUUUAUUAAAAAUUUGAGGUCUACAUAACUAUUUUUUAAAAAUUUAAGGGUGUCAUUUUUAUUUUUAACAAAAAUAAAAUUUCAUUUAAAUGGCUAAAAUGGUGAAUAAUACAAUGUUACAGCUGGCGUAACAUUGUAUUAUAUGUUAAAUUUUUUUAAAUAUUUGUAUAUAUUGUUAUAUGAUAUUAUAAUAUUAUAUUUAUAUUUAUUAAAAUAUAAGAGUUAAUAUUUUUAAAUUAAUAAAGACAAAAAGUAUUAUAAUAAAAAAGAAUUCUUUUAUUAAAAAUAUAAUCAUUCUCCCAAACUUAUCCUUGUCCCUUUUUGAAAGGAAAAAAUAAAUUAGAAAAGUCUUUGGUCAUGAUAACUUCUAGCCUUGUCCCAUGGGACAUGGCUACGGUGCAGAAGCUGAAAGUAACAGCUUCGAACUUUCCCAUUUCCAUCACCUUGCAUUGGGACCUCUUUCUCUCUCCUCUAGCACCAGUGGAAGUUCCCCAUUGGCCGCUGUUACUUACAGAAGCUGUAACAUAGACUUCUAGCCAUGUCCCGUGAUGUCCAUUGUCUGCCACUAUCAAUAAUGGCAAUGACAUUGCAAAUGAAACAUUGAAAAUGUAUUUUCACAAUAUGACAAAAUGGGAGGAUUGUCAAAAGUUCACUGAAACUAGAGUUAGAUCUAAUUUCAUUUAUUUCAUAAAUUAGAAAAGUCUAUGGUCGUGAUAACUUCUAGCCAUGUCCCGUGAUGUCCAUUGUCUGCCACUAUGAAUAAUGAAAAUGACAUUGCAAUUGAAACUUUGAAAGGUAUUUUCGCAAUAUGACAAAGCUUUUGUUGGGAUACGGGAGGAUUGUCAAAAAUUCACACCACGUGAAACUAGCGUUAGAUCUAAUUUUAUGUCGUCAGUUCCUUAUAUAUUUAUUUCAUUUAUUUUAUACAUAGCUGUUUUAGGGUGAUAUUGUUUUGUAAAGAUAUAAUAGUAUGGUACUAUAAAAAGAAAAGAGGUGUGUGUAUACUUCCCAGUGUAAUAAUUAUAUGUAGAAGAAAACUAACAAGAGGAAAAAUGACAAAGAGCAAGGCGCUGGUUGUGGGGAGAAGAGGAUAGAGAAGGCAAUCUUAGCUUGUUGAUUGAGGGCUCAUUUUCUGAUCAUCGUAGCCUUGUUGGAGCUGUCAAACAAGUCGAUGUUGUCAUUUGCACCAUGUCGGGGGCUCAUUUAAGGAGCCACAAACAUUUUGAUGUUGCUUAAACCUGUUGAGUCCAUCAAAUAAGCUGUAAAUAUUAAGGUACGUAAUCCUUAAUUUUUAUGUAAUUUUAAUUUCAGAUCCAAAAUUGCAUGCAAGUCAUUAAAUUUCUUUCCUUUUUUUAUUUUUUAUUUGAUGAGUUACUUGAUUUGGUCGGGUGCCUUUUUUUUUCCUUUGGUUUUUCUUUUUCCAAAACAUAAAUAGACCAAGCACAUCUCCAAAUCGGGUUGGAGCGGGGAUUCUAACUCUACGAUGGCCAUAUUAAAAUUUAAAAUUUUUUAAUUUAUUUUUUCUUUUAUAACUACAUCUCAAUAUUUGAAAAAAUGAUUAUAUAGAUCUAUAUAUUAUCGAACCCAAAAUUAUAAUAAUACAUGUAAUUAUUCUAUACAUGCGUCAACAAGGCAACAGUAACCAAAUACAUGAUAUGCGAAGGGGGUGCAUGAUUAAGUCCUUUUUUUAUUCAAUUCAUUGUUAUUAUUUUUCAGCAGUUACCAGUGAUCUUUUUGCUCAUUAAAAUUAUUCUUAAAUAUUCAACGCCCAGAAGAGAAGCUCAUCAACUAUCAGAUCCCGGAUAAUUAAAGAGGUGAACUUGUUCUAAAUCCUUUGAUAAUUUCUAUUAAUAGCAUAAUCUCCUUGAUCCAAGAAAAAAUAUCUCCUGUUUGUCUUAAUCUUGUCAUUUAAUUUUUUCAACAGCAAAUAUAUAUACACACGCACACACACAUAUUGUUAAAAAGUGCAGAAAAACCACUCAAAAACGUGGAGAAAAACCACUCAAAUUUAUACAUGCGUCAACAGGGAAACAGUAACCAAAUACGUGAUACAAAAAGGGGUGAAUGAUUCUGUCUUUGCCUUUUGCAAGUCGCUGUUAUUACUCUCAUCAACUCCUUUCUCGCACAUUUCUCAGCAGUUACCAGUAAUAUUUAAAAUCGCUGUGUAGAUAUGCAAAGUUCCGUAAGUGCAUUAAUAAUUAUUUGCCAGAAAAAAAUAGUUGCGUCAAUAUUAAAGGAAUUGACAUCCAGGGGACCCAAUUUAGUUGCUUAAUGAUUAUUUAAUUAAUUAAUUUAUAAUAUAUUAAUCUUUUAAGUUGAAUAUUUAAAAUCUUAGACCCGAAACAAUAAAUCAUCUGAGGCAAAUAAAAGAGAAAUUAUCAUCCUUUUUUCUUUUUUUAACUUCUUGUAGCUUAUAAAAGAGAAAUUAUCAGUCAUUUACUCAAAGUUUAUUCAAUUAUUAAAAUUAUUAUAAAAAUUUAAAUUUAUUUAAUUUUACAUCCAAUGUAUGCAAUUUGUAUGAAACAUCUGUUAAAAAUAUAAAGUUAUUCGUUCAAAGUGACAAAAUAGAAGCGAACACAAAAUUGUAGUGGUGAUUAUGUUUUAGGAGUAACUUUAUUUUUUUAGUAAACAGUUGAUACACAUUUUAUAACUUUUGGAUAAUAAAAUAAUUUUUAGGUGGAUGAUUGAAAAUUUUUCUUUUCAAAAUAUUUUGAAAACAAUACCAAAUGUACCAAAACAUUGUUUACUUUCACUCUCUCUCUCUCUCUCUCUAUCUAUCUAUCUAUAUAUAUAUAUAUAUAUAUAUUAUUUCUUAACUCAUUCUUAUCCUUAUUCUUUCUAACAUAUCCACAAUCUGUCAAUGAAAUUUACUUUUAUAAAUUUAAAGAUUUUUUCAUGCAAUUUUGUACGAUGAUGAGUUCUCAUAUUUAUGUUAAAAAAUAAUUCGUAAAUAAUACAAAUGAAAAAAACAAAAAGUAGCAGGGCUGGCAAUACAAAACCAUAACUUUUUUUCUUUGAAUUUUGCAUAAAUAAAGUCAAUAGUGAUUUGUCAGCGCGAUCUUGAGAGCACGGCUUGGAGUCUCAAUAAUUAUUGACACUCAUAUUUGAAAACUUUCGAAAAGAUAAAAUCCAAUAUGAAAGGUGAAACGUUAUAAUCAUAGUAACUAGAAAAUUGAUUGAUUUACAAAUAUCAAUUUAAACAAUUUUCAUGUUGAUCGACAAUUUAAGUAGAUUGACAAAGAUUGAAGUAAUUACUGUUGGUGAUGAUUGACUUUGUCCUUAUCCUUGCCUUCUUCUUAUCAAAAAUCCAGUGUCAAUUAAAUUGGGCCAGGGUUUCUGAUUGCAACUAAUGGACUUCAUAUACGCAUAAUGGUCCCUACGUAUAUGCGUACCAAUAUUUGAUUGAAAAAGGGGGUGCAUGCUUAAUGCUCAAGUCGUCUUCUUUUGGAAAUUCAUUGUUAUUACUCUCAUCAACUCGUUCCUCACAUUCCUCUUUAGUCAAAACCUGUAAUAUUUCUUCUAUAUUCAAGGUGAAUACAGCAGCUCAUCAACUCUUAUCCCAGACAGGUAAAGAGGUGCACUUGUUCUAAAACCUGUAAUAUUCUUUUAGUAGCAGAAUCUCUGAUACUUGAUCUUCAUAGCGGUUCUUUCUUAAUUUCCAUAAACUUUCCUAGGAAAAAAAUUCUCUGGUUUUUCUUAAUCAUAUCAUUUACUUUUCUUAAGUCAUAUCAUUUAUUUUUAGUAGCAGAAUACUUGAUCUUGAUAGCCAUUCUUUCUUAAUUUCCAUCAACUUUCCUUGAAGGAUACCUUUCUGUUAAUAGCGAAACCUCUGAUCCUUAAGAUAGAAAAAGAAAUUCUCUACUUAGGUAUCAGUUGGUUCAAAAUCAAUAUCGCGAUGUUGUUUGCGGUCUUUUCUUUCUCUGUCUUUCCCUCUAGUUCAUUUUAAUUUAUUUGUAUUCCUUUCUUUGACAUUUUUAUUCAUUUUAUAUAUAUAUAUAUAUUGUUAAGCAAUAGGCAAUGGCUGCAGAAGUGGGUCUGGCUGCUUUUUCCAGCAUCGUAUCAGAAGGUGCAAAGUCACUGUUCAAACCGAUUAUACGGCAGAUCUCUUAUGUGUUCAAGUACCAGAGCUACGUAGAUGAGCUAAAAGAUCAAGUGAAACAGCUGGGAUAUAAAAGAGAAAUGGUGCAGCAACCAGUUAAUCAUGCUAGGCUACAAGGUGAUGAGCUUUAUGAGGGUGUCACAGACUGGCUACAUAGCGUUGAUGAAUUCAUCAGUAAAGGGGUUGCAAAAUCCAUUAUUGAUGAUGAAGAUAGAGCUAAGAAGUCCUGCUUCAAAGGAUCGUGCCCAAAUUUGAUUUCCCGUUACAAGGUCAGUAAACAUGCAGCAAAGGCCGCAGAAGCUGCCGCUAGUCUCAUGGGAAAAGGCAACUUCUCUAAUGUUUCCUACCGUCCUGCUCCAAAGCGGGCAAAACAUAUGCAAGUGAAAGAUUUCGAGGCCUUUGAUUCAAGAAUGAAAGUAUUUCAAGAUGUUAUGGAGGCGUUGAGGGAUGAUAAGCUCAACAUAAUUGGGGUCUACGGGAUGGGCGGCGUGGGUAAAACCACGAUAGUCAAGCAAGUUGCAAAGCAAGUGAUGGAAGAAAACUUGUUCGAUAAGGUCGUUAUGGCUGAGGUAACACAGACCCCAGAUCAUCAUAAAAUUCAAAACAAACUUGCUUUUGAUUUGGGCAUGGAAUUUGGCUUGAAUGAGAAUGAAUUCCAAAGAGCUGAACGAUUACAUAAAAGAUUGAAGAAAGAGAAGCAGCUCCUCAUUAUAUUAGAUAAUAUUUGGACAAAACUUGAGUUGGAUAAAAUUGGAAUUCCAACCGGGGAUGUUGCUGAGAAAGAUAGAAAGGAUGAUCAGAGAAGAUGCACAAUAAUAUUGACGUCUAGAAAGCAAGAUUUAUUGCGCAUUGAUAUGAAUUCUCAGAAAAAUUUCCCGAUCGAUGCUUUGCCACGAAAAGAAGCAUUGCAGUUAUUUGAGAAGAUAGUGGGUGAUUCAACUAAAAUAUCUACUUUUCAAAGUAUAGCAAAUGAGAUCGUUGAAAGAUGCGGAGGUUUGCCUGUUGCACUGAGUACAGUUGCAAAUGCUCUGAAAACUAAGGAGCUUGACUUUUGGAAAGAUGCAUUGAAUCAGCUAAGAAGAUCGGAUGCAAGAGAAAUUCAUGGCAUGCAAGCAAAUGUUUACACCUCCAUAAAAUUGAGUUAUGACUUCUUGGAAAGUGAGGAGGCAAAAUCUUUGUUUCGUCUUUGUGGUCUAUACAGUGAAGGUAAUGUCAUACAAGUUUCUAACUUAUUGAGAUAUGGUGUGGGUUGGGGUUUGUUUGAAAAUGUUUACACAUUAGAAGAAGCAAGGAGUAGAGUGCAUCGGUUGAUCGACAACCUCAAAUCUUCAUGCUUAUUGUUGGGCGGUGAUGCUAAAGAUGAAGUUAAAAUACAUGACGUCAUUCAUGUUGUUGCCGUAUCAAUUGCCGCAGAGAAGCGCAUGUUUAAUAUUCCAAAUGUUGCCGACUUAGAGAAAAAGAUGGAAGAGACAAUACGGAAAGAUCCAAUUGCCAUUUCAUUACCCCAGAGAAAUAUUCAAGAGCUCCCUGAAAGGUUGCAAUGUCCCAAUCUCCAGUUAUUUUUGUUGUUUAGAAAGGGUAAUGGCCCUAUGCAAAUUUCAGACCUCUUUUUUGAAGGGACAGAAGAACUCAAAGUGUUAAGUCUUAUCAGAAUUCCUUUCUCUUCAUUACCUUCGUCACUUGGUCGCCUCAUUAACCUUCAAACAUUGUGUUUAGAUGGUUGCGGACUAAAAGAUAUAGCAAUAGUUGGACAGCUAAAGAAAUUAGAGAUUCUCAGCCUUCGAGAUUCUGAUGUUAAGGAGUUGCCACUUGUAAUUGGACAAUUGACGAGAUUACAGUUGCUAGAUUUGAGCAAUUGUAGCAGCCUUGUGGUGAUAGCUCCAAAUGUCAUAUCAAAAUUAUCUCGAUUAGAAGAACUAUAUAUGGGUAACAGCUUUUCACAUUGGGAGAAGGUUGAAGGAGGAAGUAACGCCAAUCUUGUUGAGUUGAAGGGGUUGUCAAAGCUAACUACUUUGGAGAUACACGUUCGGGAUGCCGAAAUUCUACCGCAGGAUUUGGUCUCUGUGGAAUUGCAAAGAUACAGGAUAUGUAUAGGAAAUAAGUGGUGGAGCAGCUGGUCCGUUAAAUCUGGAUUAUCAAGAUUGAUGAAGCUCCAGGGGCUGGAAAAGUUUGGCAUUCUUUUGCAAAAUUACAGAAUGAAAAUGUUGCUGCAGAGAACUGAAGAUCUCUAUCUAGAAGAACUGAAGGGUGUUCAGAAUGUUGUUCAUGAAUUAGACGAUGGGGAGGGUUAUCCACGAUUGAAGCGUCUUCGUGUAGAAAGUUGUUCUGAGAUUUUACAUAUUGUCGGUUCAGUUAGACGGGUUGGUUGCGAAGUCUUUCCCUUGCUGGAGUCAUUGUCUCUUAUGUUUUUAACUAAUUUGGAGACGAUAUGCUACAGCCAACUCAAUGAAGAUCAAUCUUUCAGCAACUUAAGGAUUAUAUACGUAUAUUGUUGUGACAAACUGAAGCAUCUCUUCUCAUUCUCUAUGGCCAAAAGACUAUUGCGGCUUCAAAAAGUAGAAGUGGAAAACUGCUAUGAUUUGAAAAUGAUUAUUGGUAAGUGUUGAAAUUAAUUAUUGGUAGGAUUAUUGACACUGACUAAUUCUUUUUUUCUUUUUUUUUUUGGUGAAAAAAACAACGGAUGUUUAUAAUAUAUUGUUUUUGUUCAUUUAUAGGGCCCGACAUGGAGAAACCAACAACUACUGAGGGAUUCACAGAAAUCAAUGCAGAGGAUGAUCAGGUGAUAAUUUUCUGUUUAAUAAUUAAUUAAAAAAUAUAUUAUCGCGAUUGAUCUUCAAUCAUCGAAAGAAUAUUAUAUUAGAAGUUGUAGUUGAAGGAACAAAAAUGUACGGUUUUGCUUUGCAGGUUAUUUUUCCACACUUGGAGGAACUGAAACUUGGCCGUUUAAGAAGCAUCAAAAAAUUAUGGCCCGAUCAAUUUCAGGGAAUGAAUUGUUGUCAAAAUUUAACAAAAGUGACCGUGUGGAGAUGUGAUGGUCUGAAGUAUCUGUUUUCAUAUUCUAUGGUUAAUAGUCUUGGGCAACUCCAACAUCUUAAAAUAAGUUUUUGUAAGUCAAUGGAAGGGGUAGUCAACAACACCACGGGGAGGUUAGGAGGAAGAGAUGAAUUUAAGGUUUUUCCUAAACUACACUCCCUGCAGCUCACUGGUCUUCCAAAACUAAGUAGCUUUGCCUCACCAGAAGACGUCAUUCACACUGAAAUGCAACCUCAAUCUUUCUUUGAUGAAAAGGUUUUUUUUUUUUUAAUUAAUUUUAUUCUCAAUAGUUAAUUUCUUCUUUCGUUGAGUCUUCAAAUCUAAUUGUAUUGAAUUUUUAACUUCAGGUACGACUCCCAAGUCUGGAGGUAUUACAUAUUGUUUGGAUGGAUAAGUUGAGAAAAAUAUGGCACCACCAGCUUGCUUCGAAGUCUUUUAGCAAAUUGAAAAAAUUGGAGAUAUCUGAGUGUGAUAAUCUACUGAAUAUUUUUCCUCCAUUGGUAAGAUUGCUCUAUUCAUUUUCAAUUUUUAUUUCAAAUAACAUUCAACAAUUAUUUUAAUCAUUUUUGUGUUUACAAAUAAUUUUCAUUCACAAAUUAUUUAUUGCAAGUAUUGUACUUCAAACUUCUGGAGGGAAAAAAAGUAUUGUACUUCAAAUCACCAUUCUGAACUCUGCAUUUUCAAUCUAAUUUAUAGGUUCACCUGCAUUAAAGUCAACAAUAUAAUUGUUUUAAACACGAUUUAACAGCAUAAUAUAAUUCAAUUUACUUGUUUUUUUUCUUAAAUCCUAAUAAAUAAGAUUUUCAGAAAUUAAAAGAUACUUAGUUACUCAGCUUUUAAGUUCACAAAUUCAUGAUGGUCAUUUUGAAUCGAUCGUCGAUUAAAAAGUUUCCUCAAAUAUUCACUCUAUAACAGUCCCAUGUUGAUGGCGUUAGGAAGUGUUUUCCAAAAAUGUUUUCCAUUUUUAAAAGCAUGAAUAUCGGGAAAAAAUGGGAAAUACAGCGUUUUAGUUUAGUUAUUUUAAAAAUAGGCAUGUUUGAAAAUUAAAAUUUUUUAAAAACUAGCAUCAAGAUGAAAAAUGAAUUUAGAAUAUUUAAAAAUUACCUGAAAUUCUUUCUCUAUUCCUAAUACUAAAUAGUGUAAAUACAUUUUCAUUAUCUUUAUUUUUCUGGACUUCUAUUUAUUUAUUUUUGUUUUAAUUUUUUCCUUUUUUCUUUAACAAAAAAUAUCUAGUAGACAUUCAUGGUUUGUUAUUUUUCAUAAAACAAUUGUAUGAUUUUGACAUACUUUGAAUCUAGUUGAAUGCUACUCUUUAUUUUCAGGUUGGAAUUCCCAAUAGUCUAGUGAAUCUUAAUGUAUCAUACUGCAAAAAAUUAGAAGAAAUCAUAGGACAUGUUGGAGAAGAAGCGAAGGAGAAUCGUAUUGCUUUAAGUGAAUUAAAACUUUUGGAACUUGAUCAUUUACCAAGGCUUGCCAGCUUUUGUUUGGAGAAUUACACUCUUGAAUUCCCAUCAUUGGAACGAAUUUCAACGACACAGUGUCCGAGCAUGAAGACUUUUUCUCAGGGAACCUUAUCCACACCAAAGCUGCACGAAGUGCAGGUGAGUAAAAAGGAAGUAUUAAUUUACCAAGCCUUUUUAUAUGUGCAUAGAAGAUUCUACACACAUUGCACACACGCACAGUUUACUACUAACAACCUCUAUAACAACCUUUAGCUGACUCAGCUGCCAUGUCAGCAUACUCAUUAACUAACUAAUUCUAUUCUUAACAGGAAGAGGGUGGAUUGCGCCGUUGGGAAGGCAACCUUAAUUCCACUAUACAAAAGUGUUACGAAGAAAUGGUAUGUGUUAAAUCGAUUCGUCGAAAUUACUUAUGCAUCUCCCUUGCACUUGCACAUUUAAGUAUAUACACCUGCCUUGUAUAUAUAGUUUUAGAAGUUAAAACACAAAACAUGUAAGUUUAAUGUACAUAUAUCUAAUGCCUUUCAAAAAGAAAAAAAUUUAUAUAUAUCCAGUGCAAUUGUUUUGGUUUGUGCAGAUUGGAUUCCAUGACAUACAGUAUUUGCAACUCUCACAUUUUCCACGUUUGAAAGAAAUAUGGCAUGGCCAAGCACUGCCUGUCAGCUUCUUCAACAAUUUAGUAGUGCUCACGGUGGAUGACUGCACGAAUAUGUCGAGUGCUAUUCCUGCCAAUCUGCUACGGUGCUUGAACAAUUUGGAAUGGCUGGAAGUGAGGAAUUGUGAUUCACUAGAAGAGGUGCUUCAUUUGGAAGAGCUAAAUGCUAAGGAAGAACAUAUAGGCCCCCGGUUUCCUAGGCUUAACAGACUAAGGCUCAUUGAUCUUCCAAAACUCAAAAGAUUCUGCAACUUCACUGGGAAUAUAAUUGAACUGCCUGAGUUGAGAUAUCUAACUAUUGAGAAUUGCCCUGAUAUGGAAACAUUCAUAUCCAACUCUUUAGUGCACGUGACAACAGAUAACAAGAAACCUCAAAAAUUAACAUCAGAAGAGAACUUUUUGCUGGCUCAUCAAGUACAACCUCUCUUCGAUGAAAAGGUGAUUAUUAUUAUUAUUAUUAUUAUUAUUAUUAUUAUUAUUAUUAUUAUUGUUAUUAUUAUUAUUAUUAUUAUUAUUUUUCCCUUCACUUUCGUUCGCAUAGAUGUAAUUUCAUUAGAAUCAAGCCAAAUUUAAUGACUCAUCUUUUUGCAUGUCAUCUUAAUUUAUAUCUGAUUUAACAAUAUAACCGCAGUUAUUAACUAUCUUUAUAGUAUGAAUUAUAAAAAUGUCUGAAAUUAAUUGGAUGCCUGAUAACACGAGGUGAUGAACUAUAUUAAUUAUGUGUGUUACAUCUCUGUUUUCCUAGCUAAUUCAUAUUGGAUUUAGCCUCAGAUUUCAUUUAUGUGUUUCAAAGAGUAAGCGAUUUGAUACUUUUAUUUGGGAUCCUACUGCAAAGCAUACUAAUUUGGAAAUAAAAUAUAAAAUGCCGUGAUCAACCUUGUCCAUAAAAUAUGCAGGGGAAGACGGCAGAGAUUGGAUACAUAUUUUCAUUUACAACUUAAUUUUGUUGAUUUUCAGGUUGCAUUCCCUAAAUUGUGGGGGUUAAAGCUGUCUAGAUUACCCAAUGUGUUGCAUUUCUGGAAGGAAAAUGCCGAAUCCAACAAAGUGUUUGCAAACUUGGAAACUCUAGAAAUAUCGGAAUGCAGUAAGUUGCAAAAAUUAGUACCACCUUCAUGGCAUUUGGAAAAUCUUGCGACUCUGGAAGUAUCGAAAUGUCACGGGUUGAUAAAUUUGUUGACGCUCUCAGCAUCUAAAAAUCUAGUGACUCUUCAAAGAAUGAAGAUAGCUGAUUGCAAAAUGAUAGAACAAAUCAUACAAUUGCAGGUUGGAGAAGAAGCGAAAGGUUGCGUUGUCUUCGAGGAAUUGGAGUACUUGGGACUUGAUUGUUUGCCAAGCCUAACAAGCUUUUGUUUGGGUAAUUACGCUCUUGAAUUCCCGUCCUUGAAACAAGUAGUUGUGAGACAGUGUCCAAAAAUGAAGAUCUUCUCUCAAGGAGUCUUAGACACACCAAUGCUAAACAAAGUGAACGUCACCGAAGAAGAAAAAGAUGAUGAUGAAGAAGAUGAUGAUGAUGAUGAUGAUGAUGAUGAUGAUGAUGAUGAUGAUGAUGAUGACGACGACGACGACGACGAUGAAGAAGAAGUAGAUGAUGAUGAUGAUGAUGUUGGGAAGGCAACCUCAAUGACACCAUAAAAAAAUUGUUCAAUGAAAUGGUGAGUAUCAAUUAAGUUUUGGUGCUAUUUAGCAAAUAAUUUUAUAGAAACCAAUGUGAUAUAAUAUGAUUGGUUGACUGAAAAUAUAUAAUAAUAAAAAAUAAAUAAAUUAUGAGGACCAUGUAAUGUUUUUGUUUAACUAAUCAUAUUAUAUCGCAUCAGUUUAUACAAUAUUGUUUGUGCACAAGAGGUGGUGGUCAUAUAAUUACUCUAGCUUUAUUAUUCUUAUGGUGGCAAUGUAUGCUUGCUUACACGAGUAAUUACAAAAUCUGCAGAAUUCUAAAGAAGAGAUUGAGCCAAUCCUUCAGGUACAGUGAAGAAGCUAUCCCGAACCAGGCCAAUCUCUUAUACAUGAUUUAGCUUGCUCGUUCUUCUGUACUUGAAUAAUUUGGUUCUACACAUAUUUACAAUUUUUUGCUCAUGCUACAGACUUGCAAGACACUUUGGAUUUUGUUUGAUGUAUUCUCUGUUUAAGAAAGGACUUGAAUUGAUGUUUCAUGUUUCAUGUUUCAUGCAAUAUUCGAUUAGAUUCUGCCUAAAUUUCUGUAUUAUUCAUUCAAUUGGUCUUUUAAGCAUUUGAUUUCUAACCUCUCCUGAUAGAAGAUCAUUAGCCAAAGAAAACAGCAUAAAAUUUGUGGCAUUAUGAGAAUAAGAAUUUUUUUAAGUAUAGUAAAAUUAUCUCAACCAUUGUUAAAAAUAAUUAAUCCGUCAAACUGACCUUCUCACACCAACAUGCUUUAAAUUAAAAGAAUUUCGUGAAAGUCAAGACCAUGUUAUAGAUCUCGUGGAAAUAAGUAAACCCGUAAUUUUUUUCACAGCAUCAUAAGAAAAAAUCAUUUUUUAAAAGUAUUUUUGUUAGCUGUUGAGUUUUAAUAGUAGUAGCUAUUAAACAAUAACAAUUAGUGUAUAUUAAAAAGUUGGAAACCGGUUGACACCACUCGGGAAUCGAGCAGUUCACUUGUUUGCGAGUAGAAACCAACUUUACUACUAUUUACAAUCAUACCAAAAAUAGUAACUAAAGAAUCAGGAAAUUUCCUAUUCACUAUUCUUCAUUUUUUAAUGCAAAAUUCCCAUUCGAAAACACCAAUGACUUUCAUUCAAAGUAAAUGAGAAAUUACAAUGAAAAUAGAAUCAAAAUACAUGUAUGUAUACCUAAAACAAAUGAUUUUUUUUAAUUAAAAAAAAAAAGCACAGUUGAGGUGAAAUGAAACCAGAGUCAUGAUAUCUCUGGUUCCAGCUUUGGGACAACAGCAGACUUGAGUUCUAUAUGAGAAACACGUACAGCACCAAUCAGCCGCUCCGGUAAUUCAGCUGUAGUAUUUGCCUGCAUACAGAAGAGCAAGAUAAAGAAGACACACACAGAAGCAUUAUAUCAUUCUGAGAACAUUCA
rnacentral:lncRNA from 1 species